rnacentral:lncRNA from 1 species
GAAGUUUCUGAUGUAACUGAGAUAGAGAUCAUCAAUUGUAGUAGAUUAUCAAGUAGAUUUAUUUAUUCAACAUGACAACAACAUAAGAAGAGCACUCGAACUGAGUACUCAUUACAUGCUUCCCCCGUUGAUUCUACACCAAUUCAAAGAGAAGCCGCACAAGUCUUUUACACAUAUAGGAAAUCAACCAUCAAAGGCAAACACAACAUAACAUAUUAAGGUAAUAAUAUAGGUGUCACGGAUCCCGUGUCACACCCUGAUUUAUUUAGCAUUAAUUUUUGACCUCAUCUCCGGAUGUAGCUUCAGGGGUCUCCUCAGCAGGUGGACAGCAUCUUUGGCAAUGUCCAUGGUACCAGCGGCAGCAACCAUGGCUGCAACGAUCUGCGGUUAUGGUAUCCUCAUCUCCAGAUGUAGCUUCAGGGGUCUCCUCAGCAGUUGCGCAGCAUUUCUUGCAUCCCUUAUGAGGGAUCCAACGGCAGCAACCAUGUCUGCAACUAACUAAGGUUACGGUAUCCUGAUGAACCUCACCCGAACUGGCAUCCUGGACUCCAGUGGUCUUCACGUUCUCCUGAUCUGUUUCAAGACACAAGGAGACAUAAAUAUUAGGAGUGUUAUCUUCAGCUGCAAAACGUGAGGUCACUGGCUAGGCUAAAAAUUUACCCCAAAAAAAUAUGCAAAGAAAAGUAUACUAUGGACUGAAAAAAGGGUCAGGUAUAUAAAUGGUGCGACUUGGAUGGGAAUUAAUUUGCCUUAUAGUCUACUCAAUGAGGUAGAGAUAAAACUAUUUUUAAUUUGGUUAUCGACCUUAUUUUGGUCUUUAUUGUGUAAAACUAUAGUGUGAUAUUAUGGAAUGUGCAUCCUUGUAGUAAUAUUAUAGGAUGAAGUAUCAGAUGUGUCACUAACCAUUGACAGAAGCAACCAAAAUUUACUUCUGUUAAAAAGUGAAAAGAUAUCAGCAGAUUAAUAAAUCUUGCUUGACGCUAUAUAAAUAGCAUAUGAUAAAAGUUGGCAUCUCAAUAAUGAGUCUCCUAGAGCUCCAUUAUUCAUUUGAGUAUUUAGGUGCAACCAAGAAAAAAGAAAAAAGACUAGGCACCUGCGGCUGUUACAUCAGAGGAAAUGAGGAGCACAAGUGCAAAGAGAGCACCAAAGCGAAAGACCAAAUUUCUUGAAGAUGCCAUUUGAUCACAAUCUCACUCAAAAUGAUAAUGAUGUGUUAAACUCACUGAGGUCUAGUAAAAAGAGCCUUUAGCUGAGGAGCACAAUAUUUAUAAGAAUUAGGUUGGGAACACCUUGCCUUGCGCAAAGAAAAUACGUAAGUAGCUGUGCCUGGUAUUGCUGACCAAUAGUAUUGUUUACUUAUUUAAGAGAUAUCAUCUUCCUCUAUUUUCUUUUUUUUUUUUUGUCGAAACGAUAAGAUGAUCUCAUUGCUUUGAUGAUAAAAAAAUUACAAGUGCGAGCAACGGCUCGAACGAAACUCUACAAACUAGUGUUCAAAGACACUGAGGAAGCUGUCGCUCCUCAUCCACAACAAUGCUUAAAGCAUCAACACUCAGUUUUUUACUGACUAUCAUAUUUUCUUCCCUAUACAAAACAAAAGAGCACAUGCAAAACAAUCUCUGUAACUGAGAGAUGUCUUCAAGUACUGUUGCCAUUUUGCUGUCCGUUGGGCUCUGAUGUUUUAAUUGUCUCCACAGUUCCUUGUUACAAAACCUCAGCUUAAGAUUGCUCCACUUGCGUUGUACAGCUUUACACAACACCAGCUUCAGUGCCAGAGCUUCAUCUAGGAUUUUGUUUCCAGAACUAAUGUCUUUCAGUGCCCACCCUAUCAUCGUGUUACUUUCAAAAAGCUUAACUGUGACUCCAAUUCCCGCAAAUAGCUGCCCUUGCUUCGUGGUUGUAGUCACCUCCAUUAGCACUUCUCCUUCAUUUACAUAAUUCUGAUCCUGAGCAUCUUGCCUAGGGACUGUUUCUUCUGUGCUCUCUCCUUUCUCUUUGUGCUCUAUCUGCUGCUGCUCUAACCAUUCCGAAUGUGCUUUCCUUAUAGAUUUGAAGGGAGGAUCAAAGGUAGUGUUCUCGAAUUCUCUUUUGUUUCUUUCUUUCCACACCUGCCACGGGAUGUUUGCAGUUAAACCAAUGUGUUCCAUCCCUUCUGACCUGUGCCUUGCUUCUGAGAUUCUUAACCACCACCUUUUGAAGUCUCCCUGCUGCUCCUUUGCUCCAUCCCACUGAAUGGGAGAUGCCUUCCAUAUGUUUUCCGUGUGGGGGCUAGGCUGAGAAUUUUAGUUUGAAGUCCACGCUUCAUUGACUGAUGUAGCUGUCCAAGUCUCCAGUCUCUGCACGUAGGAAUAAAGAAUUUGUUGUCCUUAUAUAAGUAACCGUCAUUCUUGAAUGAUAAAGUUAAGAAUUAUAAGAUAAUGUGCUUAUUUCUUCAUCUCUGGAUAGAAUAUCAAUUUCCAUAUUUUUUCGUUUGAUUGUUUAGGUAAACUUUCUCCAUCUCUGGACAGCAUAUCAAAUUCGCUGUCUUUUUCUUUUUCGUUCGCUUGUUUAGGUAAACUUUCAUUUUCAUGGGUCUAAAGGCCUAAAGACCUCUAUCCAUUUCAGAAAUUUACUGAUUCUAAGUUGGUGUAAUAGAGCUUUAAUUAUCUCUAUCAAGAUCUUUAUACAUCCAGAGCAACUUUCCUGUUAACAAUUUCAAAUCUAUAUGUCAAAUUCAACGACGGAAUUUAAAUUUAAAAAGAAAAGCUUAUACUUUGUAAGAAGAAGUAACGAAUUCAGGGAUUAAUGUUUCUUGCUUAUUGCGUAUGGAUUGUUUUACACGAAUAGGGUUAGAUGCAUGAUAAAUAAUGUCAAUUUAAAUUCAAAGCCAUAUUCUUUUACGUGAAUAAAUAGUCUGUAUAAGUUUUAUUCUUUUUUCCUUUUUUUAGGUACUCAACAAUUUUGAGAGGCAUAUUGUAUUUAUUGUACUCAACAAUCCUCCUUUUUUUUUCAGCUUAAACUUGAAUAGUCUAACUAGGCUACAACAAAAUUGUAUUGUUGAAGUUUCAGAAUAUUGGCAUGGUUAUGCCUGACAAAUUCUAUAUUUAUCCAUUACUUUGUUAAGCCAAUUGUAUGGUACCUAAUUUACUCCAACAUAAUUUCCAAAGAGGUUUGCAUUUAUCUGUCGCUUUCUCCAUCUAAACUUUUUGAUGUUACGUAAUAAUUUACAUCAAAACCAGAAACCAGAAAAGCUCACAAGCUAAUCGAACUCAACUUAGAUCAUUCAUUUUUUUUGAUGCCGACUUAAGAAGAGCAACAUAUCAUGUAGUUUAAAAAAUGCAAUUAACUGCAUAUGAUAAAAUAUAAUAAGAAAAAAAUUAAAUUACCAAAGGUAUAUCCAAGAUAUAAAACUCUUGUAGUUGAAACAACUUGUACUAGAUUUCUUUGUAAUUGCAGAGCUAUAAGUUGAAAAUGUUAAGUGCAUGAAGCGUGCAAUAUAUGUACUAACUUGACAAGGUGAUCUUAAUAUGAAUAUUAUGUUAAAAUUUUAUAAUUGUUGUGGGUUUUGUUCUAAUCUCUUCCAAUACCCAAGCUUGCUUUGGUUUUAUUCUUUUUAAUCACGGGCAAUCCAUAAAUACAUAAAAUACCCCACCAACCUUUACGCAAGAACAUGAAAAAGCAUUUCCACCUCAAAUAUACCAAAAAAAAAAAAAUUAAGUCAGCACUCAAGCCUGAAUGAUAUUCAAUUCAAAUUUUAAUGUCAUCCAAAAUAUCAUGUGAAGUAACUUGGUUCCUUUCUUUAGAAAGAAAGAUGGUUGGUUUUAAAUCUACCAGUACUUAUCAUUUACAUUCUAAUCGCAUAUUCACACAAAAAUGUAUGAUUUCGUACGUGUAUUUCAAAGCCAAAGCACUUAAAUUUUCAACACUCUUUUAUACUCAUAGUGAUCACAAUUUGAAGAAGAAAAGAGAUUUUCAACUAAUAUGCUACAUAAGACAACAAACUACCGCUACUUUUGCGUUAGCAUGAAGUUCAAACCUAUAAAGUAACUUUGAAUUCAAAAGUAAAUGUACUUAUCCAGAGAGUAGGGUAGUAGGAUUAUGGUAGUUAAUAUCAUCAAUUCCAAUGGUUGCAUUUACAACUUCAAUAUCACUAUCACAGGCCAGUUAGGCAUUGAUGAUCUUUAGUUGAUAGUCAGUUUAUUUUCUCAAAAGAGAAGCAUUGAAAUAUGUGGACACUAACCUAGAUUACAAGACUAGUAUACCUUGAAUUACAAAAGUAUCUGCAUUUUCUCUUACCUUGUUGGUUAAUGGGCUAUAAUCUUGGAUUAGAUCGAUUGAUCCAUUUUAAUCACCUAAUGUCAUGGACUUAUUUGGUUUUAGAGAAAUGUGGAUUUAGUAUUUUAUUGUUCUACUAUUGGAGAAUGUGCCAAACAUUAUUUAUCUCAUUCCUUUAUCUCUAUUCUAUGCAAGCAUUUAGUUUGACAUAAAUCCUUUCAUUAACUUUGAACAAAAAAUUAACAUUAAUCCUAUUCUAAAAGUAAAAAUUUAGGGCCUGUUUUUCAAAAACUAGUUUUUCAAAUACAAUAAAAAUUUUUAAAAAGUACUCUAAAAGGUCAUCUAAAAAUUAGUUAAAAUUUUUUUAAAAUUUUAAAAACAUUUCAAAAUAUAUUCUAUAAACUCUUCUACUCUUAAAUAUCCCAAAAUAUUUUUUAAAAAUAUCCCAAAAUAUAAUCUAAAAACUCUGCUACAGUAAAAUUUUUCAAAAACACCCCAAAAAACAGCUAAUCCAAAAGGAGGCUUAGUUAUUUGAUCAAGAAUAUAUACCUGGAUUUGGUUCCUCUAAAAUAAGUAAAGUUUAGAAUUUCUAAUAGCCCAUACUUGGCAUGAAAAAGAAGCAAAUUAUAUUCAAGGGAACAAUUUUUUUCUGAUUCAACUCAAUUCAUAUUAUAACACCUUAUUGCACAAUGUUUCUAUUGAUCCGUCUACUUAUUCGCGCCAUCUAGUGUAGUGAAAAAAACAAUGUCAGAUUAACAAAGAAAACUAGAGAUAAUAUUAGAAGUAACUAGCAAAUUUAUACCCAUACUAAAAGCCAAACCACGUAGCGCAUCAGUUAUUAGGAGAUCUAAGUAAGGAGAGAUAAAUUUUGGUGAUGAAUAUAAAAUUUUUCCUUCAUCCAAACAUUGGCAUCCCAAAUGACUCAAUCAGUUCUAGUAUGAUGGAGGCAUUGUGUCAGUCAGGGUACCCACAUCAUUAGGGGCAUUGUAAAGAAAGGCUGCAUAAUCUAGAGUGGUUAAUACAAACAUCAAUGACCUAGGAGAGGGAAACAAUAUCGAACUCAACAUAUGAAAGAACAGGUUGCAAAGUUGCUGGCUAGCAAUUGGAGGGGCAUGGACACCAAAAUCAGGAUGAACUGAUAAUGAGAAUUCGUAAAAGUUGAGUAAGUGUGCUCCUUUAGUAGUCCCAAUCACUUGCCUGGUUGUACGUCCUUUGAGAAUUGGGCAUUUCAUGUUGGGAACUAAAUAGAGAAUUAAAAAUAUCAAGAUAGCAGAUGUAAUUAUAUCUUCAAUUAGUAGUUUCUUAUGAGUUGAAAUAUGCUGGUUAACAGUUAGAGGGGUGCACAGACUUGACAACGUGUAGGGAGGUAUUUGUUGCGCUUGAGUCAAUGUUUAUUAAAACUGAAAAAAAAAAUGUUACAAGAGACCUUCAUAUUAAUUUUUUUGUAGUAUUCACUCGGUAUUGACUCUUUAGUCCUAAAUGCACAAACAGUGAUAUAUAAGAAUGAAGAAUAUUUGAUUUUGGUAUAUGUUAGACAAAGUUCGGCUUUAAAUAACAAUUCACAAACAAAAAGAUUUAAUCAAACAAAGUUGUCAAAUUAUGUAGUUUAGUUUUACAAUUAUAAGCCUAUCAAUAUCAAGUUUGCUUUAUUAAAUUGUUUUUGCUUCUUGUGACAAAUAUUACACUUUAUUGUCACUAGAAGUUUUGAAAAAUUUUACAGGUAAAACUUUAACUCAAACAAUAUAAAUAAGUCUUUGUUGUCAAAGUAGUAGUUGUUUGGCACACUCCAUGCACGAAAUAUUUAUCUACUUAUAAAUAGUUAAGGAUAAAAAACAUUGAAAUGUGGUAUGUAAUGGACGUUGAUUUCUAUUAUUAAUACACAUGUUGAUGAGUAUAUUCUCUCUUCUCCACUCUAUCCUUUUUCUUCGUUAUCUACCAAUGCCAAAGAUCUACCCACCUAUCCUAACAAAACCCUGUUUCCUCUACUGCUGCUCUUGAGGAUAAAAAAAAACUACAAAAUUUGCAAAAGUAAAAAACCAUUGAGCAUAACUUUGUAUUAGAUAAAGAUUGCGCCAAGAGGCCUAAAAGACGAUAUAAAUACAGGGGUGAAAUCCUGAAAACCAAAUUGUGGUUUAGAAAAAGUUAGAAAGCCUUCUAAUGGUUCAAAAAAUAUUUAGAAAACCCUCUUGUGAUUCAAACUUAUUUAGAAUUUGAACAGAAAACUGGAAAAUUAAAGUUAUCCUUCUUUACAAUGAUAUGUUAAGAGAAUACAAUGCCAUAUGAAUUCCUAGAUGGUCAAAAUGAGAUUUUCAAAAUAUGUUCGUGGAUUUAUCGAAAACUGGGGGAGUUGAACUGAAAAUUUUGAAAGUGUUCUCCUUUUCCAUUUUGCACGACCAUGGCUGUCACUGCCUUCAACUCAUGGCAACACCAACCUCAUCACCACCAUCGUGCCAUACCGAAGCCAACACCAGAACCAACAAAUCAGCAAAUGCCAAUACAAAGGCAACAUUUAUCUGAAGACCCACAUUCCUUUUUCUUUUUCACUCAAAUUAAGCUCAAGUACCAGCAGAUUUCAUGGCCAAAAAUACAAAAAGAAAAGAAUCAUUAAGGAAUAAUAAUCAGAAAAGAAGAAAAAUUGAGGGUAGGAUUUCGUCAUAAACCAUCAUACCACCUCAACAAAUGCCAGAAUCCAACAACUUCUGCUUUAACAGUCUAGAUACCUUUGAUUUUGGAGCACUCUGGCAAGGAGAUUGGAUAAUCUUGGUGGCAGUAUAUAGCAGAAUUUCUUCGAUUGUGCUUGGCUUGUGGAAGUGGAGGAUAUGGCGGUGAGUUUAAUGGUGGUAAAUGGACAAUGGGUUUCCUAGGUUGGGGUGGGAUGUGGAAUUGGUGGCUUUGGUAGUGGUGCAAAGGGGUAGUGAUCUAAGAAGAAAAAGAAGAAAAGGAAAAUAAAAAAGACAGAAAAGAUAAAGAAAGAAUAGAACAGUUAGAAAGAGCUGAAGGUCUCUUGGUUGGGGUUGGUAAAAUUAUUGGUGGUGCAAAAUGGUGGUCACUUGGGAAGAAGAAGAAGAAAAGGAAGAAGGAAAUAAAUGGAAAAGAGAAAGAAAGAAACUUUUUUUUUUUUUUAAAAAAAAGACGGAAACAAAAAGUAACUUAAUGUGAAAAACAGAAAAAAAAAAGAUAAAAGAAAACCAAAAGGGGAGCUGGAAAAAAAAGAAAAAAAUUUGUUUGAUAGAAUGAGGAUAUUUUUGUGAGAAAAGUAUAACUUUUAUGCCAAAAAGUAAUUAUUUAUCACUUGUACUCGCAUAUGAAGCGAGUGCAAUUCACUUGCUGUUAACUUCGACAACUUUUGUCGAAAUUUCAAAACAUUUAAAAGCACAAAGGGAUUUUAUAGAUAUUUUUAAAUUAUAAGGAGGAUUCUUGACUUUCACAAAAAAUCAUAGGAGAGUUUUUUAGGUUUUACCCUAUAUACAAAAGUAAGCAAAAAAUUAGAAAGAUCACUUAAGUUAAAGGUUGUAUUUUAGCACAUCUAAUUGUUUGCGGGUUAAUUUCAUUGCUUUUGAAGAUUAAUUACUACACAGACAUUGAAACCUCUGGAGCUGCAUUUUAGCUCACAAACGUUAAAUGAGUUAGCAACCAUUUCUCCAUUGUAUUCCUUUUUUUUUUUAAUAUAAAGUAACUUCUCUACCAAUAUGUAUUUUUAUUUGAAGCGUACAACCACAUGUUUAGCUUUCAAUUUGAGUUUUGUGUUGCAAUUGAGGAAAUUGGUUGUCAUAUUCAAAUAUGAUUGCAGACGUGCGUCUUGCAAACCGAAGCACUUAAAAUUCGAUACUAUUUUACAUUCUUAGAGCUCACAUUUUUAAAACCAAGAUAUCACAACAUAAUAUAACAAACGAAUUACUACUUUUGUGUUAGCAUAAAAUCCACUCACAACAUAAGAGAAAAAAAACAAAGUUACUACUUUUGUGUUAGCAUGAAAUGCACCCGAUAAAAAAAAAAAGAGAAAUCCAUCCGAUGAAGUAACUUUGAACUUAGAAGUAAUAUUGUAUUAUUCCAGAUGUUGGUAAUCAAUAUCCUCAGUUCCUACGCUUGCAGAUCGAAUUCUAAUCAGACGCGCGUAUGUUGGUGCUUCAAUAUACAAACUAAAGAGGAGCUUUGCCACAAAGUUGCACACAAAAUAAAGUAUACAAUUAACUAACAAAGGCUUGCAUAUUUGAAGGUCAUGCAUUAAAAUGCGUCGUUUCUUUUUUUAAUAUUUACCGUAUGAGAGAGCCACUUCGAAUUCACUCCUGCAAAGAAGUGUUUGGCAUUCAAGUUUUUAGGGUGCUAGUUAAGAGAACUAGGAUACGAGAAAUCAUCACAUCAUCUAAAAUCUUGCAUACUAGAAAGAUUCAGAUGGAGACAAUCCUUAAAAUCAAUAUAAUGAUGUGAGAAAUAUGAUGACACUUAGCCAUGCUUUCCCUUAGAACUUGAGGUGAUGACUGCAUUUUGUAAGAAUAAUAAGAUGGGUGUGGAGUUGGCCCAUUCAAUUUUUCAUGCAUAUCUUUGAUGAAUCAUUUUUCUCAGGUGUUGAUAAUUAAGUAACAUUAGCAUGAUUGCUAUUUAAUUAAAAUUGUCCCACGGUUUAAUUUUGGUGAAGAACUUUUGCUUCUUUUGUUUCUAAAUCAUCAACACUGUGAUCCGUAAGUGGUAACCUUGGGGCUCAUAGAGAGAUGUUCUGCUAGCUCAAAUGGUUACUCUUUAACUCUUCUGUAUUGUCCAAACACUCAUUAAAUUCUAACAGCCAUUCCUUUUCAUUGUAAUGAUUGAUAUGAUUUUGCAACCUGGCAAGCUCUUUUUGAAGCUCAUGCUUUGUUAUAUCCUCAUGCAACAUUUUAGCCUUCACCUCAAAUUCUAUAGUAUUAGGCCUGAGAAUCCACACGUUCCACAACAUGUUAAGAGGAACAUCUUGUCUGUUAUUUCAAAGUUGUGUGUGAAUUUUAAUAAUUAUGUUUGUGUCAAUAACUUGAUUAACCUAGAAGGAUUUUUUUUCAUGUUGGGUCAACUUGAUCUUCACAAAACUCCCUAUUAAUUAACCCUCAAACUUCUCAGGGGCCUUUGCAAGAUCCUCAACUAGAGUUCUUCUUAAGUAAAUAAGAUUAAUGUUUUCUUGAAUGAAUAUAGAAGAAUGACUUCUAGGAGUUCCUAAACCUGUAGUCUUUUGGUAUUAUUCCAUGCAUAGCAUCCUCAUCAAGUAAUUGACAGUAUAUAGGCUUUUAGUUUUGUUAGGUGUUUGAAUGUUUCGUGCAUAAACUGCACCAUUUAACUAGCUAAUAUAAUAAUGAAUAGCAAUUUACGAUUUUUAAAUUAACUUUAACUCCAUAAUUUGUUGCAAAAAUAUUUAUUGCUCUAGAGUGAAAGUAUGUUAAAAUUGGAAAAAAAAUUGAUAAACAUAUUCAUAUUAAUGGUUUUUGGAAAUUUACCUCCUCAAUUAUCUAUAAAUAUGAAAAUUGUUGUUUAAUGUCUGUAAUCUAUCAUAUCUUUAUCUAAUAUUCGUAUAUUUGAUUGAAAUUUAUUCGAUCACGUAUACCAUCAAUCUAGUGGCAUUUAAAACAAGAAAGUGUAUAACUACUCAAAUAGUACGGUGUUAUUUGAUAUAGUAUCCAAAAAUUGUAUCUAUUUCAUAAAUUUAAUUUUUCAACAAUAUUAAAUAGUUCUCCUAUUUGAGUUUCGCUAUAUGAGUUGUAUUAGCACUUCUCAUAUCAAGUGCUAUGCUUGUUCAUGUUUUGAAUUUGUAGGUUAUAACGCAUAAGCAUCAGCUCAUCUGGCCUCUCUUGCUGUACAGGAUUCCAUUCUUUAGUAAGGAUAUUUCCAUCAGUGCUCCUCUUCAAGUCAUAUUUUGUAGCACCAUUAUAUGUCUGACUAAGAAUUUGAAUGGAAAAUUGUUGGACGCCAGAGUGCAAUCGAUCAGUCACAGGCAAGGCCUACCUUUUCUCCGAGUUGCAAAGGUGAUUAGAGCACCAUCCAUUUUUAAAUAUCAGUUUCUGCUUUGUCCACCGAGUCAACUGAUACGAAUUCUAGGUAUUCUUGUAAACUUUUGUCUUUUUGCUGGUGAACGGAUUUGCUUUAUUAUAUUUCUACAAUCUGCAUGUCCUUGAAAUUUUACCUGUUGAUCUUUUCCCUUGCACUUUUAUCCACUAUUAUGCUACAUGUAAUUCAAUGGUUGAAAAUUACAGAGUAUGCUUCAACCUUACUAGUGUUUUGAUAUUUGGAGUUAAAAAAGGAACGCUUGCCAUCUCUUCGUUGUCUAAUUUUGGUGCUUUGUUAUUUGGCCAACCAUUUGCUAACAAACAAACCUUGGUAUAGAGACAAUUCAAAUUCUUGGAAUUUUGACACCUCUUUAUUCGACAGACAGUUUAGGUGAUUAUAAUUCUUAUAUGUUUGCUAUUAUUGAAAGAAUGAGUUACAUUUUCUAGUAUCCAAUGGUUUCAUUGAUGGUACGAGAUGUUUUGAGUAUUCCUGUUACCACUGGCUUUAGAGUCUACUUUAGCAUUGAUGGUCAAAUUAUCAACAAAUACUAUAGUACCAUCUUGAGAUCUUCAUGCGGUCUUGGAAACAGUUGAAAGAAACAUUUUCUACAAGUUCUCUUGUUCAAAGACCAAAUUCUGUAGAGUUAAGAAAAGGAUCUGUGAACUUGAACUUGAACUUGGACAGUCUAACCAGGUAAUUGAUGGACAAAAACGUAAUCUCUAAGAAGUUUCAGAAUAAUCAGAUGGCAUGCAUAAUUCUUGUGGCAGUUUUUGCUUGAUACGGUGUCUCUUUAAUUACUUCCAUUGUUUCCUAUUUCUCUAACAUAUGUACAUUGAUAAGUUUGUCAAAUGCAACCAUUGGGAUUGACCCAAUAGUCAGGGGAAAACUCUUAAAGUUUUCUUUGUUACAAGAUUCAGAAUUCGAACUUUUUGCUUGGUAGUUGAGGUUAGGAAGGGUAUGGGGAAAGAUGGGAAGGGAAAAAAAAGAUAAGUAUGUUAAAUGCACUUAUAUAAUAAACAUAAAUAUGUUGAUGGUGCAUUUAUAAUCUACUAAAAAGGCACAUAUUCUACUAGAAAAAGCACGUGCACUACACGUGAUUUAGCUAAACAAUAUAAAAGUAUGUGCUAAGCAUAUAUGAUAUAAGGAUUGAUCUUAUUCAUGGAGAUUUCGUAAAUAUUCUAUUUCAGAAGUAAAAAAUUAAACACAAUUGGAAUUUUCUUUUUUCUUUUUCAAAAUUCGAUGUAGUUAUUAAUUCAGAUCUGGCAUGUACACAAUGAAAACUUAAGGAUGGUAAAACCUGAUAUUGAUGCACUUGGGAUCCUCAGUGACAUGUUUUCUAUGCCAAUCCAAUGCCACCAAUAGUGUUGCGCCAAGUGUCAUGUUAUUAUUUACACUUUAAUUUUCUAAUAAUUCAACUUGGCUUGGUUUAACACAAGUGUAAAUAAUAACAUGACACUUGGCGCAACACUAUUGGUGGCAUUGGAUUGGCAUAGAAAACAUGUCACCGAGGAUCCCAAGUGAUAUUGAUGACUUACACACGUUUAUAUCUCUGCUCCUAUUUCUCGAAAUGCUUAGCUGUACAAGUUAUGGGAGUUUCAACAUGUCAAGCUGAUGUUUAAGAGACUAGUAUGUAGAAAUUGUUAGUUGCUCAAAUUUGUAUUUGAUACUACAGUUAUUCAAAUUUAUUAAUUGUGAUGUGCCUUUUCGUGAUCCCCCUAAGUUCCCACAUCAAUUUGGGAAGAAAGGAAACGAUUGGAAUAUGAGCUCAAGGUCUAACAGUUAUUAAUAAUUUGGGUUAAUCCGUUUGAUCCUGUUGUGGCCAACCGUUAGAUUUGGGGCAUUAUGCUUCCACAUUGGGUGAGUUUGGACCGGUGGUGCUAUGGUUCAAAAUAUGCAAGGGAAUACAAGAGCUAAGUGUUUUAAUCCCACGUCAAAUGGGAAGAAAGAAAAGGAUUGGAAAAUAAGCUCAAGGUGUAUGGGGUGAUAAUAAAUUGGUGAACGACCUUUUUGCUGAGGUUUCUGUCCAGAAAGUUAUUGGGUUAGUGCUUAGAUAUAGAGCAUUACACUUUUCUUCCUACCAAUGCCUCAAAUCUAAAUUAAAUUUGUGUCUAAGAAGAUUUUGGAAAAAGGUCUGACUGAGAACAUUUGUUUUCAUGAUGAACCAUGUUACACAUCAGUAGAAGAACAUUUUGGAAAAGUUUCUGACUGAGAACAUCUAUUCCCAUGUCAGACUCUGUUAAGUUAGUGUCAGAAAUGAUGAAGGGACUUUGCGGUAAUCCAAAUCCGGCAUAUAUAUAUAUAUAUAUAUAUAUAUAUAUAUAUAUAUAUAUAUAUAUAUAUAAUUUUGCUAGGCGUCUAGUAAAGCGAUUUGAAGAUUUUGAUAGAUCCCUGCCGACAAUUCAUUUUAAAAAUGGUUAGGUUAGUGAACUCAUCUAUUUUCCAUUUUAAGGGCCUCUUUAAGUAGUCUUCAUUAGUGCAAUACUUAUCCAGAAGUGCAUGAAAUUCAAUAUUUAUUAUGCAAUCUGUGUUAUUAUUUUAAGUCUGUUGUAAAUUUUUGUUUUAAAGAUCAUAAAUGUUUCGUGCAUGAAUAAUAUAUUGAUUUGGCAAUAUUUAGAUUUUCGAAGUUGGCAUUUCACUUUAAAAUGUUUUGGAGAAUUCUUGUUGCAUUGCUUGAAAAACUUUGCUAUAAAAAAGAUUGUUUUGUGUCUAUUGAUCACUCCAAGGAUUGUAAAGUAUGCCUCCUUGAACUUAUGUUAUGAAUCUCAAGGACUGAAGUGGAAAGAAACUUUUAGUUCAGGAGGGAAAUUGUAAUUCAAUUGCUUUUUGACUAAUAAGAGUGGAAUUGGUUGGGCAGGAAAAGUAGCUAGCAAGGAAUAACCAACAUUGCUGACGUGGCCAGUUUGUUAGAAAGUAUUUACGGGAAUCACUUGCUAUAUAUACUAGAUGGCCAACAGAAGAAUGCAGGCAAUGAGUUGUACCAUUUUCUUUUUCUUGGAUCUGAAUAAACUCUCUUUCUCUCUCUUCUUCUUACUGUCUCAUUUCCUUCCUUCUCUUUUCUUCCGGCUCAAGACAUAAAACUAGUCUUGGGAGACGAGAAUUUUUUAGGAGCACUGGUGACUAGUCUUGUGGGGAGAAAAACAACAAAGAGCCUGUCCUCUUUCUCUUUUUUUUUCUUUCGUUUUCUAUUUUACUGGAUGCUUAUGCAAUUUACUUCAAUUAAAUUGUGUUGCUUGAUCCCGAUGAUGUGCAACUAAAUUUUCCAUUUCUAGCCAAGGAAUAACGUGGAUUUGGGUCAUCAACAACUGUGAGAUCUAACUAUUUUUUAUUUUUUUUAUUCGUUAGUAUUCGUAUAUUUUCUGGUUUAAUUACUCAUAGGUGUUAGUUGUUUGAAUAUCAAAAUCGUCUGAUAUUUAAAUCAAGCUAACGAACUAUUGCCAGUUAAGACAGUUAAAUUUGCAAUUGUUUAAUUGUUUUAAAUUAGUGGCCACUAGCAUGAUUGAUUUCAUGUUAGACAGUCAUACGAUCUAAUUUAAAUAAACCCUACUAGUGUAUUUAUCGAUUAGAACAUGGUUUUUCUAGUUUCUAAUGCAAUCAAGGAAUUAAAUUCUAUGGGUGUACUUAGGGUUGUUUCUUGGUUAGGGAAGUAGUUAACAGAAAUACUUUAACUAUCGAGACACUAAAGAAGAGCUAGCUGUCAUCGCGUGUUUGACAACUAUAACCUAUUUAUUAACAAAUAAAUGAAAUAAUUCUUGUAUCGAUGAGCAAUUGUUUGACCCGCUUCUGGGGUCAUUUCCUUGGUUAGAGCUCAUUUAUCCUUGAGUUAAAUUUAAUCUGCUUUAGUUUAAUUAUUUUCAAUUUGCAUUGAUUAUUUAUUUUUAAUUGUAAUUUUCCAAACUUCCCCCAAAUAAUUACUUAGAAAGAAGCAAAUUUUCCUCCUAAUCUCCGUGGAAACGACCCUACUUAUCAUUAUACUCCUUUAUAUCUUUGUGAGUAGGAAUUUAUUAUUACACAGACCUGACACCUGUCAAUUUUUGGUGCCAUUGUCGGAGAUUGGCAUUGGUUAAUUUGUCUCCUUUUGAGUUUAUUUUAUUCUAUUUUAUUUUCUGGUAUUUUUACUAGUUUAUGCCUCGUUCUUCUUGUACAAGUGAGUUAAUUUUUUAUCCCAAGAUUGAGAAGACAUCGCAUAGUCUAUGAAGAGAAACCACAAUACGAAAGAGAGAGUGGUCAUCUACUACGUCUCCAAGGUUUAAUUUGGCUGUGGAUUUAUUGGAAUCUUCAAGUGAUUCUGAGUAAGAGGAAUCAAUUAUGGCAAAUAAUAACUGAACUUUGAGGGAGUUGGCUACUCUGAAUUUAAACUAGCUGCUUCUAUGCAUUACUUUUCCUGAUUUUGCUGAAAAUGUAAUAUUUGAAUUGAAAUCAGGGCUAAUACACCUCCUUUCUAAUUUUCAUGGUUUGCCAGGUUAAGAACAUCAUAAGCACCUGCAGGAGUUGACAGUGGUAUGCACAAGUAUGAAGCCACCUGGUGUCACUGAGAAACAAACUAAGAUAAGGGCAUUCCUUUUUUCAUUAAAAAGGGCUGUUAAGGAUUGGCAAUACUACUUGCUCGCAGGGAGUAUCACGACAUAGGGGGAUAUGAAAAGAAAAUUUUUGGAAAAAUACUUCCCUACAUCCCGAACUGUCAGUUUACAAAAACAGGUAGGUGAUCUUAAGCAGGGUCCCGAGGAUUUUCUCUAUGAAUACUGGGAUAGAUUGAAGAAGUUGUGUACGAGUUACCCCCAACAUCAGAUUAGCAAACAAUUCCUUAUCCAAUACUUCUAUGAAGACCUACUUUACAGAAAUAGGAGUCUCAUCGAUGCUGCAAGUAGAGGUGCGUUAGUGAACAAAACCCCUCGAGAAGCUUAUGAAUUAAUCAAAGAGAUGGGUGAGAACUCCCAACAGUUUGGCACAAGAGAGAACGUUUCAAGUUGUCGUGUGAAUGAGGUGAGCAUUUCAUCGAUGCAAGAGCAAUUGGUUGAGUUAAUUUCUAUGUUUUGCCAAAUAGCAAUGGGAAGGUGUAACAAGUUAAGAAAUGUGAAAUUUGCAAGGAUGUAAACCAUCCCACCGAUGAAUGCCUAAUGCUACAAGAUGAUAACACGAAACAAGUAAACAUGGGUGGGUACGUACCCGCAUCCUGUAGGCAGUAUAACCCUUACUCCAACACAUAUAAUCCGGGUUGGAGGGACCACCCAAACUUUAAUUAUGGGGGAAAUAAGCAAAAUUUGGUCCCCAACAGACAGCAAGGGUUUCAGCCACAACAAUCAUCAAGACCCCAACCCUCUUCAUCUCAUUUGAACACGUCUCUUGAAGAUAUAGUCAAGACAUUGGUCGCUAACACCUUGCAAUUUCAGUAGAAGACAGAGGCAAGCAUACAAGAUCUCAAAACUUAGAUAAGUUAGAUGGCCUUUUCGAUGAACCGUCUGGAGUUUCAAGGGCAAGGAAUACUACCUUCUCAACUUGAGGUGAAUCUAAAGAACAUAAAUGUCAUGACCCUCAAAAGUGGAAAUGAAGUUGAAGGGCCAAAACCUAUAGUUCCUAAGGACAAGAGCAAAGAUCAAAUUGAAAAGAAGUUGAAAGAAGAAGGAAUAAGCAAGCUAACUCCUCAGAUAAUUUCGACCCCUUUAUUUAAAACUAAUACUAACCUACCACCUUUCUCUAGUAGGUUGGAGAAGCCAAAAAGGCAAGAUAAGAAGAAGGAGAUCUUAGAGGUGUUCAAGAAGGUAAAGAUAAACAUCCCUCUGUUGGAUGCAAUUAAGCAAGUGCCCAAAUAUGCCAAAUUUCUAAAGGAUUUAUACGUCAAUUGAAAGAAAUUGAGAGGCGACGAAAGAAUUGUGAUGAGGGAGAAUGUUUCAGCCGUGUUACAAAAGAAACUUCCACCCAAAUGUGGAGACUCAAGUAUGUUUUAUAUCCCUCAUCGUAUUGAAAAUACUAAGACCAGAAAGACUAUACUAGAUCUAGGAGUUUCCAUUAAUGUGAUGCCGAAAAAUAUCUAUACCUCCUUAAAUCUAGGACCUUUAAAGGAAACAGGCAUUAUAAUUCAGCUAGCCAAUCGGACUAAUGCAUAUCCUGAUGGAUUAGUUGAAGAUUUUUCAGUUCAGAUUAAUGAAUUAGUAUUUUCAACUAACUUUCAUUUGCUUUACAUGAAUGAUAAGCGUUCACUAAAUUCAUCACCUGUUAUACUAGGGAGACCCUUUUUGAGUAUAGUCGAAACAAAAAUAAAUGUCAAACAGGGCACACUUACAAUGAAAUUUGAUGGGGUGGUGAUCCAUUUCAGUAUAUUUAAAACUAUGAAAUACCUAUCUGACUCUCAUACUAUUUUUGCCAUGAGUGUAAUUGACCCUGUGGUAUAGAAAAUUUUUGAGAUUGAUGACACGGAUGAACUAGAAGUUGUUGUCACCAAAUAUCUUAAGUUGGGGACAACCUGUGAUGUGGAGUUGAGUGAGGAGUUGAAAUGCAUAGUUAGAGCGCUACAGUCAAUGGCACCUACUAUAAUAAGAUAUGAACUUGCACUACUCUUUAUACCCGAUUCUCAUCGAAGGUUGCUACCUUCAGUGAUGCAAGCACCUGAAGUGGAAUUGAAACCCCUGCUGGGUCAUUUGAAGUAUACAUUCUUGGGUGAUAAAAAUACUCUUCCAAUCAUCAUUUCUGCCACCUAGUCAAGAGGACAGGUUGAUCCGAAUCCUUAAGAACAGCAAAGAGGUGAUAGGGUGGACAAUAACUGACAUUAAAGGCAUAAGUCCCUCUGUGUGCAUGCAUAGAAUAUGGCAUAAAGAAGGUGCAAAGCCUGUAAGACAAGCACAUAGACGGCUAAAUUCCCUAAUGAUGGAAGUGGUAAAAAAGAAAAUACUCAAGUUUCUAGAUGCGGGGAUGAUUUAUGCCAUCUUUGAUAGCCUCUGGGUGAACCCAGUGUAAAUGGUUUCAAAGAAGGCAAGAGUCACAAUUGAAGUCAAUCAUGAUGGGGAGCUUGUUCUUGCUCACAAACCAACGAGAUGGCGCCAGUGUGUCGAUUAUCGGAAACUAAAUGCAAUCACAAAAAAAGGACUAUUAUUCUCUUUCUUUCAUUGAUCAAAUGAUUGAAAAAUUAACUUAUCGUGGUUAAUACUGUUCUCUGGAUGAUUUUUUUAGGGUAUUUUCAAAUUGGAAUAGUACUGGAGGACUAGGAGAAAACUACUUUCACAUGCCCAUUCAAUACCUUCGUAUAUAGAAGAAUGCCCUUUGAAUUGUGUAAAACUCCCGCAACCUUUUAGAGGUGUAUGGUAAGUAUUUUUUUCUGAAUAUGUUGAGAAAAUAAUAGAGGCCUUUAUGGAUGAUUCAGUGUCUAUGGUGAUUGAUAAGUGCAUAUUUUACGUGUUUUAAGUGUGUUUUAUUAGUUAGCUUUGGUGUGUUUUAUUUAGUUUUAUAGCUAAUUAAUUAAGUUACUAGUGAAAAUAUGCAUUUUGUGGUUUAAAGUGUGAAAGUUGCAUUUCUGUGGAUUUUGAUGGUAAAAACUUCAUGUUUUUAUAGAUUUAAUGAUUCAAUCAUCAAAUGGCAUGAACUGAGAAGAUAAUUGGAUGAUUGAUGAUGGUUUGAAAUGAUAAAAAGAGAAUAUGAAAUGCAAGAGAUGAAAUGCAAUUAAAGGAAGUUUUCUAGCUUUGACACCUUGUGGUAUUUCGGGUAUAUCUUAAGUCACAAGCAUUAGAUUGAGGUGAUUCUUGAACCAUUUUGAAGCUAACCAAUAGAUCUAUAUUUAAUAUGAGGCAUCGAAGUCCAGUUCAGUUGUUUUCAUUGUCAAAAAGUUGAAAUACAGAAGUGCAUUUUCAUGAUCGAAAGCUGAAACAGAGUUCUGACCAGUCAAGAGUAUUUUAGUUAUUUUCGAUCCAUAGAGCUCCAAAUUGGAUGAUUAUUGAGGCAUUGGAAAGUUAACUCAAAAGGAUACAACUUUCAUGUUUUCCAUAAGAGCUAAUUCAACCUCCAUCAUUGAGAAAAUAUCAGUUGAAAUUGGACAAAAAAUAGAGCCAGGAUGAAUUCUGCCCAGAAAGUGCAAACCUGCAAAAGUAAUACAUGCGUAGACAAUUCACAACCUAAGGUCGCUCCAAUUUCGGCUGCAACUUGCUCUUCAACUUGUGUUAUGUUCACGCAAGCUUUUUGACCCAUUUUCUUGCAAGAAUUUUGGUGGAAAGUGACAAAGAUAGCUGCCAAAGAAGCUUUACAACUCAAAUCUAGCUUGUUUAUGGUCUCAAGAGAAAUCUUAACAUGAUUUAACACUUUGUCUUUUGCAUGGAAUUCCUCUAUAAAUAGCAACCUUUGGAGACUAUUUUCACAACUUUGGAAGGCAAGAAAAAUUUCACAAAAAUGCAGUUUUCACUAGAGUUUUCUUAAUUCAAUAGUUAGGGUAGUAUAGUAUAGUUAGAAUAGUUUAUCUUUCUUGUAUUUGUAGUUUGAUUUGGAUGAAGAUUUGAAAAGCAAAGAUGGAGAGAUAGAACUCAUGUGGCAUGGGUGAUUUCUCUCCUUUCCCUUUCUCUUUUGUAUUUAAGUUCAUGUUUAACUAUAAUACAAGUUUGGAUCUUGUUUUCAUGUUUUGCUAAAGUUUAUGCCUAGAGUUAUGGAUGAACUUUCUAUAUCUUGUUAGUGAUAUUUAAUUGGUUAGUUGAUGAUAUUAUUUUGAACAAGUUAUUUAUCACUUUUGCUUAUUUAAUCAUGAUUAACCGGCCAUUAAUUGUGAUAAUCUUAAGGUGUUAAGUUUGCAAUGAGAAUUGAAAUUUAACACUAGUUCAAGGAAGUGAUAAACCUAGGGAGUACACUCACGAGAGUAGAGGUGCACCUUUGUGGCUUUAGUGACUUAUUUCAUGUAAUUUCAUAGAAAAAAGGAGCUUGUAGUUAAUUUCAUAAAUACGAGAGUAGGUAUGGUUUAGCUACAAGUAUAGUUGAUUCACCACGAGAGUAGUUUUCACAUACAUUAAGAAAUUACGCCAUAACUAGCCAAGAUAAUAACAUUCACUUAACCGGUAACACUUCAUUUGCAAGAAUAGUAAGGAAUUCCAUAUCUCUAGGAGCUUCCUAUUAUAUUUUUGUUACUUUUAUAGUGUAGAUUUAAUUUAUUGCACUAGUGAUAGUUUAAAUAAUAAAAGAGUUCGAAAAACAUUGGUAAUUGACAAUUUUCUCUGUGGGAUCGACACCUAAUACCCCUGUACUCAAUAAACAACUCGUAUACUUGCGAAAAAUCAUGUGUGGGGUAUUUAGGAUUUAUAAAUGUAAAAUUUGAUUGUAGAAUGAACUAAUUGUUAUGUGUAUACCCCACGCUCGUCAGUGAUAGAUUUGAUGAAUGACUUAAGAAUUUGACUCUAAUUGUUCAAAGAUGCAUCGAAACUAACCUUGUAUUCAAUUAAAAAAAAUGUCAUUCUAUGGUUGAGUACGGAAUAGUUCUAGGUCAUGUCGUAUCAUCUAAGGGUAUGAAAGUUGAUAAGGCAAAAAUAGACCUUAUAUCUUGCUUACCAUACCCACUAAUCUGCGAAAAGUGUGUUCCUUUUUGGGACAUGUAGGUUUUUAUUGGAGAUUCAUCAAGGACUUCUAAAAAAUUGGAACACCAUUGUUUAGACUCUUGCAAAAGGACGUAACAUUUAAUUUUGAUGAGAAAUGCAAGAAGGCGUUUGAUUGUUUAAAGGAGUUUGUUGAUUUCCCCACCUAUCAUCAUAUAACAUCCAGACUGGAAUCUCCCAUUCGAGAUCAUGUAUAAGGCAAGUACUGACUUGUAUUGCAUUUCUUCACUUGAACGUUUUUCACUUCAUUUUUCUUUUCACCACUUAAAUUCAUCACCAAAUCUCUAUUUUUCACCUCAUUUGCCAUCCUUUGGUGAUUGAGUCAUCAUUCCUGCAUAAAAAUGAAGGUUUUACCAUUAAAAUCACUAAAAAUACAAUAUUAUCCACUUUUACCAAAAAUAUAUAAUUUUACCAAAAACCUCUUUAUUUUAAUUAUAAAACUAAAUAAUCAACUCAAAAUUAACUAAUAAAAUGCACUUAAAAAUACGUAAAAUAAACUCUUAUCAAAUACCCCCACACUUGAAUCAUUGCUUGUCCUCAAGCAAUAUGAAAUUCCAAUCAUCAAUGAUCCAAAGAUUAAAAAUACACAUAUGUAGCAUUUCAUCUUCAUUUCCUUGAAUCAAGGUAAAUAACCCUUAUGUGAUCUUUCAAUUAACCUCAAGUACUCAUAAUAUCAAGCAAAGAAGAGCAAAGUAUACCAUAAUUUUACUAAUUCAACUCAAUUUCUCAUUUUUACCCAAUUCUACAAGCAAGCAACUCAUAUAGUCAAUAAAGAUGCUAACUAAUCUCAUGAUCAACUUCUUUAUUUUUCUUAAAGAGGGAUUUAUUUUCCUUUAUUUUCUUUUUUCUUUUUCUUCUUUUUUUUUUUUAAUAUUUUAAGAGUUAAAUACUACUUAAGUUGUGAAAAAUACCUUUUGACGCGAAGAUCGACAUUUUUAGAUGAAGAUCCCCGGUUACUCAAUAUUUCACAUACUCAAGUUGCUUUUGAUACUCUUAAUUCAAGUACCGUUUUACGCGAAAGUCGACAUUUGUAGAUGAAGACUCCCGGUUACUAAGUACAAGAACCAUUGGAGUAGAAUAACUCUUUUUUUUUUUUGAUGUAUAUAUAUAUAUAUAAAAUUCCCUCUAAGAGUAAUCAUGAGAAGAGUAUGACACUUAUUAACCAUAUUAAUUUCUUAUCUUAUAAAAUUAGAUAAAAAGAAGAAUUUUCAUCAAAUAUACAAAAUGUAGGCAUAAUUUUCUCCACUUUACUAGAUAUACUUUCCUAUAGAUGUAAAAAUUAUAAUCACAUAAAAAUCAUUUCCAAAUUUCAUGAGAAAAGAAGUAUCAAAACCGCAUAUAUUUAUUUCAAAAGGAUAAGUGACAAAAUUUUAUUUAUUUAUUAUAGUUAAUAACAUAUAUAUGUAUAAGGUUUUGGAAAAAUUUUGACAGAGUCUCCCCUUAAAAGUGGACUAAAUCUCCCUGCCAUCAACCACAAGAAACACAAUUUAAGCACAAGAAUUAUAUUGAACACAACUAAAAUCACAAGUACCACACAUUUCUUCCCCCACACUUAGAAUACACAUUGUCCUCAAUGUGUAGGGAAAGAAAAGAAAAGAAACAAAAGAAAGGAACAAGUGACUCCCCAAGUGAUAUGGCUGCGGUCCAGUGAAGCCUUGAAUCAUGAGCCAUCAACCGCUCAACCAUGUACAGUCAACGAUCUACUAGUUACUGCCACAAGUUCCAAAAUUCAAAAUAAUGAAUGUAAGUUAACAUUUUUAAAACAAAAGAUAAAAAAUAACACGCAAACAAGCAAACAAAAGAAAAGCCAGCCAAAGGGCAGCCUCAAUCAUCCUCUUCAUCGUCAUCUUCAUCAUCAUCGAUGGGAGGUGGGCGUGUGCCUAAAUGAUCUUCAAUUCGGUCCAGGCGAGUAUCCAUUCUGGCUAAGCGAUGAUCGAUGUCAUCUAAACGACCAAAGAGCCGCUGCCAGUUGGUUUGUGGCGGAGGAGGAGGUGGUGCUGCAGUAGAUGGUCCAGCUCCAUCGCGACCAUGUCUAGCCUUUUGUCUCCGCUCCUGAACAGGGCGUGGAAUGUCUCCCGUGCCAAUACCAAGGCGGCGAAGAGUAGUGAUAGUCAUCUCAGCACGUGGUGGAACAUACUCCCGCCGCAUGCCUUCCAACGGAACUUCAAAACGGGGGAAGAUUAAAGUCAGUAGACGAGGAAAUGAAAGUUUGAAGGAAGUUGUCUUACGCCUCGCCGUAGACCUAAUGUGGCUGAUGAUGAUGUUAGGCAAUGAAAUCCGAGCAUAUGGAGAUGUCCGGUUAUGGAACAUGUAAUCCAAGAAAUAGAUAUCGCUCUUGCGGACCUCCGUGUGCCCCGUCUUCUUUGGGAUGACAUUGUGAGCCAUCAUGUAAAUGAUAAGACGAUGACGAGGUUCGAAUACAUUCGCCAAUAUAGUCUCCUUUCUGGUAGAGCGAAAAGGUUGAUACUCGAGACCAAACCUAGCCAUGGCCAAUGAGGGAUCCCACCUCCGAUUCGGGGGAACAAACUCCUUCUUCAAGUCUACUGGACGUCCGUCAUCCAUACACCCCAAAAUAGCGGCCAAAUCUUGACGUGACAAGACGAUUCGUCUUCCACGCACCCAGGACUCAACCAUUUCUCCACUGUGGUGCGCCUUUCUCUCAAUGUUGGCGUAAAACUCGCGCACCAAAUCGGGGUAGUAAUGGUUUGGUAAGGUGAGAAUCGGGGCCCAUCCAAGCUGAGCAAAAGCCUCCGAGAUGUUAUACAUCAUCUCCACCGUUUGGUUCACGUGCAUCUCAAAUAGGAACUCCAAGUUAGCAUGCUCCUCAUGCCAUUCUUGAUUCCUUCGAUUAGUGAACCUUGCACUGUCAAACACAGAUCUUCCCGCUCCACGAGAGCUGCCCUCACCAGGCUGUCGACUAACCGGUGGCGGAGAAGGUGAACUCUCCUCCUCAGACACGUCCAUCUCUUCAUUAACCUCUCUCUCCUCACUACUAGAGGAUGAAAGUACCGCUCUUCUUCCCCUUGGCAUAGUACCUAAAAGAAAAUGUUGCAAUUAACCACAUAUAUUUAGACACAAUGCACAAUUUGGCAAUGAAUGUUCUAAAAUGAUCCAAAUAACCUCCAAUUUAUCCCUUCAAGUGACAACACGUCCAAUAACUAAUGUAUAGGACCAAACAAGAAGAGCCAUAAUUUAUGCCCAAAAAUUAUUCAAAAUCACCAAUUGAAACAAGAUAUGCAAUAAUUAUAACCCAAUCAGUGAAAUUAGCAACAAUUAUGAUUAUAACUACUGAGAAUUAACAAAAAUAACAUGCCUUUAGCUAUAAUCAUGUUUAAGCAAAAAUUAACCAAUUAACUCACUAAAUCAACCAAAUUACUCAAUAUACACAAUGCAUAUGCCCAAACAUCAUCAACUAACCAUCCUUAACCAUAAUUAAUCAUCACAAUGGCUCAAAAACAUCCUAGUUUCUUUUUCCAAUUUCGUCUAAAUAUAGCAAUUGUGAAUUUAUAAAGCAAUAAUGACCAACAAAUUGCUACAUUUAAACUCAUAAACAUACUUAAACAAUCUCAAUAAGCAUGAAUAAAUUCAAAAAUAGUCAAAUACAUCAUCAAAUUUUCGACAUUAAAAGAUGUCAGAUAGCUCAGGAUAAAAAAUAUGACUUUCAAAAAUCAAAAGAUUUGAUGAAGAAACUUACCUCAAUCACGUAGAAGGAUGUUUGGUGAUGCUAAAAAUGCAAAAAGCCCUAUGAAACAACCUCCAAUUGACCUCCAAUUGAAGAAAUUAGAGUUGAAGAACCCUAAACUUCAAUCCUUCAAAAACUGAAUUUUAGGUGUUUUUCAAGGAUUUUAAUCAGUUAAAAAGGUUGUAUGAAGCUCAAAAGGUGUUUGGUGGAUGUUUUCUAGCAAGAUUAUGGAACAAAAUGGAAGAUUUGUGAGUUGGGUAGAAGAGAAAAGGAAGAAACGCGGCUAGAAAAAUGGAAAAGGGAAGAAAAUGAAGCUGAAAUCGCGUUUCUGAAGGCUAUAUUCAGACACAGCAAACGCGACUAAAAACGCGCCUUCAACUCGCGUUUUUUAAGUCGCGUUUCCUGCACAAAUCUUGCAGGACUUAAAACGCGACUGUGUUGUAAAACGCGACUUAGACUCGCGUUUCAGAAGUCGCGUGUUUGAGUCUUGAUCCAGGCUUGAAAACGCGACUUCCAUUAAAACGCGACUUUAGGUCGCGUUUUGAAGGCGCGUUUUCUUUUCUGCAGGCGCAGAAUUGAAAACGCGAUUCUGAGAAACGCGACUUUGAGUCGCGUUUUCUUGGAAAACGCGUUUUCUGCUUCGAUUUUUAGCAGAAUUUCAACUUUUGAAAAAUUACAAAAGGUACCCCAAUGACUCAAAAUGCAUCAUAGAUCAUUUGUUUGCCAAUUUUAAUGGCUGGAACAAAUGUAAAACAUUAAAAACAUGCAUUUUACCCCUUUAUAAUGAAUCAAAAACACCUUUAACGUAAAUCGAGGGGUUGAGUUGCUUGAUCAAAGUUUGCCCUUUUCACCUCAAAUGGUCAUUCUUGCUUCCAUUUGCCAACCCUAUAACACAAAAACAACAAAUUAACUAAAACACUUAUUUAAGUCUAAAAAUCACAAAAAAUUAACACAAAUAACAUAAACAUUGGGUUGCCUCCCAAUUAGCGCUUUUGUUUAUAGUCGUUGGCUCGACUGAAAGAGUUGAAUCACUUUAGAGCAUUAGGGAGCGAUUUUCUCCCCAUGGGUCGAAACUCCCGAGCCAAUCCACCAUGUGGUGAACCAUGCUUUGAUCUUCAUAGUCCAAUUUCCUCAAAUGCCAAGGAGGAAUAUUAGACUUGUCAUAGAGAGGCUCAACUUCACCUUGGAGUGGAUUUUGCUUGUCUUUUCUGAAUUGGCUCAACUUUUCACCAUUUUCUUCAUGGAAUGGCGAAUUUAUUAAGCCAACUUCCAUCCUUAUCUUCUCCUCCUUUGUUCCUACACCAUGAAAGUUAGUACCAAGGGCAUUUAUAAAUUUAACUUCUUCGGUCCUUUCUUGGUUAACCUUUUCAUCAUAUGGCAUAUUAGAAACAAGAGCAGUAGGCUCUAUACUCCCUUCUUUAUUAUCCAAAUUGAAUUCCAAUUCCUCACCAUUAACCCGUAAUAUAAGCUUACCUUUUUCUACAUCAAUUAUAGUUCGUGCAGUGGCUAAAAACGGUCGUCCUAGAAUAAUUGGCAUUCUCACAUCUUCUUCAAUAUCUAAGACAACAAAAUCCACAGGUAUUAUAGAUUGUCUUACCUUUAUGAGCACAUUUUCCAAAAUACCCGUGGGACGUGUGAUUGACCGAUCCGCCAAUUGCAAUGUAAUAUUGGUAGCUUUUAGCUCUUGAAGUCCCAAUCUCCGGGCAACCGAUAACGGCAUAAGUGACACACUUGCACCUAAAUCACAUAAAGCAUUAGAAAAAUGCAAUUGACCAAUAGUGCAAGGAAUAGAAAAACUUCCCGGAUCUUUCAAUUUAGGAGGGAGUUUAUUCUUAAUCAAUGCACUACACUCUUCCGUUAAUGCUAUCAUCUCAUUAUCUACAAUUUUCCUCUUCUUUGACAUGAUGUCUUUCAAGAAACGUGCAUAAGAGGGAAUCUGUGUUAUAGCAUCAAUGAAAGGAAUGUUAAUGUGCAAUUGUUUAAACAUUUUGAAGAACUUUUCAAACUCCCGAUCCUGUCCAUCUUUCUUCAACCUGUGAGGAAAAGGUAUCACAUUAGAAUUUAAAUGAGAAUUUAAUUUGGGAUGAAGUGCAUCAAUAUCAAUGAUAACAUGAUCAUUUUGACUUUCUUGCUCCCCUUCAAUUGCAUGCAUCUUGUCUUUUUCACCACCUGAAUUUUCAAAAUCGAAUCCCUCAACCGUUUUACCACUUCUAAGAAUGAUUGCAUUGACAUGCUCUCUCGGAUUCACUUCGGUUUUACUUGGUAAUUCACCAGGGUUUCUAUUGUUGAUCACAUUGGCAAUUUGACCAAUUUGAACCUCCAAGUUUCUGUACAUCCCAGCUAAUUGGUCCAACCGCCCCUCAACUCGCUCGAAUCUAUCCGAAGUCACCUUAGCAAGUUUUUCCACCGCGAUCUCCCAACUUGGUUUAGUUUCAGCCUGUGGUUGCCUUGGUUGAAAUCCCGGCGGAUUGGUUGGCCUUUGUUGAUUGCCUUGAUCUUUCCAUCCAAAGUUUGGAUGAUUUCUCCACCCCGGAUUGUAAGUAUUCGAGUAGGGAUUAUUUGGAGCAUUUCGGUUGUAAUUAUUAACAAAUUGUACCUGCUCAGAAUCAACACACUCAUUAAUAUCAUGUUCACCUCCACAGAAAGAGCAACAAGCUACGUGAGCAUUAGAUGAACUUGGGCUAACUCCACCUUGUCUACUUAGCAAUUUCAUCACAUUAUUCAUUUGAGCACUCAGCAUAUUGAGAGUGUCCAUUUCUAUCAUACCUGCGUGACGUCUUGUAUUACCUCUCUCAUUGGCCCAUUGGUAGUUAUUUGCUGCCAUUUCUUCUAUCAAAUUAUGAGUUUCUUGGGGUGAUUUACCCAUUAAAGCUCCACCUGCAGCUGCAUCGAUCAUAGUUUUAGUAGAAAAAGCUAAACCAUUAUAGAAGGUUUGUAUGAUUAACCAUUCCGGCAGUCCAUGAUGUGGACAUUUCCGAAGCAAAUCUCUAAACCUUUCCCAUGCCUCAUCUAAUGAUUCUCCCUCCAAUUGACUAAAACUAGUGAUAUCCAUUCUAAGCUUAGCAGUCUUUCCUGGUGGAAAAUACUUAUUUAAGAAUGCUCUUGAUAAAUCAUCCCAUCCGGUGAAAGUAUUAGGAGCAUGAGAGUGUAGCCAAAGUUUGGCCUUAUCUCUCAAUGAAAAUGGGAACAAUCUUAGCCGUAUAGCAUCAUCACUAACUCCAUUCAUUUUAAUUGUAUCACAAAUUUCCAAAAAUGUAGUUAAGUGUGAAUUAGGAUCUUCUACUGCAUUACCUGCAAAUUGAGAUUGUUGAACCAUCUGGAUAAGUGAUGGUUUAAUCUCAAAAUUGUUAGCAUUUACCGUAGGCCUUACUAUGCUUGUUUGAGAUCCUUGUGUUCCCGGUAGAGUAUAAUCUCGUAAAACUCGCCUAUUUGGGUCAUUUUCGGCCAUCUCUUCCUCAAAUGGUAGAUCUAUUGAGAUUUCCUCUAUAGGUUGCCAAAUCUCUUGUUCCUCUUGCUGUGGUGGAUGCCUCCUUUGUCUACGUAGUGUCCUCUCAAUUUCUGGAUCGAAAGGUGUAACUUCCCGAGACGCCCGGUGCAUACACUACAAACAGAAAUAAGAGAUAUUAUGCAAUUUCAAUUGUCAAAAACUGAUUACAAUAUAAGAUUAAAUAUAAUCUAAAAAAAAUAAAACUGUCUAAAUUAAUAAAGAUGAUUAGGCUCUAAUAUUGCCGCUCCCCGGCAACGGCGCCAAAAACUUGACGGGAUUUUUUUUAUCAAUGCAAGUUUAAUUCCGAAUUUACACCCGUUGGACUGCAAGUAUACAGGUCGCAAUUGUAGUACGAGAUGUGUAUCGGGUCGAUCCCACGAGGAGCAAUUUAAAACAAUUAUUAGAUACUAAUUUACUCUAUUAUUUAGACUCACAAUUAAUUUGAGCAGAAACUUCAGAUUUUAAUUCAACUACAAAAAUUCUUAAAUAGAUAAAUGCAAUUUCACAAUAGGAGUAGAAUUCACUAAAUAUUAAGAUCUAGGGAUGUAGAUUCCACUUAUGACACAAAAGAUCUAAAAUGAAUUAAUUCAACACUUGUUACUGCUCUUGUUUAACCAAGGAUUCAUUUCCAGAAAUACCAAAAUCACAUUCUCAUGAUAAUAAUGGGUUAAAACAGAUUAGUUUUUCCUAAUCUCUUGGUAAAUACUAAAUCUGUUCUUAUUCACACAUGAAAUGCAGAUUUCAUCCACUUGAAUGUAUUUCUAUUCUCAUGAAUAUACUACUCAAGCUCUACUUAUGUCAUUCCAUUAUUUUUACCAUUUCUCAAUGAGUAAAAACAACUAUAAACCUGCUAUUGGUGAUCAAGCAACUACAAGUAAUCCAACAUACACAAGUAGAUAAGUUAAUACAAGACAUAACAAGCAUAAAUCACAAUCACUUCAUAUCAUUUGGCCAUAAGCUUCAUCUACUCCCUAGAUAAAGGAAAUUAGCUACUCAUGAAUGAUGAAACACUCAUAACUUCAUUAAUGCAAAUCAUCAUGAAUUUACAAAUACAAAAAGAGUAAAGAAAGUCUUAGCCAAGAUAUGGUGAAGCCUUCCAAAAAUCUCCUUGUCUUGAACUUAGAUGAUUACAAGAUGAAACCUCAAUUGUCCUUUGCAAGUACCUAGCUAGAGAGACUAUGUUUUUCUGUAAGAAGCUAAGCUACGAAUGGAUCUCCAGACCUCUCCCCAUAUUUCUGCAUAAAAAGUACUCAAAGGCUCCAUUUUUCCAAGUCAAAUUCUAUCCUUUGAUUCCCAAAUCUCCACUUUGUUAGCAUAGUCAAAAACCAAUAUUUUUGACUUGAAAAUAAGCCACUUUUCUUGCCCUUUUGUCUUCUGAAGCAUGUGCACCGAAUUCCCUUGCAUCUUAUAGCUGGAAAGUGGUGUGAACACAAGAGAAUUGGCUGAGUCAAAUUGCAGAAUUUCGGCUAUAAAACGCGCCUAAACAAAACGCGGCAUAACUCGCGUUUUGUCUACUCGCGUUUUCACUCUGGCCUUAUUUCAACUGAGAUUUUCUCAUUGAUAAAGGCCAAACUAGCUUUUGUGCAAAACACAAAAGUUGUAGCCCUUUGUGUUAGCUUUCCAAUGCUUCAAGAAUCAUCCAAAUCGGAGCUUUGUAGCCUGAGAUAUGAUCAAAAUACUGUCACCUGUUCAAACCUCUGUUUUAACUUCCGACCACAGAAUGCAGCUUCUGUAUUCCAACGUUUUGCCCAUGAAGAUGGCAGAAAUGGAUUUCGAUGUCUUCAUACGAAUUGUAGGUCUCUUUCUUAGCUUUAAAAUGGUAUAAAGAUCACCUCAAUCCGAUAAGUGUAGCUCUAGAUAUGGUCAAAAUACUGAAGAGUGUCAAAACUGACUUGUAUUGCAUUUCUUCACUUGAACGUUUUUCACUUCAUUUUUCUUUUCACCACUUAAAUUCAUCACCAAAUCUCUAUUUUUCACCUCAUUUGCCAUCCUUUGGUGAUUGAGUCAUCAUUCCUGCAUAAAAAUGAAGGUUUUACCAUUAAAAUCACUAAAAAUACAAUAUUAUCCACUUUUACCAAAAAUAUAUAAUUUUACCAAAAACCUUUUUAUUUUAAUUAUAAAACUAAAUAAUCAACUCAAAAUUAACUAAUAAAAUGCACUUAAAAAUACGUAAAAUAAACUCUUAUCAGUUGAGUACGGAAUAGUUCUAGGUCAUGUCGUAUCAUCUAAGGGUAUGAAAGUUGAUAAGGCAAAAAUAGACCUUAUAUCUUGCUUACCAUACCCACUAAUCUGCGAAAAGUGUGUUCCUUUUUGGGACAUGUAGGUUUUUAUUGGAGAUUCAUCAAGGACUUCUAAAAAAUUGGAACACCAUUGUUUAGACUCUUGCAAAAGGACGUAACAUUUAAUUUUGAUGAGAAAUGCAAGAAGGCGUUUGAUUGUUUAAAGGAGUUUGUUGAUUUCCCCACCUAUCAUCAUAUAACAUCCAGACUGGAAUCUCCCAUUCGAGAUCAUGUAUAAGGCAAGUGACAGUGCAAUAGGGGCGGUACUGGGCCAAAGGAUCGGAAAGGCUGCACAUGCAAUCUAUUAUGCAUCUAAGGCCUUGAAUGGAACUCAACUCAAUUAUACAAUCACAGAAAAUGAGUUUUUAGCAGUUAUUUUUGCUUUAGAAAAAUUUCGUUCUUAUUUAUUAGAAGAUAAAGUGAUUGUGUAUUCUGACUAUACAGCGCUAUGGCACUUGAUGACCAAGAAAGAUGUUAAACCAAGGUUGAUAAGAUGGAUUUUGCUUUUAUAUGGGUUCAAUUUGAAAAUCCGUGAUAAAAAGGGAGGAGAGAAUUUAGUUGCCGAUCAUUUUAGUCGAUUGCCAAUUGUUAAGGAUGAUUUUAUAUUGACGAAAACUUUUCCUAAUGAACAACCAUUUUCUGCUAAUCCCUCUCUUCCUUAGUAUGCAGAUAUUAUUAAUUUCUUGACCACUAAUCAAUUGCUUGCAUAUUGGUCGAAAACAAAAUGAGAUAAGCUCAAAUGUGAUCCUAAGUAUUACUUAUGGGAUGACCCCUAUUUAUAGAGGCAAUAUGCAGAUCAAGUACUGCGUAGAUGUGUAAUUGAGAGUGAAUUUAAUUUUGUUUUAACAUUUUAUCACUCUUACGCAUGUGGAGACCAAUUUAGACUGCAAAAAUAGCUCGUAAAGUAUUGGAAAGCGAUUUUUAUUGGCCUACAAUUUUCAAAGAUACAUACUUGUUUUGUAAGUCAUGUGAUAGUUAUCAAAGGGUAGGAAAUAUUUCUCAUAGAAACUAGAUACUACGAACCCCUAUGAUUUUUUGUGAAAUUUUUGAUGCAUGGGGUAUUGAUUUUAUGGGUCCAUUUCCUUUGUCUUUUGGUUUCCUUUACAUUUUGUUGGCCGUAGAUUAUGUGUCGAAGUAAAUGAAAACAAAAACCACCCGAACUAAUGAUUCUAAAGUGGUUGAGAUUAUGUAAUUGAGAGUGAAUUUAAUUUUGUUUUAACAUUUUAUCACUCUUACGCAUGUGGAGACCAAUUUAGACUGCAAAAAUAGCUCGUAAAGUAUUGGAAAGCGGUUUUUAUUGGCCUACAAUUUUCAAAGAUACAUACUUGUUUUGUAAGUCAUGUGAUAGAUAUCAAAGGGUAGGAAAUAUUUCUCAUAGAAACUAGAUACUACGAACCCCUAUGAUUUUUUGUGAAAUUUUUGAUGCAUGGGGUGUUGAUUUUAUGGGUCCAUUUCCUUUGUCUUUUGGUUUCCUUUACAUUUUGUUGGCCGUAGAUUAUGUGUCGAAGUAAAUGAAACUAAAAACCACCCGAACUAAUGAUUCUAAAGUGGUUGCAUAUUUCAUUCAAUCACAUAUUUUUGUUCGUUUUGGGGUACCACGAAUUAUAGUAAGUGAUUGAGAAAAACAGUUUUGCAAUAAAAUGUUGGCGGCUCUAUUUCGUAAAUAUGGAGUGACUCAUAAGGUAUUUACAUCCUAUCACCCCAAACGAAUGGUCAUGUGAAAAUUUCAAAUAGGGAAAUUAAAUAUAUAUUGGAGAAGAUGGUUCGUCCCGAUAGGAAUGAUUGGAGUUCAUAAUUGAACGAUGUACUUUGGAUUUAUAGGACAGCCUAUAAAACUCCUAUAAGUAUAUCUCCCUAUAGGUUGGUAUUUGAGAAGCCGUGUCAUUUAUCGGUUGAGCUCGAGCACAAAGCAUAUUGGGGGAUCAUGAAAUGCAACAUGGAUCUUGAUGAUGUUGAAAUGCAUAGAAAACUCCAAUUACAAGAAUUGAAAGAGUUGAAGAAUGAUACUUACGAGAAUGCAACACUAUAUAAAGAGAAGAUUAAGGUUUUUCAUGACCAAUAAGUUGCAAGGAAAUCAUUUAUAGUUGGGCAAAGAGUUCUUCUCUAUCAAUCUUGUCUAAAGCUCUUUCUAGGUAAGUUGCGCUCUCGUUGGGUUAGUCUAUUUGUUGUGAUUAAUAUUUUUCACUAUGGUGCUGUGGAAAUUCAGAGUAUGCAGACAGAUAAGAAAUUUGUGGUUAAUGGCCAUCAUUUUAAACCCUAUUAUGAAAGUGUUUCAAUGGAGAAUGUGGAGAUAAUAAAUCUUGAAGAUCCCUCUUAUGCUGCUUGAGCAAUAUUCGACCAUGUCUAACCAAAGACGUUAAAAAAAGAUGCUUAUUGGGAGGCAAUCAAAUUCUUUUUUUAUUGUUUGUUCACUAAUAUUAUGUGUUUCACUAUGUUUAUCUUAGGUAAUGCACAAAUAUCCAAUUCCAUCAUCAAAAAAUUAUGGACCAACAUGACUUGCCCAUGUCUUGAGGGUAUGUUGUAACUCAUAAUUAGCCAACUUUAUCAUCAAAAGAGUUUCAACCAAUAAGACGUGCCCACGUCUUGUCCUAGCAAAGGAAAAAAAACAAAUUGAACCCAAAAGAAUUUUCUUUUUCCUUUUUUUCUAUUCUUUCCUUUGCCUUUUCCCUUUUCUAUUUCUUUUCCUUUCCUUCUUUCUUUCUUUCUUCUUUCUUUAUUUCGCUUUUUCGUUUCCCCAGCCGCAUGGCCAAAACUCUAUUUGCUGCUUGCCCACAAUUCAUCUCCCACCAUCCACUGUUGUUGCCGUUCGCUAGUUUGUCUCUACUACCAUUGUUGUCGUCGCCAUUUGUCGAAGCCUAUCGCUGGUUUCGCAGUCGCCCGUCUCUAGUUUUGCCGUCGCUUGCUACUGUGCCAUUCACCGCUGCUCGCGUUGCCAUGAACGUCCAUCCUCUGCCAAUGACAGCCAUCGCUUCGCACUUUCUCUGUUGCCUUGUUUCUACUGACCCAAUUUUUGGUAUUCUUGUCCUUCUCUUUUAAAUAUUGUUGGGUUGCUACUUUGGAGUUUAUUAGAAUUUCUUUUUGCAGAGUUGAUUUAAUUUGUUGAUUGGGUAUUCCUUGAAUUGUUGGAUUGGCACUACCUGACAUCUGCUUGUUUUCUGAUGAUGACCACUAACUUGCACUACUAUUUUGCAUCCAUGGGGAUUUAAUGCUGAUUGGAGGUUAUAAACUGUGGUGAAAUUUCCGCUACUUACUUGUCAAUUGCUGAUUGUUGAUAUUGAUAGGGGGUAUUGUUCUUACAUUUCUAGUUUUGUUAUUAAAUAGUGUCACAUCUCUGGGCUCUUUACUGUACACUUUGAUUUGAGAUUGCUUGGCUAUCUUUAGUCGUUUGGCAUACAUUAGAGGCUUGUAUUUCGCCAUUGUCUGACGUUGUUUACUGCUAUUUUUGGAUUCAGUUAUCUAAAUGGCUAAGAAAAAAAAGACCCCUAUGACUAAAACCACUCCCUCAUCCCAACAAACUAUACCCACGACUGACCCUUCUCCGUUCUUCUUUUUCGAGUAAAUGGGCAUGCUUAGGUAGCUACAACGAGGUCCAUAUCUCCUCACUCUCCCACUUUGCGGGUAAUUUGACUCUCACCAAAGCCUUCAAUAAGCAAAGAUACUAUAAUUAUUAUGAGUGGCGAAUUAUUCCUUGUAAACAUCUUGACCCUCCCAUCAUGGUUUCUUUGAAUUUCUUUGAGAAUAUUGCACAGAUGUUUAUAGCCAUAGGUUGGCGUUCUUAUGCCGAAAUACGAUGUCCUGCUUUUGUUGAAUUGGUUAGGGAGUUUUACGCCACCUUUGAGUUUGAUCUAUCCAUGGGGUAUUCUGUCACAACCCCGAAUGUGAUUUGAUUUCGAUUGAUAGGUUGGGAGUUUAAGUUCUCCAUUACCUAGUUUAAUUUGGCUUGUGGGUUCAUCGAUAGUGAGUAUGCCAAUUUCAGGGAAUAUGCCGAAAGUGCUUGUGAUUAUAUCGACCCAUUUUUCUCUUUUCACACCGAGAUUUGAAAGGAUGUUUCUAUUGAUGGUGAUUGUUAUAAUCCUAGCCGGUCCAAGAGCUGUUAUCUCAAGGACCUGAGUUCCUGUUAUAUUUUGCACUUUUUAGCCUAUAAUUACUCAGGUAGGAAAGAUAGUUCCGAGACUUUUCUAAGCCUAAAUUUUUCUUUAUUUGGUGUAUGACUAAAAAUAUCAAAGUUAAUUUGGGCUAUUGGCUAGUUUCCCAAUUCAAGACGGUUAUGGUUAAGAAAAACAAACCUUUGAUUCUUGGGUCUUACAUCACACAUUUAGCUAUUCAUUUAGACAUUCUUGAUCCCUAUGACCAAGAUUUACAUUUGGCUUGUAACAUGGACCCUUUAGCUAUGGUUUGUCUAGAGAAAAUGGGUGUAGUGGAACAGGUUGAUGACGCGUGGUAGUUUACUCUUUCGGGGCCCACUUGUGUACUCGUUCGUCGUCCUUCCACGUGUGCUAGUACCUCUUCUACUUCCUGAGUAGCCGAUGGCAAGCUUGGACCAUCUACCUCCGCACCUUCUCCAUUGUCGUCUUGGGAUGCUGAGUGGCGAUACCUUUGUGCACAAGUUCACCAUAUGGAUGAACAGUUGACUAAUCUUGCACUUCACAUGUCCCAGAUAUCCUAGACUUUUGCGGCUUACUUCCACUAUGUGGGUUUUAUGCUGCCAUUCCCGCCUCAUACAUAGCUGUCCGGAGUCCUUCUCCACUUUCUUCGGGAAAGUUUCGUUGUCCCAUUCCUUUUCUUUUCUUUGUUUCUUCCAUUCGGGACAAUAUCAGAUUUAGGUGGAGGGGGAGUUGUACAGUUGGUACUGUUCAUUUUAGGUGUUUUCAUUUUCUUUUUGUUAUUUGUGAGUAUUUUUAUGGAUAUUUGGGAUCGACAAUGGUUAGUUGAUUCCAAUUUUUCUAUUACCAAGUUUUAUUUAUAAGAAUGUAUCAAAUGCAAUAUGGGUAAGUCUAAGAAUGGGUCCUUGGUAAAUAUUUGAGAUUUUGUGACUUUUGCAAUUUUUGAUUAGCUUUUCUAGGCAUUGUGCAUAUUUUUAUAGUAUUUUUCAUGUAAAUUGGUUCGAUUAUUAAUCUUAGUUCUCCAUGUUUGAGGAAAUGAUGCAACCUUGUGUGAUUUUUAACAUUGUUUUGUUGCUAAUUUGUGAAUAGUGUUUGGCUAUAUUCCGGUGGUUAUCGCUACCUAGUAACCGGGAGUCUUCACCUAACGUAUCGACUUUCGUGUCAAACUGUAGCGCUAGCUAUGAGUAUGUGGCCCUUUAAAUGAUGAAAAGUUGAGUAACCGGAUUCCUUCUUUUGGUAGAUGUCAGAAUUUACAUCAAAAGACUUGAAUGGCCAAGGACUAAAUCUUGUCCCUGAAAACUGAACAAAAAAAAAAAGAAAAAAAAAGAGAAAAACAAAAAAAAAAAAAAAAAAAACUGUGCAAGUAUAGAGUUGAUUAUGUUAGCCUAUCGACCCAUGGGUUUGAUAUUGAGAUUUUGAUUAAAAGUUGAGUCAUUUGCUGAUCAAUGCUAGUCAAAUGUUUAAUCUUCUUAGAUUAGUUAGUCAGGAAUUGGAGAAGUCCUUGGUUUUAAAAGCUAACCGAAGAGUUAUUUCUUGGAACUUGGCUAUCAAUGCUUGAUGUCUACUUUGAUGAUAUUUUGACAAUAGAUGAGUUGAGUGAUAACCAUUGUUGGGAUUCAGUUACUGAUUUGUUGUUUCUCAUACUUGAGAACAAGUAUGUUCUAGGUGUGGGGGGAAAUUGAUAGGGUGCAAAAUCGUUAUUCAAUUUAUGAUUAGUUUUCCCUUUUAUUUUAGCCAAAUAUUGUUUUAAUUGUCGGAUUCUAUUUAUAUUUGGUAUUUGAUGAUAUUAUAGGGCGGUGGAGCGAAAGUUGCUAAAAAGGGACGAUUUUCUUCAAAGUUGAUUGUCAAGUGCGGAGAUGCGGGAUUUGCACGUAAGAGUUUCCUAAUCCAAGAUGGAGUCUGAGCAGAGUAGCGACUUGAGAUUAAGAAAGUUUUUCUUCUAGAGAUUUGAUUUAAUUAGGAAACAAUUAGCCUUAUCUUUUGGAAGUGGUUCCUUUUUCAAUUAGAAGUAGUUUUAUUCUUGAAAGCAAGAAAAUAGGGGAAGGGCCGUUUGACUUUUAGUACUUGACAAAAAACAAGACUUGGGAGACGAGAAUUUUUUGGGAGCGCUGGUGACUAGUCUCGCGGGGAGGAAAAGAACAAAGAUGCUGUCCUCUUUGUCAUUGCUUUUACUCUCAUUUUCUAUUUUAUUGGAUGCUUAUGCAAUUUACUUCAAUUAAAUUGUGUUGCUUGAUGCCGAUGAUGUGCAACUAAAAUUUGCUUUUCUAGCCAAGAAAUAACGUGAAUUUGGGUCAUCAACAACUAUGAGAUCAAACUGUUUUUAUUAAUUUCUUUUAUUCAUUAGUAUUCGUAUGUUUUCGAGUUUAAUUGGUUAUAGGUGUUAGUUGUUUGAAUAUCAAAGGCGUUUAAUAUUUAAUUCAACCUAACAAACUAUUGCCAUUUUAAACAGUUAAAUUCGUAAUUGUUUAAUUAUUUUAAAUUAGUAGCGACUAGCGUGAUUGGCUUUACGUUAGGGAGACAUAUGAUUUAAUUUAAAUAAACCCUGAUAAUGUGUUUAUUGAUUAGAACAGGACUUUUCUAAUUUCUAAUGCAAUUAAAGAAUUAAAUUUUAUGGACGUACCUAGGGUUAUUUUUUGGCUAGAAAAGUAGAUAACGAGUGUACCUUAACUAUUGAGAUACUAAGGAAGAGCUGGUUGUCAUCACAUGUUUGGCAACUAUAACCUAUUUAUUAACCAUAAAUGAAAUAAUUCUUACAUCGAUGAGCAGUUGUUUGACCCGUUUCCGGAGUUAUUUCCUUGGUUAGAGCUCGUUUAUCCUUGAUUUAAAUUUAAUCUGUUUUAGUUUAAUUAUUUUCAAUUUGCAUUGAUUAUUUAUUUUUAAUUGUAAUUUUCCAAACUCCCCCCAAUUCAUUGUCACUUGAAAGUAGCAAAUUUUCAUUCGAAACCUUGAGUUUAUAUCUUUUUGAGUAGGAAUUUAUUUUUACACAAGCCUGACACCUGUCAAUUAACACAAGGUUUCGAGCAAUGCACAGUUUCUUUUGUAUCUAGAAUGGCUAAUGUAGCAAGUCAUAUGCUAGCACAUUUUGCAACAUACCUAGUUUAUGAUAUAAAAUGGGUAAAUGAUUUCCCAAUUCGACUCAUAGAAGCAGCUAGGAAGGAUGAGUGGGUGAAUGUCCCCUUUUGUAAUUAACUCUUGUACUUAAAGUGUUAAUAUAUAUACUGAUAUUAUCAUUUGUUGGAAAAAAGAGAAAGUGUUUAUUUGUUUAAUAAAAUGGUCACGAUAGUGUUUAUAUAAUUUUGUAAACUUUGGAAAGUAAAUUACCUCGUUGAAUUUGUAUAAUUUGAUUAUGUUGAAGAAACAUAAUCUUGAAAAAGCAGAGAAAUUUUCUAGUAAAUAUUUAUUUUAUUUUGAUAGCUAAUCAUUGUUCAUAUCAAUAUACUAGCUAUAAAGUUAUACUCGCAAUACUACUGCUACGGUAUAAAAUUUCUUGUCAGAGCAAUUUAUAAUUUCAUCCCAUUUUUACCCUUGACUGUUAACCUCAAGUUCUUCAGAUAUCCAUGGGACAGUGUAACCCCUUUGAAGGUCAAUUCUUACACCCUCAUCAAAGUUUCUGGAGUUGCGUAUUAUAGGGGUGCAAACACAAAAACGAGACAUCCUUAAUCAAAUGGAGUUCCUUCUUUUUGCGAUUCAUUCCUCUGCAAAGCUCCUCCUCCUCCGAUUUUAAUAUAUGCCGCUGUUAAAAUAGGAUACUAAUUAGGUGAAUACGAGGACUCUCGUUCGACUCUCGAUCUUUCCUCUCAAAUUACACUAAUAUUUUUAAUCAUACACUCAUCCCCUUACUAACUUCCUAUGGGCCCAAUAUGUUGAGUAGAAUUCGAUUGGAACAACCGAAAAGAAAAGAAAAGAAAACAAAUACAAAACAAUGAAAUGGACACUUAGUCAAGUUGGAACCUAGGAGGAAGUGAGGAGCACAAGUGCGAACAGAUCACCAAGGAAAAAGAAACAAAUUUUUCGAGAAUGCUAUUUGAUUUCAAGCUCAAUCAUAUUCUAAGAGUCAAUGAUAAGAUCGAAAAAUGUAGGUCCAUUGUUAAGAUAUAGACGGAGAUGGUUGCUUAUUGAGCGUUGGAAAUAUUUCAUAAGCAAGUUGUACUUAUAUCUCAACUUGUAUUAAUAAGAUUAAGUUAAUGACCAUGUCAAUGAUCUCUGCGUCGUGCAUGACAUUCUUUUUUCUUGUGCUCUCCCAAAAGCUGAAAAUGGCUGGUGAUAAGCAAGUUGUACUUAUAUCUCAACUUGUAUAAUUUUAAUUUAAUAAGAUUAAGUUAAUGACGUCAAUGAUCUCUGCCUCGUGCAUGACAUUCUCUUUUCUUGUACUCUCCCAAAAGCCUCUUCCAGCAGUGGCUGCAUGUCUGUACAUGUUCCCCCACAACAAGAAUAAUGAAUCAAUGGCAUAAUUGCACGCAUAAUUAAAUUUUCUGGAGCUGCGUGAUAAAUUGCAAUAGUUUUUGAUUUUUUCUGUUUCCGGUUCCCAACUCUAGCUAACUUCUAGAUUUAUUAAUUGGAAAAGAAGAAGAAGGAAUAAAUUAAACCUUAUUAAUUACUUUUUUAGUCAGGAUAUCUAUAGUAGAUGUAAUUAUCUCUAUAGAAAUGAAUGAAGCAUCCUAGCUUAUGAUCAUUAUCCUCUGUUGCAAUUCUCUUGUUCAAACUUCAAAUUAAGCUCUUGUUUGCUAACCCAAUUCAGCACUUAAAUUUAAUGGAUUCAGAUUUUAACAUAUUCAGAUGCGUUUGAUAACCAAAAAUUGAAUAUCUGAAUUAAUUAAGUGAUACUAAAUUUUUUAGGCAAAACUUACCCCUAAAAAAGAGCGAUAAGUUAUUCACUUAUCACUUAAUGUGAUAUACACUCAAAUAUAUCAGAUUUAAUACUUAUAAUAACUUAAUGAAUUCAGAAUUCAAAUUUCAGAUUUCAAUUUUAUCAAACGCACCCUAUCUCACCGCAAACUGAAUAUGAAAUCCAAAGUUGAAAAUCCAAGAUGUUAGAACUUUGAAACCAUAGAGCCUUUAGGCAAAUUCAGCAUUUUUACAUUCUAUUGAUUUAGGGCAUCUUCAAUUAUCAGUUUCAACUCCAUGGUAUAAUAUAGAUAUUACCUCUAAUAGUUGUACGCACUUACACAACAAAUACAGAUUGUGAAAUUAAUUGUAUAAGUUUGAUAUUUUGUAGGCUUUGGGAUAUAAUUUUCACGUUUAGGAAAAAGAAAAUAUGUUAGUAAGUAAUAUUGUGAUACCCCUUGUCCCACGUUGGAAGUGGGAGAGGAAAAGGAUUGAUAUAUAUGCAAGAUUUGGUCUUAUAAGUUACUAGUUACUUGGGCUAACCAUGUCGGGAAAGUGUUUUUCGACACAAAAAUUACUUAGGCCAACCAUGGGCUUGGAUGGUGAUAAAUAACUUACUAGAAGCCAGGCAUAUUUGUGUUUAGAUGUCCAGAAAGCAGAGUAGUUCAGAAUUUAGAUAAUGGUAACGAUAUGAUGAGAAUGUGAAGUUAUUUGGUAAACUUUAUAGAUUAAUAAUUUCAUCAAGGCAUCGUAUAUAACCAUGAUGACACAAUCUCAACUUUCAUUCUUUUGUUAAAUCUUAGUUUUUUUUUCUCUUAAAUUCUUUCGAAUAAAGGAAGGAUAGAAUUUAAGCAGUAGAGGGGUGGAAGGGGAAUUUGAAUUCAAAACCUCUAAUUUCUAAGUUUUUCACUAAGCAAUCAUCAAAACCAAAAAAAAAAAAAUUAAAAGUAAAAAAAAAUUAGCACCUUAUGGUCAAUGCUCCUGUUCGAAGAUUUAUUCCUUUGGUUUAUCAUCAUCUCCCUCUAUGAAAUCUAAGUACCCUUGGUUGACAAUUUGUUUCCCUGAGCAUCCAUCAACACUUUUAUAUAGUAUUUUUUUUAAUAUAGUAUUAGAUUAGAUUAGAUUAGAUUAUCAAUGCACCAUCAAUAUAGUAUUAGAUUAUCAAUGCACCAUCAAAACACUUUUAUAUAGUAUUAGAUUAGAUUAGAUUAUCAAUGCACCAUCAAUAUCCUUAAAUAUAAAAGCUUAGGUAUAGUAAUCUGUAUGAUUAUUUUUUAUCUUUUAAUGUUUUAGUUUUAGGAAGAUCACAAAUGCUGCGUAUAAAGCAUGCCAUAGGCUAAAUUAAGCUAAAUUAAGUACAUUGCUAAAAUGGAGAGCAUUGCUAAAUUAAGUACUUUAAGAUAAAGACUUAAGCAGCCAGAUACAUUUGAUGUCAGCUGCUUCAAUAUCCACCUCAAAAUAAAUUAGCCUUUGUUCUAGAUUUAGGUUAAUGCUAAGUCCCUUCACCAUUCUUAGUAAUAAUUCAAUUCUGCCUCAAUUUUCUUCUGAUCUUCAAGGUAAAUGUACGAUAAAUUUCAAAAUAUAUCCCAAAUAUAUGAAUUUCUUGAAACCAUCCUUCAAUCUCAUUACCUACUCAACAAAAUGUUCCAUAAACACAAAUAUAUUAAUGAAUUUGGAGUUGAUUCGAAGCAUUGACGAGAACAACAGGGCUCCUUAGAUUUAACAAUUUCAAAUAACCCCAAGCUCGAAUUUUUCAUAUAUUCAAACAAGAAAUUGGAAAAAUCUGACUAGCUUGCAACGAGUACUACAUCUCAAGACAAGGGAUCUUUUCAGUCAACUCUUUUAUUGUAUCGAAAACCUACUUGCAUCUAUGAAUAAGCAAUACUGAGUGAUGAUAUUUUUAAGGGCAGUCCAAUUCACUCAAUACAAAAAAUAUUUUUAAAUGAUGAUAUUCACAGAACGUCUAUCUUACUUAAACAAACAAUAAAAAGGAGAUUGAUUGAGAAAUGGCCACAUUAUCUUAUCAUUCUUAAUUAUCAUUAGUUCAAUUAUCAACUUUAGCAGUACGGAGACUUGUACAAGGCUGCAAGUUGUACAAGGACAAUAAAUUCUUUAUUCCUGCGUCCGGAGACUUGAGACGUGGACGCUUCAUUAGUCAAUAAUAAUAAAGUGUGGACUUCGACGACUAUUCUUAGCUCGUUCAAGGAAACAGAGAAAAGACGCUCUUGUACAAGCAACAGGCACAGCUACUUAAACUAUUGGAUAAUUUCAUAGACCUUUCCUGAAGUUUUGGACAAUUUCAGCUAGUACCCCUCUUAUUUUCAAUAUUACGCUGACCACUCUUACUUUAACUAGUGUUGUGACCAAUUCAGCCCAUAUAGGUAAAAGAAAUGGAAUAAAUUGACAAGAAAUGGUGUCAUCACAUUUUAUUCCACAUUUACCCUUGUAGACCCUAAAAGAAAUAUUGUAACAUAGGACAAACUUCACUUUGUCCCUCCGAAGUUGAAUCACUUUUCUAUUCUAUACACUGAACUUCAAUUUUGGAUGCUUUGCAUGUGGUUGGAGGCAAAAGCAUAGCAGAGCCCUUUUUGAGUCUCUGAUCGUUAUUAUCACAUGACCGUUGCUAAUUAUACUAUUGCUUUUGAAUGGAAAUAGCAUAAAAGUCUUAGUGAAUGAACAAAUUGAAUAGACCAUUUUGCAGAGCUGUGAGAUAUUCCAAAGCCGUGAAGCACAGUGAUAAGCUACAAAUUAUAGUGGUUUAUAUUUAUUAAUUGUCAAUGAAUGGUUGUAUUUGAGCUAUAAUUUGAAUGGAUGUUGCCUAAUUUAAGUAUAUGUUGGUUUUUGUGGGAAAAGCACGCGAUUGAGGAGGAAAUGAAUCGAAAACGCAACAAAAGGGGAAGAAACGUUGGGUUGCCAAGACACAAGGAUCCGCGGGUGGAUCCUAUGUCCAACGCCAAACAUUGAAAGGGACUUUGCGAGGACUUCUUCUAGUUCUAAUGAUUGGAAAACCCACUCAAACUCGAUUUUUGGCAAGUUUUCAAGACCCAUUCUUACCAUAUUUCGGAUACAACUUUGAGAGACUAUAAAUAGGACAUUCUAGGAUAUUUUUAGAUUAGAAAGCAUUUGGCUAACGUUAGUUCAUCAUUUUUAUAUCUUCUUUUCUUGAGAGAUCACAAUGGAAUUGUUGAAGAAUCAAAGGAAGUUCAAGAUGGAGAUUGGAGCGGGGAAAAAUUAAGAAGUUUUCUUUACUUUUAACUUCUUAUUUUGUCUUUCAUUUGAAUUCUUGGAUUUAUCUAUGAAUAUGUUGAACUCAUUUAUAUCUAAAGUUAGGAUUUUGUGAAGGAGAUUUAAUUAUUUGUUCUAGAUAAAUUAUUCGCUUUUGCUUAGAUUUAUUUAUCUUGCCUUUAUUACAUGUUUAUGUUUUGCCACUAUAGAUAUGCUUUUAGGAUUUGUAUUGAGUUGAGAAGCGAUAUACAACCGUACAUUAGAUAGAUAAACAUACUUAGUAUAAUCAUGAAAGUAGGUUAAACAUUGUAUGGCAUAAUUAUAUCACCUAAGAUUUUAAAAGAUUUAAUUAAAUACUUAUAAUCUCAAGAGCAUCGUGAGAUUUAUUAGACAAAUUUAGAAGUAUCAAGAGAUAAUCUAAAGUACUUUUACGUGAUACGUCUUUGACUUGUUAAGAAAAUAAUUGGAUAUAUAAUUCCAAUUCUGAAUCAAAUUUUGAAACUUUGUUUUUUGCUAAUUGUUUUCUCACCUAUAUCUUGUUUGAUUUGAUUAUUUGUUUAAUUUCUUAAUUAGUGAUUAAAAACCCUCUGAAUUUAAAUUUUGCUAUUUUUAUUAGAGGAAUUAAAGUAUGAAAAAUUAACUCACUGCUGCAGGUUCGACCCUACAGUACUUCAAGGGAAUUAUUAUUACGAUCGACCCUGUACAGUUAUAGAAAUUCAUCGAUCACACAGCAACUAAAAAAAUUUAAUGCACAACAAUGUCAUGAGCAGAAACAGUUUCCAUCUUAGCUGUUCAUCAUUCACGGUGGAUUUCAAUUAGUGGUCAACAAAUAAAGGCAUCGAAAAAAGUAAUCCAACUAGAUAAGUGAAUUUAUACUACAACAUAUUUCUUUUUUCUACCGCAAAAACUUAACUAAUUUACGACAAUGUAGUCCAAGCUAAUUGAAGAUUAAUUUUCCCUAAAAAAUGUUCAUGAUAAAAACUCAACAAAGAGAUAAUACAACAGCUUACUUUUGGAGAUGAUCUUAUACGGUCUUUAUUAACAAACCAAUAGAACUAGUUAGGAAAGAUAUGGGGGUAGUUACCCCGUUUUGUAAUUAACUCUUGUAAUUUCAAGUGUUAAUAUAUAUAAAAUUGGUAUCGUUUGUUGGAAAAAAAAUUUAUUUUAUUUUUUCUUUUAUUUAUUGGUAUUCGCAUAUUCUUUGAUUUCAGUACAUAUAGUUAUUUAAUUAAUUGAUUGUCUUGGAUCCAGAUAAUUAGUUAAUUUGGUAAUCUAUUGUCAAUUAGAGCAUUAAAUCCGUAAUUGUUUAAUUGCCUUGAUAUAGUGACAACUGACAUGAUUGGCUUUGUGUCAAGGAAAUACGCGGGCUAAUAUAAAUAACCCUGGUAGUGUAUUAUUUGGUUAGAAUAGGGCUCCUCUAAAUGUAAGGCAAUUGGGGAAUUAAAUCUUACGGGCGUACCUAGGAUUAUUUUCCAUUAGGGCAGUGAUUAACGGGCGUACCUUAAUUACCGACACAGUAAGGAGGGAUUAACUGUCAUCGCUUGUUUGAUAGUUAUAACCUAUUUAUUAGUAAAUAAUUGGAAUUAGCUUUGCAUCGAUGAUCAAUUAGGUGAACCAUUGCUGAAGUUAUUUCUUGGCUAGAUUCUUAAUUAUCACUCAUUUGAUUUUAGUAGAUUGUUAUUUAAUUUUUAGUAGCUUCUUAGAUUUUCUUUGUUUGUCAUCUUCUGCACAAAAACACCCCCUGGUUACUGUAAAUUUGAAAAGAAAUAGUUACAUCCAAUUCCUGUAAAUUCAACCCUACUUACCACUAUUUACAAAAAUUAACUUUAGUUGAGCAAGUUUUUAUUAUUGCACAGGCCUGACAACCUGUCAAUUUUUGGCGCCGUUGUCGGGGACUGGUGCCAGAUUAAUUUGUUUCUUUUUGAGUUCAUCUUUUUUUUAUUUUUUAUUUAUUUUUCUCUUAUUUUUUAUAUAGUUUAUGACUGCUAACAUUCCGUAUUUUGAUGAUAGACUGGACUUUAUUCCUGAUUGGAGUUAUGAGACACAUGUUUUUCCUAAUGAUGAAUUGGCUGCUGCAAAUUAUGAAACUUAUUUUGCCUUAGCUUAUUCAACCGACACAUGCCUCGCAUUUCAAGAUUACCUAAGUGUUCCAACAGAUACUUUUAGAGAUUUUUCACCUCGAUUUCAAACGUGGUAUGAUCUUUAUUCAAACAAGUAUGAUCAAGGAUGGUGAAAAAAUUUCAAUUUUAAUUAUGUGACCGGACCAAUGAAUUUUCAACAGCAAGAGUCUCAACAACCAUCAUCCGUGUCAGGUAUGUCUUUUGAAAAAAUGAUUAAAUUACUAGCCGCUAAUACAUAUCGAACUCAGCAGGAGACACAAGCGAUGGCGGAUCAAGUGCAACUAUUGAUAUCCGGGAUGGCAGAUCAAAUACAUCUAUUGACAUCAAGAUAACGCGAUUAGCUUCUCACCUUGAAAAAUUACCCUCACAAAUCAAUAUCAACCUUGAAGAAGAUGAGAGUGCAAUUAUCCGGCCAAAUGACAUGGAACUGCAAGAGUUUCACGGAAACGGAUCUAAAGAUGCAGUUGAAAAGGAAGCUGAAGUGCAAGAAAUGUGGCCCCAGUAUCAACUCGUCCAAGUGAAUGAAUCCAGUGAAUAAUCUCCAAAUGCGGUGACAUCUCCUCCAGUCCUUAAUCAAUAUUCUCCUGACUCUUAUUUUCAAUUCCUUUUAAUGAAAUUGACUUUAUUAUACUAGAAAAUUUUGAAUUCAAUGAUAGGAAUAAAUUAAGAGUAGCGAUGGCAAGAUAUCUUGGACCAAUAAAUGCACGUGCGGGGCGAGUGAAUGGAGAAUGCAAAUUAUCGUUGACUUGUUUGGCGCCAUUUACUAGUUCAUGGAAGCCCGUAGCUCGUGUGCUCGAGAAUUAUUCUAUUUACGAGGAUUAUCAGGACUAUAUUGAGAAUGAAGCAUUAAGACGAGUCACAAAAUUUUAUCCUCCAUGAAUAAAACAUGAUAAUGUUUAGCUAAAGACGUUAAAGAAAAGCGCUCAUUGGGAGGCAACCUAAUUUCUCUUAGUUAUUUGUUCAUUUUUUUAUUAGUUUAAAUAUGUUUUUCCUUAGUUUUGACUAAUUUAUGGUUUUAAUUUUCGUUUUUGAUAAUUCGUAGGUGUCUCUCUGACUUGACGCGCCCGCGCCAAAUCGUAUGGAGAACUCACGGUCAGAAGAGUUCUUACCCUCAUGACGUGCCUGCAUCAGGUCACCUGGAGAGCUCCUUAUUCCUUGCCCUCAUGACGUGCCCACGUCAUGUUCGCAGGAAAGGUAAGUAUUCAAAAAACUCAAGAACGGUUAUUGAUUUUCUGUUAAUCUCUACUUUUGAAUUUCAGAAAUAAAAUUUGCCAAUAAUAAUGAAACAAAAAAAUUUCAAAAAAAAGAAUAAAUAAAAAUUAAUUUAAAAAAAAUUUGUUUCACCAUAGAUUAGACUUUCAAAGUACAAAUUUUUAACCAACAAAAAAAACAAUUUCUCUUUCUUUUCUAUGUCUUUUUUUUCUUCUUUUCUUCUUUCUUUCAUUCUUUUCUUUUCUUUCUUUCUUUCUUUUCUUUCUUUUCUUCUUCCUUCUUCCCUGCUGCUUUCCCUUUUCCCCUUUUGCUUUCUUCUUCGCCCGACAUCCCUAGCAACCGCCGCGUCUCGCCGUUCGCCACCUACACACCUUCACACCAACAACGCAUCACUCCGCCUUGCGUAGCCACGAACCUCCUCCAGCUCACCCCGAUUCGCGCGCCUCCCCUCAAGUCCGACCCACCUCGACGACACCCGCUCAAGACCAAGCCGCGUGCCACCAGCUUAACUUCACCAACGCCGCCGCUGUCCAGCCCCGAGCUCCACCUCACGAUCGUACCCACCACUGCAGUAGCUCCAGCUACACCGCUGCCCCUCCUUUUUCCCUCACUCUGCCUCUCGGCCACACGCUGCGCACAGCCGCAGCCAGACAGCCAUGCUGCUUUUGAGCUCAGCCGCCUGCCCAAGCUACCACCAGCUCGCUCCCACUUCUCUGCAACAGCCCCUAGUCGCCGCCUUCGCCAUACCCACUCUCUACCCACGGUCACGUCUCUCUCUCUCCUUCUCUCUAUCACCACGGUGGAGGUACCAUUACACCUAUUACCUACCUGUUUUGAAUAUCCUUUGCUGGGUUUCCUUAUUGGCCUCACUAAAGGACUCCUCUGCUAGAAUUUAGUGGCGUCAGUUUCUUGGCUUGUCCGUUUGAUUUAACUCCUCCCUGUGUGUACACCAGUGGUACUGGUUGCGGUGUUGCUUUAAAUUUCUUAAUCCUAUGUGCUUGACUGCCUAUUUGACUUUUGAGUUUUAGUACUUGAAUUGUUUCUCGAAUUCUAAACGGUGGUUGCUGGAAUAGCCUGUUGCUUGGCUCCAUUGCUAAUUUUGGUCGUUUGAAUUGGGUAAUUGACUGUGCACUUGGUGACAUUUGUUGAGUUUCAGUUGCUCAAAUUGGUUGAAUUCACUGCUCUGUUGGGGUCCCUGUGGGUAUCACUUGAGUUCUGUUUUGUUAGUUUUUGUCUUGUGCCCCAUGAAGUGCCGUUAGUUGGGUAUUUUUCUGUGCUUGUUUGUUGAAUUGGGGUGCUACUGUGCCCCUUCCUUUGUUUUUGGUGAUCAGUUGUGUCUAAUUGACUUGCUUGGGGUAAUCUGUCCAUCAAUUUUAAUUACUCAAGUCUUUGGAGCAGUUGUUGCACAUUUGGACUGCUUUGUUUCUACAUCUGACUGAAUUGGGACCACAAGUGCUUAUCUAUUGCAUUUGCUAUACGUGUUGGAGUAUUUGUAUAACCUGUGGGUGAUUGAAUUGUGCAUUUUGUUCAUUGAGCUGGCUUUUUAUUUGUUAUUGCUUUGAAUUGCCUACUUCCAUUAUUUGUUGGCACCUGUAGUCUCUUGUUGUUUGGAGUGAUAACUGCCACCCAUGGUGAAGCCACGAUCCUCCUCUAGGUUUAGGACACCUAGAACUACUCCACCUUCUCCCACCCGAGGGGCCGACGACUGACUCCAACUCCGGAUGACAGUUGAGAGACUGGAGACUCGAGUGACCUACGUUGACAUCAACUUGCAUAACAUGGCGCAAAAUUUGGCAGCACGUAUGCACCAUGCGGGUCCCAUGUUUUGAUGACUUCAGGAAAGUACCGUUGCCCUUCUCCUUCCUUCUGCUUUUACAUUGUCACAUUAAGGGCAAUGUGUGAAUUAGGUGUGGGGGGAUCGUUGUAGCGCUAGUAUUUUUGUUUUUAGUUUCUAGGGCUUUUGCUUUAUUUUUAGUUUGUUUUUUUGUCCAUCUUUCGUUUAUUUUCUUUUCUUUUUUCUAGUGGUCAAUCCUUAUAUGAAUACCAAGUUUUGAUGUUGGAUUGUUGUUUCUAAUUCUGCUAUUGCCGAGUUUUAGUAAUAAAAGGGUAUCAAGUUAAAGUGGUUGAGUUCAGGAAUAUCUCUCUGGUGAAUAUCAGUAAUUGCUUGACUUUUCUAAUUUCUAGUUAACUUUUCUAGGUAUAGGAAUGAUUGUUGGCAUUUUUCAUGUGAAUUGGUCCAGUUAUUAACCUUAGUUCUCCAUGUUUGAAAAUGAGACUAGCUUAUGCAAAUUUUCUUUUGAUUUUUGUGUUAUAUUGAGUUUUUGUGUUAUUUGGUUGUUAAUAAGAGUGACUGUACUCCUCUAGUUAUUACUACUGAGUAAUUGGGGAUUUUCACUAAAAGUAUCGAUUCUCGCGUCAAAAGGUAGUGAUUUCUAUGAGUACGUGGUCACCUAGCGAUAGGAGCUGAGUAACCGAGCUCCUUCAUCUGACAAAUUUUGGAGUUCGCGUCAAAAGGCUCUAGUGACUAGAGACUAAGUCUUUUGCUAUUCUCAAAAGAAGAAAAAAAGAGAGAAAAUAGAAAAGUGUGAUAAUUAAAAAAAAAAGUGAAGGUUGUGCCAAAUGUGACGAAAGUCAGCUUGCCGUUUUAUGGGUUUAAUGUUGAGAUUUUGGUUAAUAGUUGGACCAAUUGCUGAUAAAUGUGAACAGCCAUUCCUUUUUCUUAGAAUAGUUUGCUUUAAAUUGGAGGAGUUGGUGGUUGGGAAGUUAACCGGGGUGAUUUUUCUUUGAUCAUGACCCGUGAUGCUUGAUAAAUUUUUUUUUCUUGGUAUUUUGGCAGUGCGGUAGUUGGAGCAAUAGCCAUUGUCAAACUUUGAUGUUCAAUUGCUAUUCCUAUGCUUGAGGGCAAGCAUGGUUUAGGUGUGGGGGGAAUUGAUAGGUUGCAAUUUCAUUGUUUAUUUUAUUAUUAAUUUUCCCUAUUACCUGACUCGAUGUGGAUUAAUUAUUGGAUUCUACUCACUUUUAGUAUUUUGCAUUUAUUUCAGGGAGUAGAACGAAAAUAUGAUAACAAGUGCCGAUUUGACAAAAGAGGAAUCCAAAUAAUAGAACUUAUCCCAGGGGUAUUUUUGAAAAAGGAAAACUUAUCCCCAUUUUAGUAAUUACUGCAAAGGCAUGGAUGAAGGCAGGGCUUCCUUUUUGCUGGUCGGCGCCACCGCACAAUAGUUAGGCAUUAGAGAGGAUUGCAAUUAGAUAGGAAUGGGAAACGGAUGCUUUUGAGUAGGACUCCUCCUGCGCAUGGCAGGAGCAACUAAGAGUUGUUUUCUUUAACUGUUCGCUGGGAUCUCUUUUUUAUAUUUUUCUUUCCUACGCAUGUCAAAGGAGGGGACCUUAGCCUUUGACUUUUCUUUUCGUCUUUAGUUGCUCUUCCGUAGGAGUAGACAAGGGAUGAGUUAAAUCCCUUUGUCUAGUCAAGGAACAACGGAAGCUUUGAUUCGCCUAAAAAUUGUGAGAUCGAUUUAAUUUUAUUUUUUGAAUGGGAGGGAUCAUUCCCAUCUUGGUUAUCAGAACUAGUUAGGAAAGAUAUGGGGGUAGUUACCCCGUUUUGUAAUUAACUCUUGUAAUUUCAAGUGUUAAUAUAUAUAAAAUUGGUAUCGUUUGUUGGAAAAAAAUUUAUUUUAUUUUUUCUUUUAUUUAUUGGUAUUCGCAUAUUCUUUGAUUUCAGUACAUAUAGUUAUUAAUUAAUUGAAUGUCUUGGAUCCAGAUAAUUAGUUAAUUUGGUAAUCUAUUGUCAAUUAGAGCAUUAAAUCCGUAAUUGUUUAAUUGCCUUGAUAUAGUGACAACUGACAUGAUUGGCUUUGUGUCAAGGAAAUACGCGGCGCUAAUAUAAGAUAACCCUGGUAGUGUAUUAUUUGGUUAGAAUAGGGCUCCUCUAAAUGUAAGGCAAUUGGGAAUUAAAUCUUACGGGCGUACCUAGGAUUAUUUUCCUUAGGGCAGUGAUUAACGGGCGUACCUUAAUUACCGACACAGUAAGGAGGGAUUAACUGUCAUCGCUUGUUUGAUAGUUAUAACCUAUAAUUAGUAAAUAAUUGGAAUUAGCUUUGCAUCGAUGAUCAAUUAGGUGAACCAUUGCUGAAGUUAUUUCUUGGCUAGAUUCUUAAUUAUCACUCAUUUGAUUUUAGUAGAUUGUUAUUUAAUUUUUAGUAGCUUCUUAGAUUUUCUUUGUUUGUCAUCUUCUGCACAAAAAACACCCCCUGGUUACUGUAAAUUUGAAAAGAAAUAGUUACAUCCAAUUCCUGUAAAUUCAACCCUACUUACCACUAUUUACAAAAAUUAACUUUAGUUGAGCAAGUUUUUAUUAUUGCACAGGCCUGACAACCUGUCAAUUUUUGGCGCCGUUGUCGGGGACUGGUGCCAGAUUAAUUUGUUUCUUUUUGAGUUCAUCUUUUUUUUAUUUUUUAUUUAUUUUUCUCUUAUUUUUUAUAUAGUUUAUGACUGCUAACAUUCCGUAUUUUGAUGAUAGACUGGACUUUAUUCCUGAUUGGAGUUAUGAGACACAUGUUUUUCCUAAUGAUGAAUUGGCUGCUGCAAAUUAUGAAAUGAAACUUAUUUUGCCUUAGCUUAUUCAACCGACACAUGCCUCGCAUUUCAAGAUUACCUAAGUGUUCCAACAGAUACUUUUAGAGAUUUUUCACCUCGAUUUCAAACGUGGUAUGAUCUUUAUUCAAACAAGUAUGAUCAAGGAUGGUGAAAAAAUUUCAAUUUUAAUUAUGUGACCGGACCAAUGAAUUUUCAACAGCAAGAGUCUCAACAACCAUCAUCCGUGUCAGGUAUGUCUUUUGAAAAAAUGAUUAAAUUACUAGCCGCUAAACAUAUCGAACUCAGCAGGAGACACAAGCGAUGGCGGAUCAAGUGCAACUAUUGAUAUCCGGGAUGGCAGAUCAAAUACAUCUAUUGACAUCCAAGAUAACGCGAUUAGCUUCUCACCUUGAAAAAUUACCCUCACAAAUCAAUAUCAACCUUGAAGAAGAUGAGAGUGCAAUUAUCCGGCCAAAUGACAUGGAACUGCAAGAGUUUCACGGAAAACGGAUCUAAAGAUGCAGUUGAAAAGGAAGCUGAAGUGCAAGAAAUGUGGCCCCAGUAUCAACUCGUCCAAGUGAAUGAAUCCAGUGAAUAAUCUCCAAAUGCGGUGACAUCUCCUCCAGUCCUUAAUCAAUAUUCUCCUGACUCUUAUUUUCAAUUCCUUUUAAUGAAAUUGACUUUAUUAUACUAGAAAAUUUUGAAUUCAAUGAUAGGAAUAAAUUAAGAGUAGCGAUGGCAAGAUAUCUUGGACCAAUAAAUGCACGUGCGGGGCGAGUGAAUGGAGAAUGCAAAUUAUCGUUGACUUGUUUGGCGCCAUUUACUAGUUCAUGGAAGCCCGUAGCUCGUGUGCUCGAGAAUUAUUCUAUUUACGAGGAUUAUCAGGACUAUAUUGAGAAUGAAGCAUUAAGACGAGUCACAAAAUUUUAUCCUCCAUGAAUAAAACAUGAUAAUGUUUAGCUAAAGACGUUAAAGAAAAGCGCUCAUUGGGAGGCAACCUAAUUUCUCUUAGUUAUUUGUUCAUUUUUUUUAUUAGUUUAAAUAUGUUUUUCCUUAGUUUUGACUAAUUUAUGGUUUUAAUUUUCGUUUUUGAUAAUUCGUAGGUGUCUCUCUGACUUGACGCGCCCGCGCCAAAUCGUAUGGAGAACUCACGGUCAGAAGAGUUCUUACCCUCAUGACGUGCCUGCAUCAGGUCACCUGGAGAGCUCCUUAUUCCUUGCCCUCAUGACGUGCCCACGUCAUGUUCGCAGGAAAGGUAAGUAUUCAAAAAACUCAAGAACGGUUAUUGAUUUCUGUUCUGUUAAUCUCUACUUUUGAAUUUCAGAAAUAAAAUUUGCCAAUAAUAAUGAAACAAAAAAAUUUCAAAAAAAAAAUAAAUAAAAAUUAAUUUAAAAAAAAUUUGUUUCACCAUAGAUUAGACUUUCAAAGUACAAAUUUUUAACCAACAAAAAAAAACAAUUUCUCUUUCUUUUCUAUGUCUUUUUUUCUUCUUUCUUCUUUCUUUCAUUCUUUUCUUUCUUUCUUUCUUUCUUUCUUUCUUUCUUUUCUUUCUUCCUUCUUCCCUGCUGCUUUCCCUUUUCCCCUUUUGCUUUCUUCUUCGCCCGACAUCCCUAGCAACCGCCGCGUCUCGCCGUUCGCCACCUUCACACCACCAACGCAUCACUCCGCCUUGCGUAGCCACGAACCUCCUCCAGCUCACCCCGAUUCGCGCGCCUCCCCUCAAGUCCGACCCACCUCGACGACACCCGCUCAAGACCAAGCCGCGUGCCACCAGCUUAACUUCACCAACGCCGCCGCUGUCCAGCCCCGAGCUCCACCUCACGAUCGUACCCACCACUGCAGUAGCUCCAGCUACACCGCUGCCCCUCCUUUUUCCCUCACUCUGCCUCUCGGCCACACGCUCGCUGCGCACAGCCGCAGCCAGACAGCCAUGCUGCUUUUGAGCUCAGCCGCCUGCCCAAGCUACCACCAGCUCGCUCCCACUUCUCUGCAACAGCCCCUAGUCGCCGCCUUCGCCAUACCCACUCUCUACCCACGGUCACGUCUCUCUCUCUCCUUCUCUCUAUCACCACGGUGGAGGUACCAUUACACCUAUUACCUACCUGUUUUGAAUAUCCUUUGCUGGGUUUCCUUAUUGGCCUCACUAAAGGACUCCUCUGCUAGAAUUUAGUGGCGUCAGUUUCUUGGCUUGUCCGUUUGAUUUAACUCCUCCCUGUGUGUACACCAGUGGUACUGGUUGCGGUGUUGCUUUAAAUUUCUUAAUCCUAUGUGCUUGACUGCCUAUUUGACUUUUGAGUUUUAGUACUUGAAUUGUUUCUCGAAUUCUAAACGGUGGUUGCUGGAAUAGCCUGUUGCUUGGCUCCAUUGCUAAUUUUGGUCGUUUGAAUUGGGUAAUUGACUGUGCACUUGGUGACAUUUGUGAGUUUCAGUUGCUCAAAUUGGUUGAAUUCACUGCUCUGUUGGGGUCCCUGUGGGUAUCACUUGAGUUCUGUUUUGUUAGUUUUUGUCUUGUGCCCCAUGAAGUGCCGUUAGUUGGGUAUUUUUCUGUGCUUGUUUGUUGAAUUGGGGUGCUACUGUGCCCCUUCCUUUGUUUUUGGUGAUCAGUUGUGUCUAAUUGACUUGCUUGGGGUAAUCUGUCCAUCAAUUUUAAUUACUCAAGUCUUUGGAGCAGUUGUUGCACAUUUGGACUGCUUUGUUUCUACAUCUGACUGAAUUGGGACCACAAGUGCUUAUCUAUUGCAUUUGCUAUACGUGUUGGAGUAUUUGUAUAACCUGUGGGUGAUUGAAUUGUGCAUUUUGUUCAUUGAGCUGGCUUUUUAUUUGUUAUUGCUUUGAAUUGCCUACUUCCAUUAUUUGUUGGCACCUGUAGUCUCUUGUUGUUUGGAGUGAUAACUGCCACCCAUGGUGAAGCCACGAUCCUCCUCUAGGUUUAGGACACCUAGAACUACUCCACCUUCUCCCACCCGAGGGGCCGACGACUGACUCCAACUCCGGAUGACAGUUGAGAGACUGGAGACUCGAGUGACCUACGUUGACAUCAACUUGCAUAACAUGGCGCAAAAUUUGGCAGCACGUAUGCACCAUGCGGGUCCCAUGUUUUGAUGACUUCAGGAAAGUACCGUUGCCCUUCUCCUUCCUUCUGCUUUUACAUUGUCACAUUAAGGGCAAUGUGUGAAUUAGGUGUGGGGGGAUCGUUGUAGCGCUAGUAUUUUUGUUUUUAGUUUCUAGGGCUUUUGCUUUAUUUUUAGUUUGUUUUUUUGUCCAUCUUUCGUUUAUUUUCUUUUCUUUUUUCUAGUGGUCAAUCCUUAUAUGAAUACCAAGUUUUGAUGUUGGAUUGUUGUUUCUAAUUCUGCUAUUGCCGAGUUUUAGUAAUAAAAGGGUAUCAAGUUAAAGUGGUUGAGUUCAGGAAUAUCUCUCUGGUGAAUAUCAGUAAUUGCUUGACUUUUCUAAUUUCUAGUUAACUUUUCUAGGUAUAGGGAAUGAUUGUUGGCAUUUUUCAUGUGAAUUGGUCCAGUUAUUAACCUUAGUUCUCCAUGUUUGAAAAUGAGACUAGCUUAUGCAAAUUUUCUUUUGAUUUUUGUGUUAUAUUGAGUUUUUGUGUUAUUUGGUUGUUAAUAAGAGUGACUGUACUCCUCUAGUUAUUACUACUGAGUAAUUGGGGAUUUUCACUAAAAGUAUCGAUUCUCGCGUCAAAAGGUAGUGAUUUCUAUGAGUACGUGGUCACCUAGCGAUAGGAGCUGAGUAACCGAGCUCCUUCAUCUGACAAAUUUUGGAGUUCGCGUCAAAAGGCUCUAGUGACUAGAGACUAAGUCUUUUGCUAUUCUCAAAAGAAGAAAAAAAGAGAGAAAAUAGAAAAGUGUGAUAAUUAAAAAAAAAAGUGAAGGUUGUGCCAAAUGUGACGAAAGUCAGCUUGCCGUUUUAUGGGUUUAAUGUUGAGAUUUUGGUUAAUAGUUGGACCAAUUGCUGAUAAAUGUGAACAGCCAUUCCUUUUUCUUAGAAUAGUUUGCUUUAAAUUGGAGGAGUUGGUGGUUGGGAAGUUAACCGGGGUGAUUUUCUUUGAUCAUGACCCGUGAUGCUUGAUAAAUUUUUUUUUCUUGGUAUUUUGGCAGUGCGGUAGUUGGAGCAAUAGCCAUUGUCAAACUUUGAUGUUCAAUUGCUAUUCCUAUGCUUGAGGGCAAGCAUGGUUUAGGUGUGGGGGAAUUGAUAGGUUGCAAUUUCAUUGUUUAUUUUAUUAUUAAUUUUCCCUAUUACCUGACUCGAUGUGGAUUAAUUAUUGGAUUCUACUCACUUUUAGUAUUUUGCAUUUAUUUCAGGGAGUAGAACGAAAAUAUGAUAACAAGUGCCGAUUUGACAAAAGAGGAAUCCAAAUAAUAGAACUUAUCCCAGGGGUAUUUUUGAAAAAGGAAAACUUAUCCCCAUUUUAGUAAUUACUGCAAAGGCAUGGAUGAAGGCAGGGCUUCCUUUUUGCUGGUCGGCGCCACCGCACAAUAGUUAGGCAUUAGAGAGGAUUGCAAUUAGAUAGGAAUGGGAAACGGAUGCUUUUGAGUAGGACUCCUCCUGCGCAUGGCAGGAGCAACUAAGAGUUGUUUUCUUUAACUGUUCGCUGGGAUCUCUUUUUUAUAUUUUUCUUUCCUACGCAUGUCAAAGGAGGGGACCUUAGCCUUUGACUUUUCUUUUCGUCUUUAGUUGCUCUUCCGUAGGAGUAGACAAGGGAUGAGUUAAAUCCCUUUGUCUAGUCAAGGAACAACGGAAGCUUUGAUUCGCCUAAAAAUUGUGAGAUCGAUUUAAUUUUAUUUUUUGAAUGGGAGGGAUCAUUCCCAUCUUGGUUAUCAGAACUAGUUAGGAAAGAUAUGGGGGUAGUUACCCCGUUUUGUAAUUAACUCUUGUAAUUUCAAGUGUUAAUAUAUAUAAAAUUGGUAUCGUUUGUUGGAAAAAAAAUUUAUUUUAUUUUUCUUUUAUUUAUUGGUAUUCGCAUAUUCUUUGAUUUCAGUACAUAUAGUUAUUUAAUUAAUUGAUUGUCUUGGAUCCAGAUAAUUAGUUAAUUUGGUAAUCUAUUGUCAAUUAGAGCAUUAAAUCCGUAAUUGUUUAAUUGCCUUGAUAUAGUGACAACUGACAUGAUUGGCUUUGUGUCAAGGAAAUACGCGGGCUAAUAUAAGAUAACCCUGGUAGUGUAUUAUUUGGUUAGAAUAGGGCUCCUCUAAAUGUAAGGCAAUUGGGGAAUUAAAUCUUACGGGCGUACCUAGGAUUAUUUUCCCAUUAGGGCAGUGAUUAACGGGCGUACCUUAAUUACCGACACAGUAAGGAGGGAUUAACUGUCAUCGCUUGUUUGAUAGUUAUAACCUAUUUAUUAGUAAAUAAUUGGAAUUAGCUUUGCAUCGAUGAUCAAUUAGGUGAACCAUUGCUGAAGUUAUUUCUUGGCUAGAUUCUUAAUUAUCACUCAUUUGAUUUUAGUAGAUUGUUAUUUAAUUUUUAGUAGCUUCUUAGAUUUUCUUUGUUUGUCAUCUUCUGCACAAAAACACCCCCUGGUUACUGUGAAUUUGAAAAGAAACAGUUAUACCCAGUCCAUGUGGAUUCGACCAUGUUUACCACUAUUUACAAAAAUUAACUUUAGUUAAGCAGGUUUUUAUUAUUGCAAAGGCUUGACAACCUGUCAGCCUCUAGGCAAAUUCAGCAUUUUUACAUUCUACUGAUUUAGGGCAUCUUCAAUUAUCAGUUUCAACUCCAUGGUAUAGUAUAGAUAUUACCUCUAAUAGUUGUACGCACUUACACAACAAAUACAGAUUGUGAAAUUAAUUGUAUAAGUUUGAUAUUUUGUAGGUUUUGGGAUAUAAUUUUCACGUUUAGGAAAAAGAAAAUAAGUUAGUAAGUAAUAAUGUGAUACCCCUUGUCCCACGUUGGAAGUGGGAGAGGAAAAGGAUUGAUAUAUAUAAGAUUUGGUCUCAUAAGUUACUAGUUAUUUGGAAUAACCAUUUUGGGAUAGUGAAUUUCGACACAAAAAUUACUUGGGCCAACCAUGGGCUUGGAUGGUGACAAAUAACUUACUAGAAGCUAGGUAUAUUUAUGUUUAGAAGUCCUGAAAGCAGAGCAGUUCAGAAUCUUGAUAAUGGUAAACUUUGCUAAAUCUUAGUUUUUUUGUCUUAAAUUUUUUCAAAUAAAGGAAGGAUGGAAAUUAAGCAGUAGAGGGGUUGAAGAGGAAUUUGAAUUCAAAAUCUCUAAUUUCUAAGUUUUUCACUAAGCAAUCAUCAAAAUCAAAAUAAUAAUAAUAAUAAUAAUAAUAAUAAUAAGUAAAAAAAAAAAAUGGGCACCUUGUGGUCAAUGCUAGAUCCUGUUCGAAGAUUUAUUCCUUUGGUUUGUCAUCAUCUCCCUCUAUUGAAAUCUAAGUACCCUUGGUUGACAAUUUGUUUCCCUGAGCAGCCAUCAACGCUUUUAUAUAGUAUUAGAUUAGAUUAGAUUGUCAAUGCACCAUCAAUAUCCUUAAAUAUAAUAGCUUAAGUAUAGUAAUCAAAAUACUGUUAGUAAUCUGUAUGAUUAUUUUUCAUCCUUUAAUGUUUUAGUUUUAGGAAGAUCACAAAUGCUGCGUAUAAAGCAUGCCAUAGGCUAAAUUAAGGUAAAUUAAGUACAUUGCUAAAAUGGAGAGCAUUGCUAAAUUAAGUACUUUAAGAUAAAGACUUAAGCAGCAAGAUCCAUUUGAUGUCAGCUGCUUCAAUAUCCACCUCAAAAUAAAUUAGCCUUUGUUCUAGAUUUAGCUUAAUGCUAAGUCCCUUCACCAUUCUUAGUAAUAAUUCAAUUCUGCCUCAAUUUUCUUCUGAUCUUCAAGGUAAAUGUACGAUAAAUUUCAAAAUAUAUCCCAAAUAUAUGAAUUUCUUGAAACCAUCCUUCAAUCUCACUAGCUGCUCAACAAAAUGUUCCAUAAACACAAAUAUAUUAAUGAACUUGGAGUUGAUUUGAAGAAUUGACGAGAACCGCAAGCUAGAAUUUUUCAUAUAUUCAAACAAGAAAUUGGAAAAAUCUGACUAGCUUGCAACGAGUACUACAUCUCAAGACAAGGGAUCUUUUCAGUCAACUCUUUUAUUGUAUCGAAAACCUACUUGCAUCUAUGAAUAAGCAAUACUGAGCUUGCAACGAGUACUGCAUCUCAAGACAGGAACGUCUAUCUUACUUAAACAAACAGUACGGAGACUUUAUCAUUCUUAAUUAUCAUUAGUUCAAUUAUCAACUUUAGCAGUACGGAGACUUGUACAAGGCUGCAACUUGUACAAGGACAAUAAAUUCGUACCUUCGAACUUGAAUCACUUUUCUAUUCUCUUACUCUAAACUUUAAUUUUGGACGCUUUCCAUGUGAUUGGAGGCAACAGCACAACAGAGCUCUUCUUAAGUCUCUGAUCGUUAGUGUCACAUGACCAUUGCUAAUUAUGCUAUUGCUUUUGAAUGGAAAUAGCAUAAAAGUCUUGGGGAAUGAACAAAUUGAAUAGACCAUUUUGCAGAGCAGUGAAAUAUUCCGAAGCCGUGAAGCACAGUGAUAAGCUACAAAUGACAGGUCGUCAACCUGUGCAAUAAUAAUAAUAAUAUAGAACCUAGAUACCACUAAGAGCUGUCAAUAAUUAAUCCUAGGUACUGGAGCAGGGACUCUAGGUGUGCAAUGGGUUACUUGAUUCACCCUGUUCCCGAAGAGUUUGCUGAACCCGAUAUACCAGAAUUAAUUAGUUGGCAAAAAUAGUAGGCAGUGGCAAGUAAAGUCGUCUCCUCAGGGACUGGGGAUAUCUGUCUCUUUUUAAAGUCCAAUUGAUAAGGGGGGAUUUCACCGGAAUGGAACUAAAAAUAAUUAAACAAUUUAAUUAAAAAUAAAUAAAUCACUAGCACAAGUAAAGCAGGAAUUAAAUCAAGAAUAAAUAAGUUCUAGCCAAGGAUACAACUACUCAGGCACAGUCCAUUUAUCCGAUCAUUGAUGCAGGAGAGGUUCACUUAAUUUAUUAAUAGGUUAGUUAUAGUCUGACGACCAAUUUUUCCUUAAAUUAUUGAUAACCAAGGUACGACCAUUGAUCACCCCUAACCAGAAAAUACUCCUAGGUACGACCGUAGGAAUUAAUUUCCCAAUUGCAUUAAUAUUAGAAAAACCUAGCCCUAACCAAUAACACGCUACGAGGGUUAUUUAAAUUAGAUUGCACGUUCCCCUAAUGUGUAAACACACCAGUUGCCACUAAUAUUAAUCAAUCAAACAAUUACGGAUUUAAUUGACUAAAUUGGCACGAGACUAAUAAAUCACAUUGAACAUCGGGCCCUUGACAUCCAAUUAAUAAAAUAAUCCCAUGAAAAUACAAGCAGGCAACGUGCAAUUAUUAAUAAAUUAAGGAACGCGUGAAAACUAAUUAGAUCUCACAGGUUUUCGGGACUGCGCCGUCGAGUUGAUCCUUGACUAGAUGGAAGAUUUAGCCACGCCGCAUAAUUAAAUCACCACACGAAUUAAUGGAUUGCAAAGGCAUAGCGUUUUCUAUUAAGAAGCAAGGAAUAAAAGGUGUUUUUCCCGUUGGGGAAUUUCGUCGAACACCUGGCGUGCCAGAGGCCAGUCAAAAGAAGGAAAAAGUAAAGCUACACUAAAAGACUAAAACCAGAGAUAUCCCUCUGCUACUCUACGUUAUCCCUAUUUAAGCCACAAAAGAAAGAUAACUCAAGGCUCUCUACGUGUGUCCCCACACAUGUGGGCAAAGCCUUCAAAGUACUUCUUGCCCCAAGCCUCCUUCCGUAGCUUUCUUUUUAGAGUCCAAAUGACUAGAUGCCUUCCACUAGCUUGUGGUCCCCACAAAUUCAAGGACCCAAGCAUUGAAGCCCUUAGAAGUCUCCAUAUUUUCCAUAAAGUCCCUCCUUUUGGUAGUUUUCUGCUUUAUUCCUGAAAUUACGUCCACAUACCAAAUAUGAGUAAAUAUCAGCAAUUAACACAAUAUUUGUCAGGGAUAAAAGGGAAAAUUAAUAAUAAAAUUACUAACAAAUUGUACCCUAUCAAUUCCCCCCACACCUGAAUCAUGCUUGCCCUCAAGCAUGAGGAAAAUUUAACUCAACAAUGGCUAGCUUUCACUUUAUCAUAGCCAGCUGUGCCUAUACCCAAAAUCAAGGUCUAGUGACUAAGUGUCAAGACAUAUCUCUCACGGUUAGCUUUUAAGUCCAUAGACCUGUCCAAUUCAUGGCUAACUCGCUUAGGAAAUCCAAAUAAUAACUAGCAACAAUUAGUAAUUAAGUCAACUGGCAACCAAAAUCUCAACAAUACGAACCAAGGAUCGGCAGGCUAAUAUGAUCAUAAACUCACAUAUUCUCCACAUCUGAUUUUCUUUUUUCCUUUUCUUUUCUGUUUUGUCUCUCCCUCUUUUUUUUUUCUUCUCUUUUUUUCCAUUUUUUUUUUCAUUUGUUUCCGAUGCUUAGCCCCGAGCUAUUCAAAUCUUUUGACGUGAACUCUGACAUUUUUAGAUGAAAGAGCCCAGUUACUCGACCUUUCGUAGCUCCCGGUCUAUUUACUCAUAGAUAUCGUCACUUUUUGACGCGAGAGCCGACACUUGUGGUGAAGACUUCCGGUUACUAGGUGGCGACACUAGCGGAGUAUAGCCAUACAUUAUUCACCAGAAAACACCAAGAUACCAAAUAAUUACAGAUCAUAGCCUGCGUCAUGUCCCAAAUAUGGAGAACUAAGGUAAACAGGAGACCAAACUACACAACAGUGCCAGCAAAAUAUUGUACUGCCUACAACAAGUUAGCCAUAAAUUGCACCACGUCGUUAAACUCAAAGUAUUCACCAAGAAGGCAUGCUUUUACUUGCCACUGUAACUCAACUCAUAGUACAAACCACAACUAACAAGAAAAAAUGCGCUGCCAAAAAUAUUCACCAAGAUAGAAGCAAGGGAAAGACACUCAAAAGAGAUAAAGGAGCAACACCUAAACAAAAAAAAAAAAUAAUAAUAAUAAAGAAACGAGAACUAGCACCCAAACUGACCCCCCCACACCUAAAUGACGCAUUGCCCUCAAUGUGAAAAGAUAAUAGCAGAAAAAGGGGAGGGGCAACGGUACUUCCCUGAAGGCGUCAAGACAAGGGUGGGUUAGGCGGAAACUGAGGAGGGAACCCGGCUUGCUGCAUAAAAGCCGCUAGAUUCUGCGCCAUAUUGUGAAUGUUAACGUCCAUGUGUUUCUGCCGAAUCUCAAGCCGCUCGACUGUGUUGCGGAGCUGGUUCCAUUCCUCAUCCGUAUGGGCGGAAUGGAGGGGAACGGAGGAAGAUGGACCGGGAUCACCGCCUGCCGUGGAGGCACUGGCAAAGGAUGAACGAGGGGGAGGGUGUAGCGGUCCCGGGGGAACAACCUCCCAACCAUUGUCGCCCUCCCGAACUAAGCCCAUUUUCUCUAAGCUUGGAAUAUCCAAAGGCUCCAUUUGACAGGCUAUAUGCAAGUUAUGGUUAGAAAUAUCAAGGACAUGCAAAUUAAUAGCCAAGUGAGUAAUGUAAGACCCAAGAAUCAAGGGCCGCUUCUUUUUAGGCAAAAUGGACUUGAACUGAGACGCGAGCCAACACAAGAUUAACCUUAAUAUUGUUUUGCAUGCACCAUAUAAAGAAAAAUUCGGGCUUAGACAGAAUGCCCGAACUAUCUCGCCUACCAGAGAAACUGUAAGCCAAAAAACGGUGGAUAUAGCGAGAGGCCGGGUCCUUCAGAUAGGACCCCUUGGAUAGACGAGGGUCAUAGUUAUCCCUGUCUACAGACAUAUCAUCCCAAAGAAAGCGAUAGCGGGAGAAAAACGGCUGGACAUAGUCACACGCACUCUCGGCAUACUCCCUAGACUCAGCAUAAGCAGGAUCAAUGAAACCAAAGGCCAGAUUGAAGUCGGUUAUGGAAUGGUGGAAUUCCUGGCCCAUUAAACGGAAGCGGAUGACAUCCGGGUAGAAACUGUGUAAUUAGUGGGAAGGUCAAACUCAAACGUGGCAUAAAACUCCCUAACCAACUCGACAAAAGCCGGGAGGUCAGUGAUACGAGAAUAGGGGCGCCACCCGAUGGCUUCAAUCAAAUCGUGAAAGGGGACGCUAAUAUUUAGAAGGCCCAAGGUGGCGGGGUCCCGAUAACGACAAGGAAUAAUCCGUCGUUCACAAGCCGCUUCAUAGCGUCGCUUGUCGGCUGCCCUGGUGAAAACCAAAUGACCCCCAAAAUGUGCAGGGUCAGAGAUAUGGACGCCUCUUUGUCGCCCAAGACGAGCCCGCCUCCCAGAGGAGGAAGGGUCGUGCGAGGGUCAGAGGCGGGAAUGGAAUGCUGAGGUGGAGGGGGCUUAGGAGUCCUAGGGGUCCUAGUCUUAGAAGAAGAUCGAGGCUUCACCAUGGUGGUCAACAGGCAAACCCAAACAACCAAGUAGCAAAUAUAAGCGUCACGGGCGCCCCCAAUAAACAAGUAUAAGCGUCACGGGCGCCCCCCAAUAAGCAAGUAUAAGCGUCACGGGCGCCCCCAAUAAGCAAAUAAUCGCAGCAAUUCACCCACAAUUGGACACAAAUUUCAGCAAAUGAGACCCAAUCCCCCAGAAAUGAAACCUGAACGUAAGCCAGUAUCUCCAAAAACAGCAACAAUGAUAGGCUAAAGUGCUCAACCAGUACCACUGGUGAGUCACAGGGAAAAAUUAAAGCAAAUGGGCUAGCUGUUCAACAAAUAGUAGAAAAUACCCCCACUUGGCAGCAAUUAAACUCAAACUUGUCCAAACAGUUCCCCUAAGAAAUAAUUAAGCAAAUAAACAGAGCAGAAACCCCCCCCUCAAAAACUAAAUAAACAGUCAAAUCGAGUAAAGAUUCUCCCCAAAUACCAUCGAUUGAGAACAAAAUUUACCAAAUAAUCAACAACCAACCACAGAUAUACCACAGCACCCAAAUAAGCCCAAAAGUUUUGUUCUCAACUAGCAAAUCAAAAAUCUGGCAUCAGCUAAUGAAAAACUAGUGCUCUGGCCUCAGCUACUCAGUGAUUAAAAAAAUAGGAAAAAGAAAAAUAGAGGACGAAUUCACCAGAAGUAGCGCCUGGUCUACCCGCGCGAGGAGGAAGCUGCUGGAGGACUGGCGGUGGACUGGAGGGUUGAGCAGCCGUGCGACUGUGGCGGCGAAGUGGAACUGGGCAGAGAGAAACCGUGCGCAGCGAGGUGGGCCUGCAGGAGCUGGAGCUUGGAGGGGGUGGAAAGGCGCGGCGAGCCACUAGCUCGCGGCUGCGUGGAAGGGUAGGCGGUGGAGGUUGGAGUUGCGCGCGGCUGGUGUAGGCGGAGGAGGGUCGCCCGAGGUGGGCGGCGGCGUCGACGGCAGCCUGCGUGGGUGAAGCUGCUGCGGUGGUGGUGGAAACUCGUGGGCUCUGGCCGAAGCUGGGGCGCGGUGGAGGUCGGCGGCGGCUGGAGGGUGGCUGUGGUCGUGGCGCUCGGGCUUAGGGAGCCGCGACCGAGAGUAGCCGCGCGCAGCGAGCGUGGGCAGCUUGGCCUUGGCUCACGGCGGCGUGCGGCUCUGGUGAUUUGGGUGAAAGGGGUGGCGGCCGAAAGGAGAAAAGAAGGAAAAGGGAAAGAGGGGCAGCGGGGAAGAAAGAAAGAAAGAAGAAAGAAAAAGGAAAGAAAGAAAAGAAGAGAAGGAAAGAAGAAAAAGAGUUUUUUUUUUUUUUUUUUUUUAAAUAUAAAUUUCUCAAAACCCUGUUUCUUCAUUAUUCCGAAUUUAUAUUUCAAAAUUCUGAAUUUUGAAAAGAAAAUAAAAGCCUAAGGUUUUAAAAGAAAAUUUCUUUGAAACUGUUUAAAUGUUUAAUUUUUUUUUUUUUUUUUGAAAGGAAUAAUAAUAAUAAUAACUAAUUUUUUUUUUUUUUUUAAAUCCAUGUUUUGGGUCGUCAAUCACCGCGUGGGCAUGCCAAGAUUACUCUUCGUCCUCUGAUCUCAGUAGACACCAACACCGCGUGGGCACGCCAAGAUUGCUCUUCGUCCUCUGAUCUCAGGAUACACCAACACCGCGUGGGCACGCCACGAUUGGUAUUCGUCCUCUGAUCUCAGGAUACACCAACACCGCGUGGGCACGCCAAGAUUGGUCUUCCUGAUUUCAGUGAAGGAAAUAUUAAUACUGCUACUACCCAACGAGGAAACGACAAAAUGAAAGAAAUGAACAACUAAAAACAAUAAAAUCAAUAUUCAGGUUGCCUCCCGAAAAAGCGCCUUUCUUUAGUGUCUUUGGCUAGACAUAGCCCAUAAUUUGCUUAAACCAAGCAAAUUGGGUCCUCCAAAUGCAUCAUCUCUACCCGCUCAACUGGAACCUCAUCAUAAUACGGCUUGAGACGAUGACCAUUCACCACAAAUUUCUUCUCCGUCUUCAGACUCUGGAUCUCCACUGCACCAUAAUCAAAGACAUUAGUUACAACAAAGGGACCAAUCCAACGAGAACGUAACUUACCUGGAAAUAACUUCAACUUCGAGUGAUACAGUAGAACUUUUUGUCCACAUUCAAACGUCUUCCUAGAGACCUGCUGGUCAUGAAAAAUCUUGUUUUUCUCCUUAUACAUCACAGCAUUCUCGUAGGCUUCAUUGCGAAUCUCCUCCAAUUCUUGUAACUGUAGCUUCCUUUGAAUUCCGCCCUCUUCGAUAUCCAUGUUGCAUUGCUUGACCGCCCAAAAUGCUCUAUGCUCGAAUUCGACAGGAGGUGGCAUGGCUUCCCAAAUACCAAACGGUAAGGGGACAUGCCGAUCGGUGUCUUGUACGCCGUUCUAUAUGCCCACAAGGCAUCUUCAAGUCUCACACUCCAGUCCUUCCUGUCAGGUCGAACCAUUUUUUCCAAAAUCGACUUGAUCUCCCGGUUCGAUGCUUCCGCCUGACCGUUUGUCUGCGGAUGGUAAGACGUGGAGACUUUGUGCAAGACACCGUACCUCCUAAAAAGUGCAGCAAUCGUCUUGUUGCAGAAAUGGGUACCCCGAUCACUUACAAUUGCUCGUGGCAUCCCAAAACGGACAAAGAUAUUAGAUUUAAUGAAUUCUGCAACCACCUUAGAAUCAUUAGUGCGGGUGGCUUUUGCUUCCACCCACUUUGAGACAUAAUCUACGGCAAGCAAUAUAUACAAAAAACCGAAAGAUGAAGGAAAAGGGCCCAUAAAAUCAAUACCCCAAACAUCAAAAAUCUCAACAAAAAUCAUUGGGGUUUGGGUCAUUUGAUCCCUUCGAGAAAUACUACCUACUCGUUGACACUUAUCACAUGACUUACAAAAUAAAUAGGUAUCCUUAAAGAGGGUUGGCCAAUAAAAUCCACUCUCUAGAACCUUACGAGCAGUUCUCUUUGGUCCAAAGUGACCUCCACAUGCAAAAGAGUGACAAUAAGCUAAAAUAGACUGGAAUUCAUUUUCACUCACACAUCUGCGAAUGAUUUGGUCGGCACCACGUUUCCAGAGGUAAGGAUCAUCCCAGAUGUAAGAUUUUGCGUCACUCCUUAACUUAUCCCUUUUUGCCUUAGGCCAUCCUGCAGGAAACUUGUCAGUAACUAGAAAAUUAACAAUAUCUGCAUACCAGGGCAAAGUUAAAUUAGCAGAAAAUAAGUGCUCGUCAGGGAAGUUUCUCUCAACGGGAUAUCGUCCUUGGUGACUUGUACCCGACUCAAGUGAUCUGCUACCAAAUUCUCUGCCCCUUUCUUAUCUCUGAUCUCCAAGUCAAACUCCUGUAGCAACAAUAUCCACCUUAUCAGUCGCGGUUUUGCCUCUUUCUUGGUCAACAGAUACCGCAGGGCUGCAUGAUCAGAGAAAAUAAUAACUUUAGCACCAAGUAAAUAGGAACGAAAUUUUUCUAAAGCAAAAACUACAGCUAGGAGCUCUUUCUCGGUGGUCGAAUAGUUCAAUUGGGCUCCGUUCAAGGCUCGAGAUGCGUAGUAUAUAGCGUGGGCUGCCUUUCCCACUCUUUGACCUAGUACCGCACCCACUGCGUAAUCGCUGGCGUCACACAUGAUUUCAAAUGGGAGAUUCCAGUCAGGGGGUUGGAUGACAGGUGGAGAAGUGAGUAAUUUUUUCAACUUCUCGAACGCUUCUUCGCAUUUCUCGUCGAAUUCAAAACUGACAUCCUUUUGUAAAAGCCUGAAAAGUGGUGCCCCGAUCUUUGAGAAAUCCUUGAUAAAUCUGCGAUAGAAACCUGCAUGUCCUAGAAAAGAACGAACUUCCCGUACAGUUACGGGGUAAGGUAAAGCAGAUAUCACAUCUAUUUUAGCUUUAUCAACUUCAAUUCCUCUAGAUGACACUACAUGUCCUAGAACUAUCCCGUGCUCAACCAUGAAGUGACAUUUUUCCCAAUUCAGCACCAGGUUAGUCUCAAUGCAUCUUUUUAAAAUCAAUGUCAGGUUAUCUAAGCAAUCGUCAAAGCUAUCACCAUAGACACUGAAGUCAUCCAUGAAUACCUCAAUUAUCCUCUCUACAUAUUCAGAAAAAAUGCUAAUCAUGCACCUCUGGAAUGUUGCAGGGGCAUUACACAAUCCAAAAGGCAUUCUUCGAUAGGCAAAAGUGCCAAAGGGGCAAGUGAAAGUUGUUUUCUCUUGAUCCUCUGGCGCAAUUGCUAUCUGAAAAUAACCAGAAAAACCAUCUAAAAAACAAUAAUAGGCACGACAGGCUAACCUUUCAACCAUUUGAUCAAUGAAUGGAAGGGGAAAAUGAUCCUUCUUGGUCACUGCGUUCAAUUUACGGUAAUCGAUGCACUGGCGCCAACCCGUAGGCUUUCGAAUUGGAACAAGGUCCCCUUCAUGAUUUUCUUCCGCAGUUACCCCUGCUUUCUUUGGCACCACUUGGACCGGACUUACCCAUGGGCUGUCUGAGAUAGAGAAAAUAAUUCCUACGUCCAGAAGCUUGAUUACCUCUUUUUUGACCACUUCCAUCAUGAUGGGGUUCAAUCUCCUUUGUGGUUGUCUUAUCGGCCUAGCAUCCUCUUCCAGGCGAAUUCGAUGCAUGCACACAGACGGGCUUAUACCCUUGAUGUCUGCAAUUGUCCACCCUAUAGCUUCCUUAUGCUCCCUUAAAACCCGCAGCAGUUUGUCCUCCUCCGUGGGUGAUAAUUUGGAUGAGAUUAUCACUGGUAACGUCUCUUUUUCACCUAGAAAGGCAUACUUUAAAUGCUCGGGAAGGGGUUUCAACUCCACUUCAGGUGCCUGCACGAUAGAAGGUAACAGCUUUAGGUGUGGUUCAGGCACAAAUAUAGGAGCAACAUCAUACCUUAGAGGACUUUGGCCUAGUGAAUGCAAGGCUCCAACCAUUCUUUGCAAAUUGAUGUCUAACUCCAUUUCGCAGGCCACUUCCAGAUCCAAAUGUUUGGUGAUUGCUACCUCCAAUUCAUCCCUGCCAUUAAUCUCAAAUACUUCUUGCACCAAAGGGUCAAUUAUACUCACAGCAAAAACAGCAUUAGAAUGACACGGAUAUUUCAUGGCCUCAAAUAUACUAAAUGAACUAUUUCUCCAUCAAAUUCCAUCGUUAGGGUGCCCUUACUAACAUCAAUUUUUGUACGAGCCGUGCUCAAGAAGGGCUCCCCAACAAAAUUGGUGAUGGAUUUGGAGAACGUUCAUCACCCAUAUCAAGAAUAUAAAAAUCAGCAGGGAACACUAAAUUGUUCACUUGUACUAACACAUCUUCUAUCACCCCAUCAGGAUAAGCAUUAGUCCUAUCAGCCAAUUGAAUUAUAAUGCCAGUUUCCUUUAAAGGGCCCAAAUUCAGAGAAGUAUAUAUAGCCUGGGCAUCACAUUUAUAGAGGCUCCUAAAUCUAACAUGGCAUUCCUAAUGCUAGUGUUCCCUAUUUUCAAGGAAUAGUGAACAUACCUGGGUCUCCGCACUUGGGUGGAAGUUUUCUUUGAAGCACUGCAGAUACGUUCUCUCCCACAAUUAUCCUUUCAUCUCCCCUCAGUUUCUUCCUAUUGAUGCAUAGGUCCUUCAAAAAUUUGGCAUACCGGGGUACUUGCUUAAUUGCGUCAAGUAAGGGGAUAUUUAUCUCCACCUUCCUAAACAUCUCCAAAUUUCCUUUUCCUUGUCUUGCUUUUUAGGCCUUUCCAACCUGCUAGGAAAAGGUGGUGGGUUAGGCUUAAUGGAACCACUGGGUUACGUAUUACCUCUUCAUUUGUGCCAGGAGUUCCUUCUUCCUCAAGCUCCUUCUCAAUACGGUCCUCAUUCUUGUCCUUCGGAGCCACUGGGGCUGGACCUUCAACCUCUUUCCCACUCCUGAGGGUCAUUGCACUUACAUUCUUGGGAUUCACCUCAGGUUGGGAUGGGAGUUUUCCCUUCCCCUGGGAGUCUAGUCGGUUGACAAUGAGGCUAAUUGACUCAUCUGAUUUUCCAAGUUUUGCAUACGUGCUUUCAUCUCUUGAUUGUUGGCCUCAGUGUCCUGUUGAAAUUUCAUAGUAUUAGAGGCUAUGGUUUUAACCAUGUCUUCUAGGGACAUACCUGAGGUAGAGGAGGGUUGAUUCCUUGUUUGAUAUUGUUGCUGGAAGCCCUGCUGUCUAUUGGGGAUGAAAUUUUGUUGCUUAUUUCCCCCAUAGCUUAGAUUUGGAUGAUCCCUCCAACCCGGAUUGUAUGAGUUGGAAUAGGGGUCAUACUGUCUACGUGGCAUGGGCAUGUUACCAGCCAUAUUUGCUUGCUCAAUUCCCUCUUCAUGUAACUGUGGGCACGAGUCAGUGGUAUGACCAAUAUUCGUGCAAAUCCCACACACUUUGGCCUGCUGUGCAUUUCCUACAGCUAUCUGUCGAACAAAUGAGGUUAAUUCAGAUAACUGCUGUUCGAUGGAAGAUGAACUUACCUCGUUGACCUUUCUCGUAGGAACAUCUGCUCUCGUACCAAACUGCUGGCAAUUCUCUGCCAUUCGCUCAAUUAAGUCCCAUGCCUCCUGGGUAGUCUUAUUUACCAGUGCACCACCACUUGCUGCAUCAAUGAUAUUCUAUCGUUCAUCAGUAGCCCCUCGUAGAAAUACUGAAUCAGCAGUUGAUCACUUAUUUGGUGAUGUGGGCAUCGGGUACGCAGCCUGGUGAACCUCUCCCAAUAUUCAUACAAGGAUUCCCCGUGAAAUUGCUUGAUUCCACAUAUUUCCUUUCGCAAGCUAGCAGCUCUGGAUGCAGGGAAAUAUUUUUCAAAAAAUUUUUUCUGCAUCUCUGGCCACGUGGUGAUAAUGCCUGCAGGUAGACAGUAUAACCAGUCCUUUGCCGAAUCCUUGAGAGAGAAAGGGAAGGCCCUUAAUUUAAUUUGUUCAUCAGUUACUCCCGAAGGUUUCAUACUCGAACACACCACAUCAAAUUCCUGCAUGUGUUUGUGGGGUUCCUCUCCUGGCAGACCAUGAAAAACAGGCAACAAAUGUAUUAAACCAGGUUUUAAUUCAAAAGCUGCAUUCUCACUAAGGCGAGGAAAAGUUAUGCAAAGAGGUUGUUGGGUCAAGUUUGGAGCAGCCAACUCCCUUAAUGUUUGUGUGUUUGCCAUGUCGACGCUCUCUUGGCAAAAAUCACUUGAAGUGUCACCAAACGAAUCUGCUGGUUCAACUUCGGGCUCAGGUCUCUGAGAUGUAGCCCUGGAGUGCUCCUCUCUGAGCUGUCUGGUUUCUUUCCUUGUUCUACGCGCGGUUUUCUCUACUUCAGGGUCAAAAAUCAAUUCACCUGCACGAGAAGACCUAGGCAUACACUAGAAAAAUACCAGAAAAUUAGAGCAAAAAUGAAAUUUAAAAAGAAACAAAUAAUAACGCCAGUCCCCGGCAGCGGCGCCAAAAAUUGACAGGUCGUCAACCUGUGCAAUAAUAAUAAUAAUAUAGAACCUAGAUACCACUAAGAGCUGUCAAUAAUUAAUCCUAGGUACUGGAGCAGGGACUCUAGGUGUGCAAUGGGUUACUUGAUUCACCCUGUUCCCGAAAAGUUUGCUGAACCCGAUAUACCAGAAUUAAUUAGUUGGCAAAAAUAGUAGGCAGUGGCAAGUAAAGUCGUCUCCUCAGGGACUGGGGAUAUCUGUCUCUUUUUAAAGUCCAAUUGAUAAGGGGGGAUUUCACCGGAAUGGAACUAAAAAUAAUUAAACAAUUUAAUUAAAAAUAAAUAAAUCACUAGCACAAGUAAAGCAGGAAUUAAAUCAAGAAUAAAUAAGUUCUAGCCAAGGAUACAACUACUCAGGCACAGUCCAUUUAUCCGAUCAUUGAUGCAGGAGAGGUUCACUUAAUUUAUUAAUAGGUUAGUUAUAGUCUGACGACCAAUUUUUCCUUAAAUUAUUGAUAACCAAGGUACGACCAUUGAUCACCCCUAACCAGAAAAUACUCCUAGGUACGACCGUAGGAAUUAAUUUCCCAAUUGCAUUAAUAUUAGAAAAACCUAGCCCUAACCAAUAACACGCUACGAGGGUUAUUUAAAUUAGAUUGCACGUUCCCCUAAUGUGUAAACACACCAGUUGCCACUAAUAUUAAUCAAUCAAACAAUUACGGAUUUAAUUGACUAAAUUGGCACGAGACUAAUAAAUCACAUUGAACAUCGGGCCCUUGACAUCCAAUUAAUAAAAUAAUCCCAUGAAAAUACAAGCAGGCAACGUGCAAUUAUUAAUAAAUUAAGGAACGCGUGAAAACUAAUUAGAUCUCACAGGUUUUCGGGACUGCGCCGUCGAGUUGAUCCUUGACUAGAUGGAAGAUUUAGCCACGCCGCAUAAUUAAAUCACCACACGAAUUAAUGGAUUGCAAAGGCAUAGCGUUUUCUAUUAAGAAGCAAGGAAUAAAAGGUGUUUUUCCCGUUGGGGAAUUUCGUCGAACACCUGGCGUGCCAGAGGCCAGUCAAAAGAAGGAAAAAGUAAAGCUACACUAAAAGACUAAAACCAGAGAUAUCCCUCUGCUACUCUACGUUAUCCCUAUUUAAGCCACAAAAGAAAGAUAACUCAAGGCUCUCUACGUGGUCCCCACACAUGUGGGCAAAGCCUUCAAAGUACUUCUUGCCCCAAGUCUCCUUCCGUAGCUUUCUUUUUAGAGUCCAAAUGACUAGAUGCCUUCCACUAGCUUGUGGUCCCCACAAAUUCAAGGACCCAAGCAUUGAAGCCCUUAGAAGUCUCCAUAUUUUCCAUAAAGUCCCUCCUUUUGGUAGUUUUCUGCUUUAUUCCUGAAAUUACGUCCACAUACCAAAUAUGAGUAAAUAUCAGCAAUUAACACAAUAUUUGUCAGGGAUAAAAGGGAAAAUUAAUAAUAAAAUUACUAACAAAUUGUACCCUAUCAACAAAUUAUAGUAAUUUAUAUUUAUUAAUUGUCAAUGAAUGGUUUUAUUUGAGCUAUAAUUAGAAUGGAAGUUGCCUAAUUUAAGUAUAUUUUGGUUUUUGCGGGAAAAGCACGCAAUUGAGGAGGGGAUGAAUAAAAAACGCAACAAAAGAAGAAGAAACGUUGAAAGGGACUUUGUGAGGACUUCUUCCAGUUCCAAUGAUUUCUAAAGAAAUUUCUAAAAUUAUGAUGAAUUUUAAAAAAAUUCUACAAAGGGGGCAUUUUGAGUAUGGGAUUCCGUCCAAGAGAUCUUCGCAUUCAGCAAAUGCGAGCUCCUCAGCUCGCAUUUGCUGAAUGCGAAGUCUCUUGAAUUUGCAACCAACGAAAUCCAAAAAAAAAAAAAAAAAAAAACAGACCUCGCAUUUGUAAACAGUACGUAGGCCUGACCUCUUAUCCUGUUUCUGAGCAACAGAGCAUAGCCACGAAUUUGAAAGCCAUUUGCCAAGUGAAAAGAAAAUGUGCAGUGCAAAUGGGACACAAAAUUGAUUGGGGAGUCCUGUUGAGGUAGUACAAGUGGCAAAUUGGGAGGGGAGAGAGAGGCGCAGCUGGCUAGCUUCACAGAAAUAGGUUCCGAACAGGGGUCCAAGCUCUACAAUGGCGCAGAGCUUCCAACGAGAAAGAUGUGAGGGAUUUCGUCUGCCGAUCCUGGAAGCUUGGACUGGUGUCUAGCUCAGCAAAAGAGAAGAGAGAGUGAGCUGGAUGGAGAGAGUGAGCUCCAAUUUCUGCAGGUUAGGAGACAGAUUAGAAUGCCGUAAUUAUGAGCUCUGCCUUUUUUUCAGAUUGAGUACUUCGCAUUCGAGAAAUGCGAGGUACCUCAGCUCGCAUUUGGCAUAUACGACCUUUGUUGUUUUUUACUUUUUCUCAAAACCUUUCUCUUUUUUCUUGAAACACUGACCUCACAUUUGUGAAAUGCGAAGUCUUUGAACUAGCGUUUCACAAAUGUGAAGACCAUAAUCCUAAAAUUAGCUUCAAAAAUUACCCCCUUGUAAAACAACUUUUUUUUCUAUCACAAUUUAAGAAUUUACUCUGAUUUUUAGCAUAACAAGUUUGCGGCCAGAGUUAGAGCCGGUCUUCGGGCCGAAUUUUAUUGGAAAACCCAUUCAAACUCGAUUUUUGGUAAGUUUUCAAGACCUAUUCCUACCACAUUUCGGAUGCAACUUUGAGAGACUAUAAAUGGGACAUUCUAGGAUAUUUUUGGUUAGAAAGCAUUUAGCUUACAUUAGUUCAUCCUUUUUAUAUCUUUUUCUUGAGAGAUCACAAAGGAAGUGUUGAAGAAUCAAAGAGAAAGUUCAAGAUGGAGAUUGGAGUAGGGAAAAAUUGAGAAGUUUUCUUUACUUUUAACUUCUUAUUUUGUCUUCAUUUGAAUCUUGGAUUUAUCUGUGAAUAUGUUGAACUAAUUUAUAUCUAGACUUAAGAUUUUGUGAAGGAGAUUUGAUUAUUUGUUCUAGAUAAAUUAUUCAAUUUUUCUUUAUUUAUCUAUCUUGCCUUUAUUACAUAUUUAUGUUUGGCCACUAUAGAUAUGCUUUUAGGGUUUGUAUUGAAUUGAGAAGCGAUAUACAACCAUAUAUUAGAUAAAUAAACUUACUUAACCUAAUUAUGAAUGUGGGUUAGGAUUUGUAUGGCAUAAUCAUAUCACCUAAAAUCUUAAAGGGUUUAAUUAAAUACCUAUGAUCUCGAGAGCAAUGUGAGAUUUCAUUAGACACAAUUUAGAUGUAUCGAGAGAUAAUUAAAAUACUUUUACGUGAUACGUCUUUGACAUGUUAAGAAAAUAAUUGGAUAAUGAUUCCAAUUAUGAAUCAAAAUUUGAAACUCUAGUCUUUUGCUAAUUGUUUUCUCACCUAUAUCUUAUUUGAUUUGAUUACUUAUUUAAUUUCUUAAUUAGUGACUAAAAACCCUCUAAAUUUAAAUUUUUUUAUUUUUAUUAGAAUAAUUAAAGUAGAAAAAAUUAACUCAUUCCUAUAUGUUUGACCCUGGAGUACUCCAAGUGAAUUAUUAUUUCAAUCAACCCUAUACAGUUAUAGAAAUUCAUCGAUCACACAGCAACUUAAAAAAAAAUUAACGCACAAUAAUGUCAUGAACACAGUUCCCAUCUUAGUUGUUCAACAUUCACGGUGGAUCUCAAUUAGUGGUAAAUAGAUAAAGGCAUCGAAAAAGUAAUCUAAUUACUAGAUAAUUGAAUUUAUACUACAGCAUAUUUCUUUUUUCUACUGCAAAAACUUAACUAAUUUAAGACAAUGUAGUCCAAGCUAAUUGAAGAUUAAUUUCCCUAAAAAAUGUUCAUGAUAAAAACUCAACAAAGAGAUAAUACAACAGCUUACUUUGGAGGUGAUCUUAUACGGUCUUUAUUAACAAACUAAUUAGCCACUUAAGCCUUUUUUUUUCCUUUUGGGACUACACAUGACAAAAUGAGGAGUGAAUCAGUCGCUUAAUAUCUAAAAUUUUCCCUCCAUAAUUAGUUCAACCUGAUUUAAGACUAAAUUUUUACUAUAGGAAUGUUCGUGAUUCAGCAAUGAAAGACCAUAUAAACUUAUUUUGGGAGAUUUGUCCUAGAAGACAAAAAAUGAGCAACCAAUCAGAAAGUCGUACUUACAUAUCAAAAUCGAUACAGUCUACUUAAUUCACCAGCUAUGUAUAUUUCAUCCAUUUUCACAUAAUAGAAAGAACAAUAAUGCAUGGCAUUAUCCAUCAUAAAUUGCUCAUAUAACAUCAAGAUAUCAUGGUGUGGACCUCAAAUGACUCGUCAUAUCUACUGGCUACAUUUUAAACAUAUCUUAUGGCCAGAAUGUUCAUCUUAUCAACUUAACGAGUUUAUUCAUGGUACCAUACCAUUAAAUUAAAAAAUUUCCACGGUUUACCUUUUAUAGACGUCAAGGAAUAUAGCUGAUAACGCACUUUUGGCAGCAAGCUUCCUUCACCCAAUUAAAGAUUUUCGGAGCUUAAAGUUCAGCUCCUAAAGCUCUUCUCCAAGGCUCACCAACCAACAGAGAAAUUACUUUUAGCAAAGUUGUUAAAUUUUGGCACCAGGUUUUGAUGGCAUCUCGGCAAGAUUGGAAGAUUAUAUUGCGCUUCUAAGAUAAUGUUUAAAAAAGCUAUUUUAGUGAGGGCAUUAUGGUCAAUUUGCCCUGAUGAUAUUGACAUUAGGUCCCAUCAACAUCAGAAGGGAGCUCAUUGCAUUAUUGGAUAUAACAAGGGUGCUAGUGAAAUUAUGAAAACCCUCAAGGAAGGUAUUUGAAAUUAACCCUAAAAUACUCAUUCCACGCAAGGCGUGGCGUUCCCCUCCUAGUUCCUAUAAAUAGGGCUGCAACUCAAUGCACUUAUCACUCGAUAUCAAUAAUUUAGCACAUUAUUUACAUUUUGAGUGAGAUUGUGAUCAAAUGGCAUCUUCAAAAAUUUGCUCUUUCUUAUUCGUGUUCUUUUUGCACUUGUGCUCCUCAUUUCCUCUGAUGCAACAGCUGCAGGUGCCUAGUCCCUUUUUUUCUUUUCCUUUCUUCCUUUUUUUUUGGCUGCACCUAAAUACUUAAAUGAAUGGAGAUUUGGAGACUCAUUAUUGGAAUGUGAAUUUUUAUGGAAGGCUAUUUGUAUAUUAUCAAGCAAGUCAUAUUAAUGUGCUAAUAUCUUUUUCAUUGUUUAGCAAAAGUAAAUUUGGGUUGCUUCUAUCAAUGGUUAGUGGCACAUCUGAUUUUUCAUGCAUCCUUAUCGUAUUGCUGUAAGGAUACACGGUCCAUAGUGUCGCACCAAAGAUUAAACUAACGUCGAAAACCAAAUUAAAUGCUUCUAAUUAUAAUUUAAAGCAAAACAAUUUCCCUUAUAAAUGGACGAAAUUCCCUGCCAACAAAUCCAAAUUCAAGAAAAAAAUUUUCUUAAGGAGAAACUCUGCCAAAAUUUUCUUAAAAUAAAUAAAAUAUUUAAUUAAAAAAAUAAAGCAAAAUAAUUCAUAUCCAAGUCGCACCAUCUUAUAUGCCUAGACUGUUUUGUUUAAUCCAUAGUAUUCUUUUCUUUGCAUAUAUCUUGCAAAUUUUCAGCCUAGCCGGUCACCUAACGUUCGCAGCUUAAGAUAAAGCUCCAAAUAUUUAUGUCUCCUUGUGUCUUGAAACAGAUCAGAAGAGCGUGAAAACCACUGGUGUCCACGAUGCCAGUUCAGGCGAGGUUCAUCAGGAUAGCAAAAGCGAAGAUCGUUGCAGACAUGGUUGCUGCCACUGGUACCAUGGACACUGCCAAAGAUGCUGUCGAACUGCCGAGGAGACCCCUGAAGUCACAUCUGGAGAUGAGGAUACCGUAACCGCAGAUCGUUGCAGACAUGGUUGCUGCCGCUGGUACCAUGGACAUUGCCAAAGAUGCUGUCCACCUGAAGAUCGUUGCAGACAUGGUUGCUGCCACUGGGACCAUGGACAUUGCCAAAGAUGCUGUGCAGACAUGGUUGCUGCCACUGGGACCAUGGACAUUGCCAAAGAUGCUGUCCACCUGCUGAGGAGACCCCUGAACAUCGUUGCAGACAUGGUUGCUGCCGCUGGUACCAUGGACAUUGCCAAAGAUGCUGUCCACCUGCUGAGGAGACUUGCAGACAUGGUUGCUGCCACUGGUACCAUGGACAUUGCCAAAGAUGCUGUCGAACUGCUGAGGAGACCCUGAAGCUACAUCCGGAGAUGAGGUCAAAAAUUAAUGCUAAAUAAAUAAGGCCGUGACACAGGAUCCGUGACACCUAUAUUAUUACCUUAAUAUGUUAUGUUGUGUUUGCUUUUAAUGGUUGAUUUCCUAUAUGUGUAAAAGACUUGUGCGGCUUCUCUUUGAAUUGAUGUAGAAUCAACGGGGGAAGCAUGUAAUGAGUACUCAGUUCGAGUGCUCUUCUUAUGUUGUUGUCAUGUUGAAUAAAUAAAUCUACUUGAUCAUCCACUACAAUUGAUGAUCUUCUUAUGUUUUUUUUCACUUUAUCUUCCUUCACGAUUUUUGGUGGAAAUGCUUCAUUUAUACGAAUUUUCCUAGUUAGUAAAUGCUUCUAUUACACUUGUACAAUACACAUUUAAAAGUAUAACACAACAAAAGCUUGUGUAGUUCAUAUAUUUAAAAAAUAUUCAUACUUUUCAACUAAACUAUAAAAAUACGUAAUAAAUUCUUGAUACAUUAUACUUUACGAACUAUACUUUAAAUUUUAAAAAUAUUUAAUAGUAUCACUUAUCAAUAACUCCACAUGUUAAUUUGUCUUCCAAUUCAGUAAAUUAUAGUAGCUAAUUCUCAAAGCUAACCGACACCAAAAUUCCCUUGUUGGAUUUAUAUUAAUUACAUUGCAUUUAUUUCCUAAGCAUGAGUUUUGUAACCCCUCAUAUUAAAUCUCAAUGAUUGAUUUUAACGGUUACCAAGGCGUCUAGUAAUUGGUUUGCUAUUAAUUUGAACUAGACAUUUAUUAGGUCAAGUAGAAUUUAUUCCGUCUUAUCACUUAGUUCAUAAACCUUACGAAUCGUUAAAACCAGCUCUAACAUUACCUAACAAGACUUCUACAAUUUCGGGUUUUGCUUAGAAAUCAGUCUGAUAGGUUAACUUGCUUCGUCCAACUUUAUGAGUUGCUUCUUCUUUUUUUCCCAUAUUUGACAUUUCAUCUUACUUUAAUAUGGGGACCAAGUUAGUAUUGUUGACAUUUCAUAUCUAAGACCUCUUAGUUAAUUGAUUUGUUAUAAGAACUAUAACGUAUGCGUGUUUUGUAAGCUUUCAUUUUUUUUUUUCAAUUCUUGUGAACCAGCAACGGAUAGUUUCUUCUAGUACCAAGCUUCCUUUGAAGUUCUUUAUUUUUUUUUGCGUGUCCAAAUGUAAAUUAAAAGAACCAACAACUUUGAACAAGUCUAUAUCUAGUAAAGAUAGAUAUAAAGAGGGAUACUAUAUCACUGCAACAAAAAAGGGAUUUGGCGAGGAGCAAAAGUCCACGCCAAAAGUUUUGACUUCCUGGCCAAUUAAUUUCAGCAAGAAAAAUGCUUCCUCGUCAAGUUUCUUGCUAGAUGCUUGUCGCUAAUAAGUUAUUAGCGAGGAUGCUGCUGCUUUUCUCGCUAAUGAAACAGAUCAAUAGCAAGGGUUGACCUCCUCGCCAAUCUGAUUCAAAUACUAUGGCGAGAAAAACUUUCCUCACCACUAAAGUUAAAAACUCCCCACAAAAACCAGUAGUUCCUGAUAAGUGACUAAUUUACAUAAUAAUUAUAUGAUAUUUUAUAUUAUUUUUAGUUACUUUAGUUAUAUUAUUGGAAGAAAAUGAAUCAUUUUGGCUAUAAUUGGUAAAAAAUGCUUUUAAGUGAUUAAAUGAGGUUUUUAUCACUUUUUAGUGGGAUUUCGUGCAUUUUGACAGUUUUGACACAUUUUUGUAUUUUGGCUAUAACUUGGGCUACAAUGAUCGGAUUGAGAUGAUUUUUAAACCAAUUUGAAGAUAAGAGAUAGAUCUACAACUUUGGUGAAGACAUUUGAAUCCAGUUUGAAGGUUUUCAAAGUCAAAAAGCUGAAUUACAAUAGCAAAUUUCUACUGGUCGAAGCUGAAACAGGGCAAUGAGCAGUCAAGGGUAUUUCGGUCAUUUCUCAGCCUAAACAGAUCCAAAUGAGGUGAUUCUUGAUCCAUUGGAAAGAUAAGUCAAAGGGCUACAAGUUUCAUGUUUUGGUCAAGAGCUAAAUCAGCUUUUAUCAUCAAGAAAAGUUCAGUGGAAGUUGAUGCAAAAUCGGAGCAGAGCUGGAAAUUGAACCAGAAGUGACCAAAUGGUCACUGUAGCAAUCCGGCCGGAAUUUGGCCGGAUUUGUGGCUAGAUUCCUGGCCGGAUUGUGGUCAGAAAAGGCUGUUAUGUACGCGUAAAACUCAAUUUCACCUCCACCAACUCACAUGUGAUGCUAGACUUGUGAGAAACAUUCCCAACUGUAAAAGAGAGGUGUAAACCUCAAGUCUUGACCAAUCUUUCAUCUAUAUAUAGCCAAAUUCAUUGCAAGAUUGAAGGAUAUAGAGAGACAUAUGGGAGAACUUGGAGAGUGCAGAAAUGUAGCUCUUUCAUCUUCCUAGUGUUAGUUUAGCUUAGUGCAGAGUAGUAUCGAUCAUCCAUUCUUGUAUCUUGGCUAGAUUAGGAUGAAGAUGGAGGAGUUGAAACUCAAGUGACAUGGGUUAUUUCUUCUCCAACUCUUUAUCUUUUGUAUCAGAUUCUUAAGUUUGGUUAAUAUACAAGUUCUGGAUUUUGUGUUUAUGACAGGUGCCGAACCUGUGCAAUAAUAAAUACCUGCUCAAACUAAAAAUAAUUUCUGUAGAUAGUGGUGAGCAGGGUCGAAUCCACAGGGACUGGGAGUAAUUGUUUCUUUCCAAAUUCACAGUGACAAGGGGGUGUUUUUGUGCAGAAAGUGACAAUCAAACAAAUUCAAAUAAAAUCUAAGAAACUACUAAAAAUUAAAUAACAAAUUACUAAAAUCAAAUGAAUGAUAAUUAAGAAUCUAGCCAAGGAAUAACUUCAGCAAUGGUUCACCUAAUUGAUCAUCGAUAAGCAAAGGCAAUUCUAAUUAUUUACUAAUAAAUAGGUUAUAACUACCAAACAAGCAAUGGCAGUCAAACCCUCCUUACUGUGUCGGUGAUCAAGGUACGCCCGUUAAUCACUGCUCUAAUUGAGAAAUAAUUCUAGGUACGCUCGUAGAAUUUAAUUCCCCAAUUGCCUUACGUAUUAAAGGAGCCCUAUUCUAACCAAAUAACGCACUACCAGGGUUAUUUUAGAUUAGCCCGCGUAUUCCCCUGACACAAACCUAAUCAUGCCAGUUGUCACUAUUUUAGAGCAAUUAAACAAUUACGGAUUUCACCCUAAUUGACAAUAGAUUAUCAAAUCAAUUAAUUAUCCGGAUCCAAGACAAUCAAUUAAUCAAAUAAUCAUAAGCACUGCAACCAAGGAAUAUGCGAAUAUCAAUAAAUAAAAGAAAAAGAUUAAAUUAAAUCGAUCUCACAAUUUUAGGCGACCCAAAACAUCCGUUGCUCCUUGACUAGAAAAAGGAAUUUAGUUCAUAGUUAAUGAACAAAAUCCACAGGAAAUAAAAACAAGAGUCGCGGCCAUGGUCUGCGUCUUGGAAAAGUCCAAUUCGCUUCAGGAAAGGAAAACGAGGCUACAAAAGGUGAUUGCUUGUUACUAAUUCUUCCUGACAUACGCAGGGGAAAGGAACUACUACCAACCAAAAGAAAAGUCAAAGCUCAAGACUAUACUACAAGACGAAAAAACUAAAGAAGACCAGAGGAUAGUGCUCUCCUCCUGCAAUCUUAAUUCCUAUUCUAUUUGCUACUCCUCCUGUGCGGCGUCCGCCGCACCAGAGAAAAAGAAGACUCUGAGGUUUGCUUUCCUUUCCCUUUUUCUAGUUGCUGUUUUCGGUCAAAAUUACCAAAAAGGUCAUGCAUCUCCUUGUUCCAAGAAUGCCCUUGAUUGCCUGCUAUUUGAACUCUUUCCCGAUGACCGUCAAAUUGGCCUUGAUUGUGCCAUUUUUAUUCUACUCCCUGAAAUAAAUGAAAAUUACGAAAAGUGAGUAGAAUCUAAUAAUUAAUUCACAUUGGGUUAAGUAAUAGGGGAAAUUAAUUAUAAAAUAAAUGAUAAAAUUACAACCUAUCAAUUCCCCCCACACCUAAACCAUGUUUGUCCUCAAGCAUGAGAACAAGAAACAAACACCAAUAUUUGAUAGUGGCUAUUGCUCUAUCCAACAAAUUGCCAAGAUACCAAGAAAAAUAAUAUUCAAGCAUCAAUGGUCAAGUCCAAGAAACAUCACUCCGGUUAGCUUCUAAAUCAUAAACUCUUCCAAUUUCAGGUUAACUAAUCUAAGAAAAAGGAAUGUCGCAUAACAUUUAUCAGCAAAUGGUCCAACUAUUAACCAAAAUCUCAACAUUAAAUCCAUAAUUCGGCAAGCUGACUUUUAUUACACACUAACACAACCUUGACUUUUUUUUCACGUUUUUCUACUUUUCUUCUUUUCUUUUUUUUUUCUUUUCUCAAUAGUAACAAAAGACUUAGUCGCUAGCCAUUAGAGCCUUUUGACGCGAACUCCAACAUUGGCCAGAUGAAGGAGCCCGGUUACUCAGCUUCUAUCGCCACGUGACCACGUACUCAUAGGAACUACUACCUUUUGACGCGAGAAUCAACACUUGUAGGUGCAGAUCCCCGGUUACUCAGUAGUAACUAAUAGCGGAGUACAGUCAAGUUUAUUCAUAGCUAAAAAUCACAAAAACUCAAUAUAACACAAGAACCAAAAGAAAACUUGCAUCAGCUAACCUCAUUUUCAAACAUGGAGAACUAAAGUUAAUAACCGGACCAAUUCACAUGAAAAUGCCAAUAAUCAUUCCCUAUGCCUAGGAAAGUUAACCAAAAAUUAUAAGAGUAAAACAAUCAUUGAUAUUCACCCAAGAGAUGUUUUUGGAUUACCACAUUAACUUGGUACCCCUUUAUUAUUAAAACUUGGCAAAAGUAGAAAUAGAAGCAAUAAUCCAACAUCAAACCUGGCAUGCACUUACGAGCCAAUCACUAAAAAGAAGAAAAUGAACGAGAGGUGGACAAAUAACAAACUAAAAAUAAAGAACUAGUAUAGCCGUCCCCCCACACCUAGAUUCUACAUUGUCCUCAAUGGAGGAAUUAAAGCAAUUAAAGUGAAGAGGACAACGAAACUUCCCUCUUUGAGUGGCCACGAGGUAGGCGGGGACGGUGGAGGAAACCAAUGUGGUGGAAGUACGCGCCCAAGUUCUGAGACAUCAUACUCAAUUCAACCAGCAAAUGCAAAACUCUGUCCACCCAAAAUCUCAACAAAUAGCUCCAGUUGGCCAGUUAAUGCCUUAACUCAGAAUCAGCAAUUUCAACAUUGAGAGUUUAGGUAUUUGACAAUAACAAUUCAGUCACAAGUUCUUGGCUGUCAAUUAGACAGCCAAUCAGAUAGAAUUACCAAAUCUAGUCAAAAUACCCCAACCAGUACCAUUGGUGCACCCCACAGAUAAUGAAGCAACUUAAAUGGCAAACCCAAUCAACAAAAUGUACAUGUGAGGCACCCAAGGUCUAUACAAAUGUCCCAACAAAGCAGCGAUUGCAAUCAAUAAUCAGUAGUGGUCCUAAUUUACUCAAAUGCAGAAUUAAUGCAGCCCAACAAUUCAAUUGGAUGUACCCAACCUUGACAAGCAAAGCAAGUGGCACAGGUUUCCCAAGUCAACAGGCAAUUCAGAGAUAACUCAACCGAAAUCACAGUAGAAACUUCAAUUAAAUACACUCAACAUGAAUAAGCCAAGCAAGUGUCAUAGAAACUCCCCAAUUCAACAAGCAAUCACAGUAUUUCAGCUCACCCAAAAACUCAACAAUUCACCCAAAAGUUGAACAAAGGCCCCCAGCACUGACCCGUAGCAGGAGCCCCAAGAAGUGAACAAAUCAAGCAAUAGUAUUGGAAAACUCUGACAUUAACAACUGAAUCUCAAACUUCCAGCUUCCAAUCAGUUAGCCAAUAGAGUAGAAUUAAUCUAGUGGAGUCAAAACACCCAUAGAGUUGAUGAAACAAUUCUAACGGCUGACCCAAAGUAAUGAAAACUCCAACUUACAGUCAAAAGUAAACUCGGUCCAACUAAAAUUUCAACAAAUAUCCCCAGAAAUUUCAACAAAUGCUAUAGCAGAUCAAAGCAGUAGUAAAGCAAUAGUCCCAAGUAUGUACUAAUCCACCAGUUGGGAACCCCGGCCACUGAGGUCACAAACAAUGGUCCCAAAAAUAGCAAUAUUAACCAAUCAUCAGGAUGUGCCCAACAAUUAAACGAAAUUCUACCACCCUCACAAGCAAAUCAAGCAGCACAGGCUCCCAUUCAACAAACAAAAAAACAGGAUUAAUCAACUCAAAGUCCCAACAGAGAGUUCAAUUGAUUCCAAUCAUCAAUCCCAGCAACAUACGUUCCAAAUAAGCAAGCGGGUGUUAAGGAGAGGAGUACCAAAUUUCAAUUUCAGUUACUCCACCAGUACCACUGGUGUAGCAAAUAAUGGAAGAGGAAUCGCACACGACCAAUACCAAAUCACCGGUAAACCAAAAUAAAACUAACACUGCCAACACUUGAGAAUCGUAACAAUCAAAACACAAGCAAAGCUGCCUCCCAAUUAGCAAAUGACAAUUCACAAAUCCAGCCCACCCAAAAACUCGACAAAUGUACCCAAAAGUUCAACAAAUAUUCUCAAGAGUAUGGCAAACUAGGAAUGAACAAGAUCUGGGUCAAAUAUCACAACCAGUACCACUGGUUUACCACACAAUUGAAGAAAUAACCCCCAACGGCCAACAAUACCAAUUAUUGAGAAACCAGACAGCACCAAUGAAUAUUAAGAAAUUGGGGAAUAAAUUCCAAAUACCUCCACCGAAGAGAGUAGCGUGCGAGGUUGGCUGGGGCUGUUGGCAGCGUCCAAGUGCUUCGGUGGCGGCGUUGGCUCGCGAUGGAGUUGCGACGGAGCUGGCUAUGCGAGCAGAGAGGGACCAGCGAGCUAGAGUGGCGCGCGCAGACAGCGGAGGGAACUUCAGCAGCGGCUGCGGUGGAGAGGCGGGUGAGCUGUGAUGGCGGCGCGAGGGAGAUGGGCGGCGCUGCUGCGGUGAGAUCGAGCUGGUGGUGGCGCAAUCUGGCGUGCGGUGGUGGAGCUUCGUGCGCAGAGCAGCUGGGUUGCGCGCGAGGUAGAGCUCGGGUGGAGGUGGCGGCGGUAGCUCACGGUGGAGCUGUGGGCAGAGUGAGGGCCGCAAGGAGAGAGAGAGAGAUGGGAGGGGUUGCGGUUGAAACGAGGGUCGGCGGCGUCGCGCGUCGAGGUGGAGUGGCUUGCGGCGCGACGCUGGUCGCGCGAGGGGGUCGAUAGAGCUAUGGUGGAGAGAGGGAGGCGCGCGAGGGAGUCUCGGUCGACCCAGAGGAGAACUGGGGAGAGGAAAGAAAGAAGGAAGAAGAAGAAAGAAAGAAAGAAAAAGAAGAAAAAGAAAAGUUUUUUUUUUUUUUCAGGGAAAGACUCCCCUUUUUUUUUUCUCCUUGUUACUUACUUGAAAAAAUUUUUUUUUUUUAAAAAUUUUUUUCAUAUAUCAUCUUUUUUUUUUAUUGACAAAAUUUAUUUUUGGAAUUCAAAAGUAGAGAUUAACAGGAAAUCAAUAAUCGUUCUUGAGUUUCUUUGAAUACUUACCUUUCCCAUGAACGUGACGCGGCGCGUCAUGAGGGCAAGAGAGCUCCCAGAAGUUUCUGGUCGGGAGCUUCAUGCACGUCACCACGCGGGCGCGUCAUGACUGAAGGGCACCUAUAAAUCAGCAAAAACGAAAACUGAAACCCAAAAUCAGUCGAAUUCAAGGAGAGCACAUCUAAACUACCACACGAAAAUGAACAAACAAUUAAAAGGAACAAUUGGGUUGCCUCCCAAGGAGCGCCUUUCUUUAAUGUCUUUGGCUAGACAUUAUCGUGUUUUGCUCAUGGAGGAUAAAAUCUUGUGGCUCGUCUUACUGCUUCAUCCUCUAUAUAGUCCCGAUAACCCUCGUAAAUAGAAUAAUCCUUGAGCACACGAGCUACGGGCUUCCAUGGACUAGUGAAUGACGCCAAACGAGUCGAUGAUAAUUUACAUUCUCCAUUCGCUCCUCCCCACUUGCAUUUAUUGGUUCAAGAUAUCUCACCAUCGCCACUCUUAAUUUAUUCCUGUCAUGAAAUUCAAAAUUGUCUGGUAUAAUAAAGUCAAUUUCGUUAACAGGAAUUGAAGAGUAAGAGUCAGGAGAAUAUUGAUGAAGGAGUGGAGGAGAUGUCACCGCAUUUGGAGAUUGUUCACUGGAUUCUUUCACUUGAAUGGGUUGCGGUUGGGGUUCCAUUUCUUCUUUUUCAGCUUCUUUUUCAACUGCAUCUGUAGAUUUCUCAUUUUGACACUCUUGCAUCUCCUCAUCACUAGUCAAGCAAAUUGCACUCUCACUUUCUUCUAGAUCAACAAUGGUUUUCGAGGGCAAUUCUUCCAUUUAAAAGCCAAUUGAUUCAUUCUGGAUGUCAAUAGGCAUAGUUGAUCUGCCAGAUAACUCAUUGCAUCUUUCGUCAUCUCAUUCCUCAUUUGUGUCUCCUGUUGGAAUUUGUAUGUAUUAAUAAAUAAUUCACCCAAUUCCUGAAAAGACAUACCUGACAUGGACGAUGGUUGUUGAGACUCUUGCUGUUGAAAAUCCAUUGGCCCUGUUGUAUAAUCAUAACUGGAGUUAUCCCACCAUCCUUGAUCAUACCCGUUUGGAUUAGAGUUAUACCACGUUUGAGACCAGGGUGAAAAAUCUCCAUAAUUUUUGAGUGGGACACUCAGAUUAUCCUGAUAUUCGGGGCACAUACCUGUUGAAUGAUCCCUGGCAUAACAAAUUUUACAGGUUGCAGCAGCCAUUCUUUUUCUAAUAGAUUUUAGUGCCUCUGUAUAUGCAAACUCAGGAAAAAAACAAAUCUCAUCGCCUUGCCCGGAAAUAAAAUCCAAUACAUCACCAAAAUACGGAGUGUUAGAAGCCAUGAACUAUAUCAAAAAAAAAUAAGAGAAAAAAUAAAUAAAAAUGAAAACAAAAUGAACUCAAAAGGAAACAAAUUAAUCUGACACCAGUCCCCGGCAACGGCGCCAAAAAUUGACAGGUGCCGAACUGUGCAAUAAUAAAUACCUGCUCAAACUAAAAAUAAUUUCUGUAGAUAGUGGUGAGUAGGGUCGAAUCCACAAGGACUGGGAGUAAUUGUUUCUUUCCAAGUUCACAAUGACAAGGGGUGUUUUUGUGCAGAAAGUGACAAUCAAACAAAUUCAAAUAAAAUCUAAGAAACUACUAAAAAUUAAAUAACAAAUUACUAAAAUCAAAUGAAUGAUAAUUAAGAAUCUAGCCAAGGAAUAACUUCAGCAAUGGUUCACCUAAUUGAUCAUCGAUAAGCAAAGGCAAUUCUAAUUAUUUACUAAUAAAUAGGUUAUAACUACCAAACAAGCAAUGGCAGUCAAACCCUCCUUACUGUGUCGGUGAUCAAGGUACGCCCGUUAAUCACUGCUCUAAUUGAGAAAUAAUUCUAGGUACGCUCGUAGAAUUUAAUUCCCCAAUUGCCUUACGUAUUAAAGGAGCCCUAUUCUAACCAAAUAACGCACUACCAGGGUUAUUUUAGAUUAGCCCGCGUAUUCCCCUGACACAAACCUAAUCAUGCCAGUUGUCACUAUUUUAGAGCAAUUAAACAAUUACGGAUUUCACCCUAAUUGACAAUAGAUUAUCAAAUCAAUUAAUUAUCCGGAUCCAAGACAAUCAAUUAAUCAAAUAAUCAUAAGCACUGCAACCAAGGAAUAUGCGAAUAUCAAUAAAUAAAAGAAAAAGAUUAAAUUAAAUCGAUCUCACAAUUUUAGGCGACCCAAAACAUCCGUUGCUCCUUGACUAGAAAAAGGAAUUUAGUUCAUAGUUAAUGAACAAAAUCCACAGGAAAUAAAAACAAGAGUCGCGGCCAUGGUCUGCGUCUUGGAAAAGUCCAAUUCGCUUCAGGAAAGGAAAACGAGGCUACAAAAGGUGAUUGCUUGUUACUAAUUCUUCCUGACAUACGCAGGGGAAAGGAACUACUACCAACCAAAAGAAAAGUCAAAGCUCAAGACUAUACUACAAGACGAAAAAACUAAAGAAGACCAGAGGAUAGUGCUCUCCUCCUGCAAUCUUAAUUCCUAUUCUAUUUGCUACUCCUCCUGUCGGCGUCCGCCGCACCAGAGAAAAAGAAGACUCUGAGGUUUGCUUUCCUUUCCCUUUUUCUAGUUGCUGUCUUCGGUCAAAAUUACCAAAAAGGUCAUGCAUCUCCUUGUUCCAAGAAUGCCCUUGAUUGCCUGCUAUUUGAACUCUUUCCCGAUGACCGUCAAAUUGGCCUUGAUUGUGCCAUUUUUAUUCUAUUCCCUGAAAUAAAUGCAAAUUACGAAAAGUGAGUAGAAUCUAAUAAUUAAUUCACAUUGGGUUAAGUAAUAGGGGAAAUUAAUUAUAAAAUAAAUGAUAAAAUUACAACCUAUCAGUUUAUUAUGUGAUUUUAAAGUUUAUACCUUGGGUUUGGUUGAACUUUCUAUGAUUGUUAGUGUUUAUUAUUUGGUUAUUUGAUUGCUAUGAUUUGAGCAAGUUAUUUAGCACUUUGGUUCUUUAAAUCAUGAUUAAUCUGGUACCAUUGAUUGUGAUUAUCUAAGGUGUUGUUUCUGCAAUGAAAAUUGAGAUUUAACACUAGUUCAAGAAGUGCUAAACAUAGGGAGUACACGCACGAAAGUAGAGGUGCACCUAUGUGGUUUUUAGUGAUUCAUUUCAUGUAAUUUCAUUGAAGAAUGAACUUGUAGCUAAUUUCAUAACCAUGAGAAUAGGUAUGGAUUAGUUAUAAGUAUAAUUGAUUCACUAUGAAAGUAGGAUUCAAAUACAUAAGGAAAUUACACCAUAACUAGCCUAGAUGUAGUACUCAAUGAUCCAAAUAUAGCACUUGUAUGAGUAGUUAGGGAUACCACAACCUAAGGAGCUUUUAUUUGUUAUUUCAAUAGGUUAAAUUUGUUAUAAUUCAUUGAUAGUCUAAAUAAUAGAGAAGCUUUAGUAAUAUCGGUAAUUGUUCACUCUUUCCUGUGGGAUCUACCCGAUAUAUACCCUAAACUAUUAGUUGAUCUGUAUACUUGCAGUGAACGGGUGUAAUUCGGUUUUUUUUAACUUGUACGUAUGUAAAAUACCCGUCAAGUUUUUGGCGCCGUUGCCGGGGAAGAUUUGGCAAUAUCGGUGUGAAGAGCAACUUUAUUAGUUUAGACAUUUCAUUAGUCAUAGUGUGAAUGUUAUUUUCUGCUAUUUUUGUGUUUUAUGUGUGUAUGUGUUUCAUUACCUAUUUUUCUUACUAAUUUUGCUUUUGAGGUUGUUUAAAAGCAAUUUUAGGUGAUGAGAAGGAUAGGUCAAUUUGGAGGACAAUGCUUGAGAAAUGAAAGUUUGGCAAUGGAUGGUUACCAAGUGCAAAGCUCCUUCAACAGAGGUAAUCAAGAAUUUACUGAAUGUAUGUCUUUUGAAGAUGGUUUAAGGUGCUUAAAGGCUAAAUUUGAUGUUAUGAUGUUACAAGUUCAAAUGGACACAAUUAUGCAUGAAAUUGAGAAAGGGAGGAAUGUUAAUGCUUUUAAUUCUUAUCAUGUGAUUUGUGACUUGUGUGGAGGUUAUCAUGCUUCUAAUACAUGUAGACAAGCACAAAAUGUGGAUUAUUUUGAUGAAUUAGAGCAUUACAAUCCUUGUUUUGAUCAAUAUAGUGCUAAUUGGAGCAAUUCUCCUACUUAUGGUUGAGAUAAUCAAUGUACAUAUAGUGAUUAUCCAUAUUUUUAUAAUUACCAACCUGAAAGUAUCCAAUAUGAAUCAAAACCAUCUUGGGAGUUGGCAAUAGAGAAGUUAGCUAAUGCACCUCUACCUUGGGAGUUAGAAAGUAAACCAUUAGCUAAUGACUCUAAUGCAUCUUGGGAGCUAGCUGUAGAAAAUUUUUCUAAUUAAUUUGAUUCAACAAUAGAAAAGCUAGCAAACGCAACUUCCGACCAUUUUGAUAGGAUUGAGGAAAGAAUAGAUGAAUUAGCUUCUCACUUUGGUAGAAUACAUGAGCAAUUGAAUGUAUUGUGUGAAGUUAUUUCCUCUAAUAAUUUGCAAAAUGAUCCUAGCAUGAAUGGUGGGAAUGUUGUAUGUGAAAAUGGGUUGUAUAUUGACGAAAAUUAUGAAUCUCAAGUGUGUUUUAAUGAGCAAAUAUCCAUUUCACAUGAUAAUAUCUUUGGAACUAACUUUGAGCCUCAAGAGGUGAGUUUUAAUGACUCAUUUUUCACCUCUCUUGAGGAGUGCAGUGAAAGUAUAGGUUCUAAGGGUAUUGCUGCCCAAGAUACUCUCACGGCAUUUCAUUUGGUAAGUUCUCAAGUGGUGCAUAUUCAAGGUAAUAUCUAUGAAACACUUGGAUAGGUAAGUCACUUCCAUCUCUCACAUUAUUAGAUCAUGUGACUUUUGUUAUAAAGUCACUAUUUAAUGAUCCACUACGUCCUAAAAUGGUGGAUUAUUCUUUAACUAAACCUCCUUGAAAAAUGAGGUGAAAUAGUCAAGCUAAUGACUGUAAAGAAGCGCUUGUUGGGAGGCAACCCAGCGAUUUCUUGAUUUUAGUAAGUUUUAGUUGUUUAACUAGUGUUUUUGUGUGUUUUGUAGGUGGUAAUGACAAGGGUUCAUGCAAAUGAUCUCAAUGACAAAAGUGUCAAUAUUGAGGCAAAAAGGAAGUUUUCAUGUUCAAUUGAUGCAUUUCAUGCAUUUAAAGUGUUUCAUGUUAAAGUUACAUUCAUGCAUGAUCAUGUAUUUUCAAGUGUAUUUGGUUUAGAAAGACACAUUUUCAAUGUUAAACUUGGAUUUUAUUCAAAGAACAUGAAAGUAGGUGGAAUGCGGAAGAUUGGCCAAGCAAAUUUGGAGGAAAAACUGCAGAAAACAGCUUUUUCUGUAGCAAAUCCGGCCAUAAAUCCGGCCAAAUAUUGGCCGGAUUGAAGAACAGAUAGUCAGGGGAGAAAGAAAAAUUUUUUCGGACUCACUAGCUAGAAUCCGGCAAUAAAUCCGUCCGGAUUGUAAAAAAAAAAAAAAACUUAUUGUAGCAAUCCGGCCAAGAAUUCGGCAGGAAAUCCGGCCAUAAACUACUGGAUAUGCAACAGGAAAAAAAAAUUCUGCCCAGAAUCCUUCCAGCAACCCAUCCACGAAUCUCUCCAAUUUUUGGCCGGAUUGUGAACAGUAACCAGCGUAAGAUGAAUCCGUUUCACGGAUUCCUCACAAUUUUUCUCCCUUCUUCUUCAACCCAACUCAUACACUAACACCUCAAACACGUACCACUCACUAAAACACCACUUUUCACCAUUUAAUCUUCAAAUAACCUUCACCAAAUCACUUUCUCCCAUCCUCUAGAGUGAAUUUCAUAGUUCAUAUUUUUUCAAAAACAACUCUAAAGUGGUUUCAAGCUUACCAUUAGUUAGGGUUCUACCUUCUUGAAAUCACUCAAUCGAGGUCAAAUUGGAGUAAGUUUCUUGGGGUUUUCACAUCAUAUUCAUCUCUAAACAUCACCAAAGCACCUUGAGGUAACAAAUCUUCACCUAACUUUGUUAUUUGAAUUUUGCCAUGAUUAAAUAUUUUCUAUUUUUAGGCAAUUUUUAAUAUGUGAAGUUAGGUGCAUUUAUUUGAGUUUAUUGAUGCUAUUGGUGAUUGUAAGUGAUAAAUAUAUGUUGUGAUUUGCAUUUAUUGUAUUUAUUUGGUGAAUUCUUGCUAGUUUAUGCUUAAUUUGGCUUGGUGACGAAGUUGCAUAUUAAGUGGCCAAUGUAGCAUUUUAAUUAGUUUAGUGGGAGUUUUUGAUAUUCAUGUGAGUAAUUUAGAUUACCUAAUGAAUGAAAAGAUGCUUGGUUGAAUGAUUUCUUAAAUUCUUGGGUAAUUCUUAAAGAAAAGGUGAAUUGAAGAUGGCCUUAAUUUAUGAAAUUCAUAAAUGCACUUAUAAUCUUUGUGGUUCAAUGGUUUUUAGUAUUUCAUGAAUUCUCACGAAGGUCAUCUAUGAUUUGUUUUGGUGUGUUUGCCUUUAUUUUGAGAUUACUUUUGUACUUGAGGGGACUUGAUCAUUGAUGACAAAAUGUAUGAAUAGAACUUAUUUUGUUCAUGAUUGUGCAUUUAUUGUGUGAAAUUAGCUUCCAUUUUGUAGACACCAAAUUUUUAAGAUAUUUUGUUUACUAUUAUUUUUAUUUUUGAUUAAUUUCAUUUACUUUUAAUCUUUUAUUUUUAAGUCAUUUUAACACCAUUUAAUUGUUAUUUUGUUUGUUUCGAUUCUAGGUUUUUGAAAAAGAAAAGGAAAAAAAAGAAGAAGAAAAAGGAAAAAAGAAAAAUCAAUCGAAGGGACAAGAAUAAGACACAUAAGCCUGCUUUGGGGUUUGAAAUCUUGGCCUUUCAAGUUAGGUUUAGUCCUUGGAGAUGCCUUUAAAAUGAGAGGAAAGUCAAGAAAAAGGGGGAUGCUAGCCACGGCUGAGGGAGGAAAAACGCAAGGCCAAAAGCAGAGGAGGGCGGCGAAAAGAAAAGAAAAACCGGGAGAGAGGACCUGUCGCGCCCCACUUUUUGAAGGUGUGAAGGUAGUGUGUGGGAUAUGUAUGUGAACGUGUGUAAAAAUGAAAAUAAAAGGCCGUGGGAUUGUAAAAUGCGACGGUUUGGCCAAACAAAGUUCAAAAAGGAUUUUUGAAUGGAAAAUGGAGUCGCCACUUGGUAUAGAGUUAGGGUGUACCAAGUCACCCAAAAAUGAUUUUUGGAAAAAAAAGCAAACAAACCCUUUUUAAAGAACUUUUAGGUCUACGUAACCAAAGAAAGGGAUCGGGGGUCACAUUUGAUAAGGGAGAAGGCAAAGGCAAAGCCUAAGCACUCCUUUACCCUAGCCAAAGCUAGUUGCGUGACUCAGCCCCACUUUUCCUAAUUCUUCCUCUACCCAAAGUAUGCGUUGCAUGUCGGAUGUGACUAAUGGAUAUGACAAAAAUGCAAUCCUAAUUCUAAAAUGUCUCUUAUGAGGCUUCUUGGUUCUAAUCACAUGAGUUGUGAUGGUCAAUAAGGAAAACUCUCAUAGAGGUCACGGGUAAUGCAAAUGAAGACCCAAAUAUGAAUGCAAGUGUGAAAAAUGUAAGAGGAAUGCAAAAUAAGAUAGAAAUACAAAUGUAAGUGCAAGUGUGCAAAUGUAAGAAAAGUGCAACGUGUGCAAAUGUAAGAAAAGUGCAUGUGUGCCAAUUGAGAAAAUGAAGGUGUUUGUGUGCAAGUGGAUGAAAAUAUGGUAUAAAUAGUAGUAAAUGCGUAUAAGUGCAAUUGGGUGCAAUUUGUGAGGUAGAAUAUAAAUGAGUGAUAGGGAGAGAAGAGAAAUGUGAACAUGGCAUGUGGAGUGAGAAAAAUAUAAGUAGUGGGAAAAUGUAGAUAAAGAAAGUGAGGAAGUGAUAUGAUAAAAAUGAGAGUGUAUGAACCUAGAGGAAUGCAUCAAGUCGGGUACGGGAAUGACUUCUAACUUCAUGAUUUUAAUUUUCCUUUGAUUAGAAGGAAGAACUAGCGUGCUAAGGCUAUUUUGUAGCCACACUCGCUCGUUUCCCUUACCUAAAGGGGACCCUCAAGCAAAUGUACCCUAUAACUUGCAUGAAGAUGCAAAAGCCUAAAAUGAAAGGGAAAGGAUUGGAGGAGCAUGCCAAAUGCUAGAAAACUAAGAAAAAUGCAUGAAAUGUAGUGAAACAUGCAAGUAUGAACUAGCGAGGGAAAUCCCUAAGGGUCUAGCGUUGGACUAGCCCAUAUCUAUGAAUUCCUACUAGCGUUGGACUAGUGGAAAACGAGACAAUGAGCCACAACUAGCAUUGGACUAGUGUGGUGACGUGCAUUCAUCCAUUACAUUCAUCUAUGACUAUAGAAAGCAAGUAGACAUGCCAAUCACCUAUAAACACGUAACACAUAACACUUAGCAUGCUCGACUAAAUGCAAGAGCCUAAUAAAGCAAAUUAACACGUAGCAACAAAAGUAAGCAAUCAAUCUAAUGAACCUAUUGCAUUUUGCUAACUAAAACAAAAGGGGAAGAGGAAAAUGGACAAAAACUCUCUCCAAACCCUAUCUAUUACAAGCCAAGAGGUGUACACAUACCCCAUAAAGAAUAACUUAAUGAAAGCAAGCAAAAGUAAAUGAAAUAAAUGAAAGGAAUUAAGGAAAGGCAAGGAAAGCAAAGUAGACAUGUAAUUCUCACUUAACACGUUAGAUCACAUAGGAGAGACAAAAAAAGGAUAAAAGAAGUUAUACCUCCCCCGUUUGUGGUGCUAAUAAAGUGAACAAGACUUAACUUGGGCUAUGGUCACCAAAGGAAGAGAUAAUUUGGGCUAAAACUAUCAAAACAAGGGAUUAAUGCAUCACUUUAAUUAACAAAAUCUCCAGGAAAAGAAUAAAUAUGAAAUUGAAUAAUUAAACAAAGCAUUCAAGGAAGUUAAACAACCCCUAUUCAUCCAAUUAAACAAACAAAGAUCCAUUUAAAGAAUUAAAGAAUAUUCAAGGGAUCAAUUUAUUAUUACUAUAAAAUAAAAUAAAAUUAAGGACCUAAGGUGAGACCCCAAAUCAAAUGAUAAAAAUCACAUAAAAACAAAUAAAAACCGAUUUGCUAGGAUUAAACAAUAAAGAAUCCGAAUUAAAGUCAUAAGUCUCUUAAAAGCUAAUGAAACCUCAAAAUCUCAUCCCAAAAAACUCAUGCAUGUUCUGUUCAAUAAUCCCAUGAAAGCAAAUCAAGGAAAAAUAACAUGUUAAAGGGGUCAAAUUGGUUGAUUCUCCCAAUUAUUUGGGCCACAGGGGAACAAAGGGAGACUUGGGGGUUAAAGUGCUAAAAUCAGAAGUUAUUUUCAUGCAAAACAUGCAGCUACGUAUGGCUUAAACUUCUGCAACUAAAAAAUGAAACAUGCUUCCUUUUGUUUCCAAGCUUGCUGCAAUUUUCUUUUUUUUUUUUUUUUUUUUUUGCAAGUACAUAUCAACCUCAACACCAAUUGUGAUCAAAACCUUUCAACCAAACAUCCAAAAACUAAUCUAAGCAUCAUAACACACAAUUUCAACAUUCAAACAAACCAAAACAUAGAAGACAAAAUAUGCCAAUGCUGGAAAAUUCUAUGCAAAAGGUUCGGCAAUCCUGACUUGUUCCUUUUCAGCAAGCAUUCGAUCAUAGCUCAAGUAUUUUUAGACCCAUACUUGCAAACUCAAUUCACUCAUCCAAUUUCCUUUUUCAACACAAGAUUAAAUAGCAAAGUAGGUGAUGAAACCCACUUAGUGGACUGUUGCGAAAAAAAGAAAAAUCAGUAGGACAUAAGAAUGAACGCAGCUUUCUAUUUACUUUAGCCUGGAUAUAUUCUGCAAUUUUCUAACACUUUCCAUUAAACCAGCCUAGGGAAAACUUGCAUAUUUUAGCUACAACCUCCCAUCCAGUACAUCAUGCAAACGAAUUAACCAAAUACCAGGAUUUUAACUAUCAAUUAUCAAUUAAAAACAAAACACGAGAUGUUGUUGCAGGAUUCAAGCCAAGAAAUUGAAUUGACCGACAGAAAAAUGAAAACGCAGCAAGGUUUCUCUGCAAUUUUCUUGUCCAUCACACCCCAAAGCCAAAGCUUCCAAACCAUGUUAUUAACGCUGCCCAUAUGCAACAGCCUCUACCUAAAAGACCCAGACCGAACACAUGAAAGCAAACAAGAUGCUCAGAACAACACUUGCAACCUACGGGCCAUCCUCAUUCAGUUACAUGGAGAAACAAAACACGAAAAAGCUGAUGGCUUUUCGGUUCACAAGCUCUCAAACACAUGAAUUCAAGACAUAGCUAUGGCAGCCAAAAGACUUAGCCUUUUUACUCACAAACAAAGCCACAGAUUCAUAGUGAACAUGAAACAAGAAAGAAGGAAAAAGUAGACAAUAAAACAGCAGAUAUUCCAUAGGCAAGGAUGCGUUAAGAUAUACUGAAAUUUAAAGGACAAGACUGACUUACAGUGCUCGUGCCUUCUCCCUUGGUGAAGAUUUGCGAUUGAUGACGGCGUGAUAAAGUGAUCACAGCUUCUCGUGAGGGUCAGCAGCUCCCCUUUUUCCUUCGUCUGUUUUCCUAUCCAAAGCUUCCUGCUUCAGCUCCCUUUCUCCCGCAACUCCUCCUUCCGGUCUUAGUCUUCCCUCUUUCUAUUUUCUUUUCCUUUCCUAGCCGUCACUCCUCCCUCCUUUCAUUUCUCUCUUUUCCGUCAAAAACCUCUCAGCCGUUGUCACCCAAAAACUUUCCCUCAGAAUUUUUCUCAGUUCCAGCCGCCCCUCUCUCUCUGUUGUCAGCCGUUCCCUCUCCUUGGUUUUCUUUCCUUUCUUCAGAUUUGAAGCCGUCACUCGAUACCCCUAAAAGCUGCGUUUCUUGUUCUAUUUAUACCAGAAACCUGCUCUCAAACCCUUACCUGAAAGGUGAGGAUGAGAGCGGAGGUUUUACUGGGCAUCUUAGAGCCCUCCGAUGCCAGCCACAUUUUUCCUGAAGAUGCCGCUGCAUGCGGCUCUUUUUUUUUUUUUUUUAAAAGUAAUUUAACAAAAUUGAUAAUAAAAUUAAGUAAAAAAACAACAAUUUAAUAACAUCGAAAAUAAAAAACUAGAAAUAAUAAACAGCAAAGUUGCAAUUUUUUUCAUUUUUCUUUUUGUUUCUUCAUUUUUUCUUUUUUUUCAUCAUUUUUUAAAGAAAACAUUAAGCCUAUUUUUCCCAGAACCUGUUAAAUAGCCUGAAACCCGCUUGCGGGUUUCCCCUCUUUUUUUUUUUUACUUUUUCAAUAAAAGAAAUAGAACAUAUUUUUCCCCAAUUUUCAAUUUUUUUUUUUGGCAAAACUUAUGCCUAAAGUCUUAUAAUAAAUAAAUAAAUAGCUAAGAGAGCCCAAAAUGAAUACAAAAUAAAAUAAAGUAAAAAUAAAAUAAUAGAUAACAAUAAUCUAAGAAAUACUAAAGUGCUAUAUAAAUGCUAAAAGUCUAAGAACCAAAAAUCAUGGAAUUAACAAAAUUAGGACAAAAAAUCUUUAAAAAUUUGGUGUCUACAGUUUGCCCCUCUUUGUCUGAGUUUUGGAAAAACUUGAGACAAAGAAGUAGACACCAAAUACUUACCUGCGUUAUUUGGCCGCAAAAUGAUUCCAACGAACAGGAAUUUAAAACGGGACUGACCCGAACAGAAAUUUGAAACGGGACUGGCCCGAACAAGAAAUUUAAAAAGGGACUGAGCCGAACAGAAAUUUAAAACGGGAUUGCCCGAACAAGAAAUUUAAAACGGGAUUGACCCGAACAAGAAAUUUAAAACAGGAUUGACCCGAACAGAAAUUUAAAACGGGAUUGACCCGAACAGUAAUUUAAAACGGGAUUGACCCGAACAGGAAAUUUAAAACGGGAUUGACCCGAACAAAAUUUAAAACGGGAUUGACCCGAACAGGAAUUUAAAACGGGAUUGACCGAACAAGAAAUUUAAAACGGGAUUGACCCGAACAGAAAUUUAAAACGGGAUUAACCCGAACAGGAAAUUUAAAACGGAUUGACCCGAACAAGAAAUUUAAAACGGGACUGACCCGAACAGGAAAUUUAAAACGGGACUUCACUGAGGAGUUUAAACAAUGAAUUGAGUUUUUACCUGGGAGUGGUUCAAACUUUUUGUACCAAGAGGGAGAUUUGAUCUCUGUGCUGAAGCAUAGCUGAUGUUGUUUCUUAUGAUCAAACAUUAUCACUUCGUCUUUGCUUACUGGGGAGCUUUUUCUGACAUCGAUUUUGGUGCGAAAAGGAGAGUGGUUGUUUUCGUUUGUAAACGCAACGUUCCUGCAAGAAAAGAAGAAAUAAUGGACUUGCCACCAUCAUUUGAUCCGGUUUGCCUUGAGAAUCGUGUAAACAUGAGUCUUGUGAUGCUUUUGCCUCUGUUCUGCGGCGUUCUUAGUCGAACUUGUAAUUUUGAAACCUUUCAAUUUCUGAGACUGAUAAAGUACGUAUUUACCACGUCACCAAAUCUAUGUAGCAGCUUUGUUGCACUUUACCCACUUUAAUAGAUGAUUGAAUCCCCUAUCCUUGCACAAACCUAGGGUUUAUCAUCCAUUCGAAUCCAAUGGUGAAAGAAUGAUGCAUAAAAAUUUGUCAUAUAAAAAUCAAUGAUAUAUGCAAGAUGAUUUCCUAUGUCAGGCAAAGAUGAGCAUGCAAAAGAAUGCAGACAACCACAAGCAGUCGAACGCAAAUAAUCGAGAGAAACCAAGAGGUUUAUAAAGAUACAUUUUGCAAAAGAAUAUUGUAAAGAAAAAUCAAAUUUGGCCAACGAAUAUCAUAUUCAAGACUUUGGAUAUAUUUGCUUCGGAAUUCGAUACUGGCAGAAGUAUCACAAUCAUGAGGAAAGUCAAUGAACCAGGUCACCAGCUGUUCCUUCUCGUGCUCGUCUUGUUGAGAAAACCUGCCUUGGCGCCCUUUCGGGUUUUCACCAAGGUUGCCCCCACCCUUUUUGUUUUUUUUUUGUCUCUUUUUUUCUUUUUUCUUUCUUUUUUUCUUUUUUUCUUUUCUUUCUUUUUCUUUUUUUUCGAGGCGCCCUUUCGGGUUUUCACCUAAAGAACAAUGAAAUAUCUCGACCAUGAUCGACUCAGAAAUAUGAGUUAAAGAUUUCAGGCAUCAGUAAAAUGCACUUCCCUUGUAAGAUUAGGCGAAGGCAUUACGGACAUCACUUGCCAGUUGAUUAACAAAUUUCCUAAUAGAAAUGCAACAAGUGACGAAAGCCAGGACUUUGGGCUUUGUAAUGAGGUCAGGUGGGGUGUUUUUCAAGAAAAGUUGAGGCUUGAAAGCAAAUUUUGAUGCGAGGUGUGAAAUAACUUGAGAUUGCACUAUUUUGAAAUCGUUUCCGAUUUUGAACGAAACUGAGGAAAAUUUGCCCCAGUUUGAUCGGAUUUUCUCUCUUUGCAUUUUCUUCAUUGCAUUUUCCUCACUUUUGCAUUUUUUUUUUUAAAAACUAAAUUUGCCCCAGUGUGGGUUCUCUUUUCUUUUUGAUCAUCUCUCUUUCAAAAUAAAUUUGUCCAGUGUGGGGUUUGCAAUUCUCAGGGUUAUCAAGCGAAAAUUUGUCAAUUCUGAUGGCUCAAAGGGGACAAGUAGAGAUAAAAUGUUUUAAGUGUAAAAGAAGAUGGCCUGACUUGCAUUUCGCCGUUUGUAUGAAUUUCUAAAGAAAAUUUGCAUGAUCAAAUGAAAAACUUCUUGCACAUGUCUGAGUUGAUGGGUUGAGGGAAUGUUCGUCCAUCCAUUUCUGCCAAAAUAAGUGCUCCGCCAGGUAAUACCUUUUGGACAAUGAACGGCCCUUGCCAAUUUGGAGCAAAUUUGCCUUUAGCUUCAUCUUGCAUUGGCAAAAUUCGCUUUAGUACUUUGUCACCUUCUUCGAAUGCACGCCGAUGGACUUUUUUGUUGUAAGCCCGGGCCACACGUUUCUGAUAGCACUGACCAUGACAGAUAGCAUUGACGCCUUUUCAUCGAUCAAAGUCAAUUGCUCAUGGCGCUGCUUUAUCCAAUCAGCCUCCUCCAAUUUAGCUUCCAUGAGGAUUCGUAGCGAAGGAAUUUCAACUUCAGCUGGUAAUACAGCUUCCAUUCCAUACAUGAGUGAAUAUGGCGUUGCCCCAGUCGAUGUCCGGAUAGAAGUCCGAUACGCCAUUAAUGCAUAAGGCAACUUUUCAUGCCAAUCGCGAUGCCUUUCAGUCAUUUUACGGAUAAUCUUCUUCAAAUUCUUGUUUGCGGCUUCUACAGCUCCAUUCAUCUGAGGCCUAUAAAUGGCAGAGUUGCGGUGUCUGAUCUUGAACUGCUCGCAUAGUCCAUCUACCAUGUCAUUGUUCAGAUUCUUGGCAUUGUCUGUAAUAAGCGUUUCGGGUACUCCAAAGCGACAGAUGAUGUGAUCUCUCAAAAAUUGGCAACUACCUUCUUCGUUACAUGUUUGAAUGACUCCGCUUCAACCCAUUUGGUAAAGUACUCAAUUGCCACCAAUAUAAAUCGAUGUCCAUUUGAAGCGGGAGGAUCAAUUGUACCAAUCACGUCCAUACCCCACAUUGAACAGGGCCAUGGGGCGAUCAUACUAUGCAAUUCAGUGGGCGGAGCGUGUAUAACGUCACCGUGCAUUUGACAUUUUAUAUCUCGGACAAAAUCUAUACAAUCACGCUCCAUAGUAAGCCAGAAGUAUCCGGUUCUCAUGAUUUUCUUUGCUAGCAAAUGGCCAUUCAUGUGAGGUCCACAAACGCCACUAUGCACUUCUUUCAUCAUAUAUUGAGUUUCGUCUUCAUCAACGCACCUUAAGAGGUUCAAAUCUGAGGUUCUUUUGUACAAAACUUCUCCACUCAAGAAAAAUUUUGAAGCCAUUCUACGCAGAAAACUCUUGUCCUUUGUACUAGCAUGCAGAGGGUAAGACCCAGUUUUGAGAAACUCCUUAAUAUCAUUAUACCAAGGAAUAUUGUCAGAGGACUUGUCUACAACCCAACAGUGGGCAGGCUUGUCUUGAAGUUGAAUCUGAAUAGGUUCGAUCCUCAAUUCAUCUGGAUACUGGAUCAUAGAAGCUAAGGUGGCCAAAGCAUCAGCAAAUGCAUUUCGGGCUCGCGGGAGAUGUCUGAACUCCAAAUUUUGAAAUUGCUUGGCCAGAGUGAGCAAACUACAAUGGUAGGGCAAAUUUUUGAAUCUUUGGUUAUCCACUGCUUCAAGGUUUGUGCACGAGCAAAUCUGAAUCACUGAAAGCUAUCAACUCUUUGAUUUCCAUUUCUAAAGCCAUUUUGAGACCAAAAAUGCAGGCUUCAUAUUCAGCCAUGUUGUUUGUGCAAGCAAAUUGCAAUUUGGCAGCAGUAGUGCUUCCCUUCGGGUGAAACCAAAACAGCUCCAAUUCCAGCUCCGAGAGAAUUCGAAGCUCCAUCGAAGAAAAGCCUCCAUUCAGAGCUUUGCUCACUUAUAUCGUCUGUGGCGCCUACAAAUAAGACUUUCUCAUCAGGGAAAUAAGUAUGAAGUGGUUGAUAAUCAUCAUCCCUUGGAUUUUCUGCCAAAUGAUCAGCUAUAGCUUGCCCCUUGACAGCCUUCUGUGAAGUGAAAACAAUAUCGAACUCUGAGAGAAUUAUCUGCCAUUUAGCCAGACGUCCAGUUAGCAUCGGCUUCUCCAAGAGAUACUUCAAAGGAUCAGAUCGGGAAAUAAGAUAAGUGGUAUGGCUCAACAGGUAGUGUCUCAGCUUUUGAGCUGCCCAGGCCAAUGCACAGCAGCUUUUCUCAAUGAAUGAAUAAUUAGCCUCAUACUGCGUGAACUUCUUGCUUAGAUAGUAAAUGGCUUGCUCCUUCCUUCCAGAGUCAUCAUGCUGCCCGAGGACACAACCAACUGCUUCUUCAAGCACAGAUAGGUACAUGAUUAAUGGUCGACCCGGCUUGGGUGGCACCAAGACUGGCGGAUGUAACAAAUAAUCCUUGAUCUUAUCAAAAGCUUGUUGGCAUUCUUCACUCCAGUACAAUGGCACAUUCUUUCUCAACAAUUUGAACAACGGCUCGCAUGUGGCAGUUAACUGGGCAAUGAAUCUCCCAAUAAAAUUGAUCUUUCCUAAGAACUUUUCACGUCCUUCUGAGUUUUCGGCACUGGCAUAUCUCGAAUUGCUUUGAUUUUUGCUGGAUCUAUCUCUAUGCCUCUUUUACUGACAAUGAAGCCCAACAAUUUACCAGCUGGUGCCCAAAGGCGCACUUUGCAGGAUUUAGUUUCAAAUUGUACUUUCGCAACCUUUCGAACAGCUUCUUCAAAUCAACCAAUGGUUCUCUGCCCUUUUAGACUUGAUUAUGAUGUCAUCCACGUAGACCUCCAUCUCCCGGUGGAUCAUAUCAUGAAACAGGGUGGUCAUGGUCUUUGAUAAGUAGCUCCGGCAUUCUUUAGACCAAAUGGCAUCACUCGGUAGCAAAAUGUGCCCCAAGGGGUGAUAAAAGCAGUCUUCUCCCUAUCCUCUUCUGCCAUCAAAAUCUGGUGGUAUCCAGCGCGAAACAAUCACAAAAAGAUUCAAUCUCAUGCCCAGCGGUAUUGUCCAGGAGAAUGUGAAUAUUUGGCAGAGAAAAUCAUCUUUAGGACUGGCCUUAUUGAGGUCUCUAUAAUCAACACAAACUCGCACCUCUCCAUUCUUUUUUGGAACAGGGACUGGAUUCGAAAGCCAAAUAGGGUAAUGGGAAACAAUGAUAAUGUUGGUUUUGAGCUGUUUUUCAAUUUGCUCUUUAUUUUGAGGCUCAUAUCUGGUUUGAAUUUUCGGUUUUUGUUUUACGGGUGGAAAAGUAGGGUCUGUGGGCAACUUAUGCACUACCACAUCAGUUGAAAUACCAGUCAUAUCAUCAUAGGACCAUGUGAAUACAUCCUGGAACAUAGUCAAAAAUUCAAGCAUCUCCUUUUUCUGCCUCUCAUUCAAAUGAAUACUAAUUUGCACCUCCUUAACUUCAUCUUUAGUGCCAAUGUUAACCUUUUCUGUUUCUUCCAGGUUCGGUUUUGGUUUCUCCUCAUAUUGUUCAAAGUCCUUUGCAAAAGAAUCGAAUACCUCCUCAUUAUCACUCUCGCUUUGGAGCUCGGAUUCCCAGACCUCCAAGUCGUGAGUGAUAUAGAGAUUGCCAUUAUUGAAUUCCAGAAUAGUGAUAUCCAAAGGGUCAAAUAGUUUUAUUUUUGGCCAUCUGAAAGAAUUAACGAAUGUGGGAUAAUAAGCAAACAAAUAUACAACAAACAAAUGAACAAGCAAUAUGACAGAAUAUAAACAAACGAAUAACAAAACAACAUGACAAGAACAACUUGUGCAUUUUCAUAAAACCUUUGAUUGAAAGCGAAAACAAAAGAAAGCAAGCGGAAACGAAAUGAAAACUUAACAAUAUUUCACGUGCAAAUUUUAGUCAAAGGUAAAGAUGCUUUCAUUAGCUAUUUACAGAUGCAGAAGUAUUUUCAUGAAUUCGCAUGAAUGACAAACCCCUUUAGGUUUACCGAAACUCCUUCUGAAUGGGCAGAAACUCGGCUGUCCAAUUGGAAAUUGAUCCUUCAGGGAUGUCGGGAAACUCGGCCUCAUCUGGGAAACUGUCUUCAAAUGUUGCCCCAACGAACAAUUGGGCCAAACUAGUUUCGAUUCCGUCAACUGGGUUAAUCUCUGAUGUGAUCACCUCGGUUGGUCGUGGAAAAGUAUAAUGCAGUGGUGGAAUAUCAAGGGCCUUUUGCCUGCCUUCUUUCUCUGCUCUCUUGCGUUCCUUCAUUUCUUUGAUGUCUUUAGCGGUUGGUCGGAAACCCAACCGAAUGAAUCCUUUUUCUCCACAAUUCCACUGGUUUCAGAAUUCCUUGUAGAUCACGUCCCAGCCCUUUGUCAAACUCAUAUCCUCCGCGGAUCAUUUCCUUAGCCAUCAUGACACUGGCCUUUGACAGAGCUCGUUCCUCUUUUGUUAUCCAACUUACGGAGACGAUAUCAGCUGUGCUAUGAGGGGUCACUGUGGCGUUUCGGCUACCAUCUUCUUUGGACCCAGAAUCAGCAAUCACGAGGCAAUCCUCCUCGGCAAAGAUAGUUAUCAAUUUGUCAUUUACUAUGAAUUUCAACAAUUGAUGCAAUGAAGAAGGCACAGCUCCGGACUUAUGAAUCCACGGCCUUCCAAGCAAAACAUUGUAAACACUAGGAAAGUGCAUAACUUGGCAGGCUAUUUGAAACUGUGCGGGCCCCAUCUCGACUACUAAAUCCACUUCUCCUAUAGGUUCUCUUUGUGCUCCAUCAAAACCUCUAACUAUGGUCCUGAAGGCCUCAGCUUGAUAUCUUGCAACCCUAGCUUUUCCAAGGUACUCCAAGGACAGAUAUUAAGCGCAGAUCCAUUGUCAAUCAACACCUUUGGCAAAAUUUUCCCGUUGCACCUCACAGCUAUGUACAGAGCCUUGUUAUGUCCAAUGCCUUCCGCCGGUAACUCAUCAUCAGAGAAAGUGAUUUUUUUGUAAAUAACACAUCCCAACUAUAUGUGAGAAAUUAGCAACCGAAAUGUCCUUAGGGAUUUGAGCUUUGGUCAACACUUCGAGCAACGCAUCCCUAUGCAUAUCCGAAGAAAAGAGCAGAUCCAACAUGGAUAUUUGGGCGGGCGACUUGCUUAGCUUCUCGACUACAUUAUAUUCACUUCUUUGGAGCCUUUUAAGAAAAUCCAAGGCUUCCUUCUCAGUAAUUGUUGGUUUAGCGGGCAGCUCGGGGUUAUUUGUUUGAAUCGGAACGGUAGCUCCAAACGGACUUGCAAUCCUCCCUGAUCUAGUGACCACUGACACCUCUUCUUUGGCAAUUGACUUUUCUCCAAUUUGUAUGACAGGUUCAUCGUAGUUCCAUGGCACUCGCUGCAAACUUAGAACAGGCUCCUGCUCUGGGAAUUCGAUGACCACUGGCUCCAAAGCCUUGCUCUCAGCUAGAGUGAGAUCCAAAAUAAAAGGCCUUUUAUCCUCCUCAAAUGGCACCUCUUAUAUAAAUGGUUGGUCUGUGACCCCAAACACCUCAGCUUCCCUUGCCAAUUUUUGGACUUGCUCCUCAUACUCUGCGUCGUCCAGAAUGACCCCAAUGGUAUUAGCGUGGUUCAAGGGGUUCCUAUUUAUAUUCGGCCCUUGUGCCUCCUUUUUCCUGAUUACAAUCUCUCCGGCUUCAAUCAUAUCUUGAAUUCUAUGCUUAAGAGCCUUGCAAUCAACAGUUGAAUGUCCGGGUGCCCCUGAAUGAUAAGCACAGACGGCUUGUGGGUUAUACCCAGCGUAUAUGCCAUAUGGAUAGGUCGGAGGGGGUACCGUGCCAAAUUUUCGGCGGCCUUCAACUGGUCAUACAAUUGGUCUAGAGGCCUGCCUAAAUCGGUAAAUGUACGGCUACGGGGUUGGUUGUAAGGUUCAGGAGGUUGAGGAUGGCUAUAAACAGGUCUAUUUGGGGAGGAAAUCUUGGGUUAUAUGGAGGGCGAGGUCGGUUUUGGGGUGGAUUUGGUUGAGAGAUUUGAAAAGGGCUAAAGGUGGGUUAGGAUAGCUUGGGCGAGGUCGAGGGUGGAUGGAUAUUGGUAGUAUAUACAUGGUGCGGGUUUGAAUAAUAAGGGUAAUGUGGUUGGUAGGUUGGAUUGGUUGGUAUCGGGGUUUGGGUGAAGGGUUCUGGUUCCAGAUAAAAGUUGCCUCCCCCUCUUUCUUUUUAAACUGCGGCUUCUUUCCACUGCUCCCUUGCCCUUGCAAAGCUUCUACUUGUGAUUUUAGGGCAGAGACGUUGACAAUUUUUCCGGCUCUCACAAAAUCAUCAUACUCUUCGAGUUUAUUCACAAUCGCAGCAAAUGUACACCCAGUCAUACGGAAGAUUUCUUCGAAGUAUGGAGGAUCAUGCGCCUUUAUGAAAGUGCGAAUAAUUUCAUCUUCGGUCAUCGGAGGCUCAACCUUGGCAGCUAUCUUCCUCCAUCUUUUGGCGUAUGUCUUAUGAUCUUCAGAUGGUCGUCUCUUGGUGCCUUCCAAAGUAGUUCUGGUCGGUGCUAGCUCACAGUUAUAUUCGUAUUGUCUGAUGAAGGCGUUGGACAGAUCAAGCCAAGUCUUCACCUCCUCUGGCUUUAAGUUUGAAUACCAAUCGAGGGCGUCUCCUUCUAGACUCUCUGGAAAUAACCUUAAUGGCAAGUUUUCGUCAUCCACCGGUCUGCCCAACUUGUUGGCAAACAAACACAAGUGUGUCUUAGGUUGCCCGUACCAUCAUAUUUAUUGAACUUCGGGGUCUUGAAUCCCACGGGCAGCUGUACAUUUGGAAACAGGCACAGAUCAUCGUAGUCUAACACCCCUUGUUUGCUUAAACCUUGGCUUUUCCUGAUGAACUCAUCGAAACGAUCCAACCGCUUAAGUAACUUCAUAUCAACCGGGGCAGACGACUCCCCACUUCUGGCUUGGUUUGAACAGUGUGCUCGGCACAACAGGCUCUGCGUAGUCUGAUAAAAAGCUUGUGGAUCCUGAGGCAUGUUUGGACCACCUUGACCACCUUGAGGCUGAAAUCCUUGCCCAUAGGAGGAUAGAACGGAUUUUGAGUGUAAGUAUACUGCGGGUUGAAAACUCCCUCAAAAGUGGUUUGAAUUGGAGGAAUGACAAAUGGUUCGGAUUCCGGUUGUUUGACGGGCGCAGGCUCGGGCUGCACUCCGCUACUAAUGAGCUCGUCGAUCAACUUCUUUUGGGCGGCCAUCUCAGACGCCAUUUCCCCAAAUUUGGUGAGUAAUUCAGUCAACUGAACCCGGGACUUGUGGCUUCCGGCUGGGUAGUUGCAGCGGUCUUAUCAGACGAUUCUGGCUGAGUACUCAUGUCUACACGAUUCCUUUGGCUUUACUUCGGGACGUGUAAUAAUGGGGCUUUUCCGAGAAGCUAUUUUGAAAUUUUACCUGAAAAACAGAAAUGGCGUGCUUUUAGAUUUAGCCCUGACUUAGCUUUUUCAACAAAAACAAAACAAAGAAAAAGAAAAAGACAGAGUUAGUAGAGUUCCAAAAAUUCGGAUGCAUGUCCUAUCGGGGGCCUUUUUGUGCCAAGGGUAGGCCUAGCAUGAUGCAACACCUUCGAAAUGGGACCCGUAACACAAACCUGUUUUUGACAACAAUUCCAAUGAGUGCAAAAGAAAAAUCGCUUUCAUUGAUAAACUUGCCAAUAUUUACAUCAUAUGUCACGAAGACGAUUCCGUACAAGAUUGCCAAAACUUCUAACCUAUCUAAUACAGAGUCUUUGGUUUCCCUAGCAUAUGGAAUUCUAACACGUUCAGCUUGGUCAUACAAUUCUCCGCAUUUCUUUUCAGCUCUUGACGCUUUCCUCGUUCAUUUUCGUACAAUUGCUUGUGUUGCUUGCUAUCCCUUUGUAUGUUUCGACAGACUUGCUUAAUUGCAGAAUUUCCUUAUCCUUUGCUUCGAUAAUGGCUUUCAACCUUCCCACUUCCUCGGUUGGUUCAUCUUGUGUUUCUUGUGUGGCGGACCUUCUCACCCAAUCUUCGUAUUACGGAGUGGUCAACCCUUUGCUUGAGUUCCGGGAUGUAUUGAAAUCUCUCCUCAUCCGAAGUGUCACCCAUGCCUCGAUAAUCUGGUCUUUCAUAGGGAGCUCGUUUGGGCACAUUCCUUUACUGAAAAUGACGGUAAGCUUACUCAUAUCAACCACAGGUGACACUUCUUGUGUACGUCCUAACUGUCUGAGGAACCUCUUUGGAGUGUACGCGGCGAUUCCUUGGGUACCCAAUAGGAGAACAAAAUCUGACACUUUAGUGCGGAGUAUCGGCCUAAUGCAAAUCGUCCAGUCUAACACCCACCUAAUGUCUUGAUCUGGCAACAUCUCUAAGUAUUUGAUGCAUUCAACCGCAUCGUUCGGCAGACCCCCUUCGUUGACUCGCUUAUGAUGCGUGAUUACCCAAUUAUACCCAGCUAGUGGCAAACUUUCCGGAACGGACGCUCGUCUCUUAAAAUGUUCUAGGGCCCAGGUAUGCAAAACUAUAUUAGCCCCGUAGAAGAACUUUUCCCCUUUCUGGCAGUUGGUACAAGCUAGAAAAAUGUCCGCAAGGAUGGUCGGGAUUAUGGUGCAUUGUUUACUUCGGAUUCCUGAAAAGAGGCCUUGUAUAACCUUUGUUAUCUUGAAAGCUAUUUUCUGAUCUCUUCUUGGGAAGAAAUAAACUCCCGCCAUAACUAUUGCAUACACCACUGGCCUUUUGCGUUCCCAAACUUCCUUGGAUGUGAAUGAAAAAUCCUCCCUAUAUUUCUCGAACCCAUUUCGUAGUGCAAAAUGCUUAAACAAAGUGUUCACGGGAACUCCCUGAUCCGACCCUCGCAAUACGGCCUCUCUCAAUCCUAUGAUCUUGCAAAAUUCUAUCUUGUCUGAAACGUAUGGAAAAAUCAAGGCGGUUCCAUGCAAAGGUAAAUUGAAGAGGCCGGCGAUUUCCUCAAGUGUCACUGUCAUGUGCUUAUUGCCUACCCUAAAGGCCGAACAUUCCGGAUCCCACAGAUGUACUAAUGCCUCUACUAGACAGCCAUUGGGCUUGAUCUCCUUAAGAUCUCCAAUUGGCCCUAAAUAUUGAGCUACUUGAUGUAAUUCGCUAGGUAGCAUAAGGGCAGGCCAUCUUUGAAUCUCGGCCGACGGUACCAAUAACUGGUAGAUUCGACGGGGGCACUCCAUCUAAAAAUAGAAAAGCGGGUUUGUCAAUUACCUUACCUACGGGUCCCAUUCUCCGGUUGGCAAGAAUUUAAACGUGCAAUCCCUUGAAGUGUUAUGUACCCAUGGGAACAAUCAAGGUGAGUUUAAUCCUAAUAGCGGGAUCCCCUAAAUGGCAUUCCCCUUCUAGGGUUUAUGCAUGAUGCCAGUUUAUUAAAACAGUAAAAUAUGCAAUUUGAGAUGAAACAUGAUCUAAGGGACUCUUUAUUUGCCAGGGUAAGCCUAAAAUGAUAUGGCAUUAUUAAUCUAUGAAUGCAAUAUACCAAAAUCUUUAAACGUGCAAUAGCCUAUCUACAAGGGUAGGUUCUAAAAGAAGGUCAUGCCAGACCUCUUAUUUGCUAGGGUUUGUGAAUGCAAUGGGGACAAAACCAAGAAAGUUAGUUCAGCUAGAUAAAUACACAUAACACAUUGUAGCAACGAUAAAGCAAAUCAAUACAAAGACAUAAAGCAAUAGAAAGGAAAAAAAGGGUUGGAUCCCUCCCCUCGUGAAUAGUGUCCCUACCAGGGUAAGGCAGACUCUACCCUAGGUAAACUAUCAUGGAUGCAUGCGGUAUUGGCUUACUAAUGCAUCUAGACUCGAUAGGCUUUAGGUCCCCGAGCCUUCAGACUUGGAAACCGAGGGUCAUCAAUUCCAAGCUUCCUUGUCGUUGGCUCGAGCGAUUCCCCAGACAUUGCUACGCACACAUCGUGUCACGGCUACAUGUCAUGAGUGAAUCUAUCGAAAAUCCUCAACCUUCAACUAAAAGCUAAAGGCUAUGAACCCAAAGCUUAAAAUGGAAGAUUGAGUGACUCCUCGGAUCAUGUUACGCACACAUCGUGUCGCGAUCGCAAGUCCAAGUGAGUCGCCUAAAAUCCUAAUAGGGUGGAGUGGCAUGACAAGCCACUAAAAGAAAAUAAAUUAGGGGUAGAAAUUAAAGCGUAUGCACGUAUGCUAGUGCUCGUUUGGAGGGGAGGGAUCAAGAACCAACGCGAGGCUCUAGGGUAUGUCCUCCACCCAAAUGCAAUGCAAAGCGCGAAAUAAAACAAGUAAAAUAUAUAUCCAAACAACCAAUCAUACAUACGUGAGUGAGGGAGUAGUUUGAUACGUGCGCGAGGCAAAAAGUUCUAAAAAGGAAAAAUGCAACCCUAAUAUCCAAAUGCUAUGCAUAAAAAAGGUAGAAAAAAGGAAAAGAAUAGCUAAAUCAAGUGCUUGGACCCACUUAGGAAAUCCCCAGUGGAGUCGCCAAACUGUCGCGCCCCACUUUUUGAAGGUGUGAAGGUAGUGUGUGGGAUAUGUAUGUGAACGUGUGUAAAAAUGAAAAUAAAAGGCCGUGGGAUUGUGAAAUGCGACGGUUUGGUCAAACAAAGUUCAAAAAGGGUUUUUGAAUGGAAAAUGGAGUCGCCACUUGAUAUAGAGUUAGGGUGUACCAAGUCACCCAAAAAUGAUUUUUGAAAAGAAAAGCAAACAAACCCUUUUUAAAGAACUUUUAGGUCUACGUAACCAAAGAAAGGGAUCGGGGGUCACAUUUGAUAAGGGAGAAGGCAAAGGCAAAGCCUAAGACACUCCCUUUACCCUAGCCAAAAGCUAGUUGCGUGACUUAGCCCACUUUUUCUAAUUCUUCCUCUACCCAAAGUAUGCGUUGCAUGUCGGAUGUGACUAAUGGAUAUGACAAAAAUGCAAUCCUAAUUCUAAAAUGUCUCUUAUGAGGCUUUUUGGUCCCAAUCACAUGAGUUGCGAUGGUCAAUAAGGAAAACUCUCAUAGAGGUCACGGGUAAUGCAAAUGAAGACCCAAAUAUGAAUGCAAGUGUGAAAAAUGUAAGAGGAAUGCAAAAUAAGAUAGAAAUACAAAUGUAAGUGCAAGUGUGCAAAUGUAAGAAAAGUGCAACAUAUGCAAAUGUAAGAAAAGUGCAACGUGUGGAAAUGUAAGAAAAGUGCAUGUGUGCCAAUUGAGAAAAUGAAGGUGUUUGUGUGCAAGUGGAUGAAAAUAUGGUAUAAAUAGUAGUAAAUGCGUAUAAGUGCAAUUGGGUGCAAUUUGUGAGGUAGAAGAUAAAUGAGUGAUAGGGAGAGAAGAGAAAUGUGAACAUGGCAUGUGGAGUGAGAAAAAUAUAAAUAGUGGGAAAAUGUGGAUAAAGAAAGUGAGGAAGUGAUAUGAUAAAAAUGAUAGUGUUCCUAGAGGAAUGUAUCAAGUCGGGUACGACAUCCUUCUUUUUUUUCCUUUUGAUUAGAAGGAAGAACUAGCGUGCUAAGGCUAUUUUGUAGCCACACUCGCUCGUUUCCCUUACCUAAAGGGGACCCUCAAGCAAAUGUACCCUAUAACUUGCAUGAAGAUGUAAAAGCCUAAAAUGAAGGGGAAAGGAUUGGAGGAGCAUGCCAAAUGCUAGAAAACUAAGAAAAAUGCAUGAAAUGUAGUGAAACAUGCAAGUAUGAACUAGCGAGGGAAAUCCCUAAGGGUCUAGCGUUAGACUAGCCCAUAUCUAUGAAUUCCUACUAGCGUUGGACUAGUGGAAAACGGACAAUGAGCCACAAAAAGCAUUGGACUAGUGUGGUGACGUGCAUUCAUCCAUUACAUUCAUCUAUGACUAUAGAAAGCAAGUAGACAUGCCAAUCACCUAUAAACACGUAGCACAUAACAUUUAGCAUGCUCGAUUAAAUGCAAGAGCCUAAUAAAGCAAAUUAACACGUAGCAAACAAAAGCAAGCAAUCAAUCUAAUGAACCUAUUGUAUUUUGCUAACUAAAAAAAAGGGGAAGGGGAAAAUGGACAAAAACGCUCUCCAAGCCCUAUCUAUUACAAGCCAAGAGGUGUACACAUACCCCAUAAAGAAUAACUUAAUGAAAGCAAGCAAAAGUAAAUGAAAUAAAUGAAAGGAAUUAAGGAAAGGCAAGGAAAGCAAAGUAGACAUGUAAUUCUCAUUUAACACGUUGGAUCACAUAGGAGAGUCAAAAAAAGGAUAAAAGAAGUUAUACCUCCCCCGUUUGUGGUGCUAAUAAAGUGAACAAGACUUAACUUGGGCUAUGGUCACCAAAGGAAGAGAUAAUUUGGGCUAAAACUAUCAAAACAAGGGAUUAAUGCAUCACUUUAAUUAACAAAAUCUCCAGGAAAAGAAUAAAUAUGAAAUUGAAUAAUUAAACAAAGCAUUCAAGGAAGUUAAACAACCCCUAUUCAUCCAAUUAAACAAACAAGGAUCCAUUUAAACAAUUAAAGAAUAUUCAAGGGAUCAAUUUAUUAUUACUAUAAAAUAAAAUAAAAUUAAGGACCUAAGGUGAGACCCCCAAUCAAAUGAUAAAAAUCACAUAAAAACAAAUAAAAACCGAUUUGCUAGGAUUAAACAAUAAAGAAUCCGAAUUAAAGUCAUAAGUCUCUUAAAAGCUAAUGAAACCUCAAAAUCUCAUCCCAAAAAACUCAUGCAUGUUUUGUUCAAUAAUCCCAUGAAAGCAAACCAAGGGAAAAUAACAUGUUAAAGGGGUCAAAUUGGUUGAUUCUCCCAAUUAUUUGGGCCACAGGGGAAUAAAGGGAGACUUGGGGGGUUAAAGUGCUAAAAUCAAAAGUUAUUUUCAUGCAAAACAUGCAGCUACGUAUGGCUUAAACUUCUGCAACUAAAAAAUGAAACAUGCUUCCUUUUGUUUCCAAGCUUGCUGCAAUUUUCAUUUUUUUUUUUUUUGCAAGUACAUAUCAACCUCAACACCAAUUGUGAUCAAAACCUUUCAACCAAACAUCCAAAACCUAAUCUAAGCAUCAUAACACACAAUUUCAACAUUCAAACAAACCAAAACAUAGAAGACAAAAUAUGCCAAUGCUGGAAAAUUCUAUGCAAAAGGUUCGGCAAUCCUGACUUGUUCCUUUUCAGCAAGCAUUCGAUCAUAGCUCAAGUAUUUUUAGACCCAUACUUGCAAACUCAAUUCACUCAUCCAAUUUCCUCUUUUCAACACAAGAUUAAAUAGCAAAGUAGGUGAUGAACCCACUUAGUGGGCUGUUGCGAAAAAAAGAAAAAUCAGUAGGACAUAAGAAUGAACGCAGCUUUCUAUUUACUUUAGCCUGGAUAUAUUCUGCAACUUUUCUAACACUUUCCAUUAAACCAGCCUAGGGAAAACUUGCAUAUUUUAGCUACAACCUCCCAUCCAGUACAUCAUGCAAACGAAUUAACCAAAUACCAGGAUUUUAACUAUCAAUUAUCAAUUAAAAACAAAACACGAGAUGUUGUUGUAGGAUUCAAGCCAAGAAAUUGAAUUGACCGACAGAAAAAUGAAAACGCAGCAAGGUUUCUCUGCAAUUUUCUUGUCCAUCACACCCCAAAGCCAAAGCUUCCAAACCAUGUUAUUAACGCUGCCCAUAUGCAACAGCCUCUACCUAAAAGACCCAGACCGAACACAUGAAAGCAAACAAGAUGCUCAGAACAACACUUGCAACCUACGGGCCAUCCUCAUUCAGUUACAUGGAGAAACAAAACACGAAAAAGCUGAUGGCUUUUUGGUUCACAAGCUCUCAUACACAUGAAUUCAAGACAUAGCUAUGGCAGCCAAAAGACUUAGCCUUUUUACUCACAAACAAAGCCACAGAUUCAUAGUGAACAUGAAACAAGAAAGAAGGAAAAAGUAGACAAUAAAACAGCAGACAUUCCAUAGGCAAGGAUGCGUUAAGAUAUACUGAAAUUUAAAGGACAAGACUGACUUACAGUGCUCGUGCCUUCUCCCUUGGUGAAGAUUUGCGAUUGAUGACGGCGUGAUAAAGUGAUCACAGCUUCUCGUGAGGGUCAGCAGCUCCCCUUUUUCCUUCGUCUGUUUUCCUAUCCAAAGCUUCCUGCUUCAGCUCCCUUUCUCCCGCAACUCCUCCUUCCGGUCUUAGUCUUCCCUUUUUCUGUUUUCUUUUCCUUUCCUAGCCGUCACUCCUCCCUCCUUUCAUUUCUCUCUUUGCCGUCAAAAACCUCUCAGCCGUUGUCACCCAAAAACUUUCCCUCAGAAUUUUUCUCAGUUCCAGCCGCCCCUCUCUCUCUGUUUUCAGCUGUUCCCUCUCCUUGGUUUUCUUUCCUUUCUUCAGAUUUGAAGCCGUCACUCGAUACCCCUAAAAGCUACGUUUCUUGUUCUAUUUAUACCAGAAACCUGCUCUCAAACCCUCACUUGAAAGGUGAGGAUGAGAGCGGAGGUUUUACUAGGCAUCUUAGAGCCCUCCGAUGCCAGCCACAUUUUUCCUGAAGAUGCCGCUGCAUGCGGCUCUUUUUUUUUUUUUUUUAAAGUAAUUUAACAAAAUUGAUAAUAAAAUUAAGUAAAAAAAUAACAAUUUAAUUAACAUCGGAUAAAAUAAAUAAAUUAGAAAUAAUAAAUAGCAAAGUUGCAAUUUUUUUCAUUUUUUCUUUUUUGUUUCUUCAUUUUUCAUUUUCAUCAUUUUUUCAAGAAAACAUUAAGCCUAUUUUUCCCAGAACUUGUUAAAUAGCCUGAAACCCGCUUGCGGGUUUCCCCUCUCUUUUUUUUUCUCUUUUUCUUUUCUCUUUUUUUUUUACUUUUUCUCUUCUUUUUUUUUUACUUUUUCAAUAAAAGAAAUAGAACAUAUUUUUCCCCAAUUUUCUCUUUUUUUUUUGGCAAAACUUAUGCCUAAAGUCUUAUAAUAAAUAAAUAAAUAGCUAAGAGAGCCCAAAAUGAAUACAAAAUAAAAUAAAGUAAAAAUAAAAUAAUAGAUAACAAUAAUCUAAGAAAUACUAAAGUGCUAUAUAAAUGCUAAAAGUCUAAGAACCAAAAAUCAUGGAAUUAACAAAAUUAGGAUAAAAAUCUUUAAAAAUUUGGUGUCUACAGGACCCGAGAGCUGGAGUUGCGGCGGAGAUUAAGAAGAGAAAGAGUUGGGGGGUUUGGUGAGGGCUAAGAAAAGAAAACCAGAGAGGUUGGCUGGCGGCUGUGGGUAGAAAAGGAGGAAAAAACGCUAGAAGCUACGGGGGGACUGAGUGAAAAAGAGAGGAGGAAAAGAGCAGAAAAAGGGAUGGCUUGGGUUUUUGGUCGAAGGGAGCAAAGGGCGGAUAGAGGAAUAAGGUGACGGCUGAAGUGACCAGAGCUAGAAAAGAAAGAAAGCGAAACUAGAUAGGCCAUGGGCUGAGGAGAAACGAAGCCAGGGUAAGAGAGGAGAAGGAGGCUUCGGCUGGAAAUGGAAAUAAAGAAGAAAGGCUUUGGCAAGAAAUCAGGGCCAGGCUGCGGCGAGAAACGGAAAAGCUGAGAAAAGGAGAGCUUGGGAAGGAAAGCUCUGGAACCAGCCGAGAGAGGAGACUCAGGAGAGGUUCGGUCUUGAUGUCAUGGCCGUACAGUGGUCCGGUCCUUUGUUUUCAACAGGUAGAACCAGUUUCUUCUGUUCUUUAUAUAUCCAAAUCUCCUCUGUUUGGUUGUCCAGAGUUACAACCAUGUCGAAGGGGUCAUUUUCCUUCUGGGUUGCUUGAGCUUUUGGAUUGCUUGAAACUCGUUUGUUGUUUUGACUGAUUUUCCAUGUACAUGUCUAGCGCAAGAUUCUUUCUUUCGUUCUUUGCUGUGUUUUCAUCUUCUUGAAAUGGUCUGGGUUGGGAAACCUUUGACAAAUGCAAAACAUGGAAUGAGUCAUUAACGGUAGAGUGUAUGUUUUGUGGUUUUUGGGUUGAAAGUUUGCUGCUUUGUUGAACGUUGCUGCUACGCUAUGUUGCUUUGUUUUCUGGGUUAAUUGUUCUCUGCUGCCUUCCUAUUUUUCUUCCCAAUGUUCCCGCAAGUCAUUAGUCUAAGAUCCCCAUACCAGCGGAUGUUGGUUUCAUGUAUUUGAGUAUUUAGAUUAUAUAUGCAUUUGAAGUUGAAUCUCGACAAAAGGAAAAGGCAACAGUCAUAAGCUAUGUUUGAAUGAGAAGAAAUGGCUUUCACGAAUCCGAAAAUGCAGCUUUUGCUUUGUAGUUCGUUGCUGCUGGUUUCAUUGCUUGAUAGGUUAUUUAACCUUGCGUUUGAAGGAGGGAAUUGGAUGAGUGAGUUUGUGUGAUUGUUGGUCCAAAGGCGCAUAGAUCAGGCUCGAGUGUUUCCUGGAAAUCAAAUUCCUGUAAUGGCAAAAAAUUGCAGAAGGUUAUUUCGGUGCUUUGCAUGAUCUUUUGUCCGAGUUUUCUGAUGUUUCAACAUAAGGGUCUUAUGGUGGAAAGUGAGCUGAAUGCUUAGUGAUUGUGUGGUAUUUAGUUGCUUGAGAUAUUGAAAUGUUAUUUACUUGAGAUGAUGAAAUGAAAAGCAAGUCAUGGUUGGAAUGCUGCAGAAGAUGAAGAAAGUUUCAUUCGUAUGCAUGCAUGAGAAAUCAAAAGGAAAAUUGCAAUCCAACCUCACAUGUUUCCCCUAAUGCUGCUAUGACCCAACUAAUUGAAUAAAUUCAUCAAUUUGGUUCCUUUCUGCUGAUGUACUUUCAUGUGAUUUGUAGACAGUUUUUUAUGGAGUUUUAGGAUGAAUUUGAAGGGCUUUAAUAACUUUUUCUAUCUUUCUGGUUUUGAUUAGAAUUUUGGUGGAAUUUUGGGAAAGCUUGUUGUUCAAUCGUAACAAAUUGGUUUUCUUUUAGUUUUUGCGAAUUUUAUCUUGGAUUGGUAGGUUUCACCUUAUUUUAGUUGAGACCCCCCAAUAUUUGUAACAAUAAAUUGAUCCCUAAAAUCUCUUUAAUUUUUUCAAUUAGGUCUUUGUUUGUUUCAAUUUAAUGAAUAUGAGCUGUUUAGUUUAUUUGACCGCUUUGAGUGAUUCAAUUUCCAUUUCAUUGAUUAUUUUGUUAAUUAAAGAGAUGCCUCGACCUUUUCUUUGUUUUUGGAGGGUAAAUAAGUAAUUUCACUCCAUUAGAGCCCCGACUCAAGAGAGGUACACUCUAUCCCUUAUUUUGACCUUAUUUGACCCUAUGUGAACUUAUGUGGCUAUAUGUGUUUUAUUGCAUGCCUUUUGAAUGUUUUUUUUUUAUUUUUUUUUUGCUCUUUUUGCUUAAUUUCAUAUAUUUAUUUAAGUUCCUUUUUGAUCAUUUGAAAGGCACUUAAAUGCCACAAUUGUAAUAGUUAGGCUAUUAUAUCAUUUCAUUUAAUUCCUUCCCUCUUAGAUUGUAGUAGGUUUCUCCCCCCGAAUGUAAUAGUUAGGGUUUUAUUUGUUUUACUUGCCUUAUGUGUGUUGCAUGCCUAUGUGCUAUGUGUUACCGCUUUCUUAGGCUUUGGCAUCUAGAUAUGCAUGCUUAUGUGUUAUGUGAAUUACGUGCUCACAUGUCUACUUGCUUUAAUUAUGCACAUUACUUAUAUAUGUGUAUGAUGGAUGCAAAUGCACGAAACCGUGGCUAGUCCAACGCUAGUCAUGGUUGUCCCCUCGAGCCCUUACAAGUCCAAUGCUUGUGAGAGAGCGCUAGUGAAGGACUAGUCCAAUGCUAGAUCCAAUAGGACCGUCCCUCGUUAGUACAUACUUGCAUGCCUUCAUUACAUCUUCAUUCAUUCUUUCCUUUUAGUUUUACACUUUUGCAUGACCCUUCACUCUCUUUCCCUUACAUAUUUAGGAUUACAUUUUCAUUUAGAUUAGUUCAUUUGCUUGUAUAGGUUAGGGAGUCACUCUUUUGGUAAGGGGGAUGGACGAGUUUGGCUAUACAUAGCCUUAGCACGCUCAUUCUUUUUCUAACCAAAAGGAAAAUUAAGUCACGAACAUUAGUCCCCCGUACCCGUCUUGCUUGCAUUCCUCUAGGGUUCAUGCAUUUCAUUUAUCCACUAUCACAUGCACUUUUACUUCAUAUUCUAUCCCUUUUUUCACAUUUUCACUUCACACAACUUUUAUUUUGCACGUUUUCACUCUGCCACUUACAUUUUAUAUACUAUCACGUGCACGCACGCACUUCAUACUAUCACUCUACUCACCUUACUUUGCACAUCCAUUUGUACACUUCCACUUACACACUAUUAUUUUUAUUACUUUUUCACUUCACGCAAACUCAUAUUUUCACAUUGCAUACAUUCAUUCCACUCAUUUUUCCGUCAUUAGCAUUAUUCGUGACCUCUCCAAAGAGUCAUUAUGGGCAUCACUAUUAAGUGAUUGGCACCACUCAAGUUUUGAGAGAAAUUUUGCCCGAUGUUCCCCUAGGUCUAGGUUUUGCAUUCAUAUAGUGCAUUCAAAUGUGAUAAAUUCUUUGGUUAAAAAUAAGAAAAUUCUUGACUAAAUCACGCAACUAGCCUUGGUUAGGUCGAAGGGGUGCCUUGGAUUUUUAUCCUUGCUUCCCCUUCGUCAAAUGUGACUCCCGAACCUUUCCUUUGAUUUUCGUGACUAGGAGUCGUUUAAAAGGGGUUUUUCUACUUUUUUCCUUUGAAAACUCAUUUUUAGGUGACUUGGUACACCUUAACUCAAUAUCAAGUGGCGACUCGCGAUUUUUGUUCAAAAAACCCUUUUUAAACUAUUAUUUUGGGUCAAAUCGUCGCAUUUCAAGUCCAUUUAGACCCAUAUUUUUCCCAUUUUCUUUGUAAAUAAAAUUCACUUUUCAAACUGUUUAUUUUUCUUGUAAAAAUGGGGCGCGACACAUUUGCUUUGGAUAAUAAUGCAUAUAUUUCAUUAGCAAAGAUUAGCUCAUUUCAUGUUUUUAUCAUGAACAUUGUAUGGUUCCACAUGCUCGAUCAUUUUUCCUUUUUUCUUGACUUGCAUGUUUUCUUCUAGUUGAUUGCAACUGUUUAUUUUUAAGAAAUUUUAUUUGUUUUGAUUUUGUCUUUUUCAGGGUGCAAUAAGUGAACUCUCCAUUCUUUAUCAAAUAUACGGUUGGAAAUUUAUCACAUUGCUAUGGAUUUGGAUCGCGCAAGUCAUAAGGGGAGUAUUUUCUUUUACUCUUUAUUUAUUUUCCUUUCCUCACAUUGAGGACAAUGUGAAAUUUAAGUGUGGGGGGUGGGGGGAAAUACUGGACUUGCAUUUUAAUGCUAUGUGAUGAUAUUUUGUGAAUCUAAAUACUUAGAAAUGUUGGAAUUGUGUUUGAAUUAUUUGCCAUAUGGAUAAUUUGCUUGAAAUUUGGUUUGUUGGCAGGGAGUUUUCAUCCAUUUAUAAGGGGAAACUCUGUCAAAUUUUUUAAAAAUCUUUCCAAUAUUUCACUAUGGCCCAAAAGUUCUUCAAAUUUUUGCAUUUUCAUUCAAAAGGGCUAAUUUGUUCCAACCUUAAGAGAUUAAUUCUUCAAUUAUUGAAACUUUAUGUGUAUUUUGGAAAGUUUAGUUCUCAUUUAACUAGGAAAUAGUUAUUAUGCAAUUAGAAUUUUUACAUUUUAGAAAGUAUAUUUGGUAAAGUAAAGAAAUUAUGCCUAUAAUUUUACAUGUUUAAUGAGAUUUCUUCUCUUUACUUAAUUUUACAACUAAGUGAUUGAUAUAGUCAAUAAAGGUUAUACUCCUCCUUUGAUUAUUUUUAUAUCAUUUUCUAUGAGGGAAAAUCUAUUUAUUUUCUUAUAAAAAAAAGAGAGAAAAAAUAUAUAUAAUAAAAGAAAAAAGAAAAGAAAAGAAAGUAAAUAAAAUUUAUUCUACUCCAAUGAUUCUCGUACCGAGUAACUGGGGAUUGGCAUCUAAAAAUGUCGAUUUUUACAUAAAAAGGUAUUUGAAUUAAGAUUAUGCAUAGCAACUUGAAUAGGUGAAAUGUUGAGUAACUGGGGAUCUUCACCUAAAAGUGUCGAUUUUCGUGUAAAAAGGCAUUCUCACUAUUUAAGUAAAAAUUAGUAUGAAUAAAUCCCUCUUAGUUAUAGAAUUUUGAGAAAAGAUGAUUAUAGGAGGAGGAAGGAUAUAAAUUGACUAUGUGAUUUGCUUAUUGUAAAAUUAAGUUAGGGUAAGAGAUUAAAUUUAACUUGUUGAAUUUAGGGUAUAAUUAUCUUUCCUUUACUUGAUAUUAUGAGUAUUUAGUGUAAUUUGAACAAUGAUAUAAUGAUUAUUUUUCAAGUCUUGAGGAAUUAAAUUGGACAAAGUGCAUAUAUUGUUUCACCUCUUGAAUCAUUGUAGUUGAUUAUGUGUGGAUUGCUUGAGGACAAGCAAUGAUUUAAGUGUAGGGGAGUUUGAUAAGUGACUAAUUUACGUAAUAAUUGUAUGAUAUUUUAUAUUAUUUUUAGUCACUUUAGUUAUAUUAUUGGAAGAAAAUAAAUCGUUUUGGCUAUAAUUGGUGAAAAAUGUUUUUAAGUGAUUAAAUGAGAUUUUUAUCACUUUUUAGUGGGAUUUUGUGCAUUUUGACAAUUUUGACACAUUUUUGUAUUUUGGCUAUAACUAGGGCUACAAUGAUCAGAUUGCGAUGAUUUUUAAACCAAUUUGAAGAUAAGAGAUAGAUCUACAACUUUGGUGAAGACAUCUGAAUCCAGUUUGAAGGUUUCCAAAGUCAAAAAUCUGAAUUACAAUAGCAAAUUUCUACUGGUCGAAGCUGAAACAGGGCAAUGAGCAGUCAAGGGUAUUUUGGUCAUUUUUCAGCCUACACAGAUCCAAAUGAGGUGAUUCUUGAUGCAUUGGAAAGAUAAGUCAAAGGGAUACAAGUUUCAUGUUUUGGUCAGGAGCUAAAUCAGCUUUUAUCAUCAAGAAACGUUCAGUGGAAGUUGAUACAAAAUCGGAGCAGAGCUGGAAAUUGAACCAGAAGUGACCAAAUGGUCACUGUAGCAAUCCGGCCAGAAUUUGGCCGGAUUUGUGGCCGAAUUGUGGUUAGAAAAGGCUGCUAUGUACGCAUAAAACUCAAUUUCAUCUCCACCAACUCACAUGUGAUGCUAGACUUGUGAGAAACAUUCCCAACUGUAAAAGAGAGGUGUAAACCUCAAGUCUUGACCAAUCUUUCAUCUAUAUAUAGUCAAAUUCAUUGCAAAAUUGAAGGAUAUAGAGAGACAUACGGGAGAACUUGGAGAGUGCAGAAAUGUAGCUCUUUCAUCUUCCUAGUGUUAGUUUAGCUUAGUGUAGAAUAGUAUAGAUCAUCCAUUCUUGUAUCUUGGCUAGAUUAGGAUGAAGAUGGAGGAAUUGAAGCUCAAGUGACAAGGGUUAUUUCUUCUCCAACUCUUUAUGCUUUGUAUCAGAUUCUUAAGUUUGUUUAAUAUACAAGUUCUGGAUUUUGUGUUUAUUAUAUGUUUUUAAAGUUUAUACCUUGGGUUUGGUUGAACUUUCUAUGAUUGUUAGUGUUUAUUAUUUGGUUAUUUGAUUGCUAUGAUUUGAGCAAGUUAUUUAGCACUUUGGCUCUUUAAAUCAUGAUUAAUCUGGUACCAUUAAUUGUGAUUAUCUAAGGUGUUGUUUCUGCAAUGAAAAUUGAGAUUUAACACUAGUUCAAGAAGUGCUAAACAUAGGGAGUACACUCACGAAAGUAGAGGUGCACCUAUAUGGUUUUUAGUGAUUCAUUUCAUGUAAUUUCACUGAAAAAAUGAACUUGUAGCUAAUUUCAUAACCAUGAGAAUAGGUAUGGAUUAGUUAUAAGUAUAAUUGAUUAACUACGAAAGUAAGAUUCGAAUACAUAAGAAAAUUACACCAUAGCUAGCCUAGAUGUAGUAUUCAAUGAUCCAAAUAUAGCACUUGUAUGAGUAGUUAGGGAUACCACAACCUAAGGAGCUUUUAUUUGUUAUUUCAGUAGGUUAAAUUUGUUAUAAUUCAUUGAUAUUCUAAAUAAUAGAGAAACUUUAGUUAUACCGGUAUGUGUUCACUCUUCCCUGUGGGAUCGACCCGAUAUAUACCCUAAACUAUUAGUUGAUCUGUAUACUUGCAGUGAAUGGGUGUAAUUCGAUUUUUUUUAACUUGUACGUAUGUAAAAUACCCAUCAAUUGCUAGCAAAUAGUCAAGGCGUUUUGCUAGGAAAAAUAGCGCAUCCUCACCAAUAGUAUAGAUUUAGCAAGGAGUCUUUUGACAAAUCUGCAAUGCCCCGCGUACCAAUAAAACAUUUUUUGCCAGGAAAGUUUCCUCUCUAAUAAGCAAUAAUUGAUUAUUGCCUAACUGUUUGGUGGGAAAAUGUUCCUCUCCAAUGCUAUUAUGAACAUUUCUUAAUCCAUUUAGCAUGCUAAUCUUAAUUCUCUGAGCGAAUUACUGGGUGGUUUUAUUAGAAAAUUUAGCUGCAAAUAGCUUCAAUUUGGCUUCUCAUGUGUCUAUUGUACAUUUUCCAGUUCUUAUAAGUAUCAAAUUGUUUGGCAAAAAUUUUUUUUACAUGACCAACGUAGCUGCUCAUUAAAUUUAAACUCAUAAGCCCUAGUAUUUGAUAGCUUUUUGGAAUAUCACUUGGUGCCAACAACCCCUUUUGCUACUUUGAUAAACAUUCAAUAGAAAACAUACAACAGCUUUGGUUAGCUAAAAAUAAUUGCUAGCAAAGUAAUACAUCAACAUCCAGCUCUUUCAACAUCUUGAGCCAUACAAAUAGGAAGUGCUUGAAAUCAAUUGGCAAUCCAAAUUUUUUUAGCUCAUUAACUAUCCAAGAAAUCGCAACUUCAAUAAGUCAUUACAAAAGAAGAUUUCAUCAAGAGAACACCGGAGAAAUAUAGAAGAGAGAGAGAGUUAAACUAAUCAUAUGGACACAUAUUUGUCACCUCAGUAUUUCCAAUUCCUUAAUUCAGUCCAGUUAUCUUGGAACUCUAUCGACAUCCAUGGAACAUUUUUUGAAUGACAAUAUGCUGUUGCAACAUUCUGGUGGAGACUUCAAAGGUUCUAUGAUAGGUUGCAUUUUUGUCAUUAAUUCUAUGAUUAUUUUCCUCGUUUAUAUUACCAAAUAUUGUAUUAAUUGAUUGAUUCUACUUAUAUUUGGUAUUUUGUGUCAAUUGUAGGAAGGUGGAGAAAAAAGUAAUAAAAGAGGUGAUUUUUCAAGAGUUUUCCAAUUCAAGAUGGAGUUUACGUGGAGUAUUGGAUGAAAAUUAGGAAACUACCACUUUUUAUUAGAUGUCUUAUUAGGGAACAAUUAGCAAUAGUUGGAGAAGUUUCCUUUUGCAAUUAGAAUUCUAUUUUUAGUUGGCCAAUGGACUGCUGAAGUAAUGGACUUCAAUUAGGAAACAAACAGAGAAAAAAGGCCGGAAUCCCGCAUGAUUACUACCUUGGAGGGAACAAGAAAAAGGAGACGUCCGCUGGUCUCUUCUUUAGUGAGUCUUUUGGGAAAAACCAAUGGUUAUCGAUGGAGUUUUGCAGAUCUCUCCUGAGGAUAUGUAGCUAAAUCUCCGUUUUCUAGUCGAAUGUCAAUUUGAGGACUCGAUUCCAAACAUAUUGAUAAGAGAAUAUUUAAUGUACAUUUUGUACAAGUUUGGCAUGAACUUUUGGUAUGUUUUGAGAAGAUUAAAGCCAUAUUUGAAUUCUUUUGGUGAUAAAUGCUUAAAUAUUGUUUAAGUGUCCAAAAUUUGAUAAAUGAGUGGAUUAAUGCGUUAAUUUUGUGAAAUUGUGAAGGAUAUUGAUAUAUGAAAUUCAUGCACGAGAUGAAGGAAAUGUAAGGAUCGUCCAAAGGAUAAAGUACAAAAGAAACUAGGAGCAAAAAUGAAGAAAAAGAAAGAAGUGAAAAACUGGAAAUUGAUCAGCACAGAUCUGAGCUCGGAUCCAUGUGAACAAAGGGCGAUCCGAGCCCUCCUCUGUACUUCUGAAGCAGUGCAUUCGAGUCCAGACAAUCCAAGCUCGGAUCAUUAAGAGAAAGACCUCAGAUCAGCCUUGAUCCGAGCUCGGAUCGUAGUGCACACCUCGGAUCCAGGGCGCGAAUCUGCCUCUCUCUUCUGCAAGUGGCAAUGCCGUUUUUUCUCAUUUUUCACACAACUUUCCAGCUAUCUUGGGUGAGAGAAUUCGAUGGCACAUGCUUCUGCAACAAAAGGAAAGACAAAAUGAGUUAUUGACAAGUCAAAACAACAUUUCUUUUGACUUUCUUUACAAAAUCUGAGUUGUUGGAAUCAUGAAGGAGAACAAAUUGCCUUUCUACCACCUUUUAUGCAGAGAACCAAGGAGAAGUCAGGCAUCACCAUAUGGAAGGAGUUUUUCAUCUUGUAACAUUUUUCUCUCUAACUAGAAGUUCUAAAAACAAGCACUUGGAGAUUUCACUUGUAAUCAUCUUGUACAAGACAUAGCAGAAAUUUGAGGGUUUCACCAUUAAUUGGCUAAGCUUUUCUUUAUCUUUCUUGUACUUGUACUUUAUGAUGUUUUGCAUUAAUAAACUUGUGAGUUUGAUUGUCAUAAUAUCAUUCAUGAGUAGCUAAAUUUCUUUAUCUAGAGAGUAGAUGAAACUUAUGGCUAAAUGAUAUGAAUUGAAUGUGAUUUACACUUGUUAUAUCUUGUAUUAACUUGUCUAUUUGUGCAGUUGUAAUUACUUGUUGUUGUUUGAUCACCAAUAGCAUGUUUAUAGUUGUUAUUAGUCAAUGAGAAUUGGUAGUAACAAUGAAAAAAAUAUGAGUAGAGCUUGAGUUGUAUGUUCAUGAAAAUAGAUGUACACUUAAGUGGAUUAGCUAGCAUUUCAUGAAGGAAAACAGAGUAGAACUAGUAGUUCACCAUGAAUAUAGGGAAAACUGGAUUGCUCUAGGGCAUUUUAUCAUGAGAAUGAGAUUUGAUAAUAUUAGAAAUGAAUCCCUAAUUAAACAACAAUAAUAACAAGAGGUAAAUCUAUUCAUUUAUGUUGUUUAUGCCAUAAGUAGAAUCAACAUCCCUAGAUUUUUUCUUGAGUGAAAUUUAUCCAUUUACAUUUAGCAUUUGUUAAACUAGAUUUAUAGACAAUAGCAUUAUAAUUUAUCUGCUCAAAUUCAUUUAUAAGUCUAAAUAAUAGAGAAAAUAAGGUCCUAGUACUUGUUUAAAUUGCUCCUCGUGGGAUCGACUCGAUACAUACCUUACAUUACGAUUUCGACCUGUAUAGUUGCAGUCAACGGGUAUAAAAUCGAAUUCAAACUUGUAUUGAUAUAAAAAUUCCAUCAAAUUUUUGGUGCCGUUGCCGGGAGCGGCAAUAUUAGGGUCUAAUCAUUUCUAUUAAUUUAGACAUUUCUAUUGUUUUUAAGUUGUUUAUAGUUGAUUUUGCAUUAAUUUAGUUUUUGACAAUUAAAGCUGCAUAAUUUCUCUUAUUUCUAUUUGUAGUAUAUGCAUCGAACAUAUCGAAAAGUUGCACCUUUCGAUCCAGAAAUUGAGAGGACACUUCUUAGACAAAUGAGGAAUAUACCGCAUCAAGAGAAACAAGAGCUUUGGCAGCUAAUAGAGGAAAUUUUGAUAGAGCUACCAUUUGAGGAAGAAAUGGCGGAAAACAAACCAAAUAGACGAGUUCUACGAGAUUUUGCUUUACCGGAGACACAAAGAUCUCAAACUAGCAUUGCAAGACCAACGGUAAAUGCUAAUAAUUUUAAAAUUAAACCAUCACUGAUUCAAAUGGUUCAACAAUCUCAAUAUGGAGGUAAUGCUACCAAAGAUCCAAAUUCUCACUUGUCAACAUUUCUUGAAAUCUGUGAUACAAUUAAGUUUAAUGGUGUUAGUGAUGAUACAAUUAAACUUCGAUUGUUUUCAUUUUCGCUAAGGGACAAGGCCAAGGUUUGAUUACAAUCUCAUCCUCCAAACACUUUUACUACUUAUGCUGAAUUAGUUAAGGCUUUUCUUAAUAAAUUCUUUCCACUUGGAAAAACUGCUAAACUUAGAAUGAAUAUAACUAGUUUCUCUCAAUAGAAAGAAGAGACAUUGUACGAAGGUUGGGAGCGCUAUCGGGAAUUACAACGAAGAUGUCCUCAUCAUGGUUUACUAGAUUGGCUUAUAGUGCAAACAUUUUACAAUGGUCUCACUUAUCCAACAAAGACGCAUGUAGAUGCAGCAGCGGGAGAAGCAUUGAUGGGAAAGUCAGCCAAGGAAGCUCAACAAUUGAUUGAAGAAAUGGCUGCUAAUAACUACCAAUGGGUCCAACGAACGAGAUAAUACAAGGAGAACCGCAGGUAUACUCGAAGUAGAUACCUUGAAUAUGUUAAGUGCAAAGAUGGAUAAUGUGGUUAAGAUGCUUAAUAGGCAUGUUAGUUCUAACUCUAAUCAAGGAGUAGUUGUUACAUGUUCUACUACUUGCAGCGGAGAUCAUGAUGAUUCUAUGUGUUCUAGCAGCGAACAAGUUCAAUAUAUCAACAAUUACAACCGUCCACCCCAAAAUAAUCUAUACUCUAAUACCUACAAUCCAGGAUGGCGUAAUCAUCCGAAUUUUGGAUGGAAGGAUCAAGGGAACCAACAAAGACUAGUUAAUCCACCGAAUUUUCAACUGAAGCAACCACUUUCGGAGUCCAAACCAGCUUGGGAAUUGAUAAUUAAGAAGCUGGCAAAUGUAUCAAAUGAUAAAAUUGAAAAGUUAGCUAGUGCCACUACUCAACGGUUUAAAAGAAUUGAGGGAAGGAUGGACCAACUCACCAAUAUGUACAGGAAUGUUGAGAUCCAAUUAUGGCAAAUAGCAAAUGCAGUUAACAAUUGCAACCAAAGGGAUUUACCUAACAAGACUGAGCUGAACCCAAGGGAGCAUGUGAAGGCCAUAACCCUCCGUAGUGGUAAGGAAGUAGGUGAGUCACCUGUAGUUGAAAGUGAGAGAAAAUAUGAAAGAAGAAAAAACAAGCAGUUGAGUGAGUUAGGAGAUGAUAACAAAACAAUUGAUGGGAAAGAAAAGGUAGAAGAGUGUGAGCCACAAAUUGAAGCGGCAACACCAAUUCCUCCACCGGUGCCAUUUCCUCAAAGAUUGAAACCUUCAAGAAAUGACAAAGAAUUUGAGAAGUUUGUCAACAUUUUCAAACAAUUACAUAUUAACAUUCCUUUUGUUGAUGCUAUUUUGCAGAUUCCUUCAUAUGCAAAGUUUCUCAAAGAAAUAAUGACUAAGAAAAGGAGGUUAGUAGAUAGUGAAAUAAUUGCAUUAACGAAAGAAUGUAGUGCCAUCAUACAAAAUAAAUUGCCACCAAAGUUGAAAGAUCCGUGGAGUUUCACAGUUCCUUGCACUAUCGGUAAUGUAGAAUUCUCUAAAGUACUAUGUGACCUUGGUGCGGGUGUUUCAUUGAUUCCUUUAACAGUGGCUAGGCAAUUGGGGUUGAAAGAGUUAAACCGUACUAACAUUUCCUUGCAAUUGGCUGACAGGUCUAUUAGAUAUCCAAUGGGCAUUUUGGAGAAUGUGCUUAUUAAAGUGCAGAAAUUCAUUAUCCUGUUGAUUUUAUUGUUUUAGAUAUAGAGGAAGAUGUCAAUGUACCUAUUAUACUUGGUAGAUCAUUUCUGACCACUGCAGACACAAUAAUAGAUGUUAAACGUGGUAAGUUUAAGUUCCAAAUUGGUGAAGAGGAAGUGGAGUUUGAUUUGAGUAAAGUGGAGAAGUAUCCCUCUUUUACUGACCAUAUUUAUUCUAUUGACAUAUGUGAUGAAUUAGCAUUAAAGAUAAGUCAAGUUAAUCUUGAUGAUGAUUCUCUUGAACUCUGUCUUAAUGAUGUAGGCUUACAAGAGAAACAAGUUGAAGAAAUGACUGAAUUUUCGCGGGCACAAGUUCCUUAUAAAAGGAGAAAUGCGUAUGAGGAGUUAGGGCUGAACAAAGGGCUACCUCUACCAUCGUGUGAGCAAGCUCCAUGGCUUGAGUUUAAGCCACUCUCUAAACACUUCAAAUAUGCAUUUUUUGGAGAAAAUGAGACAUUACCGGUUAUUGUCAAUACUGCACUACAUGAGGAACAACUAGGAAAGUUUUUACGUGUUUUGAGGAAGCAUUUAAAGGCUAUAGGAUGGACAAUUUCUGAUAUCAAAGAAAUUAGUCCAACUAUUUGUAUGCACAGAUUUUGUUAGAAGAAAAUUCUAAACCGAUGGUUAAAAUUCAAAGAAGGUUAAAUCCAAACAUGAAAGAAGUGAUAAGAGUACAAAUCUUUAAAUGGUUGGAUGCAGGUAUAAUUUUUCCAAUCUCUGAUAGUGUUUGUAUUUCUCCUAUUUAUGUAGUGCUAAAGAAAAGGGGAAUAACCAUAGUGUGGUAAAAAUGAUGAAAUGAUUUCCUCUAGAGUUGUAGUUGGGUGACGAGUCUGUACUAAUUAUAGAAACUGAAUGCAGCUACUAGAAAGGAUCAUUUCCCUUUUCCUUUUCUUGAUCAAAUGGUAGAAAGAUUGGCUGGAUAUGAAUUUUUUGUUUCUUGGAUGGUUUUUCAGGAUACAAUCAAAUAGUCAUUGCACCGAAAGAUCAAGAUAAAACCACAUUCACUUGUCCUUACGGCACUUUUGCAUUUCGAAGAAUGCCUUUUUUGACUAUAUAAUCCACCGGCCACUUUCCAAUAUUGCAUGAUGGCAAUUUUCUCUGAUUUUAAUGAGAAAAUCAUGAAAAUCUUCAUGAAUGAUUUUUCUGUAUUUGGAUCUACUUAUGAUCAUUGCCUUAACCAUUUAGAUCUAAUUUUGCAGAGAUUUGAAGAAACAAACCUUGUACUCAAUUGGAAAAAAUGUCACUUUAUGGUUUGUGAGGGUAUUGUUCUAGGCACAAAAUUUCUUCAUAAGGUAUUGAGAUAGAUCAAGCCAAGAUAGAGUGUUGGCCUAAUCAGCAACAUCCCUCAGAUCCCGGCUCGAAGGACUAACCGCCCAGCCCGUGGCACCUAGGGGUGCAGCCCUCAUGCUGGCCGAGCGUGGUACGGUGCUUUGCGCUGCCAUUGUGGUUAAGGAAAUAAAGUUGCACCUUCGCUAACUGCUAUAGCUUUUGGUGCAAUGGUAAGCGCUUGAUCCUUACAUAGAGGUUAUUGAGAGAAUGCCUCCACCUACCAAUGUGAAAGGCAUUCGAAAUUUUCUUGAACACGUGAAAUUUUAUCGGCAGUUUAUUAAGGAUUUCUCCAAGACUGCUAAACCUUUAUGUAAAUUACUUGCAAAAGAUAUUACUUUUCAUUUUAAUGAUGAGUGUUUAUUUGCUUUUAAUAGGUUGAAGAAGAAACUUGUCUCCACACCCAUAAUAGCAUCACCGGAUUGGAGCUUGCAAUUCAAAUUGAUGUGUGAUGCGAGUGAUUUUGCAGUUGGAGUUGUUCUUGGAUAAAAACAUUAUAAGCAAUUUCAUGUCAUUUAUUAUGCAAGUAAAAUGUUAAAUGAAACCUAAGUCAACUAUGCAACAACAGAGAAGGAGUUGCUAGCAGUGAUAUUUGCAUUGGAUAAGUUUAGAUCGUAUUUAGUAAGAUCUAAAGUCAUCAUUUAUAUCGACCAUGCAGCAUUCAAAUAUCUCUUAAAUAAGAAAGAUGCAAAACCUGGACUAAUUCGAUGGAUUUUAUUAUUGCAGGAAUUUGAUUUGGAGAUCAAAGAUAAAAAAGAUCAGAGAACUUAGUCGCUGAUCAUCUUUCUAAACUGAAAAACAUGCUUCAAGAAGACCAUUCAUCCAUUAAAGAAGAAUUUCCAUAUGAGUUUUUUGAUGGCAAUUUAAAAGUCACCAUUGUAUGCUAAUUUAGUUAAUUUUGUAGUUAGUGGAGUGAUAUCAAGUGAUUUGAAUUCCCACCAAAGGAAAAAAUUCUUAAAUGAUGCUAAACAUUAUUUUUGGAAGAACCAUUCUUUUAUAAAUAUUGUGCAAAUGGAAUAAUUAGAAGAUGUGUUCCAGAAAAAGAGGUACACAGUAUUUUAAUGCAUUGUCAUACCCUUGAAACGGGAGGUCAUUUUAGUACAACUAAAACGUAGCAAAGGUAUGACAAUCUGGAUUUUACUGGCCUACUAUAUACCGAGAUGCUAGAAAUUGGGUUAAAAGUUGUGAUUAAUGCCAAAGAACUGGUAACAUCUCUAGAAAGAUGAAAUGCCUUUAACUACAUAUUUGGAAGUUGAGCUAUUUGAUGUUUGGGGUAUUGAUUUUAUGGGACCAUUUCUGGUUCGUUUAAUAAUAAGUACAUCUUAGUAGCAGUGGAUUAUGUUUCUAAAUGGGUAGAGGCAAUUGUUUCACCUACUAAUGACUCUAAGGUUGUACUCCGGUUUCUUAAAAAGAAUAUUAUUUGCAGAUUUGGUAUCUCAAAGGCCAUAGUUAGUGAUAAAGGAAAAUAUUUUUGUAAUAAACAACUUCACUCCUUAUUGUUUAAAUAUGGCUGCAGGCACAAGACAUCACUUCUGUACCAUCCUCAAGCCAAUGGACAAGCGAAACUAGCUAAUUGAGAGAUAAAGCUCAUUUUGGAGAAAACUGUAACUAAAUCAUGCAAAAAUUGGGCUACAAAGCUAGAUGAUGUACUAUGGACUUACCGAACGGCAUUUAAGACACUUUAGGGAUGUCGCCGUAUCGUUUAGUCUAUGGAAAACUUGUCACUUACCUGUAGAGAUUGAACAUAAAGUUUAUUGGGCUAUUAAAGCAAUUAACAUGGACUUUAAUCUUUCAGGUGGAAGGAGGCUACUUGAGUUAAGUGAAUUGGAGGAACACCGGUUACAUGCGUAUGAAAAUGCUAAAAUUUAUAAAGGGAAGAUCAAAUAUUGGCAUGAUAAAUAUAUUCUUCCUAAGCAUUUUGAAGAAGGGCAAAAGGUGUUAUUGUUUAACUCAAGACUUAAAUUGUUCCCUGGAAAGCUUAAGUCUCGAUGGUCCGGACCAUUUGAAAUAGUUCGCACAUUUCUUAUGGAGCGGUGGAAAUAAAAGGAGAAAAUGGUGUCCCAUUCAAGUGAAUGAUCAAAGAUUGAAGCUCUAUUUGGCUGGAGAAAGGGUUCCUAAAGGAGUGAUUUACUCCUUAGGAAAUACAAUGGAGAGUUAAGGAAGCUGUAGGAGAGUCGAGUUUAGCGACUUUAAAUAAAACACUUGUUGGGAGGCAACCCAAUAAUAAUAUUGUAGUUGUGUGUUUUUAUAUGUUUCUUAAAUUUUGGUGUUAUUUGAUUGACUAAUUAUAUGUAUUUCACUUGUUGUAGGGGGUGCCGGCAUUUCAACUUCCAUCUUGGAGGUGCACUUGAAGAACAAUAGUUAAAAGGGAAGUUUUCUUACCAAUUUCUAUUUUAAGUGUUUAAAAUUCCCUUUCAUGUAUAAUAUGUUGCAUUUCCAUUAUAUUCAAGUAAGUUUCAGUGAUAACAUGUUUAUACAUGCUCAUUGAUUCAUUUGAUUUGUAUCUCAUACCUAAGGGAGCCCUCUUAGUGUAAAAGCGCCAAAAUGAUCAAAGAAACUCACCCCUCGAUUUGCAAUGUAUAUGUGUUUGAUGUAUUUUGAGAGGUUGAUAUUGUGUUUAUGGUAUAUUACACUUGCGUGAAAGGGUAUAAUUGAUAGAAAUUUCGUCCAAGGUGUAAUUUGGAAAUUGUCGAAAAAGGGGGAAAAAGUUUGAAAAAUUGCAAUUUCUGAAAUUGUUGCAGAAAAAGCCUGAUCCGAGCUCGGAUCCGUUAAAGAUUCAAAGACGAAAUUGGCGAUCCGACCUCGGAUCCGAAGUUGUUCACUAUGAUCCGAGGGCUCAUCUGUGUUUCUAGAAGGCCGGAUCCGAGCCUAUAGGAUCCGAGCCUUGGUAUACACGAUCCGACCUCGGAUUGUGUAUUCUUGAAAAAUUCAGCAUAGGGGAUCUGAGCUUGGAUCCAACAAAAUCUAAUAGGAUCCGAGGGCUCAGCUGAACUUCUGAAGUAGCGGAUCUGAGGGAUGCCAGAACCGAUCUGACCUCGGAUCUGUGCGCGAUAAGAAACAAAUCCGAGGCUUUGAUUCUGCAUUUGUCCAAUUCUCCUUUUCCUAUUUCACCGAAAACCCUAGCCCUUCUUCACCAAUCUUCCAUUUCAUCCAAUAAUUAUUCAAUCUUUCACCACAAAAACAUCUCCCAACCUCUUGUGAUCAUAAACCCUCAACAAAUUCAUUUUAAAAACAUCAAUUUGGGGGUUUUGAUCUUCAAAACGGGAAUUCAGGCCGCACUGAAAUCUCACAAUUUGUGGUCGAAUUUGGGCUUGUUUCUUCAUCACUUUGUAUCAUUAUCAUCCUCCACCAUCAAUCUACACAUUUGAGGUAACAAUUUACAAUUUUUUUGAGAUUUUAUAAUUCCCAAUUUUACAUUUUUCUAGUUUUGGACAUAUUUUGGUAAUUGCUCAUAAGUUGAAAUUUCUUGAUACAAUUGUGCUACAUUGUGCUUAAAUAGAUUGUCACAACUAUUUUCAUGCUUAGUUUUGAGAGAAUUGUGGAUUUGGUAUUAUUUUGUAGAUUUUUCUUCUAAAAUUUUAGGUUAAUGCACAUGAACUCUUUAAUGAAUGAAAUUACUCCUCUAUGUGAACUACUUGCAUGCUUAAAAUUGAGAAAAUUGUUAUUAUAGUGAUAUUUUUGUAUAUUUUUCUCAAUUUUAAGUUUAAGUAUGUUAAAUCUUUUACUUGAAUAUUCCUUGUUCUUAGAGAUAAUUGGCAUUCAUUAAGAAGAAUUGGAGCUCAUUAGUUGGCAUUUUAGUGAUAAUGUGUAUAGCCAAUUAGUGUGUAAUUCUUGGAUAAAAUCAUGAGAUAAUUGGCCCGUACGUUCUUGAAGUAAUGAAAUUGAUCUUUUAAGAGUCCUUUUUACUUUGAGAUUAUAUUCUAUUGUUGAAAUAUGCAUCAAUUCUCAAGAGAUUGGACUUUUUAAUGAGAUUCUAAUUAAAAUAUGCUGUUCAAUUGUUGAAAGUGGAAUAUUCAAACCAUGUGUUGAGAUUGUAGAUUGAAAUUGAUAUCAUACAUGUGCAAUGAGUUUGUGAAUUGGUUAAAUACGAUAUGGUCGUGAAUUUGUUGAUUGUUGGCAGGGAGUUUCUUCCUUUUAUUGGGGGAAACUCUGCCGAAAUUUUCCCAAAUCAUUUUUAAACAUUGUUGGUCGUGUAUUUUCAAGGAAUUUAGAAUUCUUUUAAUGUGUGUUUGAUCUUAUUUUUGAUAUAGGUACCAUGGCUCGCACAAGACGAUCUCGUGUUCGUUUUUGAUAUAGGUACCAUGGCUCACACAAGACGAUCUCAUGUUCGCACUCCUUCACCUUCUUCAAGUGAAGAGCGUACUCCUUCAAUGCCUAAGGAGUCACCAGGGGAAGAAUCUCCUUAACCACAGUCGUCGCCACACUUACGGCGUAAGAGAGCAUCUACGAGACAUGAGAAGCCAACUCCAGAUUAUGACACCACUCAUUUUACCUCACUCGAGAAUCAAUAGUGGUACGAGACCGGUUUAGACAAAGAGUUCAUAAUUGAAAAACACUUGGCCCCGGAGGUGGAUGACCACUACAAGAUCUCCAUGGCAUUCAAGCGACUUGGAUGGGAGACUAUACUAAAUUUGCCGAAACAUUACUAUCCCAAUCUGGUCUGGGAGUUUUACGCCAAUGUGGAAGACAAAUAGAACCACAGUGGCAACCUCAUCAUCUCCUGGGUUCGAGGCAAGAGAGUGGCUCUCACUCGACAUACAAUCACCCAAAUCGUCAAACUAAAGGACAAUGGAGAAGAUGUUAAAUUGACCAAGGAAUUUAAGGCACGUGAUCCAUGGCAAGUCUGAGAAGCUGUGGCAUGUCUUAAGGGUCAAUAUCGAGAGCGAGAAAGUUCGAAAAGCUCAUUGUAUACGCCAAUUCCUUUGAGUAUAGGUACCACCUGAUCUUCUAUCUCUUCACGCUUCAAUGUGGUACCGAAAAGGAGUGAAAAAAGGGAGCUCGAAACGGUGACUUGUAUUUCCUCGAUAAUAUGAUGCACGGUGUGGGUAGGCUGCUGACUAGUAUUCCUCUGGCCAGCAUCAUCAUCAGUUACAUGUGUACUACAGCUCGCAUGAGAGCCGACGAAACUUGCUUUGGGUUCCCUCGUUUGCUCUCCCUUAUUUUUAAGCAACUCAAGGUUCCUCUGGGAACCGAGCGAGCCAUUAUUACUAGGGCAGCCGAGGAAGUCAAUGGCUUAGUACUCAGGUCCUUAGGUAUUCCUACGAAUUUUGGAGCUUCUCUAGUACGGGAUGUUGGAGAAGCAUUGACUUCCACUCAGCCUCCACCUCACACUGAACCACACCAGGAAGCUCAAGAGACGGAGGCACAGCAGACUCUCCCUCCUCCCAUUCCACGACCACCCCCUCCACAACGAUCCAAGUGGCAAGAGGCCCUCAAUGCCAUCUGCUGUAUAGAGACACAAGUCAUGGAGCGCAUUGAUCAGACAGAGCGGCUGAUGACGGAGCGACUAGACAGGCAUGAUCACCGUCUUCGAGCGAUCGAGGAUCAUUUCCACAUUCGCCGCUCCCCUACACUGAUUCCUGAGCCAAGGCCCAAUGAGGGGCAUGCAGAUCGUGAGGAGGGUGGUGGCAAUGCAGAUCAUGAGUAGGGCGGCAGCACUGAAGUGACUGAGCUUGGCGUCUCCUAUGCAUAAUUUACUCUCUUUUCGGCUUUUAUUUAGUUUUUCAUCUUUUAUUUUCAAUUUGGUGUUAACUUUUUGUUAUUUUUCUGUUUUUCUUAAAACUUGUGGAAUGGUCUCACUUUCUAUGGAUAUAUAUUUUUCCCUGCAUGCAGAAUUUGGCUAGUAGAAUUUGGAUGAUCGUGAUGAUCGUGGUUUCAAAUUGCAUCACUACUUUUUUUGAGGGGAGUAUUAGUUUCUUUUACCUUCCUCUACAAUAAGGAUAUUGUGAAUUUUAAGUGUGAGGGAGGGAUUACUUUAUCUUAUGGGGUGAUUAUGUUUUGAAGUGCAUGAUUUUAGUUGUUUAUGGCCUAGAAAUAUUGGAAUCAUAUUUGAAAAUAUUGUCAUGAAGAUAAUUUUCUUAAAUUGAGGCUAUUGGCAGGGAAUUUUAUCCAUUUAUAUGGGAAACUCUGUCAAAAUUUUUCUAAAAUAUUUUCAAUAUUUCUAAAAUAUUUUUCAAUAUUUCAUUACAAUUCUUUCCAAUAAUGGCCGAAAUGUUCAAUUUUAAAUGCCUAAUUCUUCCAUUGGAUAAAAUGUUAUAUGUAUUUUGGAAAGUUUAGUCUUAUUUGACUUGGCAUUAGUCAUUAUACAAUUAGGAUUUUUACAUUUUAGAAAGUAUAUUCGGUUAAAUAAGAAAAAUUAUACUUAGAAUUUUGCAGGUUUAAUGAUAUUUCUCAUUUUUACUUAAUUUUAUAAGUAAGUGAUUGAUAUAAUCAAAACAAGGCCAGAUUCAUCCUUUAAUUAUGCUCAGAGGGAAGAGAUUGAUUGUUUAAAAAAAAAAUUUCUACUCCAAUGAUUCGCAUACUGAGUAACCGGGGGUUAGCAUUUACAAAUGUCGACAUUCGCGUAAAAAGGUAUUGGAAUUAAGAGUGUGCUUAGCAAUUUGAAUGAGUGAAAUGUUGAGUAACCGGGAAUGUUCACCUAAAAGUGUAGAUUUUCGCAUAAAAAGGCAUUGUCACUAUUUAAGUAAAUGAAGUAUAAAUAAAUCCCUCUCAGUUAUGAAAAUUUUGAUGGAUAUAUGAUGAGAAAGGCCAUAGAAUUGAUUAUGUGAUUUACUUAUUUGUGAAAUUAGGAUAGGAUGAGAGAUUGAGUUGAAAUUGUUAAAAUUAAGAUAUAAUUAUCUUUAUUUAACUUGAUAUUAUGAGUAUUUAGUGUAAUCUGAGAAUUGGCAUAAUGAUUGGUUUCUAGGUUUUGAGGAACUAAAAUUGACAAAAGUACGUAUAUUGUUUUAUCUCUUGAAUCAUUGUAGUAAGUUAUGUGUGAAAUUGCUUGAGGACAAGCAAUGAUUCAAGUCUGGGGGAAUUUGAAAGAGAAUAUUUAACAUACAUUUUGUACAAGUUUGGCAUGAACUUUUGGUAUGUUUUGAGAAGAUUAAAGCCAUAUUUGCACUCUUUUGGUGAUAAAUGUUUAAAUAUUGUGAGUGGAUUAAUACGUUAAUUUUGUGAAAUUGUGAAGGAUAUUGAUAUAUGAAAUUCAUGCACGAGAUGAAGGAAAUGUAAGGAUCGUCCAGAGGAUAAAGUACAAAAGAAACUAGGAGCAAAAUGAAGAAAAAGGAAAGAAGUGAAAAACUGAAAUUGAUCAGCACGGAUCCGAGUUUGGAUCCGUGUGAACAAAGGGUGAUUCCAAGCUCUCGUCUGUACUUUGGAGCAGUGCAUCCGAGGCCAGACGAUCCGAGCUCGAUCAUUAAGAGAAAGGCCUCGGAUCAGCCUUGAUCCGAGCUCGGAUCGUAGUGCACACCUCGGAUCCAAGGCUCGGAUCUACCUCUCUCUUCUGCAAGUGGCACAGCCAUUUUUUCUCAUUUUUCACACAACUUUUCAGCUAUCUUGGGUGAGAGAAUUCGUGGCACAUGCUUCUGCAACAAAAAGGAAGACAAAAUGAGUUAUUGACAAGUCAAAACAACAUUUCUUUUGACUUUCUUUACAAAAUCUGAGUUGUUGGAAUCAUGAAGGAGAAGAAAGUGCCUUUCUACCACCUUUUUAUGCAGAGAACCAAGAAGUCAGGCAUCACCAUAUGGAAGGAGUUUUUCAUCUUGUAACAUUUUUCUCUCUAACUAGAAGUUCUAAAAACAAGCACUUGGAGAUUUCACUUGUAAUCAUCUUGUACAAGACAUAGCAGAAAUUUGAGGGUUUCACCAUUAAUUGGCUAAGUUUUUCUUUAUCUUUCUUGUACUUGUACUUUAUGAUGUUUUGCAUUAAUAAACUUGUGAGUUUGAUUGUUAUAUCAUUCACGAGUAGCUAAAUUGCUUUAUCUAGAGAGUAGAUGAAACUUAUGGCUAAAUGAUAUGAAUUGAAUGUGAUUUACACUUGUUAUAUCUUGUAUUAACUUGUCUAUUUGUGCAAUUGUAAUUACUUGUUGUUGUUUGAUCACUAAUAGCAUGUUUAUAGUUGUUAUUAGUCAAUGAGAAUUGGUAGUAACAAUGGAAAAAACAUGAGUAGAGCUUGAGUUGUAUGUUCAUGAAAAUAGAUGUACACUUAAGUGGAUUAGCUAGCAUUUCAUGAAGGAAAACAGAGUAGAACUAGUAGUUCACCAUGAAAAUAGGGAAAAUUGGAUUGCUCUAGGCCAUUUUAUCAUGAGAAUGAGAUUUGGUAUUAUUGGAAAUGAAUCCCUGGUUAAACAACAAUAAUAACAAGAGGUAAAUCUAUUCAUUUGUGUUGUUUAUGCCAUAAGUGGAAUCUACAUCCCUAGAUUUAUUCUUGAGUGAAAUUUAUCCAUUUGCAUUUAGCAUUUGUUAAACUAGAUUUAUAAACAAUAGCAUUAUAAUUUCUCUGCUCAAAUUCAUUUAUAAGUCUAAAUAAUAGAGAAAAUAAGGGUCUAGUACUUGUUUAAAUUGCUCCUCGUGGGAUCGACUCGAUACAUACCUUACAUUACGGUUUCGGCCUGUAUACUUGCAGUCAACGGGUAUAAAAUCGGAUUUAAACUUGCAUUGAUAUAAAAAUCCCGUCACAUAUGUGAGAUCGAAUUAUUUUACUUAUUUCUUUUAUUCAUUGGUAUUUGUACAUUUUCUGAUUUAACUUCAUAUACUUGUUAUGUUAUUUGAAUGUCAAGGGCCCGAUAUUAGAAUUAACCUAAUAAUCUACUGUCAGAUUAAUUGAUUGAAUCUGUAAUUGUUCAAUUGAUUAAUACUAGUGGCAACUAGCGUGAUUGGUUUUAUGUUAGGGAAACGUAUAAUCUAAUUUAAACGAACCCUUGUAGCGUGUUUGUUAAUUAGGGUUGGGUUUUUCUAAUUCUUAUUGCAAUUGAGAAAUUAAAUCCUAUAGUCGUACCUAGGGUUAUUUUGGUUAGGAAAAAGUUAAUGGUCGUACCUUAACUAUCAAAAAAGUAAGGAAAGGUUGGUUGUUUAUCGCGUGUAUAACAACUAUAACCAAUCUAUUAAUUAGUAAUUGAAUUAUCUUUGCAUCGAUGAUCAGUUGAAUGGACCAUGUCUGAAAAGUUGCACCUUUGGCUAGAGUUGUAUUGGUUAUUGAUUAAUUCCUGUUUAUUUCUAUUAGUUGUUUUAUUAGUUGAUUAAUUAGUUAUUUUAUAUUUUCCAAAAACCCCCAUACUUCGGACUCUGGAAGAAAUGAAUUAUCCCCAGUCCCUGUGGAUUCGACCCUGCUCACCGCUAUAUACAAAUUUGUAUUUUUCUUGAGUAGAUAAUUAUUAUUGCACAUGUUCAACACCUGUCAUUCUAUAACUGUAUACAGAGUCAUCUUUUUCAAAGAUUUCCCAUGCUGCAAAAUGUACUCUACGAGCUUUAUUUCAUUUCCUCCCUAUAAAUUGUCUAAUUCCAAUCUGCCUAAGAUGUUCAACAAAGCGUAUUGGGAAAACUAUUUGGAAAUGUAGAUUCCAGGUCCUUGUAUAUGCAAAGUCCUUCUUACACAACUUUACAUAUUGAGAAGAUCAAAAAUUGCAAAACAUAAUAAUACUUGAAAUUAGUGAGAAUAUAUCCAAAAGAAACAAAAUAUUAAUACCUGAAAUCAGGUUUUACAAUCUGUGCACAAAAAGCACCUAAACCCAAAUGACCCAUGUUGGAAUAGACCAAGUUUAGUUCAACUGCAGAAAUUCCUAGUACAAUGGAACUGCAACUUCAAAUUCAGUAAAUUGCAAACUGAUAUUAUGAUUCUAUAAAUCCUAAAAUCUCACCCAAGUCCUCUUGCCUCCAACACAAAGUAUGUACACAGAUGCUGACCUAUUCUAUACACUUGUAGGUAAAUUCAAAUCAGACGGCAUUCAAUAGAACUGCCUUGAUUGGCUCCAUAUCAGCACUAUUGCUCUUUAAAUCUAAAUUGAUUAAGCUACACAAAAAGGGAUUACAUUAGAUGGAGAAAUUUUACUGAUUGCAUAUGAAAUAAGGGCUAAAAUCAACUAGGAAAAGCAGAGAAGUUAACCUCAACCGACCAGGAAACAAGAUGCAAAAGUCAGAAGUUGUUAGCUUAAACCUCAACCAAAAGAAAAAUGCAAUCUUUGAUAUUAAACACAUAACCCACAUAAGUUAGCUUCACAGAGUCCAGAAGGAUGGUGGAACUCAAUUUUCCUAAAAUUGUGAGGAAAAUAAUUCAAUCUUAGAAAUCUAACACAAAUAAUGGUAAUAAAAACGCACAAGAAGGGUAUAAAAACUUACAAAAUGGCGCCAAAAUAUAGAUCUAACAGUAUUUGAAGCAAAUGGAUGAAGCAUUGAAGUUGUUCUAAGAUUUUUGGACAGCAAUAAACCUAAGCUCCUUCACGUUUAGCAAUUCUUAGGAGAUAGACAGGAGGCGGGUCUUCUUUUUUAGCAAUUCCUUAGAGGUCUCCUUCCCGUUUAGCAAUUCCCGCAUAUGUUCUUCUAUUUUUGGACUAAAAACCACCGAUGUUGGCCUUUGAGAGAAGAACAGAUGCGUGCUUCUCAAUUGACAGAGACAAGAGAGGACUAACCUUUCUAUGUAUAUAUCCCUCAGCCUCUAACAAGCCUUUGAAUUUUGACGGAAGGAUGUUGCGGGAAAAAUAAAAUUCUUGGAGGGAAUAAAACGCGCGUCCUAAAUUCUGAUUUAAGUGUUGCAGUUAAAAGUUUCUAAUUGGAGUAUAUUAUAUAAUAUAUAGAAUGACUAUUGAGUAUUAGAAGUAUAUAAUUUGAAAGAAAUCAUGUAUGAAAAAUGAAACUAAUGAAAAUAUUCAUGUGCAAUCAAUAUAAUAAAUUGUCAUCUUUAUAAUUUUUAAGUUUGCAAUUCAUAAAUAUGGUAACAAAUAAUGUAAUUCAUGUGCAAUCAAUAUAAUUAUAUUGUUAAUUAAGGUUAUAAUUGUGCUAUAUAAAGUAUUUGGGACAAUUUGAAAAAUAUCUAGAAAUUUGGGACUACUUAUAAUAUAUUCAAAAUGUAUUUUGAUUAAACUAUACAACUUGUCCUUUCUUGUUGUAAAUCCAAAUUCAAUUAUGGAACAAUAUACAUGGAAAAUUUGACCUUAUAUGUGUAUAAAUCAUCUUAUUAAUAAAAUAGUUAAACACAAUACAUUUAGUUAACUAUGAUUUAGUGAUUGAUUAUUACAUCAUUUUUUAUAUAAUACGAUAAUUAAAUAUUACAUAUAUAAUAAAAUGUUUCAAAUAUAUUUUAAUUGAUCGAAAAAAUGGUAUACUUACAAUAAACAAAUAAUUAAAGAAAAUUUUGAGAGUAGAAUUUUGUGCUAAAAAUGUGUAUUUUGGGUUCAAAUUUAUAACCACCACUUAUCCACUUAGAAUUAGCAAAAGUAUUAAUUCAUUUCUAAAGACUCUAAACCAUACUAAUUUAUUAUAAUAAAGAUACAAAACACUAGCUCCAUGUGAUAACCUAUAGCAAAAAUCAUCUAUUCACUUUAGUAAAAUAUAUGAGUCAAAUUUAAAGAUUCAUCAAAUUUUAUAGGUUUUAAAAUUGGGGUGCGUUAUUUACAUGGAUUUAAAGCUGUCUGAAUAUAGUUUACUACGCAAUAAACGACACUCAAUUUCGAGUUUUCUACACAAAGAUAUGACCAAAAUACUAAAAUUGUUACUUAAUUUUUUGAAAAAUAGUAGGAUCGUAUGAUCCGGAUUACGAUCCUAUUAAUCUUGAAUUUAAUGCUAAUUUUUUAUCCUACUUACAAUUUGGAUCGUUAGCCAUGAUCCGUAUCGUAGGAUCGUAGAUCGCGAUUCUAGCAACUAUGGUUGUAGUUAAAAGUUUCUAAGAAUUGGAGUAUAUUAUAUAAUAUAUAGAAUGAAUAUUGAGUAUUAGAAGUAUAUAAUUUGAAAGAAAUCAUGUAUGUGAAAAAUGCAACUAAUGAAAAUAUUCUCAAUAUACAGCUGAAAAAAUAACUAAGUUUGAUAAAUUUGCAUUUAAUUUUUAGAUAGAAGUUUGUUGUAUGAUAUGUAAUUGCCAUUUCUUGAAAUUAUUCUUCACUCUUAUACCUUCACUAAACUUCAAAGAACUUAGCUACGCAUAAAAUAGAAUGAAAGGAAUGCUUUCAAGUGUGCUAGUAAGUUAAUAUUUAUAUUAUAUCUGUGCUAAUACGUGUCCAUAUGUAUAAUUCAAAAGUUUUAUGUAUUUCAUAUACGAAUGUCUUUUUUCAAGUAACCGCAUAGAACACUUAUAGGUUGUAUUUUUGCCAUUAAUUUUAUGAUUAUUUCCUCUUUAUUUUACCAAAUAUUGUAUUAAUUGAUAGAUUCUACUUAUAUUUGGUGCUUUAUGUUAAUUAUAGGACGUUGGGGUAAAAAGUGCUAAAAAAGGUGAUUUUCUUGGAAUUGAUUGUCACUCGCAAGUUUCCCAAUUCAAGAUGAAGUCUACGUGGAUUAUUUGUGGAAGAUUAGGAAAUUACCAUUUUUCUUAGAUAUUUUAUUUAGAAAACAAUUGGCAUUAUUCUUGGAGUUACCUUUUUCAAUUGACCCGCUUCCGAAGUUACUUCCUUCGUUAGAGCUCGUUUAUCUUGAUUUAAAUUUAAUCUGUUUUAGUUUAAUUAUUUUCAAUUUGCAUUGAUUAUUUAUUUUUAAUUGCAAUUUUCCAAACUCCCCCCCAAUUAAUUGUCACUUGGAAAGAAGCAAAUUUUCACUCAAAACCUUGAGUUUAUAUCUUUUUGAGUAGGAAUUUAUUAUUACACAAGUCUGACACCUGUCAAUUAACACAAGGUUUCAAGCAAUGCACAGUUUCUUUUGUACCUAGAAUAGCUAAUGUAGCAAGUCAUAUGCUAGCACAUUUUGCAACAUAACUAGUUUAUGAUAUAGAAUGGGUACAUGAUUUCCCGAUUGACUAAUAGAAGGGUGAAUGCCCCUUUUUGUAAUUAACUCUUGCACUUCAAGUGUUAACAUAUAUACUGAUAUUAUCAUUUGUUGAAAAAAAAGGAAAGUGUUUAUUUGUUUAAUCAAAUAGUUAUGGUAGUGUUUAUAUAAUUUCGUAAACAUUGAAAGGUAAAUGACCUCGUUGAAUUUGUAUAAUUUGAUUAUGUUGAAGAAACAUAAUCUUGGAAAAGCAGAGAAAUUUUCUAGUAAAUAUUAGAUAAACAAACAAGUCAUUAUUUUAUUUUGAUAGCUAAUCAUUGUUCAUAUCAAUAUACUAGCUAUAAAGUUAUACUCGCAAUACUACUGUUACGGUAUAAAAUUUCUUGUCAGAGCAAUUUAUAAUUUCAUCCCAUUUUUACCGUUGACUGUUAACCUCAAGUUCUUCGGAUAUCCAUGGGACAGUGUAACCCCUUUGAAGGUCAAUUCUUACUGUUGAUGUGGCGUGUCCCACAUCGGAGGCUGCAUAAGGAAGUUUUCUUCCUUUUGUCCCACAUCGGCAAUCAAGAAGGAAAGCCUCCCCUUGUUUACCUAUAAAUAAGGGGGCUUAGUGGUGAAGAAAAGUGACCACUCAAGAGAGUUAUAUGAGCUAUUAGCUUUUUGAGUCAUUUAGCCCAUUUGUAGUAAAUAUUUUAUGUUCUCUUGUUUUGAGUUUAGGAAUAUUUUCUAAACUUUUUAUGAGUGCCUUUUGGCCUAGGAACCACUUUUCUACGGCUUUUGUAUAUCUUCUUCAUAGUGAAAGAUUUGCUCCUCCUUGCCUGGAUUAGGUUAAUUGACCGAAUCACGUAAAUUUCUGUGUCUUUUAUUUUUUUUGUUAUUUGUAUUUAUUGGGUUGCCACAACCCUUUUAUAUGGUCAGUUUUACAGCCUAAAUAUUAUAUGGUCGAUUUUACCGCCUAAACAUUAUAUGGUCGGUUAUACCGCCUACUUUGUUAACUUCAGUUUGUUUAUUUCUGGACCAUCCUAACACUUACACCCUCAUCAAAGUUUCUGGAGUUGCGUAUUAUAGGGGUGCAAACACAAAAACGAGACAUUCUUAAUCAAUGGAGUUCCUUCUUUUUGCGAUUCAUUCCUCUGCAAACCUCCUCCUCCUCCGAUUUUAAUAUAUGCCACUGUUAAAAUAGGAUACUUUUGUGGGUUUAAGAUUAGAUCGAGACGAACUCUUUUGUGCAAAACAUUUGCCCCAGGCAUCGUUACUACAGAGUAUGUGAUCCAAUUACCAAUGUAAGGUCACAAUGUUAGAGAUGUGAAAUUAUAUUGCAAUGGUCCCUAAAAUCCAACUUGAUCAUAGGAAUACUAAUUAGGUGAAUACGAGGACUCUGAUUCGACUCUCGAUCUUUCCUCUCAAAUUACAGUAAUAUUUUUAAUCAUACACUCAUCCCCUUACUAACUUCCUAUGGGCCCAAUAUGUUGAGUAGAAUUCGAUUGGAACAACCGAAAAAAAAGAAAAGAAAACAAAUACAAAACAAUGAAAUAGACACUUAGUCAAGUUGGAAGCUAUGAGGAAGUGAGGAGCACAAGUGCGAACAGAUCACCAAGGAAAAAGAAACAAUUUUUUCGAGAAUGCAAUUUGAUUUCAAGCUCAAUCAUAUUCUAAGAGUCAAUGAUAAGAUAGAAAAAAUGUAGGUCCAUUGUUAAGAUAUAGACGGAGAUGGUUGCUUAUUGAGCGUUGGAAAUAUUUCAUAUGCAAGUUGUAAUUAUAUCUCAACUUGUAUAAUUUUAAUUUAAUGAAAGUUAAUGACCAUGUCAAUGAUUAUGCGUCAUGCAUGACAUUCUUUUUUCUUGUACUCUCCUGAAAAGUCUCCUCCUCCUCCACCAGUGGCUGCAUGUCUGUACAUGUUCCCCACAACAAGAAUAAUGAAUCAAUUGCCAUAAUUGCACGCAUUUAAAUUUUCUGAGCUGGUGAUAAAUUGCAUAGUUUUGAUUUUUUUCUAUUUCCGGUUCCCACUCUAGCUACUUCUAGAUUUAUUAAUUGGAAAAAAAAAGAAGAGGAAUAAAUUAAACCUUAUUUAAUUACUUUUUUAGUCAGGAUAUCUAUAGUAGAUGUAAUUAUCUCUAUAGAAAUGAAUGAAGCAUCCUAGCUUGUGAUCAUUAUCCUCUGUUGCAAUUCUCUUGUUCAAACUUCAAGUUAAGGUUUGUUUGCUAAUUUAAUGGAUUCAGAACUUAAAUUUAAUGGAUUCAGAUCUUAACAUGUUCAAAUGCUUUUGAUAACCAAAACUUGAAUAUCUGAAUUAAUUAAGUGACACUAAAUUUUCUAGACAAAACUUACUCCUAAAAAUAAGUGAUAAACUAUUUACUUAUCACUUAAUGUGAUAUAUUCAAAUGUAUCAGAUUAGUACAUAACAAUUUAAUAACUUAAUGAAUUCAGACUUCAGAUUUCAGAUUUCAGUUUUAUCAAACGCAUCUUAACUCAGUGCAAACUGAAUAUGAAAUCCAAAGUUGAAAAUCCAAGAGGUUAGAACUUUGAAACCAUAGAGCCUCUAGGCAAAUUCAGCAUUUUUACAUUCUACUGAUUUACGGCAUCUUCAAUUAUCAGUUUCAACUCCAUGGUAUAAUAUAGAUAUUACCUCUAAUAGUUUACACACUUACGCAACAAAUAUAGAUUGUGAAAUUAAUUGUAUAAGUUUGAUAUUUUGUAGGUUUUGGGAUAUAAUUUUCACGUUUAGGAAAAAGAAAAUAUGUUAGUAAGUAAUAAUGUGAUACCCCUUGUCCCACGUUGGAAGUGGGAGAGGAAAAGGAUUGAUAUAUAUACAAGAUUUGGUCGCAUAAGUUACUAGUUACUUGGGCUAACCAUGUCGGGAAAGUGUAUUUCGACAAAAAAUUACUUAGGCCAACCAUGGGCUUGGAUGGUGAUAAAUAACUUACUAGAAGCCAGGCAUAUUUAUGUUUAGAUGUCCUAAAAGCAGAGUAGUUCAUAAUCUAGAUAAUGGUAACGAUAUGAUGAGAAUGUGAAGUUAUUUGGUAAACUUUAUAGAUUAAUAAUUUCAUCAAAGCAUCAUAUACAAGCAUGAUGACACAAUCUCAACUUUCAUUCUUUUGUUAAAUCUUAGUUUUUUUCUCUUAAAUUUUUUCGAAUAAAGGAAGGAUGGAAUUUAAGCAGUAGAGGGUGGAAGGGGAUUUUGAAUUCAAAAUCUCUAAUUUCUAAGUUUUUCCCUAAGCAAUCGUCAAAAUAAAAAAAAAAUUUAAAAGAAAAAAAAUGAGCACCUCAUGGUCAAUGCUCCUGUUCGAAGAUUUAUUCCUUUGGUUUGUCAUCAUCUCCCUCUAUGAAAUCUAAGUACCCUUGGUUGACAAUUUGUUUCCCUGAGCAUCCAUCAACACUUUUAUAUAGUAUUUUUUUUAAUAUAGUAUUAGAUUAGAUUAGAUUAGAUUAUCAAUGCACCAUCAAUAUAGUAUUAGAUUAUCAAUGCACCAUCAAAACACUUUUAUAUAGUAUUAGAUUAGAUUAGAUUAUCAAUGCACCAUCAAUAUCCUUAAAUAUAAAAGCUUAAGUAUAGUAAUCAAAAUACUGUUAGUAAUCUGUACGAUUAUUUUUUAUCCUUUAAUGUUUUAGUUUUAGGAAGAUCACAAAUGCUGCGUAUAAAGCAUGCCAUAGGCUAAAUUAAGCUAAAUUAAGUACACUGCUAAAAUGGAGAGCAUUGCUAAAUUAAGUACCUUAAGAUAAAGACAUAAGCAGCCAGAUCCAUUUGAUGUCAGCUGCUUCAAUAUCCACCUCAAAAUAAAUUAGCCUUUGUUCUAGAUUUAGCUUAAUGCUAAGUCCCUUCACCAUUCUUAGUAAUAAUUCAAUUCUGCCUCAAUUUUCUUCUGAUCUUCAAGGUAAAUGUACGAUAAAUUUCAAAAUAUAUCCCAAAUAUAUGAAUUUCUUGAAACCAUCCUUGAAUCUCAUUACCUACUCAACAAAAUGUUCCAUAAACAUAAAGAAUUGACGAGAACAACAGGGCUCCUUAGAUUUAACAAUUUCAAAUAAGCCCAAGCUAGAAUUUUUCAUAUAUUCAAACAAGAAAUUGGAAAAAUCUGACUAAGCAAUACUGAAUUGUAUCGAAAACCUACUUGCAUCUAUGAAUAAGCAAUACUGAGUGAUGAUAUUUUUAAGGGCAGUCCAAUUCACUCAAUACAAAAAUAUUUUUAAAUGAUGAUAUUCACAGGAACGUCUAUCUUACUUAAACAAACAAUAAAAAGGAGAUUGAUUGAGAAAUGGCCACAUUAUCUUAUCAUUCUUAAUUAUCAUUAGUUCAAUUAUCAACUUUAGCAGUCGAGAAAGGCUGCAACUUGUACCCCUCUUACUUUAUCAUUCUUUAGGGCCCAAUUCUUUAUUCCUGCGUCCGGAGACUUGAGACGUGACGCUUCAUAGUGUUGGACGACUAUUCUUAGCUCGUUCAAGGAAACAGUGAGGAGACGCUCUUGCACAGCUACUUAAACUAUUGGAUAAUUUCAUAGACCUUUCCUGAAGUUUUGGACAAUUUCAGCUAGUACCCCUCUUAUUUUCAAUAUUACGCUGACCACUCUUACUUUAACCAGUGUUGUGACCAAUUCAGCCCAUAUAUGUAAAAGAAAUGGAAUAAAUUGACAAGAAAUGGUGUCAUCACAUUUUAUUCCAUAUUUUCCCUUGGACCCUAAAACUUCACUUUGUCCCUCCGAAGUUGAAUCACUUUUCUAUUCUAUACACUGAACUUCAAUUUUGGAUGCUUUGCAUGUGGUUGGAGGCAAAAGCAUGGCAGAGCCCUUUUUGAGUCUCUGAUCUUUAUUAUCACAUGAUCAUUGCUAAUUAUACUAUUGCUUUUGAAUGGAAAUAGCAUAAAAGUCUUAGUGAAUGAACAAAUUGAAUAGACCAUUUCGCAGAGCAGUGAAAUAUUCCAAAGCGUGAAGCACAGUGAUAAGCUACAAAUUAUAGUGGUUUUAUAUUAUUGUCAAUGAAUGGUUGUAUUUGAGCUAAUUUUGAAUGGAUGUUGCCUAAUUUAAGUAUAUGUUGGUUUUUGUGGGAAAAGCACGCGAUUGAGGAGGAAAUGAAUCGAAAACGCAACAAAAGGGGAAGAAUGCCAAGACACAAGGAUCCGUGGGUGGAUCCUAUGUCCAACGCCAAACAUUGAAAGGGACUUUGCGAGGACUUCUUCUAGUUCUAAUGAUUGGAAAACCCACUCAAACUCGAUUUUUGGUAAGUUUUCAAGACCCAUUCUUACCAUAUUUCGGAUACAACUUUGAGAGACUAUAAAUAGGAUAUUCUAGGAUGUUUUUAGAUUAGAAAGCAUUUGGCUAACGUUAGUUCAUCAUUUUUAUACCUUCUUUUCUUGAGAGAUCACAAUGGAAGUGUUGAAGAAUCAAAGGAAGUUCAAGAUGGAGAUUGAAGCGGGGAAAAAUUGAGAAGUUUUCUUACUUUUAACUUCUUAUUUUGUCUUUCAUUUGAAUUCUUGGAUUUAUCUAUGAAUAUGUUGAACUCAUUUAUAUCUAAAGUUAGGAUUUUGUGAAGGAGAUUUAAUUAGAUAAAUUAUUCGCUUUUGCUUAGAUUUAUUUAUCUUGCCUUUAUUACAUGUUUAUGUUUUGCCACUAUAGAUAUGCUUUUAGGAUUUGUAUUGAGUUAAGAAGUGAUGUACAACCGUACAUUAGAUAGAUAAACAUACUUAAUAUAAUCAUGAAAGUGGGUUAAACAUUGUAUGGCAUAAUUAUAUCACCUAAUAUUGUAAAGGAUUUAAUUAUAUACUUAUGAUCUCGAGAGCAACGUGAGAUUUCAUUAGACAAAUUUAGAAGUAUCGAGAGAUAAUCUAAAGUACUUUUCUGUGAUACAUCUUUGACUUGUUAAGAAAAUAAUUGGAUAUAUAAUUCCAAUUCUAAAUCAAAAUUUAAAACUCUAGUCUUUUGCUAAUUGUUUUCUCACCUAUAUCUUGUUUGAUUUGAUUAUUUAUUUAAUUUCUUAAUUAGUGAUUAAAAACCCUCUGAAUUUAAAUUUUGUUAUUUUUAUUAGAGGAAUUAAAGUAGGAAAAAUUAACUCACUCCUGCAGGUUCGACCCCUGGAGUACUCCAAGCAAAUUAUUAUUACGAUCGACCUUGUACAGUUAUAGAAAUUCAUCGAUCACACAGCAACAAAAAAAAUUAAUGCACAAUAAUGUCAUGAGCAGAAACAGUUCCCAUCUUAGUUGUUCAACAUUCACGGUGGAUUUCAAUUAGUGGUCAACAGAUAAAGGCAUCGAAAAAAGUAAUCUAACUAGAUAAGUGAAUUUAUAUUGUACAACAUAUUUCUUUUUUCUACCGCAAAAACUUAACUAAUUUAAGACAAUGUAGUCCAAGAUAAUUGAAGAUUAAUUUUCCCUAAAAAAUGUUCAUGAUAAAAACUCAACAAAGAGAUAAUACAACAGCUUACUUUUGGAGGUGAUCUUAUACGGUCUUUAUUAACAAACUAAUUAGCCACUUAAGCCUUUUUUUUCCUUUUGGGACUACGCAUGACAAAAUGAGGAGUGAAUCAGUCGCUUAGUAUCUAAAAUUUUCCCUCCAUAUAAUUAGUUCAACCUGAUUUAAGACUAAAUUUUUACUAUAGGAAUGUUCGUGAUUCAACAAUGAAACACCAUAGAAACUUAUUUUGGGAGAUUGUCCUAGAAGGUAAAAAAUGAGCAACCAAUCAGAAAGUCGUACUCACAUAUCAAAAUCCAUUCAGUCUAAUUAAUUCACCAGCUAUGUAUAUUCAUCCAUUUUCACAUUAUAGAAAGAACAAUAAUGCAUGGCAUUAUCCAUCAUAAAUUGCUCAUAUAACAUCAAGAUAUUCAUGGUGUGGACCUCAAAUGACUCGUCAUGUCUACUGGCUACAUUUAAACAUAUCUUAUGGCCAGAAUGUUCAUCUUAUCAACUUGACGAGUUUAUUCAUGGUACCAUACCAUUAAAUUAAAAAAUUUUCCACCUUUUACCUUUCAUAGAUAUCAGGAAUAUAGCUAAUAACGCACUUUUGGCAGCAAUAUUCCUUCAACCAAUUAAAGAUUUUCGGAGCUUAAAGUUCAGCUCCUAAAGCUCUUCUCCAAGUCUCACCAACAACAGAGAAAUUACUUUUAGCAAAGUUGUUAAAUUUUGGCACCAGGUUUUGAUGGUAUCUUGGUAAGAUUGGAAGAUUAUAUUGCGCUUCUAAGAUAAUUUUUAAAAAAAUAUUUUAGUGAGAGCAUUAUGGUCAAUUUGCCCCUAAUGAUAUUGACAUUAGGUCCCAUCAACAUCAAAGGGAGCUCAUUGUAUUAUUGGAUAUAACAAGGGUGCGAGUGAAAUUAUGAAAACCCUCAAGGGAGGUUUUUGAAAUUAACCCUAAAAUACUCAUUCCACGCAAGGCGUGGCGUUCCCCUCCUAGUUCCUAUAAAUAGGGCACCAACUCAAUGCACUUGUCACUCGAUAUCAAUAAUUUAGCACAUUAUUUACAUUUUGAGUGAGAUUGUGAUAAAAUGGCAUCUUCAAAAAAUUUGCUCUUUCUUAUUGGCGUUCUCUUUGCACUUGUGCUCCUCAUUUCCUCUGAUGCAACAGCUGCAGGUACCUAGUCUUUUUUUUUUUUUUUUCCUUUCAUCCUUUUUUUUUUUUUGGCUGCACCUAAAUUUUAAAUGAAUGGAGAUUUGGAGACUCAUUAUUGGGAUGUGAAUUUUUAUGGAAGGCUAUUUGUAUAUUAUCAAGCAAGUCAUAUUAAUGUGCUAAUAUCCUUUUCAUUGUUUAGCAAAAGUAAAAUUGGGUUGCUUCUAUCAAUGGUUAGUGGCACAUCUGAUUUUUCAUGCAUCCUUAUAGUAUUGCUGUAAGGAUACACGUUCCAUAGUGUCGCACCAAAGGUUAAACUAACGUCGAAACCAAAUUAAAUGCUUCUAAUUAUAAUUUAAAGCAAAAUAAUUCAUAUCCAAGUCGCACCAUCUUAUAUGCCUGGACUGUUUUGUUUAAUCCAUAGUAUUAUUUUCUUUGCAUAUAUCUUGCAAAUUUUCAGCCUAGCCGGUCACCUAACGUUCGCAGCUUAAGAUAAAGCUCCAAAUAUUUAUGUCUCCUUGUGUCUUGAAACAGAUCAGAAAAGCGUGAAAACCACUGGUGUCCACGAUUCCAGUUCAGGCGAAGAUCGUUGCACAUAUGGUUGCUGCCACUGGUACAAUGGAUAUUGCCAAAGAUGCUGUCCACCUGCUGAGGAGACUUGCAGACAUGGUUGCUGCUACUGGUACAAUGGACAUUGCCAAAGAUGCUGUUAACCUACUGAAGCUACAUCGGAGAUGAGGUCAAAAAUUAAUGCUAAAUAAAUAAGGGUGUGAGACAGGAUCCGUGACACCUAUAUUAUUACCUUAAUAUGUUAUGUUGUGUUUUGCGUUUGAUGGUUUUUCCUAUAUGUGUAAAAGACUUGUGCGGCUUCUCUUUGAAUUGGUGUAGAAUCAACAGGGGAAGCAUGUAAUGAGUACUCAGUUCGAGUGCUCUUCUUAUGUUGUUGUCAUGUUGAAUAAAUAAAUCUACGUGAUCAUCUACUACAAUUGAUGAUCUCUAUCUCAGUUACGUCAGAAACUUCUGUACCUUGGACCUGCUAGAAUUUAGCGUGAUUGAUAUAAGACGUGCAGAAUGUUCAAUAUAUGUAUAUAUGUGCUUCUUCAUCGUGCCAUGCCAUUACAAUGUGAAAGAAUUCAGCAUCGACGGAGUGAAACGUACCCAAUCCUGCUCCUGAGAAAGGAAACAAAGUCCCUCAAAAAUGGAUAUUUUGGAUGCCAUCAAGAUUUUGAAUUGAAUGCCAUUUGGAGAUCUGAAUGUUGUUUUUUUUCCCCUUUAUCUUCGUUCAAGAUUUUUUUUUGGUGGAAAUGCUUCAUUUAUACGAAAUUUCCUAGUUAGUAAAGGCUUCUAUUACACUUGUACAAUACACAUUUAAAAGUAUAACACAAUAAAAGCUUGUGUAGUUCAUAUAUUUAAAAAAUAUUCAUACUUUUCAACUAAACUAUAAAAAUACGUAAUAAAUUCUUGAUACGUUAUACUUUACGAACUAUACUUUAAAUUUUAAAAAUAUUUAAUACUAUCACUUAUUAAUAACUCCACAUGUUAAUUUGUCUCCCAAUUUAAUAAAUUAUAGUAGCUAAUUCUCAAAGCUAACCGACACCAAAAUUCCCUUACUUGUUCACCUCCUAAUGGAUUAUUAUUACUCCCUCCGUCCUACUUUGAUAGUCUUGUUUUCCUUUUUUGUCUGUCCCAAAUUAUAGUCCACUUUCCCAUUAAAAAAUGUAGUAAUCUUUCAAAUUGUCUAAAAUACCCUUAUUAAAUAUCUUGUGAUUAAUACAUUGUUAUUAAAUACUAACCCACUACAUUGAAUACAUUGAGCUUUUCCAAUACUAACCCAUUAGUUGUAAUUGAUAUUAAUUGGCACUCUUCGUGAUUAGCAUAAGGGUAUUUUAGGAAAUUAUUAAUCUAAAUUUAUGUUUCCAACCAAAUUAAUUACACUUUCUUAAUCUGUGUGAAAAAAAAAAUCAAGACUAACAAAACGGGACGGAGGGAGUAAUUACAUUGCAUUUAUUUCGUAAGCAUGAGUUUUGUAACCCCUCAUAUUAAAUCUCAAUGAUUGAUUUUAACGGUUACCAAGGUGUCUAGUAAUUGGUUUGCUAUUAAUUUGAACUAGACAUUUAUUAGGUCUAGUCGAAUUUAUUCCUUCUUAUCACUUAGUUCAUAAACCUUAUGAAUCGUUAAAACCAGCUCUAACAUUAGGUAACAAGACUUCUACAAUUUCGGGUUUUGCUUAGAAAUCAGUCUGAUAGUUUAACUUGCUUCGUCCAAGUUUAUGAGUUGCUUUUUUUUUUUUUCCAUAUUUGACAUUUCAUCUGACUUUAAUAUGGGGACCAAGUUAGUAUUGUUGACAUUUCAUAUCUAAGACUUCUUAAUUAAUUGAUUUGGUAUAAGAACUAUAACGUAUGCGUGUUUUGUAAGCUUUCAUGUUUUUUUUUUUUUUAAUUCUUGUGGACCAGCAACGGAUAGUUUCUUCUAGUACCAAGCUUCCUUUGAAGUUUUUUUUUUUUUUUUGCGUGUCCAAAUGUAAAUUAAAAGAACCCAUCAACUUUGAACAAGUCUAUAUCUAGUAAAGAUAGAUAUAAAGAGGGAUACUAUAUCACUACAACGAAAAAGGGAUUUCGCGAGGAGCAAAAGUCCACGCCAAAAGUUUUGACUUCCUUGCUAAUUAAUUUCAACGAGAAAAAUGCUUCCUCGCCAAAUUUCUUGCUAGAUGCUCGUCGCUAAAAGUUAUUAGCGAGGAUGCUGCUGCUUUUCUCGCUAAUGAAACAGAUCAAUAGCAAGGGUUGACCUCCUCGCUAAUAGCUCAAAUACUAUGGCAAGAAAAGCUUUCCUCACCAACUAAAGUUAAAAACUCCCCACAAAAACCAGUAGUUCCUUGCAAAUAGUCAAGGUGUUUUGCUAGGAAAAUAGCGCAUCCUCACCAAUAGUAUAGAAUUAGCAAGGACCCGUGUACCAGUAAAACAUUUUUGGCCAGGAAAGUAUCCUCUCUAAUAAGCGAUAAUUGAUUAUUGCCUAACUGUUUGGUGGGAAAAUGUUCCUCUCCAAUGCUGUUAUGAACAUUUCUUAAUCCCAUUUUAGCAUGCUAAUCUUAAUUCUCUAAGCAAAGUACUGGGUGGUUUUAUUAGAAAAUUUAGCUGCAAAUAGCUUCAAUUUGGCUUCUCAUGUGUCUGCUGUACAUUUUCCAGGUUCUUGUAAGUAUCAAAUUGUUUGGCAAAAAAAAUUUUUUUAAUGAAUCAUGACCAACGUAGCUGCUCGUUAAAUUUAAACUCAUAAUCCCUGGUAUUUGAUAGGUUUUUGGAAUAUCACUUGGUGCCAACAACCCCUUUUGCUACUUUGAUAAACAUUCAAUAGAAAACAUACAAAAGCUUUGGUUAGCUAAAAAUAAUUGCUACCACAGUAAUACAUCAACAUCCAGCUCUUUCAACAUCUUGAGCCAUACAAUAGGAAGUGCUUGAAAUCAAUUGGCAAUCCAAAUUCUUUUUAGCUCAUUAACUAUCCUAGAAAUCGCAACUUCAGUAAGUCAUUACAGAAGAAGAUUUCAUCGAGAGAACACCACAAAAAGGAGAAGCAGAAAAAAAAAUAUAACAGAGAGAGAGAGAGAGUUAAACUAGUCAUAUGGACACAUAUUUGUCACCUCAGUAUUUCCGAUUCCUUAAUUAAGUCCAGUUAUCUUGGAACUCUAUCGGCAAUCCAUGGAACAUUUUUUGAAUGACAAUAUGCUGUUGCAACCUUUUGAUGAAGACUUCAAAGGUUCUAUGAUAAGGUUGCAUUUUUGUCAUUAAUUCUAUGAUUAUUUUCCUCGUUUAUAUUACCAAAUAUUGUAUUAAUUGAUUGAUUCUACUUAUAUUUGAUACUUUGUGUCAAUUGUAGGAAGGUGGAGCAAAAAGUAAUAAAAGAGAUGAUUUUCAAGAGUUUUCCAAUUCAAGAUGGAGUUUACGUGGAGUAUUGGAUGAAAAUUAGGAAACUACAACUUUUUAUUAGAUGUCUUAUUAGGGAACAAUUAGCAUUAGUUGGAGAAGUUUCCUUUUGCAAUUAGAAUUCUAUUUUUAGUUGGCCAAUGGAUGGCCGAAGUAGUAGACUUCGAUUAGGAAACAAAGAGAAAAAAAAAAGAUGGCCGCUGGUCUCUUCUUUAGUGAGUCUUUAGGGAAAAACCAAUGGUUAUUGAUGGAGUCAUGCGGAUAUCCCCUGAGGAUGUGAAGCUAAAUCUCCGUUUUCUGGUCGAAUGUCAAUCUGAGAACUCGGUUCCAAACAUCUGUGAGAUCAAAUUAUUUUACUUAUUUCUUUUAUUCAUUGGUAUUUGUGCAUUUUCUGAUUUAACUUCUUAUGCUUGUUAUGUUAUUUGAAUGUCAAGGGACCGAUAUUCGAAUUAACCUAAUAAUCUACUGCCAGAUUAAUUGAGUGAAUCCGUAAUUGUUCAAUUGGUUUCAUGUUAGGGAAAUGUAUGAUUUAACUUAAACAAACCCUCGUAGUGUGUUUGUUAGUUUGAUUGAGUUUUUCUAAUUCUUAUUGCAAUCAAGAAAUUAAAUCCUACAGUCGUACCUAGGGUUAUUUCUUGGUUAGAAAAAUAGUUAAUGGUCGUACCUUGACUAUCGAAAAAGUAAGGAAAUGUUGGUUAUUUAUCGCGUAUAUAACAACUAUAACCAAUCUAUUAAUUAGUAAUUAAAUUAUCUUUGCAUCGAUGAUUAAUUGAAUUGACCGUGCCUGAAAAGUUACACCUUUAACUAGAGUUGUAUUGGUUAUUGAUUAAUUCCUAUUUAUUUCUAUUAGUUGUUUCAUUAGUUGGUUAAUUAGUUAUUUUAUAUUUUCCAAUAACCCCCCAUACUUCGGACUCUGGAAGAAAUGAAUUAUCCCCAAUCCCUAUGGAUGCGACCCUACUCACCGUAGGGGCGGGCAAAAAAACCCGCCGAUCCGAAAACCCGAUGAACCCGAUCCGAUCCGAUCCGAAAAAUAGGAUACCCGAUCCGAUUUUCUUAGCGGGGCAGAUGAGGGUCGGGUACUCGAAAAAUCGGGUACGGAUACGGAUCAGAAAAAUAAAAAUCCGCGGGUACCGACCGGCAGGGUAUAUUUUAUAAAUAUUAAAAAAGUAGGGAUCAUUUUAUAAUUUUGUAAUUUUUAAUUCUAAGUGCAAGUGAAGUGGCUCGCAGCCUCAUAUUUUAAUCCUAUAUGAUCUACUCUUCUCAUUUUUUUUUUAAGAAAGUGAAUAUUCUCGGUGAAACAUGAACAAAAUGAAAAAAAAAAUUUGUGAAACUCUGUUAUAAAAAUUGUCCAUCCCUUUCAUCUUUUUUAUUUUUAUUCUACCUCCAUCGAUCUUUCCUGCAAAUCUUGCAUCAAUUCAAUCAAAGAUUUUUGUUUCGAGUCUCAAUUUUCUGUUAGCUAGAUAAUUAAAAUAUUUGUGUCAUUCAUUUGCAAUUAUAUCUCUUAAAUUUGUCUCUUUUAUUUAGUGUAAGAAAUUUAUUUUUCUUUUUCAUCACCUUAAUACCAUAAGGUCUAUUCCAAAGAUGUAAAGAAGUUGGGAAGAUUUUUAACAUUAUUUUGGUUAUAUUUUUUUCAAAAAUAAUUAGUUCUAUUCAAUUAUUUUCCGAACUUGAUUUCACAAUUGACUUAUUUGAGAUGCGGUCUUGUACCAUAAUAUCCUUGGGGAAGUUACCAAAUACUUAUUAUCCUUGUGUUUGUUGUGUUGUAGAAGUAUGAAAUGUGUGAAAAUGGUGAUGUACUCAAAAUUAUUAUGAAACUUCGUUUUGUCCAUUAGAUAUUCUAAUAUGUACUAAAUUUAUGAGAUCGAUUUGAUUAUUGGAUGAAAUGUGUGAAAAUGGUGAUGUAUGGACUUUAAUUACAAUAUCUCUACCAAUAUUAAUUGGAAAAGCAUGUUUUUUUUAUUGAAAAACGUGUUGAUAUUAAGUAGAAAAUACAUUUUUUUAUUGAAAAAUAGUUUUUUUUAGGGGCGGGUACCCUAUGACCCGCCCCUUUUUUCGGGUACCCGCUAUUCGGGUACCCGAAAAUAUUAGGAGGCGGGUUAAGGUCGCAAAAUGGCUGAUCCGAUAUAUUAGGGUCGGGUCAGCCAAAUCAUGUUAGGGGCGGGUACCCGACCCGUGCCCACCCCUAACUCACCGCUAUAUACAAAUUUGUAUUUGUCUUGAAUAGGUAAUUAUUAUUGCACAGAUUCGACACCUGUCAUUCUAUAACUGAAUACAGAGUCAUCUUUUCAAAGAUUUCCCAUGCUGCAAAAUGUACUCUACGAGCUUUAUUUCAUCUUCUCCCCUAUAAAUUUGCUGAUUCCAAUCUGCCUAAGAUGUUCAACAAAGCGUAUUGGGAAAACUGUUUGAAAAGUAGAUUCCAAGUCCUUGUAUAUGCAAAGUCCUCCUUACACAACUUUACAUAUUGAGAAGAUCAAAAAUUGCAGAACAUAAUAAUACUUGAAAUUAGUGAGAAUAUAUCCAAAAGAAACAAAAUAUUAAUACCUGAAAUCAGGUUUUACAAUCAGUGCACAAAAAGCACCUAAACCCAAAUGGCCCAUGUUGGAAUAGACCAAGUUUAGUUCAACUGCAGAAAUUCCUAGUACAAUGGAACUGCAACUUCAACUUCAGUAAAUUGCAAGCUGGUAUUAUGAUUCUAUGAAUCCUGAAAUCUCCCCCAAGUCCUCUUGCCUCCAACACUAAGUAUGUACACAGACGCUGACCUGUUCUAUACACUAGGAAAAUUCAGAUCAGACGGCAUUCAAUAGAACUGCCUUGAUUUGGCUCCAUAUCAGCACUACUGCUCUUUAAAUCUAACUUGAUUAAGCUGCACAAAAAGGGAAGAUUACAUUAGAUGGAGAAAUUUUACUGAUUGCAUAUGAAAUAGGGGCUAAAACCAACUAGGAAAAGCAGAGAAGUUAACCUCAACCGACCAGGAAACAAGAUGCAAAAGUCAGAGGUUGUUAGCUUAAACCUCAACCAAACGAAAAAUGCAAUCUUUGAUAUUAAACACAUAACCCACAUAAGUUAGCUUCACAGUCCAGAAGGAUGGUUGGAACUCAAUUUUCCUAAAAUUGUGAGGAAAAUAAUGCAAUCUUAGAAUCUAACACAAAUAAUGGUAAUAAAAACACACAAGAAGGGUAUGAAGACUUACAAAAUGGCACCAAAAUAUAGAUCUAACAGUAUUUGAAGCAAAUGGAUGAAGCAUUGAAGUUGUUCUAAGAUUUUUUGACAGCAAUAAAACCUAAGCUCCUUCACGUUUAGCAAUUCAUAGGAGAUAGAUAGGAGGCGGGUCUUCUUUUUUAGCAAUUCCUCAGAGGUCUCCUUCCCGUUUAGCAAUUCCCGCAUCUGUUCUUCUAUUUUUGGACUAAAAACCACCAAUGUUGGCCUUUGAGAGAAGAACAGAUGCGUGCUUCUCAAUUGACAGAGACAAGAGAGGACCAGCCUUUCUAUGUAUAUAUCCCUCAGCCUCUAACAAUCCUUUGAAUUUUGAUGGACGUUGCGGGAAAAAUAAAAUUCUUGGAGGGAUAAAACGCGCGUCCUAAAUUCUGAUUUAAGUGUUGUAGUUAAAAGUUUCUAAGAAUUGGAGUAUAUUAUAUAAUAUAUAGAAUGAAUAUUGAGUAUUAGAAGUAUAUAAUUCGAAAGAAAUCAUGUAUGAGAAAAUGAAACUAAUGAAAAUAUUCAUGUGCAAUCAAUAUAAUAAAUUGUCAUAUUUAUAAUUUUUAAGUUUGCAAUCCAUAAAUAUAGUAACAAAUAAUGUAAUUCAUGUGCAAUCAAUAUAAUUAUAUUGUUAAUUAAGGUUAUAAUUGUGCUAUAUAAAGUAUUUGGGACAAUUUGAAAAAUAUCUAGAAAUUUGGGACUACUUAUAAUAUAUUCAAAAUGUAUUUUGAUUAAACUAGACAACUUGUUCUUUCUUGUUGGAAAUCGAAAUUCAAUUAUGGAACAAUAUACAUGGAAAAGUUGACCUUAUAUGUGUAUAAAUCAUCUUAUUAAUAAAAUAGUUAAACACAGUACAUUUAGUUAACUAUGAUUUAGUGAUUGAUUAUUACAUCAUUUUUUAUAUAAUACGAUAAUUAAAUAUUACAUAUAUAAUAAAAUGUUUCAAAUAUAUUUUAAUUGAUAGAAAAAAUGGUAUACAUACAAUAAAAAAAUAAUUAAAGAAAAUUUUGAGAGUAGAAUUUUGUGCUAAAAAACAUGUAUUUUGGGUUCAAAUUUAUAACCCACCACUUAUCCACUUAGAAUUAGCAAAAGUAUUAAUUCAUUUCUAAAGACUCUAAACCAAACUAAUUUAUUAUAAUAAAGACACAAAACACUAGCUCCAUGUGAUAACCUAUAGCAAAGAUCAUCUAUUCACUUUAGAUAAAUAUAUGAGUCAAAUUUAAAGAUUCAUCAAAUUUUCUAGGUUUUAAAAUUGGGGUGAUUUAUUUACAUGGAUUUAAAGCUGUCUAAAUAUAGUUUACUAUGCAAUAAACGACACUCAAUUUCGAGUUUUCUACACAAAGAUAUGGCCAAAAUACAAAAUUGUUACUUAAUUUUUUGAAAAAUAGUAGGGUCGUAGGAUCGUAUGAUCUGGAUCACGAUCCUAUUGAUCUUGUUAAUUUAAUGCUAAUUUUUUAUCCUACUUACAAUUUGGAUCGUUAGCCAUGAUCCAUAUCGUAGGAUUGUAGAUCGCGAUUCUAACAACUACGGUUGUAGUUAAAAGUUUCUAAGAAUUGAAGUAUAUUAUAUAAUAUAUAGAAUGAAUAUUGAGUAUUAGAAAUAUAUAAUUUGGAAGAAAUCAUGUAUGAGAAAAAUGCAACUAAUGAAAGUAUUCUCAAUAUACAGUUGAAAAAAUAACUAAGUUUGUUGAAGCUCUAGUCUUUUGCUAAUUGUUUUCUCACCUAUAUCUUAUUUGAUUUGAUUAUUUAUUUAAUUUCUUAAUUAGUGAUUAAAAACCCUCUAAAUUUAAAUUUUAUUAUUUUUAUUAGAGUAAUCAAAGUAGGAAAAAUUAACUCAUUCCUAUAUGUUUGACCGUGGAGUACUCCAAGUGAAUUAUUAUUUCGAUCAACCCUAUACAGUUAUAGAAAUUCAUCGAUCACACAGCAACUAAAAAAAAAAAUUAACGCACAAUAAUGUCAUGAGCACAGUUCCCAUCUUAGUUGUUCAACAUUCACGGUGGAUUUCAAUUAGUGGUAAACAGAUAAAGGCAUCGAAAAAAGUAAUCUAAUUACUAGAUAAUUGAAUUUAUACUACAGCAUAUUUCUUUUUUCUACUGCAAAAACUUAACUAAUUUAAGACAAUGUAGUCCAAGCUAAUUGAAGAUUAAUUUUCCCCAAAAAAUGUUCAUGAUAAAAACUCAGACAAAGAGAUAAUACAACAACUUAUUGGAGGUGAUCUUAUACGGUUUUUAUUAACAAACUAAUUAGCCACUUAAGCCUUUUUUUUUUUUGGGACAGUACAUGACAAAAUGAGGAGUAAAUCAUUCACUUAGCAUCUAAAAUUUUCCCUCCAUAUAAUUAGUUCAACCUGAUUUAAGACUAAAAUUUUUACUAUAGGAAUGUUCGUGAUUCAACAAUGAAACACCAUAUAAACUUAUUUUGGGAGAUUUUUCCUCGAAGACAAAAAAUGAGCAACCAAUCAGAAAGUCAUACUUACAUAUCAAAAUCGAUACAGUCUACUUAAUUCACCAGCUAUGUAUAUUUCAUCCAUUUUCACAUGAUAGAAAGAACAAUAAUGCAUGGCAUUAUCGAUCAUAAAUUGCUCAUAUAAUAUGCGAUCUAUUAUGCAUCUAAGGCUUUGAAUGGAACUUAACUCAAUUAUACGAUCAUAGAAAAUGAGCUUUUAGUAGUUAUUUUUGCCUUAGAAAAAUUUCAUUCUUAUUUAUUAGAAGAUAAGUGAUUGUGUAUUCUGACUAUGCAGCGCUACGGUACUUAAUGACUAAGAAGGAUGCUAAACCAAGAUUGAUAAGAUGGAUUUUGCUUCUAUAUGAGUUCAAUUUGAAAAUUCGUGAUAAAAAGGGAGAAGAGAAUUUAGUUGCCGAUCAUUUGAGUCGAUUGUCGAUUGUCAAGGAUGAUUUUAUAUUGAGGAAAACUUUUCCUAAUGAGCAACUAUUUUCUGUUAAUCCCUCUCUUCCUUGGUAUGCGGAUAUUAUUCAUUUCUUGACCACUAAUCAAUUGCUUGCACAUUGGUAAAAAACAAAAUGAGAUAAGCUCAGAUGUGAUGCUAAGUAUUACUUAUGGGAUGACCCCUAUUUAUAGUGGCAAUGUGCAGAUCAAGUACUGCGCAGAUGUGUAAGUAGAGUGAAUUUAAUUCUAUUUUACUAUUUUAUCACUCUUAUGCAUGUGGACGCCAUUUUAGACCACAAAGAACAGUUCGUAAAGUAUUGGAAAGCGAUUUUUAUUGGCCCACAAUUUUCAAAGAUACAUACUUGUUUCGUAAGUCAUGUAAUAGAUGUCAAAGGUAGGAAAUAUUUGUCAUAAAAAUUAGAUACUAAAAACCCUUAUGAUUUUUUUGUGAAAUUAUUGAUACAUGGGAUAUUAAUUUUAUGGGUCCAUCUCCUUCAUCUUUUGGUUUCCUUUACAUCUUGUUGGCCGUAGAUUAUGUGUCCAAGUAGAUAAAAACAAAAGCCACCCAAGCUUAUGAUUCUAUAGUGGUUACAGAUUUCAUUCAAUCACAUAUUUUUGUUCAUUUUGGGGUACCACGAAUUAUAGUAAGUGAUCGAGAAAAACACUUUUGCAAUAAAAUGAUGGCGGCUGUAUUUCGUAAAUAUGGAGUGACUCAUAAGGUAUUUACAUCCUAUCACCUCCAAACAAAUGGUCAAGCAGAGAUUUCGAAUAGGGAAAUUAAAUAUAUAUUGGAGAAGAUGGUUCGCUCUGAUAGGAAGGGUUGGAGUUCACGAUUGAACGAUGUACUCUGGAUUUAUAGGACAGUCGAUAAGAGUCCUAUAAGUAUAUCUCCCUAUAGGUUGGUAUUUGUGAAGCCGUGUCAUUUACCGGUUGAGCUCGAGCACAAAGCAUAUUGGGGGAUCAAGAAAUGCAACAUGGAUCUUGAUGAGGCUGGAAUACAUAGAAAACUUCAAUUACAAGAAUUGGAAGAGUUGAGGAAUAAUACUUACAAGAAUGCAACACUAUAUAAAGAGAAGAUUAAGGUUUUUCGUGACCAAUAAGUUGCAAGGAAAUCAUUUGUAGUUGGGCAAAGAGUUCUUCUCUAUCAAUCUCGUCUAAAGCUCUUUCUAGGUAAGUUACUUACGCUCUCGUUGGGCUGGUCCAUUUGUUGUGAUUAAUAUUUUUCACUAUGGCGCAGUGAAAAUUCAGAAUAUGCAAAUAGCUAAGAAAUUUGUGGUUAAUGGUCAUUGUUUUAAACCCUAUUAUGAAAGUGUUUCAAUGGAGAAGGUGGAGAUAAUAAAUCUUGAAGAUCCCACUUAUGCUGCUUGAACAAUAUUCGACCAUGUCUAAUCAAAAACAUUAAAGCAAGACGCUUAUUGGGAGGCAAUCAAAUUUUUUUUUAUUGUUUGUUCACUAAUAUUAUGUGUUUCACUAUGUUUAUCUUAGGUUUUUCAAAUUUGGUAUUUUAAUUUUAAUUUUUAAUGUUUUAUUGGUUAGGUGACUUUCUCCCAACAAGGCGUGCCCACGCCUUAAAGGCAUGUGGUAAUGCACAAAUAUCCAAUUCCAUCAUUAGAAAACUAUGGACCAACAUGACAUGCCCACGUCUUGAGGGUAUGUUGUAACUCGUAAUUAGCCGACUUUAUCAUCAAAAGAGUUUCAACCAAUAAGACGUGCCCGCGUCUUGUCCUAGCAAGGGAAAAAAAACCAAUUGAACCCAAAAGAAUUUUCUUUUCUCUUCUUUUUUUUGCUUUCCUUUUUUUUAUUCUUUCCUUUGCCUUUUCCCUUUUCUAUUUCUUUUCCUUUCCUUCUUUCUUUCUUUCUUCUUUCUUUUUUUCUUUCUUUAUUUCGCUCUUUCAUUUCCUCAACUGCAUGGCCAAAACUCUACAUGUUGCUUGCACGCCGUUCAUCGCCCCACCGUCCAUUGCUGUCGCAAUUCGCUAGUUUGUCUCUACUACCUUUGCUGUAUUCGCUAUUCGUCAAAGCCUGUCACUGGUUUUGCCAUUGCCCAUCUCUAGUUUCGUCGUUGCUCGCUAUUGUGCCAUUCACCGCUGCUUGAACCACCAUGAACGUCCAUCCUCUGCCAGCGACAGCCAUCGCUCCGCACUUUCUCUGUUGUCUUGUUUCUACUGACCCAGUUUUUGGUAUUCUUGUCCUUCUCUUUUAAAUAUUGUUGGGUUGCUACUUCGGAGUUUAUUAGAAUUUCUUUUUGCAGGGUUGAUUUAAUUUGUUGAUUGGGUAUUCCUCGAAUUGUUGGAUUGGCACUACCUGACAUUUGCUUGUUUUCUGAUGAUGACCACUAACUUGCACUACUAUUUUGCAUCCAUGGGGAUUCAAUGCUGAUUGGAGGUUAUAAACUGUGGUGAAAUUGCCGCUACUUACUUGCCAAUUGCUAAUUGUUGAUAUUGAUAGGAGGUAUUGUUCUUACAUUUCUAGUUUUGUUAUUAAAUAGUGUCACAUCUCUUGGCUCUUUACUGUACACUUUGAUUUGAGAUUGCUUGGCUAUCUUUAGUCGUUUGGCAAACAUUAGAGGCUCGUAUUUCGCCAUUGUCUGAAUUGUUGUUUAUAGCUAUUUUUGGAUUUAGUUAUCUAAAUGGCUAAGAAAAAAAAGACCACCAAGGCCAACACCCCUAUGACUAAAACCACUCCCCCAUCCCAACCAACUAUACCCAUGACAGACCCUUCUACCAUCCUUCUUUUUCGGGUAAAUGGGCAUGCUUAGGUAGGGACAAGGGGGUCUAUAUCUCCUCACUGUCCCACUUUGGAGGUAAUUUGGCUCUCACCAAAGCCGUCGAUAAGCAAAGAUACUCUAAUUAUUAUGAGUGGCAAAUUAUUCCUUGUAAAUAUCUUGACCCUCCCAUCAUGGUUUCUUUGAAUAUCUUUGAGAAUAUUGCACAAAUGUUUACUGCCAUAGGCUGGCCUUCUUAUGCCGAAAUACAAUGUCCUACUUUUGUUGAAUUGGUUAGAGAGUUUUACGCCACCUUUGAGUUUGAUCAAUCCAUGGGGUAUUCUGUCACAACCUCGAAUGUGAUUCAAUUUUGAUUGAUGGGUAGGGAGUUUAAGUUCUCCAUUACCAAGUUUAAUUUGGUAAUGUGAUCCCAUUACCUAUGUAAGGUCACAAUGUUAGAGAUGUGAAAUUAUAUUGCAAUGGUCCCUAAAAUCCAACUUGAUCGAUAGGAACACUAAUUAGGUGAAUACGAGGACUCUGAUUCAACUCUCAUUUUUCCUCUCAAAUUACACUAAUAUUUUUAAUCAUACACUCAUCCCCUUACUAACUUCCUAUGGGCCCAAUAUGUUGAGUAGAAUUCGAUUGGAACAACCGAAAGGAAAAGAAAACAAAUACAAAACAAUGAAAUAAACACUUAGUCGAGUUGGAACCUCAGAGGAAGUGAGGAGCACAAGUGCGAACAGAUCACCAAGGAAAAAGAAACAAGUUUUUCGAGAAUGAAAUUUGAUUUUCAAGCUCAAUCAAAUUCUAAGAGUCAAUUGAUAGAUCGAAAAAAAUGUGGAACCAUUGUUAAGAUGUAGAUGGAGAUGGUUGCUUAUUGAGCGUUGGAAGUAUUUCAUAUGCAAGUUGUAAUUAUAUCUCAACUUGUUUUUUUUUUUUGAAAAACAGGUCAUGGAUGCGUCAAACGUACAGUGGUUCAGGCAAACAAUAUCCAAUCAAUCUAUUCAAAGCAACAAAAACAUCCGCUGCUCAUGCGACAGUAUGCACAAAGUGCUAUAUAUCAACCAAAAGGGAAUUUAUUUAUUCAAGAAACAAUGCAUAUUCCUGUAUAUAGUCUUGGCUUUAACGAGUUCAGUCCCUUGUGCUAUUCUUUAUCCAUUCAAGAUAUUGGAGGUUGCCACCGGUUAUGGGCAAGGCGAUCACUUCUGGCACCUCGUAUUCGUGAUUCGCCUUGACAUGCUCUGUCUGAGCAUCCAAAAGUGAUUCCCUAGUCUUAAUUAUUAGCAACUCUUCAGGAUCUGUCUGCACCUCCCCUUUCCACUCAUAAACAGACUCUAUUCUGGAACUCGGUUUACACAGGCUGCAAGCUUUUCUUUAACUAUGCUUUCUGCCAGUUUUUUAUUUGGAACAGUGACAUAGACAACAAUGCUGGGAACAGUUCUGCUGCUUGCUUCCAUCCUUAUCCUAUUUGUACUAUGAACACUACUACCAACUUUUGAUCCAAGAUUGGGAGAAAGUGGAGGAUUGAGCACAACCCGUUUUAGAGGAGGAUUAAAAGAGGGGCAGAGAUUGGAAAGACCGAAGCUUAGGACACAGAAAGUACCUACUAGUGGUAAUCGGCGACGAACUACUGAAGGUGAUACUAAAGAUGAGAGCUUUAAUGCCAUCUAAGAUUGGAAUUUGGUGGGGCUUUAUAGUACACCAACUACUGUUUCCUUAGUGGAUGAUUUAUUCCCAACCGACGAGGUUGGGGGAUGGCUCUCAACUUGUAUAAUUUUAAUUUAAUAAGAUUAAAUUAAUGACCAUGCCAAUGAUUUCUGCGUCAUGCAUGACAUUCUUUUUUCUUGUACUCUCCAAAAGCUGAAAAUUCUCAUCUCAAUCUCCUCCUCAGCGAUGGCUGCAUGUCUGUACAUGUUCCCCCACAACAAGAAUAAUGAAUCAAUUGCCAUAAUUGCACGCAUUUAAAUUUUUUGAGCUGGUGAUAAAUUGCAUAGUUUUGAUUUUUUCUGUUUCCGGUUCCCACUCUAGCUACUUCUAGAUUUAUUAAUUGGGAAAAAAAGAAGAAGGAAUAAAUUAAACCUUAUUUAAUUACUUUUUUAGUUAGGAUAUCUAUAGCGGAUGUAAUUAUCUCUAUAGAAAUGAAUGAAGCAUCCUAGCUUGUGAUCAUUAUCCUCUGUUGCAAUUCUCUUGUUCAAACUUCAAAUUACGGUUUUGUUUGAUAACCUAAUUCAGCACUUAAAUUUAAUAGAUUCAGAUUUUAACAUGUUCAAACACGUUUGAUAACCAAAAUUUGAAUAUUUGAAUAAAUUAAGUGGUACUAAAUUUUCUAGAUAAAACUUGUCCUAAAGACAAGUGAUAAGUUAUUCACUUAUCACUUAAUAUGAUAUAUACUCAAAUGUAUCAGAUUUAAUACAUAACAAUUUAAUAAUUUAAUGAAUUCAAAUUUCAAAUUUUAGAUUUUAAUUUUAUCAAACGCAUCAAUGCGAACUGAAUAUGAAAUCCAAAGUUGAAAAUCCAAGGGGUUAGAACUUUGAAACAAUAGUGCCUCUAGGCAAAUUCAGCAUUUUUACAUUCUACUGAUUUAGGGCAUCUUCAAUUAUCAGUUUCAACUCCAUGGUAAAAUAUAGAUAUUACCUCUAAUAGUUAUACGCACUUACUGACGGGCUUUUGCUAUACGUACAAGUUAAAAAAUCCGAAAUACACCCGUUUCACUGCAAGUAUAGAGGUCAACUAGUAGUUAAUGGUAUAUAUCGGGUUGAUCCCACGAAAAAGAUUGAACAAUUACCGGCACUACUAAAGCUUCUCUAUUAUUUAGACUAUUAAUGAAUUAUAAGAAGUAAAACCUACUGAACUUAUACAAGAAAAUAACAAAUGAAAGCUCCUUAGGUUAUGGUAUUCCCUAAUUACUCAUGCAAAUGUUAUUUUUAGAUCAUUGAGAACUACUAUCUUGGCUAGCUAUGGUGUAAUUUCCUUAUGCAUAUGAAUCCUACUUUCGUAGUGAAUCAAUUAUACUCAUAAUUAAUCCAUACAUAUUCUCAUGGUUAUGAAAUUAGCUACAAGUUCAUUUCUUUUGUGAAAUUAUAUGAAAUGAAUCACUAAAACCACAUAGGUGCACCUCUAUUCUCAUGUGAGUGUACUCCCCAUGUUUAGCACUUCUUGAACCAGUGUUAAAUCUCAAUUUUCAUUGCAGAAACAACACCUUAGGUAAUCACAAUUAAUGACACUAGAUUAAUCAUGGUUUAAAGAGCUAAAAUGCUAAAUAACUUGCUCAAAAUAAUAGCAUCAAAUAGCCAAAUAAUAAACACUAGCAAUUAUAGAAAGUUCAACCAAAACCCAAGACAUAAACUUUAGAAACACAUAAUAAUAUAUAAAUCCAUAACUUGUAUAUUAACUAAACUUGGAAUGAAGUACAAAAGAUAAAGAGUUGGAAAGGAAUGUAACCCUUGUCACAUGAGUUCAUCUCCUCGCCUUCUUCAUCCUCCAACCUCUUCUUCAUCUAGCAAAUAAACAAGAUGGAUGAACUAACUAGCUAACUAUCUUAUACUAUACUAACCUAACACUCAUAAAAUGGAAGAACUACAUUUCUGCAGACUCCAAACUUUCUCCCGUAUGUCCCUCCUUGAAUCUUGUAAGUUUUGGCUAUAUAAACAUGAAAGUGGUCAAGAAAUGAGGCCUACACUUUUUCCCUUACAGUUGGUAAUGUUUGUCACAUGUCUAGCAUUACAUGUAACUUAUUGGAAGAGAAACCAAGUUGUCCGCGUACAGAGCAGCCUUUUUUAACAGAAAUCUGGCCAAGUUCCGACCAGAUUGCUACAAUGACCUUUUGUGCAGUUUCUGUUCAAUUUCCAGCUCUGGUCCGAUUUUCCUCAACUUCAACUGAACUUUUCUUGAUGAUAGAAGAUGAUUUAACUCUUGACCAAAACAUAAAACUUGUAUCACUUUAAGUUAGCUUUCCAAUGCAUCAAGAAUCACCUCAUUUGGAUUUGUGUAGGCUAAGAAAUGAUUGAAAUACCCUUAACUGCUCAAUGUCCUAUUUCAGUUUCGACUAAUAGAAAUUAGCUACUGUAAUUUGGAUUUUUGACCUGGAAAACCUUAGAAUUGGAUUUUGAUGUCUUCACCAAAGUUGUAGAUCUAUCUCUUAUCGGUUCAAGAAUCAUCUCAAUCCGAUCACUGUAGCUCAAGUUAUAGCCAAAAUACGAAAAUAUAUCAAAACUGUAAAAAAUGCACAAAAUGCAAGUUAAAAGUGAUAAAACCUCAUUUAAUCACUUAAAAACAUUUUUCACCAAUUAUAGCCAAAAUGAUUCAUUUUCUUCCAAUAAUAUAACCAAAGUGACUAAAAAUGAUAUAAAAUGUCAUUCAAUUAUUACGUAAAUUAGUCACUUAUCACUUACACAACAAAUACAGAUUGUGAAAUUAAUUGUAUAAUUUGAUAUUUUGUAGGUUUUUUGGAUAUAAUUUUCACGUUUAGGAAAAAGAAAAUAUGUUAGUAAGUAAUAAUGUGAUACCCCUUGUCCCACGUUGGAAGUGGGAGGCGAAAAGGAUUGAUAUAUAUAAGAUUUGGUCUCAUAAGUUACUAGUUAUUUGGAAUAACCAUUUCGGGACAGUGAAUUUCGACACAAAAAAUUACUUAGGCCAACCAUGGGCUUGGAUGGUGACAAAUAACUUACUAGAAGCUAGGUAUAUUUAUGUUUAUAUGUCCUGAAAGCAGAGUAGUUCAGAAUCUAGAUAAUGGUAACGAUAUGAUGAAAAUGAGAAGUUAUAUGGUAAACUUUAUAGAUUAAUAAUUUCAUCAAGGCAUCAUAUACAAGCAUGAUGACACAAUCCCAACUUUCAUUCUUUUGUUAAAUCUUAGUGUUUUUGUCUUAGAUUUUUUUCAAAUAAAGGAAGGAUGGAAUUUAAGCAAUAGAGGGGUGGAAGGGGAAUUUGAAUUCAAAAUCUCUAAUUUCUAAGUUUUUCACUAAGCAAUCGUCAAAACCAAAAAAUAAAUAAAUAAAAAGCAAAAAAAUGAGGACCUUGUGGUCAAUGCUCCUGUUCGAAGACAUCAUCUCCCUCUAUUGAAAUCUAAGUACCCUUGGUUGACAAUUUGUUUCCCUGAGCAUCCAUCAACACUUUUAUAUAGUAUUAGAUUAGAUUAGAUUGUCAAUGCACCAUCAAUAUCCUUAAAUAUAAAAGCUAAAGUAUAGUAAUCAAAAUACUGUUAGUAAUCUGUAUGAUUAUUUUUUAUCCUUUAAUGUUUUAGUUUUAGGAAGAUCACAAAUGCUGCGUAUCAAGCAUGCCCUAGGCUAAAUUAAGGUAAAUUAAGUACAUUGCUAAAAUGGAGAGCAUUGCUAAAUUAAGUACUUUAAGAUAAAGACUUAAGCAGCCAGAUCCAUUUGAUGUCAGCUGCUUCAAUAUCCACCUCAAAAUAAAUUAGCCUUUGUUCUAGAUUUAGCUUAAUGCUAAGUCCCUUCACCAUUCUUAGUAAUAAUUCAAUUCUGCCUCAAUUUUCUUCUGAUCUUCAAGGUAAAUGUACAAUAAAUUUCAAAAUAUAUCCCAAAUAUAUGAAUUUCUUGAAACCAUCCUUCAAUCUCAUUACCUACUCAACAAAAUGUUCCAUAAACACAAAUAUAUUAAUGAAUUUGGAGUUGAUUCGAAGAAUUGACGAGAACAACAGGGCUCCUUAGAUUUAACAAUUUCAAAUAACCCCAAGCUAGAAUUUUUCAUAUAUUCAAACAAGAAAUUGGAAAAAUCUGACUAGCUUGCAACGAGUACUACAUCUCAAGACAAGGGAUCUUUUCAGUCAACUCUUUUAUUGUAUCGAAAACCUACUUGCAUCUAUGAAUAAGCAAUGCUGAGUGAUGAUAUUUUUAAGGGCAGUCCAAUUCACUCAAUACAAAAAAUAUUUUUAAAUGAUGAUAUUCACAGGAACGUCUAUCUUACUUAAACAAACAAUAAAAAGGAGAUUGAUUGAGAAAUGGCCACAUUAUCUUAUCAUUCUUAAUUAUCAUUAGUUCAAUAAUCAACUUUAGCAGUCCGGAGACUUGUUCAAGGCUGCAACUUGUACAAGGACAAUAAAUUCUUUAUUCCUGCGUCCGGAGACUUGAGACGUGGACGCUUCAUUAGUCAAUAAUAAUAAAAGUGUGGAAUUCGACGACUAUUCUUAGCUCGUUCAAGGAAACAGAGAAAAGACGCUCUUGUACAAGCAACAGGCACAGCUACUUAAACUAUUGGAUAAUUUCAUAGACCUUUCCUGAAGUUUUGGACAAUUUCAGCUAGUACCCCUCUUAUUUUCAAUAUUACGCUGACCACUCUUACUUUAACUAGUGUUGUGACCAAUUCAGCCCAUAUAGAAAGAAAUGGAAUAAAUUGACAAGAAAUGGUAUCAUCACAUUUUAUUCCACAUUUACCCUUGUAGACCCUAAAAGAAAUAUUGUAACAUAGGACAAACUUCACUUUGUCCUCCGAAGUUGAAUCACUUUUCUAUUCUAUACACUGAACUUCAAUUUUGGAUGCUUUGCAUGUGGUUGGAGGCAAAAGCAUAGCAGAGCCCUUUUUGAGUCUCUGAUCGUUAUUAUCACAUGACCAUUGCUAAUUAUACUAUUGCUUUUGAAUGGAAAUAGCAUAAAAGUCUUAGUGAAUGAACAAAUUGAAUAGACCAUUUCGCAGAGCAGUGAAAUAGUCCAAAGCUGUGAAGCACAGUGAUAAGCUACAAAUUAUAGUGGUUUGUAUUUAUUAAUUGUCAAUGAAUGGUUGUAUUUGAGCUAUAAUUUGAAUGGAUGUUGCCUAAUUUAAGUAUAUGUUGGUUUUUGUGGGAAAAGCACGCGAUUGAGGAGGAAAUGAAUCGAAAACGCAACAAAAGGGGAAGAAUGCCAAGACACAAGGAUCCGUGGGUGGAUCCUAUGUCCAACGCCAAACAUUGAAAGGGACUUUGCGAGGACUUCUUCUAGUUCUAAUGAUUGGAAAACCCACUCAAACUCGAUUUUGGUAAGUUUUCAAGACCCAUUCUUACCAUAUUUCGGAUACAACUUUGAGAGACUAUAAAUAGGACAUUCUAGGAUGUUUUUAGAUUAGAAAGCAUUUGGCUAACGUUAGUUCAUCAUUUUUAUACCUUCUUUUCUUGAGAGAUCACAAUGGAAGUGUUGAAGAAUCAAAGGAAGUUCAAGAUGGAGAUUGAAGCGGGGAAAAAUUGAGAAGUUUUCUUACUUUUAACUUCUUAUUUUGUCUUUCAUUUGAAUUCUUGGAUUUAUCUAUGAAUAUGUUGAACUCAUUUAUAUCUAAAGUUAGGAUUUUGUGAAGGAGAUUUAAUUAGAUAAAUUAUUUGCUUUUGCUUAGAUUUAUUUAUCUUGCCUUUAUUACAUGUUUAUGUUUUGCCACUAUAGAUAUGCUUUUAGGAUUUGUAUUGAGUUAAGAAGUGAUGUACAACCGUACAUUAGAUAGAUAAACAUACUUAAUAUAAUCAUGAAAGUGGGUUAAACAUUGUAUGGCAUAAUUAUAUCACCUAAUAUUGUAAAGGAUUUAAUUAUAUACUUAUGAUCUCGAGAGCAACGUGAGAUUUCAUUAGACAAAUUUAGAAGUAUUGAGAGAUAAUCUAAAGUACUUUUCCGUGAUACAUCUUUGACUUGUUAAGAAAAUAAUUGGAUAUAUAAUUCCAAUUCGAAAUCAAAAUUUAAAACUCUAGUUUUGCUAAUGUUUUCUCACCUAUAUCUUGUUUGAUUUGAUUAUUUAUUUAAUUAGUGAUUAAAAACCCUCUGAAUUUAAAUUUUGUUAUUUUUAUUAGAGGAAUUAAAGUAGGAAAAAUUAACUCACUCCUGCAGGUUCGACCCCUGGAGUACUCCAAGCAAAUUAUUAUUACGAUCGACCUUGUACAGUUAUAGAAAUUCAUCGAUCACACAGCAACCAAAAAAAAUUAAUGCACAAUAAUGUCAUGAGCAGAAACAGUUCCCAUCUUAGUUGUUCAACAUUCACGGUGGAUUUCAAUUAGUGGUCAACAGAUAAAAGCAUCCAAAAAAGUAAUCUAACUAGAUAAGUGAAUUUAUAUUGUACAACAUAUUUCUUUUUUCUACCGCAAAAACUUAACUAAUUUAAGACAAUGUAGUCCAAGAUAAUUGAAGAUUAAUUUUCCCUAAAAAAUGUUCAUGAUAAAAACUCAUCAAAGAGAUAAUACAACAGCUUACUUUUGCAGGUGAUCUUAUACGGUCUUUAUUAACAAACUAAUUAGCCACUUAAGCCUUUUUUUUCCUUUUGGGACUACGCAUGACAAAAUGAGGAGUGAAUCAGUCGCUUAGUAUCUAAAAUUUUCCCUCCAUAUAAUUAGUUCAACCUGAUUUAAGACUAAAUUUUUACUAUAGGAAUGUUCGUGAUUCAACAAUGAAACACCAUAGAAACUUAUUUUGGGAGAUUGUCCUAGAAGGUAAAAAAUGAGCAACCAAUCAGAAAGUCGUACUCACAUAUCAAAAUCCAUUCAGUCUAAUUAAUUCACCAGCUAUGUAUAUUUCAUCCAUUUUCACAUUAUAGAAAGAACAAUAAUGCAUGGCAUUAUCCAUCAUAAAUUGCUCAUAUAACAUCAAGAUAUUCAUGGUGUGGACCUCAAAUGACUCGUCAUGUCUACUGGCUACAUUUAAACAUAUCUUAUGGCCAGAAUGUUCAUCUUAUCAACUUGACGAGUUUAUUCAUGGUACCAUACCAUUAAAUUAAAAAAUUUUCCACCUUUUACCUUUCAUAGAUAUCAGGGAAUAUAGCUAAUAACGCACUUUUGGCAGCAAUAUUCCUUCAACCAAUUAAAGAUUUUCGGAGCUUAAAGUUCAGCUCCUAAAGCUCUUCUCCACCAACCAACAGAGAAAUUACUUUUAGCAAAGUUGUUAAAUUUUGGCACCAGGUUUUGAUGGUAUCUUGGUAAGAUUGGAAGAUUAUAUUGCGCUUCUAAGAUAAUUUUUAAAAAAGAUAUUUUAGUGAGAGCAUUAUGGUCAAUUUGCCCCUAAUGAUAUUGACAUUAGGUCCCAUCAACAUCAGAAGGGAGCUCAUUGUAUUAUUGGAUAUAACAAGGGUGCGAGUGAAAUUAUGAAAACCCUCAAGGGAGGAUUUUGAAAUUAACCCUAAAAUACUCAUUCCACGCAAGGCGUGGCGUUCCCCUCCUAGUUCCUAUAAAUAGGGCACCAACUCAAUGCACUAGUCACUCGAUAUCAAUAAUUUAGCACAUUAUUUACAUUUUGAGUGAGAUUGUGAUAAAAUGGCAUCUUCAAAAAAUUUGCCCUUUCUUAUUGGCGUUCUCUUUGCACUUGUGCUCCUCAUUUCCUCUGAUGCAACAGCUGCAGGUACCUAGUCCCUUUUUUUUUCCUUUCAUCCUUUUUUUUUUUGCUGCACCUAAAUAUUUAAAUGAAUGGAGAUUUGGAGACUCAUUAUUGGGAUGUGAAUUUUUAUGGAAGGCUAUUUGUAUAUUAUCAAGCAAGUCAUAUUAAUGUGCUAAUAUCCUUUUCAUUGUUUAGCAAAAGUAAAAUUGGGUUGCUUCUAUCAAUGGUUAGUGGCACAUCUGAUUUUUCAUGCAUCCUUAUAGUAUUGCUGUAAGGAUACACGUUCCAUAGUGUCGCACCAAAGCUUAAACUAACGUCGAAACCAAAUUAAAUGCUUCUAAUUAUAAUUUAAAGCAAAAUAAUUCAUAUCCAAGUCGCACCAUCUUAUAUGCCUGGACUGUUUUGUUUAAUCCAUAGUAUUCUUUUCUUUGCAUAUAUCUUGCAAAUUUUCAGCCUAGCCGGUCACCUAACGUUCGCAGCUUAAGAUAAAGCUCCAAAUAUUUAUGUCUCCUUGUGUCUUGAAACAGAUCAGAAAAGCGUGAAAACCACUGGUGUCCACGAUUCCAGUUCAGGCGAAGAUCGUUGCACAUAUGGUUGCUGCCACUGGUACAAUGGACAUUGCCAAAGAUGCUGUCCACCUGCUGAGGAGACUUGCAGAUAUGGUUGCUGCUACUGGUACAAUGGACAUUGCCAAAGAUGCUGUCCACCUGCUGAGGAGACUUGCAGACAUGGUUGCUGCUACUGGUACAAUGGACAUUGCCAAAGAUGCUGUUAACCUACUGAAGCUACAUCCGGAGAUGAGGUCAAAAAUUAAUGCUAAAUAAAUAAGGGUGUGAGACAGGAUCCGUGACACCUAUAUUAUUACGUUAAUAUGUUAUGUUGUGUUUGCGUUUGAUGGUUGAUUUCCUAUAUGUGUAAAAGACUUGUGCGGCUUCUCUUUGAAUUGGUGUAGAAUCAACAGGGGAAGCAUGUAAUGAGUACUCAGUUCGAGUGCUCUUCUUAUGUUGUUGUCAUGUUGAAUAAAUAAAUCUACGUGAUCAUCUACUACAAUUGAUGAUCUCUAUCUCAGUUACGUCAGAAACUUCUGUACCUUGGACCUGCUAGAAUUUAGCGUGAUUGAUAUAAGACGUGCAGAAUGUUCAAUAUAUGUAUAUAUGUGCUUCUUCAUCGUGCCAUGCCAUUACAAUGUGAAAGAAUUCAGCAUCGACGGAGUGAAACGUACCCAAUCCUGCUCCUGAGAAAGGAAACAAAGUCCCUCAAAAAUGGAUAUUUUGGAUGCCAUCAAGAUUUUGAAUUGAAUGCCAUUUGGAGAUCUGAAUGUUGUUUUUUUCCCCUUUAUCUUCGUUCAAGAUUUUUUUUGGUGGAAAUGCUUCAUUUAUGGACAAUGCUACAGUGCCUAUAGUUAUGGUAACGAUAUUAGAGAAACCUACUAUUACAGGUUUCUAUUACCUUUAGUGACAGAUCCAAUUUUUAGCGACUUUUGAAAUAUUAUAUUAAAAUAAUUAAUAUUAAAUUUAGUAAGUUUUUAAUUAAAACUAGUAAGUUUAUGCCUGAAAGAUAAGUUUUAGUCAGAAAUAGAAAUUUACACUUUGAGUAAUUUAAUUUACUUAUUAUUUGACGAAAAUUACUUAUUUUUGAAUUAAACUUACUAAUACUGCAAGUAAAAAAUGUUCAUAUUUAAGUAAAAAAGUUACCAGUUUCUAAAAAUGGUUUUGGGUUCCUGAACCACUUUCGGAUAUUAUCUUGUUAAAGUCAUCUCCCUUCUUAUUACUUAGUUCUCAGUUUCAACAUACGAUUGAAUUCCCAGGCAAAGGUUUCCACUUUGGUCCACACUUUCUCUUGGUGACAAGUGAAUAAAUUUUCCCACUUCAAAUUUUCAUCUUCAGUUCCCACUUUCCCUCUAUCCUUUCUCAUCGAUCGGUUGUUUUUGGGUGCUGCCAUAUGCAGACACAAUAAAAGGGUUAGCGACGGUGGUAGCCAACCAAAGAGCAUAUGAAAAAUAGCAGUGACGAGGUUAGCCUAUCAUGUCCUCUUGAAAUCGUUUGAUUAUAUUGCUGUAAUUUAUUUAUAUUUCAUUUGUUUUGUUUGUCAAGAUUUUCUUGCGAAAUCAAGGCUGAGAAUUUGAAGAUUUUAUUGCAAUUUUGGGGCUGAAAAUGUCCACUGAAACAUCUAGCCUUGAUUUGGUUGUAGUUUUGAUUGUCUGCUGGUAAAAUAUACUUAAUAGCCAUAUGAAGCAUCUAGGAAAGGACUUGAGACUAGGUGUUUAAGUUAAAUGUGAUUAAUUUAUGAAUGCAUAUAAGAUGUUUGGUGAAAUGUCAAAGAGAAAUCUGUGUGUUAUGAUUGCUGCUCUGUGCUCUUCAGCAGCCAGAGAUGAGACCAGCUCUUAAAGAAAUCACCCUCGUCAGUCGACAACAGCGCUCAAGAUCACCCUUGGGAUUGUAAAUUGUAUAAUCUUUUAUACAAUAGAUUAUAAGAUGUAUAAUCUAUUGUAUAAUUUAAAUUAAAUUUAGUUCACCUAUAAAAUGGUCCUAAAAUAAUUAGUACACUAUGAUAAAUGUUAUUUUAACAACAAAAUAUUUUUUUUUACUAAAAGUCGGAAAUAUCCAUGACAUAUGUAUGAGAGAUAUUUUACCAUAUUUAUAUCUCACAUCUAAUCAUGAAAGUUAAUUUGAGAAAAACUAUUUUUAACAAUAGAAUUAUUUUGAAUUUAACCAACAAGUUGAGAUUUUUUAAACAAUAAAGUGAAAUAUUUUGGGAACUUUUUUUUUUUUUUUUUUUUUUUACAUAAAUAUGGUCUUUAUUGGCAAAGAAAAGAGAAAUUACAUAGAUCGUGUGACUAACCUACCCUGAGACCGUACAGACUCUCACAUACGGAGUUGACAACCUAUCUAACUGCAAAAGAGCCCGAACUUAGAAGGGAGAGCUCUUUCACUGAAAAAUCGGGCAUCCGUUCGUAGGUCCGAGGAGGCCAAAGCGUCGGCGACCGCAUUAGCCUCUCUGAACGUGUGAACCAGAGACACCCCAAUUUUGCCACCAAGCACCGAAUAUGCCUAAUUGUGUUGCAUAACGGCCAGCCAGCCGUCAUCUUAACGGACACGAGAUGCACUAAAGUACUAGAAUCCACUUCUGCUAUGACUCCCGUGAGAUUGUUGUCCUGGCAAUACCGAAGACCCUCCAGCAAAGCCAACGCCUCUGAGGAGAGAACGUCUUGCUCUCCAAACUCCUUAUAAAAGGCAAACACUAAAUUACCCUCACCCGAGCGCACCACCCCUCCACCACUUGACCGCCGCUUACCACACUAGCAUCAGUGUUGAGUUUCACCGCUUGCCCUGUAGGUUUUACCCAAGAAAAGGCUCGAAGCUGUAUCAAUUUGUUCUUGGCCUUACCGAAUUUCACCCAGUCGCAAUCUGUGUCCCCUUUGAAGAACUCCAACUUGAACAGGCCCCCCCUACCCAACUGCUCAACCAAUGCGCACACCUGGUUGGUUACCUGAUCUGACGACAUACUCAUCCCUCAAAGCGGGCCUUGUUACGGCCCUUCCAAAUAAACCACAAGAUCAAGAGCGGGAGGAUGACACGAAUAUGAUUCUGUGAGACAAACCGGUGAGAAAAGAGCCAACAUGAAAGCCUCGAUGCCACCCCACUCCUGGAGUACCAGCCCAAAGCGCAGGAGAAGUGCCGCCAAACCCUGCUCGCUAAAGGGCCCGAGAAAAAAGAUGGUCUCCUGUUUCUGGCGCUAGGCCACAACAGUAGCACUUUGACGCUAACCUCACCCUCUACCUUGAAGGAGAUCAUCCAAGGGGAGCCAACCACGCAACAACCUCCACACAAAGAAGGAUACCUUCAGAGGACCACCGAGCUCCAGACCAGCGAAUCAAUAACAGAUCGAUUACGCUUUGACCGAAGAACGUCCCAAGCUGAAGACACAGUAAAGCUCCCCGAAGGUGACGCCGCCCAAAUCAUUUGGUCUUGCAUAUUGGGAAAAAUACGCAGCUCCAAGAUCUUCGACACUAAGUGCCCCGGAAGCAGCCUUCUGAGCCACUGCUCAUCCCAACCAUCAGAAAGAAAAAAUUCCCCUACCAACCUGUGAGACUUAGGGCCUGGCACCAACCUGGCGAGCGGAACAUCAGUACACCACCUAUCCUGCCAAAAGUCAACUAAGCCCUCCCAGACACCACCGGAUAUUCCCCUCCGUGAGGUCCCUCACCUCUAUCAAACGGCGCCAAAUUGGGGACGGGCGGUCAACUGAAACUAGAAGAGGAUGCCCCCUCUGACAUACUUAACGUGCAUGAACUCUGCCCAAAUGGAUGCCCGUUCCCUCAACUUCCACCAAAGCUUACAUGAGAAAGCCUUAGCGACAUCCUCAAAUGGGCGAAACCCCAGGCCCCUUCCUCGACCGGACGGCACACCUUAUCCCAAGCCGCCCAGUGGAUCCGUUUGCUUUCAAUAGAGGUAUCCACAAGAAAGCAUUGCACAGACGCCUAACUGCAGCAGCACAGCCUUCGGCGGUUGAGUACCUGGAGUAAGUAGACCGGAAGGGAACACAGGACACUUCGUAAAAGGACAAUCUUCCCCCCAUAGAUAGCAUCUUUGAGCUCCAAUGGAAUAACUUUUGGCGAACCUUGCCAGCAACGCAUCAAACACUGCACAUGUGACCCUACGCGAAUCAUCGGCACCCCUAGAUACCUGAACGGAAAAACCUGGCACUGGUACCCCAGGGUCGUGCUUACCAGGGCCCGCUGGGUGUCUGUAGCCCUAGCCGAAGCGUAAAAAGCACUCUUUAGCAAUAUUCACCUUCUGACCAGAACAACUUUGGUAGAGCUGCAAAAAAUCCUUAAUGGACACCAACGCAUCCUGCGAGCACCGAGUAAAGAUGACCAUAUCAUCCGCAAAGGCUAAAUACGGCACUUUCGACCCAGCAGAAACGAAGUAUCUACUGUCCUUGGAAUCAAAAAUCCUUUGCAGCCCUCUCCCAAGAAAAUCCGCCACGAAUAAGAAAAGCGCAGGAGAAGAGGGUCACCCUGUCGCACCCCUUGAAAUGACUUCACAAAACCCGUUGGUUCCCCAUUAACUAGGAUCGAGAACCAAGUGUUAGAAAACGUUCGAAAGAGCAAAUCCACUACUACCUCUUCAAACCCAUACUGCCUAAGCAGAAAAAGUAGAAAGGACCAAUCAACCCGAUCAUAUGCCUUCUCCAUGUCCAGCUUCAAGAUCAAAUUCGGGUCAAUCAACCUCCUAUCCAAGUCUAAAAUCAGCUCCUGUGCCAAAAGAACAUUGUCCACUAUCCACGCCCGGAACAAAACCUGUUUGCCAUGGUGAAAUGAGCUUCGGGAGGAGCUUGCUGAUCCUGAUGGCCAAUAUCUUAGACACAACCUUAGAGGUUACAUUACAAAGACUAAUAGGCCGAAAAUCCGCCAGUGGGAUGCCCUCCACUUUUGGAUGAGCACCACCAUAGAGUGGGACCAGCUCCUGGGUUGCUCCAUACCCUGGAAGAAGUCCUGGAUAGCCAUAAGCAAGUCAUCCUUGACAAUGUCCCAGCAGCUUUGGAAAAAACCUGCUCCAAACCCAUCCGGACCCGGAGCACUCUGUAUCUCCAUUCCAAACACUACCUCAUGGAUUUCCUCCAUCGUAGGAAGACGUUUCAUAAUCUCAUUAUCCUCCUGGUGGCUCUAGGAACCUCAAAAGGAAGCUCAGUGAGGGCCUGUACCUGACGGUUGGAUGCGAACAAGUCCGAAAAAAAGGAUAUCGCUGAGUCCUUAAUCUCCUGCAGGUCUUCAUGCAUCCCCCCUCCUCUUUCCUAAUACGGGAAAUGAAAUUCGAGUUCCGACGCUAGCGGACCCAAGAAUGAAAAAAUGCAGUAUUAGCAUCCCCGCCUGUAACCAUUUAAUACCUGCCUUCUGAUGCCAAAACUCACACUCCAUGGAAAGGGCCCGAUUGUAUCUCGCUCUGGCCUCAUGAAGAUGAAUCUUCGACUCCUCACUUCUAACCAAAUCGUACUCCACCUCCCUCUGUUUUACCUCCUGAUCCGCCUCUGCCACCUGAGAAGAGACAUUGCAAAGACCACACGGUUCCAUUGCUUCAAUGCAUCUCGCACCGUUUUGAGCUUGUUGUAGAAUCUAACCAUCCCCAUGCCAUAGACCUCCUUACUCCAUGCGGCGAACACUAUCUCCCGGAACUGGGGUGCCCGCCGCCAAACAUUAAGAAACCGAAAGCAAGACGAUGUAGCCCUAUAGCCUGCACAUCGAAUCAACAACGGACUGUAAUCCGAUCUCCCUCUGGCCAUAUGGGAAACCCUAGAAAGCGGAUAGACCUCGGACCACCGCCUAUUCCCCAACGCCCGAUCCAAGCGCUGCCAGACUGACCCAUUAGUCAUGUGAAUCGAGACCAUCAAAAUCAAUUGUAGAUAGCCCGCAUUUGAACAUGGAAGCAUUAAAUUCUUCUAUGUUCCGAACAUUAGCUGGAGCCCCCCUUCACGCUCCGCUGCCGAAGCUAUGACAUUAAAGUCGCCUGCUGCUACCCAGGGUUGAUUGUGUGAGACGAGGAAGCCACACUUUCCAUUGCCUCCAGAGUGGCCUCCGCCCAACCUCGUGCACUUGGCAUAUAUCGCAGACACCCAAAAGGAUGCCCCAGAGCCAAAGGAAACGUGAGCAUGAAGCAUUUGCUCAGCGUACUCGACACAGCUAAAUCGUAAGAGGCACGACCAAAACACCCAUAUUUUACCACCAAUAUAAAGAGCUGAGAAAUCAAAAUUUAAAACCUCCGAACCACCUCCAACUGACACUCGCAGACAUUGGUUCUAAUAGAAAUAAUAACCUAACCUUGUUAUCGUAGCACAGCUUCUUCAGAUAGCGCAAAGAGUCCCUUCGGGAAGCCCAUCUGAUAUUCCAAACUAGCAUAUUAAUCGGAUCUAACAUGAGACCCAAUGAGUAUGAAGCUUGCGCCAAGGGUACACACAUGCCCCCUUCUUGGUCUCCCCCGUUUCCGUCUUAGAACCGUGGCGGCAUCAUCCUCCUCCAAGUCAUUACUAAAUCCCCUUCAAGAAGAGUUAAAGAGUCCAAAACAGUGUCAACACCCUGGACUGGUUGCGCCUUAGCAUUGAAAUCCCGUUGAAACGCCUUCAAUUCUUCAAGCGAGACUGAGACAGCUCUCACGCUAUCCACUGAACGCCCUCGGUGAUGGCAGUCCCGUUUCCAACCUCUCGACGCUGACCGUACAGGGCUCCUGUCUCGCUGCUCCUCAUCUGCGGAUUCACCUUCCAACUCUCCUAGAGCAGCGAAAGAAUUUGUCACGCGUAUGCUUCCCUCCUCUUCGGCGCCUAUACGAGACCCGCCCUGCAGCUCAAUCCCAGGUGACCAGCACUCCUGUGGCCGCACUUGUCAUUCCCCAUUCCUUCCGACUGAAUAACUAGCCUGCUCCUUCCCCUUAUCCCCAUUACUCCCAGACCCAAAGUCUGUACCAUCUUAUUGUCAUCUGCAACAGGCUCCAGAGACGCUGCACUCACUGCCGCAUCAGUCUGUUCCAAUGCUCCUUCCGACUGGAGCAGCGCACAACCAGUACCAGCACCAGUCCUUGUUCACCGACAGCAGCCGCCUGCACACUCUCCGCGACACCUGGUCCUGGCCAGGUGCCACCGAACUCCUUCCCAUUCACCACUUUCGGAACGUACACUUGCCGAUGUUUCAGUGUUUUUGCCUGGGCAGCGCGAGGCUGCGGAUCCGGGCGCAAGGAAGGAUUUCUAUGAAAACACUGCUCCUCUGUAUGGCCGAAUCUGCUGCAGAACCACAGUAGUCUGGCCACCCUCCAUCUCAACAGGCUGCCAGAAACCGAAGUGAUCAUCACCUAUCCAAAUACGACGCACAGGGGUCGACACUACGUUUACCUCCACCAAUACUCUGGCAACGGACGGACGGCGCAAAUCACACGUUGAUGCGUCAAUCUUGAGGGGCUGCCCAACGUAGAAGCGAGCUUGAUUAACUGGGAUCUCUGGAAAAAAGGAAUCGGCAAUUCUGGGAAGCAAACCCAGAUUGGAGCUAUGGCUAACUCCUGAUCUGCCUUAAAUUCCAACGACCACUUGGAAAUCGACAUUGGCGAGCUGCUAACAUACCAAAUCCUCCGCGCAAAGAGACGGGUGUAGUCUUCCUCCAGAACGGGACGAAUGAGAACGUGUUUCUGGUCGAGGAGGCCAACCUUACAGUCCCCUCUGAGACCAGCGACAGAAAGAACUUUCUGAUGACUUCCAUGGGUGGUCUGUUGAAGGAGAAACGCCCACCAACGAAUUCUGAAACGGUUCCGAAAGCUGCUCAAUUUCCCUACGAGAGAUACGCAAAGCAGGUUCUCCUCUGAAGGUAGAGACCUCCCCUAAAGCUAUGGCAUCAGGUUUAUCCGAAGCGCCUGCCAGAACGAAGCAAAGGACCUCUGAACCGGAGACUGACUGGCCUGUGUGUGUGACGGCCCACAGGCCGCCAUGUCCGGUAAGAAGAUCUAGCCGCACCCUCAACCCUAGCCGACCCUCAAACCGUCAAAAGUCGGUAUAUUCUAUAUUUUGGGAACUUAGUUGUUUAUUUUCCCGUAAUAAAAAAUUUAAAAUAUGAAAAUUAUUCUUACAUAUUUUAUAAGGUCAUAUGCAAAAAAAAAAACAGUUUAUAUAUAUUUAAAAUGCUUCAAACAUAUAACAUUUAUAAAUGAUACGUACAAUUGUAAGUUUCUUUAAGUAAAAUAGUAAAUUUAUGCCACAAACUAUUAAGUUUGAUGAUUAACCAAAUUUACUAAAUCUAUCAACAAUAUUUACUAUUAAUCUAUAAAAACUUACUAUUACUUGAACUAAACUUACCCUCCAAAAACUAAGUUUCAGAUAUAGAGUAAUAUUUUAUUUCAUAAAAACAAAGUUAGUUCCAUAUUUAUUCAAAUUUACUUUUUGAGACAUAAAAGUUACUAAUAUAUUGAGUUAACUUACUAUUCUUUAUGCAAAACUUACUAACCACCAUUUUAGGUACUAUUUCAUUUAGAAUGACCAGUAUAACAGGUCAUCAAAUGGUCGCUAAAAGUAUUUUUACCUGUUAUAUCAGGUAAAAAAAUUUCGUUACCAUAACUAUCGUUACUUCAGUUUUCCUUCAUUUAUACGAAUUUUCCUAGUUAGUAAAGGCUUCUAUUACACUUGUACAAUACACAUUUAAAAGUAUAACACAAUAAAAGUUGUGUAGUUCAUAUAUUUCAAAAUAUUCAUACUUUCAACUAAACUAUAAAAAUACGUAAUAUAUUCUUGAUACAUUAUACUUUACGAACUAUACUUUAAAUUUUAAAAAUAUUUAAUACUAUCACUUAUUAAUAACUCCACAUGUUAGUUUGUCUCCCAAUUCAAUAAAUUAUAGUAGCUAAUUCUCAAAGCUAUUACACCAAAAUUCCCUUACUCGUUCACUCCUAGUGGAUUAUUAUUAAUUACAUUGCAUUUAUUUCCUAAGCAUGAGUUUUGUAACCCCUCAUAUUAAAUCUCAAUGAUUAAUUUUAACGGUUACCAAGGCGUCUAGUAAUUGGUUUGCUAUUUUAAUUUGAACUAGACAUUUAUUAGGUCUAGUAGAAUUUAUUCCUUCUUAUCACUUAGUUCGUAAACCUUAUGAAUCGUUAAAAACCAGCUCUAACAUUAGGUAACAAGACUUCUACAAUUUCGGGUUUUGCUUAGAAAUCAGUCUGAUAGUUUAACUUGCUUUCGUCCAACUUUAUGAGUUGCUUUUUUUUUUUUCAUUUGGCAUUUCAUCUGACUUUAAUACGGGGACCAAGUUAGUAUUGUUGGCAUUUCAUAUCUAAGACUUCUUAAUUAAUUGAUUUGUUAUAAGAACUAUAACGUAUGCGUGUUUUGUGAGCUUUCAUGUUUUUUUUUUUUUUUAUUCUUGUGGACCAGCAAUGGAUAGUUUCUUCUAGUGCCAAGUUCCUUUGAAUUCUUUAUUUUUUUUUUGCGUGUCCAAAUGUAAAUUAAAAGAACCAACAACUUUGAACAAGUCUAUAUCUAGUAAAGAUAGAUAUAAAGAGGGAUACGUAUACACAGAUUAUAUAAUUUUUUUCAAAUGUAUGAUUAAAAGUUUAGUAGUAAAAAUACGAGUUUAUCAUUAUUAUGGAUAUCAUAUAAAUUCAUAUAUGAAUAGUAUGAAUAAAUAUAAAUGUUAUAGAAUUAGGUAUACAAGUGAAAUUACUAUAAUUUUGAAUGAUUAUGCUAUUUAUAUCAAAUUUAAUGCUGAUCUGUAUAUAUGACAUCAGAUUUAUUAAAGUUUUAUCACUUUUUUACAUUUAUAUUAUAAUCCAUCUAAAGUUUGUUAUUUGACAAUACAUUUGAUAUAUACCUCAAAAGGUACGUCAUUAUCUUGUCUCACUUUUUAAAAUUUAAAGUAUAAAUCAUAAAGUAUAAUGCAUCCAAAAACAAGUUAAAUGCAUCAAGAAUUUAUUAUAUAUUUUUAUAGGUUAGGCGAAAAGUAUAAAUAUUCUUGAAAUACACGAACUAUAGAACCUCUUUUGUGCUAUACAUAUAAACGCGUAUUGUAGAAGUAUAAUAGAACUAUUUACUAGCUAGGCAAAUUCGUAUAAAUGAAGCAUUUCCACCAAAAAAAUCUUGAACAAAGAUAAAGGUUCAGAUCACUGAAUGCCAUUCCAUUCAAACUCUUGAUAGCAUCCAAAAUAUCCAUUUGAAGGACUUCGGUUUCUUUCUCAGGAGGGAACGGAGUUGAGUUUGACUCCGUCGAUGCUGAAUUAUUUUACAUUGUAAUGACAUGUAUAUAAAUAUUAUUGAACAUUAUGAACGUCUUAUAUCAAUCACACUAAAUUCUAGUGUUCCCAAGUAGGGAUGAGCAAAUUCGGUUCUUACCGAAUUCAUAACCGAUUUCAAAUUCAAUUCGGUAAUUUGAAAUCGGGUAUUUGGUAAUUUGGUACAAAUUCUGUGAGAACUCGAAAAUUUUCUUAUUUUUAUAGAAUAUUACUGGAAUAUUUAAAUGAUUAUUCACUAAUUUUCUUCGAAUUAUUUAUUUCGACCAUUUUAAUUCAUUUAUAUGGAAUGACGCCUCUUUAUAUUUUUAAAGCGUUUUGUUGAAAAAUUCGCUUUUCGAAAAUUUGUUUAGUCCGGAACGACGGGUGCACGUUUUUCUAGGCCAUACUUGAAUCGGGAGUGUAUUAUUUAUUGGAGAAUUAAGAACGAUCAAUAAUAGAUUAAGAAAGGUUAAUGGAGGAAUUAAUACUCAAUUCACGUGAGGACUCGUAAAAUUAUUAUUUUAAAAUCCCUAAUUUUGGCUAAAUUAAUUACUUAUUUAGAUUUUUGCCACGAAUAAUAUUUUCUAGCCUUUUAGACCUAAGUACAUGGUUUUAUAGUUUCGUUAUAUUUUUAAAGUGUCUCAUUUCAAAAAUUAUUUUCUUAUAAGCUUGUUUAGUGAAAAGGUGAAAACGUGUCCAAACACUUUAGCCAAUUGGGAAUAAAAUAAGUUCAAAAAUUUGAGACAUAUACAAUGGUUCUAAAAUAGACAAUUUUAGAUUUAAGCACACAAGUGAUAGCUAGUGGUACGAUCGUUAUAAGAAUUUCUCGAAAGUUUCAUUUUAUUGCGCCUAAAUUGGAAAUACGUGUUUUCACGUGCGCGCUUAAUUGAGGGACUUUGGACAAUUAUUUUGGGACAAUUAAGAAUGAAUAAUAUUUAUAUGAAUGUAAGUGCCCUAGAGGUUUAGUGCACUAGUGUAACAAACUUAAGGAAAAUUGAACACAAAACGCGCGAGUAGGGCACUAGUUGCAAUUAAAUUUUUCAUACUUAAAAUAUUAGACGGUCGGCGUUCUUUGUAUGCAAAAAGGAAAUCAGACUAACAUUCAUAUCUGCAAGCUUUAUGGACGGCUAGCAACUGCAGCAAAGAGCAACCGAAAACUUCCACAUUUCCUCUACAAACUCACAAAUUCAACCAAAACUUCACACACACUUAGCUCUUCACUUGGACAAUCACUUGGACAAAGAACGAGCUGCACAUUCACGGUUUUUCUUGGGCUUUUGGACACCAAAAAUCUGAUCUUUUAGCACACAAGUAAGGUAACCAUGAUCCACUCUUCAAAUCUUGUUCGUUGAAGGCCAACUCACACUUAAGAGCUUGAUUAUGCUUAUGGGUAGCUUAUUAUUGUUAGAGAAUUGUUAAAUGUGGCUCUAUGAACUCCACCACUUUGAGUUGAUGUGUGAUGAUUUUGAUUGAUGUUUUAUUGUUGAAUUAGUGCUUAAGGGAGUAGAUUAAAGGUGCAUUAUCGCCAGAAACUUCAUUGAGCUCUUGAAGCAAAAAGUUCCCCUGCUCCGUUCGGUGGCAGAAAUUUGAGAAUUUAAUGGCUUGAUUGUGUUGUUUAUAUGUUGUAAAUUUUCAUUGAAAACUGAGUUUUGGUUGGUCAAACGAAUUUAUUCCCAAGCUAGUAAUCUGGAAAACGGUUUUCAUCGUAAUCCAGACCAGUGUUCGUAUUUCGUCCAUAACUCCGUACUCCGACGUCAAAAUCAAGUUCCGUUAGCGGCAUUUGAAACUAGACGUUCCCAUACUUUCCAACGGUAUAUAAUGCACAUUCUGGUUCCAUGUGUGUGAACCGCACCACUCAUCUGAAUUCAGCUGCCCUGUUUCGCCGUUCUGCCGAAAUGAUUUGAUGAUGCUGCAACUUUAGGCUUAAUUUCGAGCUAGUUGCAUGCUGAAACAUAAAAUGAUUUCUUCUGUGAAAUUAUAGUCCUAUGCAUGUAUUUUCUAACACUAUCAACCAUGCUCAAAUCCGAGUUAAAUUGAGUGAGUUAUGAUCAAAAUACGGUGACUGUUUUGUUCUUGAAAGCCUUGGAUUUGGACAGAUUUGACGUGACAUUUGUGGUGGUCUUACUAAAUGAAUUUCUUGAUACUAAACACCUACCACAUGUACCAUGAAUGUUUCUUAAACUUUCCUUUCGCAUAUGAACCAUGAUUGGAGGAUUUUCUUAGCCAAACGAUUGGAUUUGGGAAGAAAAGGAUUAAGGACAGAUUGUCUUGAGAAUUUUUUCAAACUUUGGUUGAUUGGUUAACCACCUUCCCGAAGGUAUUUUUCCACGAAAUUUUGUAGAGAGAUACCCUUCAUAUAGUAGUACCAUACUACAAAAUUUGGGGUCAAUUCAAGUCCGUUUCGACACUUAACAAAAGUUCCAUAGUCGGAACCAAUCUGGAAAUUUUGUAACAGUCUUGAAUUUUUCCCAACUUUGAGCUACCAUAUCUUGGUGUUCGAAACUCCGAUUCUCGAUCCGUUUAUUCUACCCUAAACCUUAGUUGCACCUCUAAUUGAGCUAUAAAUUUUAAGGGCUGGUUUGCAACGAGUGAAUUCUGCCGAAUUUCCAAAGUUAGCGAAAAGCCAACCCCGGGUCAAUCCUGGGUGAUCUGGGAUAGCAACUUUAAACUCAUUUUUGAAUACCUUUCAUUUCGAUUCGUGGAACAGUGUCUUCUAAGAACUUUUAGUAAUUUCCAAGAGGUUUCCAACGGUAUAAAGUUUUCCAAUUUUAGACUUGUAUCGAGUGAGAUACGAUUUUUCAAAGAUCCAUAUCAAAACUGAAAAUUUUCCAACUUUCAAGGAAAUAGAGAUUUCCAAGAACUUUUUAUUCUUUCGACAUUAUGCAAACAUUUUAACCUCAUUUCCAAGAUAAAAACCCAAAUGCUCCUGUACUUUAAGAAACUCUAAUUGAACCUCGAUUUACGAGUAAUUGAGGUUCGAUUUCGUGAAUUUCCUUAGAUUGUACUAGUGUACAAUCUUCCUUGAUAAUUGGGAUAUAUGAAUGAUAAUACGUUAUUUUUGCCCAGGCGCACACGAGGACCUUCAAGAGGAUCCUACCGUGCACACUUGAACUUCCAGAAAAUAUUUCUUCUUGAUUUGCUCGGUGAGUGUCAAGUGUAUGACUACUUGAACACUAUGGACUUGAUUCAUGCUUGGCUUACCUGAUUACAUGCUUAGCCUACUUGGUUUUGAAAAAUGGAGUCGAGUGUGUACUUUAUCGCACUCGUUCUCAUUUGAAACAAAUGACUCAUGCUUAACAUGGUUUGCCUGAUUUACAUGACCUGAAAUACAUGCUUAGACCUGUCAAAUGCUUGAAUACAUGAUAUGGUAUGCUAUGGCUGCAUACGUCGUUGGAGUGAAUCUCUCGACACUUACAUGACACAUGGGGGACGCCAAACUCAUAGGCCGACCUUGGAACUCGAGCCGGCAUGGGCUUGGUCGGGAACCUCGUGAGCCAUGAGAUUCACAUGAUAAGCUUGAUCUAUUGGAGAGAUCUUGCUUGGCAUACUCGUGGAGUAUCGCCUCAUAAAUGUCGUGCGGCCCGAAGCGGUGUAUGGUGGACGGAUGAGAAGUAAGUGGUGAUCUACGGUUUGGAAAUAUCAACCCGGUUGACGGAGAGUCAUCACGGGAAGAUAUACGAAUGAACUGGCAAAGCAAGUGGAACUUAGCUCUUGAGAGCUACCAUAUCCUUGAAUCGUUUCUGUUUACAUUUUGUUGGCAUUGUUAAUUACUUGCAAGUUAUCACUUGAACUGUUACUUGGGUUUGUUACCUGAACUAUGUGCCUGCAUGUGUGUUCUUGGCCUCACGAGCGUUUUGCUCACCCUAUAGAUUUGUUUUCCUUAACAGAUUUGAACUCGGAGGCGUACUGGAAAAAAACCUCCUGAUGAGCUUUUGUUUAGGAUUUCUAUUAAUUUUGGCUAUGUCUUGGUUUUGGGUUGUACUUUUGGAAUUGAAAUGUAACUUUUGGGCGUGAUGUAUAUUUGGGAUUAUAUGAUGUUUUGAAACCCGACGUGCGGGUGGAUAAUGGAUGACUUUUUAUUAACUUGAACGCUUCGCAUUUUUGUAUUAAGUUAUUUACGUGUAUUGUGGUCGAGAUAAGCUUGAAUGGAAUUGCUUGAGUCCUGGCGAGAGUUAGGCAGGCGUCCGCGGAUACCCUUUGGUUCGCCUUAGGGAGAAGUGGGGCGUCACAGUUGGUAUCAGAGCAUAGGCUUUAGAUCUUGUAGUGUAUCCUAGGUUUAAAGUUUAGGAUGCCUGACUGUGGGAUUAAUUUGAAUAUUAUGUGAACUAGAGGGUCUAUUGUAUCCUACGGGUUAAAAAAUUGGUUACUUGAGAGUUUCUUACUUGGGACUUGUAGAAAUAAAAAUUGAGGAAUUAGCUGAUGUUAUAUUGAAGGAAAAUAUGGGAUGAGAGAUUAGUAGUGAAAGAUUGGACGAAUUUGAAUUAUUAUUAUUCUUGUAAGUGUGGAAAGAAGUGAGACAAUUAUUAGUGCUGGCUAAAGCGAUAAGAGACCGAGAUUUGAUGGUCAAACUCCAUGUAUCGUGAUUGUGAACCAGAUGAAAGAGUUUCAAAUAUAAAAUGCAUUUUCCUGCUCAUUUACCUCCUAGAGAAAUUAUGCUUUGAAAUUCUAAAGGAAAAAUGGAUGUACUAGUUUUAUUUUCAAACGAUAAUUGGAAAUAAUAUAUAUAUGCUUUAAGUAUGUGUAAUUCUUCGAUUUUGGUAAAUAUGUGAAUUUUACUUGAAUUUCAAUUUAAAAAUUUGUGAAUAACUGAUGAGUUUGUUGAAAUUUUGUAUGUGAUGGGCUGAUACAAGGUUAAAAUUUUCUAAACUAGAUUUUCCCCCUUGAUUGUAUACUGGUGUAUUCUCACACUUGAAUUCAUCUAUGCUUUACAAAAAAAUAAAAAAAAUAAUAAUAAUAAAAUAUCUUGAAUUUUCGGAAGAACGGCGAACUUAUGUUUUUAUAAUGAAAAUCUUGAACUUGAUAAGAUUUUUGUUACUUUAAAUACUCUUCUUAUCUUUUAAAAUUCUUGGUUUUCAAGAAGGGUGAGCCUAUCUUUAGGUGUACGGAUUGAGGAACUUUGAGAUAUAGAGUAACCGCAUUCAAGAACACGCAGUUAGUGUGAAUUGACUUGGUUUCCAUUUGACACGUAAGUUAGCAAGUUGUACUUAUUUCUUGGGUUUGAACUUGGAGCUUGAACUUUAACUAUAAAACCCUAAGACUAGUUAUUCUUGGAGAUGAUGGUGCUCUGGUUGGUGGCUUGCUUAUUAAAGAUUUUGAAUUUCGAAUGGAUAACCUUUGGUUUCCGCUUGUGUUAUGGUUUGAUUGGAUCUAAUUUCGUAAAGGCAUGUGAUCUGAUUGGAAUUAGUGAUAUUCGGACCCAUUGGUUUAAUUAAGGACUUAGGAAGGGUGGUGCACGCCGUGAGACCUUUUGUAUCCCGCUUGCAUAUACUUCUACAUUUUGUGACCCUUAAUUGCCUAUAUACAGUAUUUGACAUAUUGGGCUUGUUUUGUGACUUCUUAACUCGUACUAUAACCUUCGAUACAUGUAAAGAAUCAUGUCUUGAUUCUAAAUAUUUUUGCAACUUGUAUAUGCAUUAAGUUCUUUUAUGAUUAAUUAUUCCUUUUCUUGCGCUUAUAGACUCCUAUUAAGUAUGGUAGCAGGAAUAGGAAAAAGGGGUCGUGGCCGAGGACUUAGACAACCCUGUACUCGUGAGAAAAAUUGAUGGAUAGUCUUAUAUAAUUUAAUGAGAUUCUAGUACUGAAUAUGAAUCGAGAAAAAAAACAGAAGAUUAGAUCUACCAGUGUAUAAUGGAUUAACCUAGUUGGGAACUUAGUGAGAUUUUCCUGUGUGAAAUUUUAAUAACUGCUUUAUACGUAUAUUAUGAUUGGUCCUGUGGCCAUAUUUCAACUUUUGUGAAAGUUUGAACUCCAAAAGUAUUUCGUGGGUUUGGUGAGAUGACCUGAACUCAUUACCAAUUUGUUCUACUUGAACAAAAGCGCUUUCAAUUUUACUUGACUAAUACUAUAUCCAGAUUCACUUGUUUUACUUUUCACAAAAUUUAUAUAUAUAUAUAUAUAUGUAUGUAUACACAUUUUGAACUCGUUUGAGACUCGAAAUCAGAUAGAGUUCAAGUUCGAAUCUUUCUUAGGAACAUGAAUGCCUAUUUGUUAUGAAUCAGAUAUUAGAAAUGAUCGGGUUUUAUGUACCAGUAGAGUUAACUCUUGGUUGGAUAAAAGGGUGGUAAAGGUAUUGGAUCACAGGUUAUGCGAAUAUGAACCUACAUGUUUACCUAUCUUUCUUAAAGGUAUUUUCUAAAAUAUACGCCUUACUCGAACAUAGAUUUAACUCGAAACUUUGAGGAAAAGUGUUGGAACACCCUCCAUGUAUAUGUUAUGAUUAUUAUGUAUAUGUUUUAAAAAUCAUGCAUUAAGUUGCAUGAUUAAUAUUCUUAAAUCUAUUUGAGAGAUUUUAAAUAUGUAUUGAUGAUUGUGGUUAAACAUUAUUUGAAAUCUCUUACUAAGAAAAUUUAGUUUUGGGUCGUGAAGAAAAAUUUGUAUCUUUAACUCUAAUUUUGAAAAUUUUGAAUCGCAUUUUGCCACAGAUACAUUCAAAAUACAUCAAAAGUCUUGACCUUAUCUUGUAAGUCAUGAUUGGUUUGAUUUAGACAAAAUUUUGAGGAAAGGGAUUUUGGUCCUGCUAGUGCGUAACAGUUUUUUUUUUUUAGGAUUUGGAACUUGUUUCAUAUGGCGUGUAAUUUAUGGUUUCACUACACACGGGAGUAAGACCUUAGAAUGGAAGUACAUAUCAUUAUAUCAAGAGGUAUUACUUUAGUCGUGUGUGUGGAUUUUCUUAAGUAUCAUUCGAGGAGAGGGAAGAGUAAAUAUACCUGGAUGACUUAGAUGCGUGAGAAUUUACAGGUUGUGGAUAGUUGAGUUUCAAUUCUGAUUUGCUACUUAUUUAGAUGCUUGAGCUGUUGAUAGGCUAACAGUCAGGAUUAAGAAAAUGGAUGAAUGAAAAGUUUGGAAGAGAUGCGUAUAGAAAUAGAAAUUCUUCACAAGGAGUUGGAAUUCCAAACUAAAUUGGCUGAAUUUGGGAAGAAAAAAAAAAGUCGAGAACUUAGGGUUGAAGAUGGGAUCCAAUGUUUAAUCGCCAAUUUGAGAUAUUAAAAGUUGUGAGAUUUGGGUGAGUGAAAGGAAAUAUUUGAUGGCUUGAAUGAGCUAACGAUUAGGGACCGGAUGUUAUAUUUGGAAUGGACGCUUGAGGCUAUAUAUACAUAGAUUAUUGAGAGUUGAACGAUGAGACUAUUAAGAACAAAUGCUCCAUAGCCUCACAUAAACGAGAAUUAUAAUCAAGGGUCAGGAGCAGCGAAUAAGGGAUUUAAAGUAGAGUUACUACAACCGGAAUCCUAGAAACUGAUGUGCUUAAAACCACUUCCAAUUCAAGAUGGGGAUGCUUGAAUUUUCAGUUAUGCCAAUUGGGUUGACUAAUGUAUUAGCAGCAAUUAUUGCAUUAAUGCAUCAAGGUUUUAAAUCGUAAUAGGAUUAAUCUGUGAUGGCAUUUAUUGAUGAUGUAUUGAUAUACCCUAAAGUUUGAGAAGAUCAUGAAAAAAAAAUACCUGAUGGUAGUUUUACAAACCCCAGAGAACGCUAACUUUUGUUAAGUUCAAUAAAUGUGAGUUCGAUGGGAAGAAAUAGCCUUUCUAAGUUAUAUAAUAUCUAAGGAAGAAAUUGUUGUUAACUCAGCUUAAGUGGAAGCUGUUUAAGAGGAAAUGACUAGAAAAUCCUACCGAAAUUUGGAGUUCUUAGAGGUAGUCGAAUAUUACCUUGGUUUGAUCAGGGACUUCUAAGGAUACGAGACUUGGCAAGUUAUUUGAGAUUUUAAAUGUGAGGAAGAAUUUGAAGGUGAAAAUCGUUUAACCAGUGCACUUGUGUUGGCUUUACCGAGCGGAUAAGGUGAUUUUGUGAUUUAUACAGAUGGUUCAAAGGAUGGUUUAGAAUGUAUAUUAAUAAUAUAUGAUGAGGUGAUUGUAUAUGCCUUCUGAAAGUUAAAAUCUUCCGUAAGAAAGUAAUCAACUCAUGAUUUGGAGUGAGUUGGAAAACGUAAGUCAAUGAUUGAUCUGAUAGGUUUAACCAUGAAGGGAAUGAUAUUGUUCUAAGUAUGAAUUUCGAGGACGAAAUUCCUUUCAAGGAGGGGAGGAUGUGAGAACCCGAAAAUUUUCUUAUUUUUAUAAAUAUUACUGGAAUAUUUAAAUGAUUAUUCACUCAUUUUUUCGAAUUAUUUAUUUCGACCAUUUUAAAUCCAUUUAUAUGGAAUGACGCCUCUUAUAUUUUUAAAGCGUUUUGUUGAAAAUUCGCUUUUCGAAAAUUUGUUUAGUCCGGAACGACUGCACGUUUUUCUAGGCCAUACUUGAAUCGGGAGUGUAUUAUUUAUUGGAGAAUUAAGAACGAUCAAUAAUAGAUUAAGAAAGGUUAAUGGAGGAAUUAAUACUCAAUUCACGUGAGGACUCGUAAAAUUAUUAUUUUAAAAUCCCUAAUUUUGGCUAAAUUAAUUAUUUAUUUAUUUUUGCCACGAAUAAUAUUUUCUAGCCUUAUUAGACCUAAGUACAUGGUUUUAUAGUUUCGUUAUAUUUUUAAAGUGUCUCGUUUCAAAAAUUAUUUUCUUAUAAACUUGUUUAGUGAAAAGGUGAAAACGUGUCCAAACACUUUAGCCAAUUGGGAAUAAAAUAAGUUCAAAAAUUUGAGACAUAUACAAUGGUCCUAAAAUAGACAAUUUUAGGUUUAAGCACACAAGUGAUAGCUAGUGGUACGAUCGUUAUAAGAAUUUCUCGAAGGUUUCAUUUUAUUGCGCCUAAAUUGGAAAUACGUGUUUUCACGUGCGCGCUUAAUUGAGAGACUUUGGACAAUUAUUUUGGAACAAUUAAGAAUGAAUAAUAUUUAUAUGAAUGUAAGUGCCCUAGAGGUUUAGUGCACUAGUGCAACAAACUAAGGGAAAUUGAACACAAAACGCGCGAGUAGGGCACUAGUUGCAAUUAAAUUUUUCGUACUUAAAAUAUUAGACGGUCGGCGUUCUUUGUACGCAAAAAGAAUCAGACUAACAUUCAUAUCUGCAAGCUUCAUGGACGGCUAGCAACUGCAGCAAAGAGCAACCGAAAACUUCCACCAUUUCCUCUACAAACUCCACCAAAUUCAACCAAAACUUCACACACACUUAGCUCUUCACUUGGACAAUCACUUGGACAAAGAAGGAGCUGCACAUUCACGGUUUUUCUUGGGGCUUUUGGACACCAAAAUCUGACCUUUUAGCACACAAGUAAGGUAACCAUGAUCCACUCUUCAAAUCUUGUUCAUUGAAGGCCAACUCACACUUAAGAGCUUGAUUAAUGCUUAUGGGUAGCUUAUUAUUGUUAGAAAUUGUUAAAUGUGGGCUCUAUGAACUCCCACUUUGAGUUGAUGGCUGUGAUGAUGUUUGAUGAUGGUUUUAUUGUUGAAUUAGUGCUUAAGGGAGUAGAUUAAAGGUGCAUUAUCGCCAGAAACUUCAUUGAGCUCUUGAAGCAAAAAGUUUCCAUUUUACCCCUGCUCUGUUCGUCACUUUAAUGCAGAAAUUUGAGGAUUUAAUGGCUUGAUUGUGUUGUUUAUAUGUUGUAGUAGUUGUGUAAAAGUUUUCAUUGAAAAAUACUGAGUUUUGGUUGGUCAAACGAAUUUAUUCCCAAAGCUAGUAAUCUGGAAAACGGUUUCGUCGUAAUCCAGACCAGUGUUCGUAUUUCGUCCAUAACUCCGUACUCCGACGUCGAAAUCAAGUGCCGUUAGCGGCAUUUGAAACUAGACGUUCCCAUCUUUCCAACGAUAUAUAAUGCACGUUCUGGUUCAUGUGUGUGAACCGUACCACUUAUUGAAUUCAGCUGCCCUGUUUCGCCAUUCUGCCGAAAUGAUUUGAUGAUGCUGCAACUUUAGGCUUAAUUUCGAGCUAGUUGCAUGCUGAAACAUAAAAUGAUUUCUUCUGUGAAAUUAUAGUCCUAUGCAUGUAUUUUCUAACACUAUCAACCAUGCUCAAAUCCGAGUUAAAUUGAGUGAGUUAUGAUCAAAAUACGGUGACUGUUUUGUUCUUGAAAGCCUUGGAUUUGGACAGAUUUGACGUACAUUUGUGGUGUCUUACUAAAUGAAUUUCUUGAUACUAAACACCUACCAAAUGUACCAUGAAUGUUUCUUAAACUUUCCUUUCACAAUGAACCAUGAUUGGAGGAUUUCUUAGCCAAACGAUUGGAUUUGGGAAGAAAAGGAUUAAGGGCAGAUUGCCUUGAGAAUUUUUCAAACUUUGGUUGAUUGGUUAACCACCUUCCCGAAGGUAUUUUUCCACGAAAUUUGAGAGAGAGAUACCCUUCAUAUAGGAGUACCAUACUACAAAAUUUGGUGUCAAUUCAAGUCCGUUUCGACACUUAACAAAAGGUCCAAAGUCGGAACCAAAUCUGAAAUUUUGUAAUAGUCUUGAAUUUUUCCCAACUUUGAGCUACCAUAUCUUGGUGCUCGAAACUCCGAUUCUCGAUUCGUUUGUUCUGUCCUAAACCUUACUUGAACCUCUAAUUGAUCUAUAAAUUUCUACGGGCUGAUUUGCAACGAGUGAAUUCUGCCGAAUUUCAAAGUUAGCGAAAAACCAACCCCGGCUCAAUCCUGGGUGAUCUGGGACAUCAACUUUAAACUCAUUUUUGAAUACCUUCCAUUUAGAUUCGUGGAACAGUAUCUUCUAAGAACUUUUAGUAAUUUCCAAGAGGUUUCCAACGGUAUAAAUUUUUCCAAUUGUAGACUUGUAUCGAGUGAGAUACGAUUUUUCAAAGAUCCAUAUCAAAACUAAAUUUUCCAACUUUCAAGGAAAUAGAGAUUUCCAAGAAUUUUUAUUCUUUCGACAUUAUGCAAACAUUUUAACCUCGAUUUCCAAGAUAAAAAUCCAAAUGCUCCUGUACUUUAAGAAACUCUAAUUGAACCUCGAUUUACGAGUAAUUGAGGUUCGAUUUCGUGGAAUUUCCUUAGAUUGUACUAGUGUACAAUCUUCCUUGACAAUUGGGAUAUAUGAAUGAUAAUACGUUAUUAUUUGCCCAGGCGCACACGAGGACCUUCAAGAGGAUCCUACCGUGCACACUUGAACUUCCAGAAAAUAUUUUUUCUUGAUUUGCUCGGUGAGUGUCAAGUGUAUGACUACUUGAACUCUAUGGAUUUGAUUCAUGCUUGGCUUACCUGAUUACAUGCUUAGCCUACUUGGUUUUGAAAAAUGGAGUCGAGUGUGUACUUUAUCGCACUCGUUCUCAUUUGAAACAAAUGACUCAUGCAACAUGGUUUGCCUGAUUUACAUGACCUGAAAUACAUGCUUAGACCUGUCAAAUGCUUGAAUACAUGAUAUGGUAUGCUAUGGCUGCAUACGUCGUUGGAGUGAAUCUCCUCGACACUUACAUGACACAUGGGGGACGUCCAAACUCAUAGGCCGACCUUGGAACUCGAGCCGGCAUGGGCUUGGUCGGGAACCUCGGUGAGCCAUGAGAUUCACAUGGUAAGCUUGAUCUAUUGGAGAGAUCUUGCUUGGCAUACUCGUGGAGUAUCGCCUCAUAAAUGUCGUGCGGGCCCGAAGCGGUGUAUGGUGGAUGGAUGAGAAGUAAGUGGUGAUCUACGGUUUGGAAAUAUCAAUCCGGUUGACGGAGAGUCAUCACGGGAAGAUAUACGAAUGAACUGGCAAAGCAAGUGGAACUUAGCUCUUGAGAGCUACCAUAUCCUUGAAUCGUUUCUGUUUACAUUUUUUUGGCAUUGUUAAUUACUUGCAAGUUAUCACUUGAACUGUUACUUGGGCUUGUUACCUGAACUAUGUGCCUGCAUGUGUGUUCUUGGCCUCACAAGCAUUUUGCUCACCCUAUAGAUUUGUUUUCCUUAACAGAUUUGAACUCGGAGGCGUACUGGAAAAAAACCUCCUGAUGAGCUUUUGUUUAGGGUUUCUAUUACUUUUGGCUAUGUCUUGGCUUUUGGGUUGUAUUUUGGAAUCCGAAUGUAACUUUUGGAGCAUAUGUAUAUUUGGGAUAUAUGAUGGUUGUUGAAUACCCGAUGUGCGGAUUGGAUAACGGAUGACUUUUAUUAAAUUUGAACGCUUCCGCAUUUAUUAUAUCUAAGUUAUUGACUCGUAUUGUGUGGUCCGGUAAUAAGCUUGAAUGGAAUUGUUUGAGUCCUGGCGAGAGUUAGGCAGGCAUUCUGCGGAUACCCUUUGGUUCGCCUUAGGGAGAAGUGGGGGUGUCACAAAUUCGGUACAUGCCGAAUUCACCGAAUUCUAAUAUGGUAUGAAAUAGGUAAUAAGAUUGUGAAUUUGGUAAUAACCGAUUUCGCAUUCAAAUUCGGUAAUUGAAAUCGGGUGCCGCAUUACCACAUUCGAAUUACCAAAUUGAUAUAUAAAAUUAUAUAAUAUAUAGAUAAAUGCUAUUUAGUAUUAGUAUAUACUACUAAUACUUUAUUAUAUUAUAUAGGUAAAUGCUAUUAAUAAUAAUUAGUAUAUGGUAUUAUCAUCAUAUCAUGUACUUAUAAUAAUAAUAAUAUAUAAUAAUGUACAAUAUAUUCUUUUAGUAUUUAUUAAUUGUUAUAUGACUAUAAUAAUAUAAAUAUAUAGUAAUACAUAACAAUAUAAGAUAACUAUAAUACUUAUUAUUUUAUACAUGAGUAACAUGACUAGAAUUAGAUAAUAAUUAAUACAUAUAUGUAUAAUACUAAAUAUUAAACAAUAAACAUAAUUCAUAAUUAGAAUUUAGAUAUUGGUAAUUUGAUAUAUCAUUCAUGUUUGAAUUAUUGAAUAUUUGAAUGCGUAAUCUGUAACUUGCAAGUAUUAGUGUACUCUACAUAUUUAACAUAAAAAUUCAUAUUAUCUAUUCACUAAUCUUAAUUCUUAAGGCUUUAGCCUUUAAGUAUAUAAGACAACUAAGCAGUUAGCAGUGUAAGUGAAUGCAUAUGAAUUGCAAAUCAAUGUAUUAGUGUAUUGACUUUCACGAAUAACAUAUGUAAGUAAAUAAGUUUUAUUUUGAUUUGAAAUAAAUUAUAAGUUUGUAACUAAUAUAACUUACCACUAAUCAUUGUAAUUUGUAAGUUUGUAACUAAUAUUACUUAUUAUUAAUCAUUGUAAAUUAUGAAUUCAUAAAUUAUCACUAAUCAUUGUGUUCCUUAAAUCAUAGACUAAGGAUUCUAGGUAAAAGUUAUCAAAUAAGUUAUAAUUCAUAUUAUCUAUUUACUAAUUUAAGGUUUUAAGUAUAGACAAGACAACUGAGCAGUGUAAGUGAAUGCAUGUAAAUUGCAAAUCAAUGUAUUAGUGUAUUGACUUUCACAAUAACAUGUGUAAGUAAAUAAGUUUUUAUUUUGAUUUGAAAUAAAUUAUAAGUUUGUAACUAAUAUAACUUAUCACUAAUCAUUGUAAUUUGUAAGUUUGUAACUAAUAUUAUUUAUUAUUAAUCACUGUAAAUUAUAAAUUCAUUGUAACUACUAACUAAUAUUACUUAUUAUUAAUCAUUGUAAAUUAUAAAUUCAUAAAUUAUCACCAAUCAUUGUAUAGUCUAAGGUUUAUUCUAGUUUAAAUUAAUAGAUAAAUUAUUACUUUUUUUUAAUAGAUGAAUUUGGUUAAACCGAAUUCAUUACCGUUUUCGAAUUUGAAAUCGGUUGCGGUAUGAAUUUGGUUAUGGCUAAUUCAGAAUUGAAAACGGUUUAGAUUUCUAUAUGUAGAAUAACCGAAUUCACCGAAUUCAGUGCACCGAAUUACCGAUUUUGCACCGAAUGCACACCCCUAUUCCCAAGUUACAGAAGUUUAUGAUGUGUAUUAGGGGUUUCCUCAGCAAUUCGACAGCAUCUGGUGCAUCGUCCAUGGAACCAACGACAGCAACCAAAUCUGCAACAAUCCACGGUUACGGUGUCCUCAUCUCCAAAUUUAUUCUCACGGAUCUCCUCAGCUGUUUGACAGCAUCUCGUGCAAUAGAUGAGGUACCAGCGGCAGCACGAAAUCUGCAACCAGUUAAGUGAUCAAUCUCACCUGAACUGGCAUCCAGCGGUCUUCAUGUUGUCGUGAUCUGUUUCAAGACAUAAAUAUUAGGAGCAUCGUCUUAAACUCCAAAACGUUAGGUGACUGGCUAGGUUGAAAAUUUGCAAGAUAUAUGCAAAGAAAUGAAUACUAUGGAUUAAACAAAACUGUCUAUAUAUGAGAUGGUGCAACUUGGAUAUGAAUUAUUUCGUCUUAUAAGCUACUAAUUAAAAUUUAAUUUGGGUUUUGACGUUAGUUUAAUCUUUGUCCUGUUAAACAAUAGUGUGACAUUUUGGAACGUUUAUCCUUACAGUAAUACUAUAAGGAUGUGAAAAAGAUAUUAGCACUUUAAUAUAACUUCCUUGAUACUAUACAAAUAGCCUAUCAUAAAAAUUCACGUCCCAAUAAUGUGUCUCCUAAGCUCCAUUCAUUUAAGUAUUCAGGUUCAUCCAAAUAAAUAAAUAAAGGAAGGAGGAAAAAGAUUAGGUGCAUUCAGUUGUUGCAUCAGAGGAAAUGAGGAGUACAAGUGCAAAGAGAGCACCACUAAAUUUGUUGAUAUCUAGUGACAAUUGCAUUGAGCUAAACAAUAUUUGUUGAUAUCUAAAUGACCUCAUUUUUUAUGUUGAUGGGACCUAAUGUCAAUAUCGUCAAGGAAAAAUUGACUGUAAUACCCUCAUUUAGAAGCAAAAUAUCAUAUUCCAAUUUUACCAACAUGCCAUCAAAACUCGUCACCAAAAUUUAACAACUUUACUAAAACUAAUUUUCAAAGGCUGGUGAGCUUUGGAGAAGAUCUGAACAUUAAGCUCCAAAAUAUUUCAUUGGGUGAAGGAAAAUUGUUGAAAAAAGUGGCUUAUUAGCUUUAUUCUUUGAUAUUUAUAUAUAAUAAUUAAAAGAUGAAAACUUUUUUAAUUGAAUGUGGAUAUUCACAACAAAAUGAGGUACCGAAUGGAAGUUUAUGGUCUUCAUGAUUGAUGUGGUUCCAUGAAUAAACUCGUAGAGCUGAUAAGAUGAACAUUCUGGCCUUAAGAUGAGUUUAAAAUGUAGCCAUGGUAGACAUGAUGAGUCAUUUAAGGACCACAUCAUGCAUAUCUUGAUAUUAUAUGAGCAAUUUGCGAUGGAUAAAGCCAUGCAUAUGCAUGCAUGUGCUUUAUAUAAUGUGAAAAUGGAUGAGUUAGAUAAAGCUUGGUGAAGUAAAGUUAGUAUACCGAAUCGAUUUUGACGUGUGAGUAGGAUUUUCUGCUUGGUUGCUCUAUUUUAAGUGAUUAUCACUUUGUUGACAAAGAUCUUGUCGGACAAUCUCCCAAAAUAAGUUUCUAUCGUUUUUCUUUACUGAAUCACGAACAUUUCUUUAGUGAAAUUUUAAUCUUAAAUUAGGUUGGACUAAUUAUUUGGAGGGAACAUUUUAGAUGGCAAGUGACUCAUUCACUCCUCAUUUUUGCAUAUAUAGUUGAAAGAAAAACAUAAGUUUAAGCAACUAAUGACUUUGUAAAUAAAGAUUGUAUAAGAUCACUUCCAAAAGUAAGUUUCUAUACCAUAUCUUUGUUGAGUCUUAUCAAGAAAAUUUUGGAGGGAAAAUUAAUCUUCAAUUAGCUUGGACUACAUUAAGCUACUACUUGGUUGAUUGUCAAUUUUAUCAUUUUUAUUGUUAUUAAAAAAUCCAUAAUGUGAACACAAAAGUAAACGAGGAUAUCACAAAAAUUGAUUAUCUAUAAUCAAAAUCUCUAAAUAGUUAAAAUAGUCAAUAAAAACAAGCAUGUUGUAGUAUAAAAUUUUUUAGGUAGACUACUUUGUCUGUACCUUUAUAUGUUGACUACUAAUUGAAAGCUACCAUGAAUUUUGGAUAAAUAGGACGGACCUGAUUCUACUCAUGGCAUUAUUGUGUAUUAAAAACUUAUUUUUUUCCUUUUAGCUGCUGUGCUUCAUGCCAUUUGGAAUAGUUCACUCCUCAUUUUAUAUGUUUUUUCUUUUUUUCUUUUUUGGAAAUAGCCCUUUUUACAACAUAAAUAUGUUACAAUAUUUCUUUUAGGGCCUAUAAAGGUAAAUAUGGAACAAAGUGUGCUGACAUCAUUUCUUGUCAAUCUAUUGCAUUUCUUUUGUGGACACGGGCUAACUUGGUUACAAAACUAGUUAUAAGUAAGAGUGAUCAGCGUAAUAUCGAAAACAAGAGGGGCACUAGGUGAAAUUGUCCAAACAUUCAGGGGAAGUUUGUGAAAUUAUCCCAAUAGUUUGAGUACCUGCCCUGUUACUUGCAUUAGAGUGGCCCUUUAUUAUUGACUAAUGCAGACGUCCAUGUCUGCACUCUCAGGACGGAGGAAUAAAGUAUUUGUUGUCCUUGUGCGAGUUAUACAUAGUCUUUCUUGACUGCAAAAGUUGAUAAUUGAGCUAAAGAAUCGAAAGAUAAUGUGGCCAUUUUUCAAUCUCUGAUAGGAAGGAUAUCAAUCUCCUACUUUUCCGUCUUCAUGUCUGGAUUGUAUAUCAAUUUCUUUUUCUUUUUCGUUUGUUGGUUAGGUAAACUUUCAUUUUCAUCAGUCUAAAGGCCUAAAGGUCCCUGCCCAUUUCAGAAAUUUACUGAUUUUAAGUGGGCGUAAUAGAGCUUUAAUUAACUCUAUCAAGAUCUUUAUACAUUACGAGCAACUUUCCUGUUAAAAUACUAAUUCAAACAAGCUGUGCAAAUUCAAGGAUGGAACUAGAUGUUGAAAAGGAAUAGUUUAUACUUCAUAAGAAGUACUGAAUUCGUGGAUUAAUUUUCUUGUGCUAUUGCUUUAGAGUUUUAUUUACAUGAGUAGAUUUGAAUGCGCGAUAAGUAAUUGUGAUUCAAACUUGAAGUCAUAUUUUUGCACAUGAAAGAAAUAGUCCAAAAUAUUUUUUUUCUUUUUAGAACUCUACAUGUAGCUUUAACUUGACCAGUCCUAUUACUAGUCGUUGACGAGCACGAGGUAUACAUACAAUAAUUAAGUUCAUUUUACAUUUAUAAAUUGCUAAAUGCUUCAUACACGAUUUUUUGCAAGCAUAUAGAUCGAGAUUGAGUAUAGGGUUUUAAAUGUCGGACUCAUAGGAAAGAUUGUCAAUUACCGAUGAUUUUCGAAUUAUUUUAUUAUUUAGACUAUCACAAGUACAAGAAAUUAAAUCUACGUACACUAUAAACAUGAGAUAAAAGUAAUAAAAAUAACAAUAGAAAGCUCCUAAAAGUAUGAAAUUUCUAACUACUCUUGCAAGUGAAGUUACUGGUUAAGUAAAUAUUAUUAUUUUAGCUAAUUAUGGCGUAAUUCCUAAUGUAUGUGAAACAUAUUCUCGUAGUAAAUCAACUAUACUUGUAAUUAAGCCAUACCUACACAUUCAAACAACCUGUGCAAAUUCGAGAAUGGAACUAGAUUUUGAAAAGUAAUAGUUUAUACUUCAUAAGAAGUACUGAAUUCUGGGAUUAAUUUUCUUGUGCUAUUGCUUUAAAGAUUUAUUUACAUGAGUAGAUUUGGAUGCGUGAUAAGUAAUUGUGAUUCAACCUUGAAGCCAAAAUUUUGCACAUGAAAGAAAUAGUCCAAAUUUUGUUUUCCUUUUAGAAUACUACAUGUAGCUUUAACUUGACUAGUCCUAUAUCUAGUCAUGGUUAAGAAGUUUCAGAAUAUUAGUAAGGUUAUGCAUGAUAAAUUCUGUAUUUAUCCAUUACUUUGUUAAGCCAAUCUCUAGAAAGGUUUGUACUUAUUAAUUCCUUUCGCCAUCUAAACUUAUUGAUAGAACGUAGUAAUUUGUGUCAACACCAGAAACCAGAAAACUCGACCACUAGCUUAUCGAACUGAAUUUAGGUCAUUAAUUUUUUAUGCCCGUCAACUUAAGAAAAACAACAUAUCAUGCAGAUUAAUAAGUGCAGUUCAGUCCAUAGGGUAAAAUAUAAUGCGAAUAGAAUUAAAUCUCUAAAUGUAUAUCCAAGAUAAAACGCGUAUGAUUGAAAUGAUUUGUACUAAAUUUGUUUGAAAUUGCAGUGCUAUAAGUCGAAAAUGUUAAGAGUGCAUGAAAAGCAUGGAAGACUAUGUACUAACUUGACAAAGUGACUUAUUUGAAUAAUAAUGAUAACAUUUUAUAAUUUUUGUGGGUCAAUUUUGUUUUAAUCUCUUACAGUAACAAGCAUGCUUUGAUUUUUUUUUUUUUUUUUUUUGGGCUUGUUUGGAUCAUGGCCAGUCCGUAAAUACAAUAAAACCCACCAACCUUUACUCAAAAAAAAAAAAAAAAAGCACUUCCACCUCAAAAUUUACAAAAAAAAUGGAAGAAAGAAGAAACCCUACUCGUUCUCUUCCAGUGCUAUACGUUUAUCAGAAUAAAGGUCGAAACUUGCAAAAUAUCAUUCUUGAAAGCAUUCAUUAUUCAUACUUUUGUCUUACGUCAAAGUUAGACAUCUUGCAAUUCAUAAUUUUCAUGCUUGACAACUCUUUUGAUAAGAUUGAUGUUCCUCUGAAUAUCAACAUUAAAAUUUUUUUUUUCGAGUAAGUUGUACCGUCGAUACUGAAGAACUUUGAUUCCUUUCUCAGGAAGGAAUAGGAUUGGGUUUAACUCUUGUCGAUACUGAAUUUUUUUACAUUGUAAUGACAAGGAACGAUGAAGAGCACAACACACAUAUUGAAUAUUCUGCACAUCUUAUAUCAAACACAGUAAAUUCUAGCAGGUCCAAGGUACAGAAGUUUACGAUGUAACUGAGAUAGAGAUCAUCAAUUGUGUUGAUGAUCAAGUGGAUUUAUUUAUUCAACAUGACAACAACAUAAGAAGAGCACUCGAACUGAGUACUCAUUACAUGCUUCCCCUGUUUAUUCUACACCAGUUCAAAGAGAAGCCACAUAAGUCUUUUACACAUAGAGGAAAUCAACCAUCAAAAGCAAACACAACAUUACAUAUUAAGGUAAUAAUAUAGGUGUCACGGAUCCUGUGUCACACCCUUAUUUAUUUAGCAUUAAUUUUUGACCUCAUCUCCAGAUGUAGCUUCAGGGGUCUC